AGUAAAAUGUAUAAAAAAGUGAUGGUCCAAUUGAGACCGGUUUAUUGGGUCAUAGUGGGCUCGGAAGGCACCGGCCCGUUAUCCUUCCACUGCCAAGAACGGGAGGUGGACGCUGCUCUGUGAAACCAGUCUAACGCAGUCUCCUCCGCUCUAAGAAAGUCCGAACCCACAAGCCUUCGCUCGAGUCCGAACCAUCAACUCUCAGCUUGGAACGGGCAGGCCGGUUGAAAGCCCAAAUCGAACCCGGCACAUUAAGAUCGGUCCAACGUUCCAUCACCUUAUAGUCUCCACUCGGAUCACAAGCCCGCGUUACCGAACUCGACGUACAGUAAGUGUCAACUAAACUUAUAUAUACAACAAGAGAAAACUUGUUUCUUCCGAUGUGGGACAUUUUGUGAAUAUAGUUAUGCGUCUUUACUAGAAUUUUCGUUUCCAUUCUCUAUCGAGAAAAACCAAAAACCUUUGAAUAAAACUCUUCGCCGUCGGGAUUUAAUUAUUUUCAGUCUUUCACCGGUGAAAGAUACUCCGGCGACCAUGCUCCGAUCGAUAACUCGUUCCUCGUCACUUGGUUCGACCUCUCUUUUCUUUCGAUUUUUCCGCCAGUUCCCUCGCUCCUACAUUUCUCGGUCAUCGUCAGCGACCGCCGGCGGCAACAUUCGCCGGGUAUCUACUCCAGAAGCUGCUGGAAGACAGCUAUUUCUCCGCCGCGGCUUAAGGUUUCCCUCCGCCGCGAGUGGCAGUCUCAAUGGGCAAUUUUCUCGCUUAUCCCUUCGCGCCUUCGCUACACAACCCGCACCUUCUUAUACCGGUGGGAUUAUCGAACGAUUUAGUUGGAUUUUGAAACUGUGAUUUCAAUUGUUCCUAUUUUUCGUCCGAGAUAAUAUUUUUUUCAGUUAGAUUCAAAGUGUUUAUCGUCGGUGAUGUUGCUGUAUUCCACAUAGAUUCUCCUAUAGAGAAAUUUCCUUGGAUUUUGGUUGAAUUAACACCACAUAUGUGCUUGCUAUAUGUGAUUAAGAGCAUUUUCUUCUGUGCAUUGUGGCAAUUGUGAAUGAUAGAUGUGAACCUUUUCUCCUUAUAUUAGAUACAUUGAUGUUUUUGUUUAAACAGUGUCAUAGUGUAGGCCGUUCUGAUGAGUGGUUUUGUCUAUCGUAAGAGUUAGGUCAAGAUGAAGCUGAGAAGCUUGGAUUUGAGAAAGCACGGGAGGAAUUCAUCUCAGAGUGUAAAUCUAAGGCUGUUCUCUUCAGACACAAGAAAACGGGUUGCGAGGUGAUGUCUGUUUCGAACGAUGAUGAGAACAAGGUCUUUGGCGUUGUUUUCAGGACUCCUCCGUAAGUGUAGUAGUAGUACACAUGAAUCUUCCCUGAUUGUUUAUCUUUAGUAUCGGUGACUUGAAAGUUCGGUUCUGUUCUCCUGUUGAUCUGGGUGUAAGAGCUUGGUAUACACUUAUACAGUUGCUUGGUUCUUGGAAUUUCAACUAAACUUAAAUGGUCAAAUUGAUUGCUAAUCACCUCAGGUCGCAGUUUCUGUGUUUUAAAACCUCUUCUUUGUUGUUGCCCAUGAAGUGUUCUGAGAUUCUGAGGUCAAGUGGUGAAUUUAUAGUCGAAUGAAUGAAAUUAUAGCAUAUCAAGGUCAAAAUUAGCUACUGUUCAAUGGUUCUACACUUUUAGUUGGAAUAGCCACCAUGAGCUAGAGCUAAACUUGUGACACUCCAAUUGAAUUAAUAGGCGCCGUAAGUGGUUGACCGUGAUAAGACAAUAGUUUGGUUCUUGAUGCAGGAAGGAUUCCACUGGCAUUCCUCACAUACUGGAACAUAGCGUAUUAUGCGGGUCAAGAAAGUACCCACUGAAAGAGCCAUUUGUCGAACUUUUAAAGGGAAGUUUGCAUACUUUCUUAAAUGCAUUCACAUAUCCUGAUAGGACUUGCUACCCAGUUGCUUCCACAAAUACAAAGGUAUAUAACGUUUACUCUUUUCUUCCCUAACCAUUACCUCUUUGCAUUGUGCUAUGUACACGUAUUUUCAAGUUUGGUUUGAUCACAUUUCAUAACUAUCUAUGCUAGGAUUUCUACAAUCUUGUCGAUGUAUACUUGGACGCUGUGUUCUUUCCCAAGUGUGUGGAUGACGUUCACACUUUUCAGCAGGAGGGUUGGCACUAUGAGCUUAACGAUCCUUCAGAAGACAUAUCUUACAAAGGUUCUAUUUGUUAUAGAUGGCUAAUACAAUGUUUUUUCACACAUAGCAUUUUAGCUUUCGGUUUGUUUGACCACUAUAUUAUUAACUUUCUUUCCCUGUCUCUUUGUUAAUGUUUCACAUAUCAGGCGUUGUUUUUAAUGAGAUGAAAGGUGUCUAUUCACAGCCUGAUAAUAUACUAGGGCGGAUUACUCAACAGGCAAGUAUUGCUCUUCAAUUUUCUUGAACAAUUUCUUCUAACAAUCUCUUUCUGAGAGUGAAUUUCUGUAAAGGGUUCGAGUGGAUGUUUACUGUAUGAAUAUUUUUGCUUUUGUUAAAAAUUUUGAUGUUUUCUAGCUUACCCGAUCAAAGUGUGUGUUGUUGAUAUGUAUCUUUGCAUGUGCGAGUCUGCAUUUAAUAUUUUGUUAGUUUCUUACACUGGUCAUCACUUUGAUGUGCAGUCAGAGAGUAAAUCUAAUUGAAGUUUCUCACAAAACGUCACUUCAAUUAUCUGCUCCUAGAUUCUUUGUUAUAUAACCCGCUUUCAUUGUUCUUUGGUUCAGUGGUUCUUAUGGAAUUGUGUACUUGUUUUCUCUUCUAUUUUCUUUUGAUAGGCCUUAUGCCCAGAAAAUACAUACGGUGUUGAUAGUGGAGGUGAUCCAAAAGAUAUCCCGAAGCUUACGUUCAAGGAAUUUAAGGUUUGUUAAGCACUUCAUGUGAUUUAAUUAAGCAUGGAAUAAUAUGAUAGUAUACUGCAAUAAAAGCGUAAUGGUAUGUAUGACUUCCAACGCUCAAAAUAUUAUACGUCAUGGUGAAAAUUCCAGGACUUCCACCGUCAGUAUUAUCACCCGAGCAACGCCAGAAUAUGGUUCUACGGAGAUGAUGAUCCAGUUCACCGCCUCCGCGUCUUGAGUGGUAAAGAGCCAUAUCUUGUAUUGUACUUUCAGUACGAAAUUGUCCGUUUCUUGAUUUAUGUUCGACCUAUGUUAUUAUUUUACAGAUCUUAUCUCUGUUUUGCUAACUUGUACAGAAUACUUGGACAUGUUUGAUGCAAGUCAAGCACGAGAAAGUUCAAAGGUUAUACCACAAAAGCUAUUCUCUGUGCCUCGUAGGAUUGUUGAAAAAUAUCCUGCUGGUGGAGACGGUGACCUUAAGAAGAAGCAUAUGGUGUGCCUUAACUGGCUGCUCUCUGACAAGCCACUGGACUUACAAACUCAACUCGCACUUGGGUUUUUGGAUCAUCUAAUGCUUGGAACUCCUGCUUCACCGUUGAGAAAAAUCAUUUUGGAAAGCGGUUUAGGAGAAGCUCUUGUUAAUAGUGGGGUGGAAGAUGAACUUCUCCAGCCCCAAUUCAGUGUUGGUUUGAAAGGUGUUUCCGAUGAUGAUGUCCAAAAGGUUGAAGAAUUGAUCAUGAAUACUCUGAGAAAGUUAGCAGAUGAGGGGUUCGACACCGAUGCUGUUGAGGCAUCUAUGAAUACCAUUGAGUUUUCUCUGAGAGAAAACAAUACAGGAUCGUUCCCUCGUGGUUUAUCACUCAUGCUCCAAUCAAUUGUGAGUUUCUCUGUCUUUUUCUUAUGUGUGCCGUAUCCUUUAUUUUUUGUAACGUUUCUUAUUUUGGUGUUGGUGUUUAGGCGAAAUGGAUAUACGACAUGGAUCCUUUUGAGCCAUUAAAGUAUGAGGAACCGUUGAAGUCCCUGAAAGCUAGAAUAGCCGAGGAAGGAUCCAAGGCUGUCUUUUCCCCGCUAAUAGAGGAGUUUAUUUUAAACAACCCUCACUGUGUUACCAUCGAAUUGCAGGUACUUUCCGUUUCUGAGUUUCUCAUCGUUUUUUAAGUUUCUAUAAUCAUAUGCCAAAAACACCUUUUUUCAGCCUGAUCCAGAAAAAGCUUCUCAAGAGGAAGUGGAAGAGAAAAAUAUUCUAGAAAAAGUUAAAGCAAGUAUGACAGAAGAGGAUCUUGCAGAACUAGCGCGUGCGACAGAGGAGUUGGGAUUGAAGCAAGAGACUCCUGACCCUCCCGAAGCACUGAAAUACGUUCCAAAUUUAAACUUGAGUGACAUUUCAAAAGAACCUACCUAUGUUCCCACUGAGGUGAUCAUUUCAAAAGCUCUCUGAUGCUGUUGGAUUCCCAGCAUCUUUUUCAGCUUGAUACUAAUUUGAUGCUUUACAGGUUGGAGAUAUUAAUGGCGUGAAGGUCUUGCGGCAUGAUCUUUUUACAAAUGAUAUACUCUACGGUGAAGUAGUCUUUGAUAUGGGUUCGAUAAAGCCUGAGCUUCUUCCACUGUUACCUCUCUUCUGGUAACUUGUUGACUUCUACAUCUGAUGAUUAACUAAAUUUUUCAGAAAUGCAAAUAAUGACAAAUGUGAAAUGAAGUAUAUUGCUAACAAAAUUAUUCCAAGCAUUCCCUGUUCUCCAGAUUUGCUCUAUAACCAAAUCACUGUUUCAAUGUCUGAUUUAGUUUUAAAAAAUUAUUACAUAUUGCUGGGUUUUUGUUCGAGAGAGUCUCUUUGUCGAUUUUACUAUUCUUGACUUUUACUUUAGUGCUCUCAACAACGCUCAGUUAAAGUUCUAUGCCAAAAAGGUCACUUCCAAGCCUUCUGCUGUAGUAACAUGGUCUAUUAUAAGAUGUCUUGGUUAGUAGUAGCAGUAUAGAGGACAAUCGAAUUACAGUGUCAGUAUUUUUAGUAGCUUCAUUGCACUUUUUUCUUAUCUCACCCUAGACAUUCACAUGCUAUGUUCUUAAUCUUCCGUAAGUUUGGCUGAGGAUUGUUUCCAGUUAUGGUUUAUUACAGAGGAUAACCUUUCCCAAUAAUGUUCUGCUAUGGGAUACCCCAUGCUAAAUUCAUAAGUUUUAACUCCUAUAUUAUUUCUGUCUUGACAGUCAAUCAUUACUAGAGAUGGGCACGCAAGAUUUGACCUUUGUACAACUUAAUCAGUUGAUUGGAAGGAAAACCGGAGGGAUAUCAGUUUAUCCCUUUACAUCCUCUGUGUGGGGUAAGAAUGACCCAUGUAGCAAAAUUAUUGUUCGCGGAAAAUCCAUGGUUGGACGCGCUGAAGACCUUUUUAACCUGGUAACUGGCUUUAUAUCUUUCAGCUAUUACAUAUAGCUGGAGAUUGUGUACGUUGGGAUAGUUAAUGUAUGUGUAACAAAUGACAAAAAAAGUUGACAUAGAAUGUAACUGUAGUUAGAUAGAAGAACCAGGCGAUUCUUGAAAUGUAGUUUGUUUCCAGUUAGAAGUUGUAGUUGGUACUUACGAUUCUCACUAGUGUUUUUUGUUUUUCUUGCUACAGAUGAACUGUGUGCUGCAAGAGGUUCGAUUUACAGAUCAACAGCGUUUUAAACAAUUCGUCUCUCAGAGUAGAGCAAAGAUGGAGGUAUGCAUUUUUUUCUUCUUUUUCGCGUUCUAAAUAGAACACGGCGGUUUUAGUAUAACCCCAACUCAUCUUCUAUUCAGAACCGAUUGAGGGGAAGUGGUCAAGGAAUUGCUGCUGCGAGGAUGGAUGCAAUGUUGAACGUUGCUGGAUGGAUGUCUGAACAGAUGGGUGGUCUCAGGUUGGAACUUGUUAACUCUUCUUUAAAGUUUUUGUUCUUACCAUUUGUGGGGCUUCUUGGUUUGAUUCAAACCUGGCUGUGGGAGAAGAAACUAUUCGGAAACUAGUAAAGCCUAAUACAGUUGUACUUUUCUCUUUGUAGUUACCUUGAAUUUCUACAAACUCUUGAACAGAAGGUGGAUCAAGACUGGGAAGGAAUCUCAUCCUCACUUGAAGAAAUCAGAAGAUCCCUCCUUUCUAGGAAUGGUUGCAUAGUUAAUAUGACUGCUGAUGGAAAGUCCCUCACAAGCACGGAAAAAUUUGUUGGAAAAUUCCUUGAUUUACUCCCUGAAAAUCCGUCUGGUGGACUUGUCACUUCGGUUGCACGACUUCCUUUGAGAAAUGAAGCUAUAGUAAUACCAACGCAGGUAAAUAAAAAGGAAAACCCAUCUGUAUAUUAUGUGUCCUUGGGUGUGUAUUAUUAGUAUACCACAAUUUUCACUCAUGCCCUCUCGACAGGUGAACUAUGUAGGAAAAGCGGGUAAUAUAUACAGCAGUGGCUAUCAGCUUGAUGGGAGUUCAUAUGUUAUAUCAAAGCAUAUUAGUAACACAUGGUUAUGGGAUCGUGUUCGUGUAAGUGGUGGUGCAUAUGGAGGCUUCUGUGAUUUUGAUUCACACUCAGGUAAGACUGCUUUCCUUUUCCUUUUCUUUGAUUGGAGAGAGUUUUCCUAAUUAUACGAACUUCUCCUUCAGACCUGACCUUUGGAGUUUCUCUUGUUCAGGAGUAUUUUCGUUCUUAUCUUACCGUGAUCCCAACUUACUGAAGACACUAGAAAUAUAUGAUGGAACUGGAGACUUCUUACGUGGCCUUGAUGUCGAUGAAGACACUCUUACUAAAGCAAUUAUUGGGACAAUUGGAGAUGUUGAUUCAUACCAGCUCCCUGAUGCCAAAGGUUAUAGCAGGUAAUGAUGUCUAAUUCUUGCGGGUUCCCUAGUCUUUGUCUGCUUAUUUUAAGCAAUCUAAUCGAUUGUGAAUCUAAUAAUUUCUCAUCUCUAUCUAUCAACAGUUUGUUGAGGCAUUUGCUUAACGUAACCGACGAAGAGAGGCAGACAAGGCGUGGAGAGAUAUUAUCAACUAGGUUAACAUCAAUCUCUCGUUUUUGCUUUAGCUUAAAUAUAUGUCAAUUCAAACAUAUCUUGCAAACACGUUGUUAUUCUCGAAUAGAAUUGAAAACUAACUUCCUUUUUUGUUUUAUCUCACAGUUUGAAGGACUUUAAGGAAUUCGCAGAGGCGGUAGACUCUGUUAAAGAUAAAGGCGUUGCAGUGGCUGUGGCAUCACAAGAAGAUAUUGAUGCAGGAAACAAAGAACGCUCCAACUUUUUCGAGGUGAAGAAAGCUCUCUGACUCUGACACUCUUAAAAAAAGUAGGAAGAACUCUUCUUUGGUUCAUGGUAUGACGCAUCAAAUCCUCUAGGCUCGUAAUUUUUGUGGGUUCUACAUCUCGGUCUUUACAAAGUUAUAUGACAGCAUCAUAUGAUUUAUCACAGUAGAAAAUAGAAAUGAAGCGUUUUUAACCGUUCACUUUAUGAAAUUAACCAAAUUGCUAAAACGUAGGCUUUAGCUUCCGCUCUUUAAGAACAAGCUCUCCAGGAUUUUAUUUGUACCUGUUAGGGUUUAAAUCUACUCUUGUCUUGUUUGAUUCACAUUUGGUUCAAAAUGAUAGAAUCGGAUAAGCGUUAGCUUUAUUACUGGCUGGGAUUGAACCGCAUUGCUUGCUAAAAACAAAUGUCUCUCAAUCUUCCAUUUCUCUUCGGGUAAAAGAGGCAUCUAUAACACAACUCAUCAUGUGUCCCCUAAUCUUGUCAGUGUCAUGCUUUCUCGUGUGUCUCAUGCUUCAUAUGUUUUGUUUUUGAGUUAGUUUUAAAAAACAGUUCGAAGUGAAAUUGAAACUUUUAGUGCAUUGGCAUCAAGAAUCUCUAGGUUACUUUUUGGAGUAGAUUAAUCUUUACAUUUAACUUUUUUGAUUAAGAUCAAUUCAUAAAGAUACUUUAAUGCUACAUAUAUUUUUUUGAACCUUUUUCAUCUCCUCCUAGACAGUGGUGGUCUUUGAAAGUUCUGAUUACAUGCCAAAAAAACUUUAAAUACUUGAAUUGAACGUAAAUUUUAUUAAUUAAAAAAAAUAAUCCAUUUCUGCCAAAAAUUUUAUCAAGUCUCCUUUAGUCCUUUACUAAUAUCAAUCACAAGUAAAUUAUUAACUCGGUAAGGCAAUUUCAUGGGCAGAAAUAAUUAAUUCACUACAAAUAUACGACCAACUCAAACCUUCACAACAGCUUCAGCAGAUCCGUAUUAUUCUAAGACUUCGUAUAUUCGUACUAGCUAGCCGCAAUAUCCGAAAUCAAAUAACAAAUAUAAUCGACAUUUAUUUCUCACCCUAAGUAAAGGCUUGCCAGCACAAUCAUUGUGUAACGGUCAAUUAUUUACCUCAUUUAUUUUUCACUACGAAAUUUAUCCAAAAUGGUCCCAACUUAUUAGAAGAGGGAAAAAAAACAUGACAUUUAUACGUGUAAAUUAUUUUAACCUAUUUUGGACAUAUGUAUAGAUUCCCUGUAAGAGCUGGAUAUUUAGAUGGUUUUUUGUUGUCAUUAAUAAUUACUGUUUUGGAUAAUUACAUUUAUUAGUUCUGUCUCCAAGUGGGCAAUUCGUAAAGAAGUGAAUGCUUUUAGGGUCACUGACAAAAGAAAAAAUUACCAGCACGAAUUAGAAUUUAUUAGGCUCUAAUCUCACGCGGAUUCUCUCCUCGUACAUAUAAGACUUUAAAUAAUUAUCAAUCCGAUGAUUUUCUUGUACUUCGGUGACUUUGUAUCUUGAAAACAAUUCUGUUUGUUUAGGUUCAAUUUCAAAGGAUAUUAUUGUACACUUAAAUGUUAUAAUAUGAUCAAAAAGCUUGCAUUUUUCUUUGUGUUUUCUCUAGGAAUUUAGAAAAAAAGGAUAAAGAUGAGAUUUUUAGAAAAGAACAUGUUCUUACUUAAAUUCAUUAGUUCCAUACUUUCAUUACAUAUAUAGACUAAGAGAAUUGCUCUCCAAGGCAAUAUAUGUCCCUUUCUAAACAACAGCAGCUCUUAUUCUUCCAUGUACCUACCUCUUCUUGGAUUGAAUGAUGUCAACAACUAUGCUUGGGGAGCAGCUAUGUUGGCGAAUAUGAAAGAAUCUCUAGAAAAAGUGAAGAAAGUUGGGAAAUUCACAAGCUUAUGUGGUUUUUCGUACGCUCUCACGGUAAGGUCUUUAAAAAACAAAAGGUAAUUAAUAUGAUUCAUAAUAAAUCAAUGAUGUACAAUAACAAUUAUUGUUCUUCAUCUUUUUCUUAUAGGUAUUUGCAUUAAUUAGAGCGGUUUUCAUGCCUUAGAGAAAAUGUGGAUCAUCAUCUCUAUAUUCUCUACCAUCCGGAUUUCUCUUGAUUUUGGGGUGGAUGGAGGCGUUGUGUAAACCGAAUAAAGACACGAAGAAUGUAAAGUCUGUGGGAUACUACAAAAAGAAGCUUCAAGACAUGGAAGAAAAAGACGUAAAACCUUAAACUCUUGUUUCUGUUUUUAAAUACAUAUAAAUUGAAUAUAUAUCGUUAUAAAUUGAAUAUAUAUCGUUUUUAACUAAAUAUUUCACUAAAUAAUUUCAUAGGUUGUGUGGCAGCCUUAUAACAAUCGUGACUUUAAACUGUCGGAGAAGUAUGCAUCUCAGUUGCCUAUGGUCUUUUCAAUAAUACGAAGUACACAAAGACAAACAAAAAAAUCAACUUAAAUAAUCAACUCACCUCAGGAACACUUGUCACCUCAUCUCGAGCAAUUUCACAGAUAAAAUUUUCAUAUCGCUUAGUCCACUCCCCAGCCACGAAUUUGUAGUAAGAGUUGAAAGAUUGCCAAUCUUUGUUUUUGUGUUUGCUUAGUUUCAAUUUCCUCCCUUUCUUAAUCUUUGGCCACGAUGUUUUGACUUGCGACUUCUCUAAUCCUAAUUGCUUAAAACAUACAUCUGGACUAUUAUACGCACCUUCAUUAAAGCAUGAACAUGGUGUGCGUGAAAAGACCAUAGGCAACUGAGAUGCAUACUUCUCCGACAGUUUAAAGUCACGAUUGUUAUAAGGCUGCCACACAACCUAUGAAAUUAUUUAGUGAAAUAUUUAGUUAAAAACGAUAUAUAUUCAAUUUAUAACGAUAUAUAUUCAAUUUAUAUGUAUUUAAAAACAGAAACAAGAGUUUAAGGUUUUACGUCUUUUUCUUCCAUGUCUUGAAGCUUCUUUUUGUAGUAUCCCACAGACUUUACAUUCUUCGUGUCUUUAUUCGGUUUACACAACGCCUCCAUCCACCCCAAAAUCAAGGGAAAUCCGGAUGGUAGAGAAUAUAGAGGUGAUGAUCCACAUUUUUCUCUAAGGCAUGGAAACCGCUCUAAUGCAAAUACCUAUAAGAAAAAGAUAAAGAACAAUAAUUGUCAUUGUACAUCAUUGAUAAAUGAUUUAUUAUGAAUCAUAUUAAUUACCUUUUGUUUUUUAAAGACUUUAUGUGAGAGCGUACGAAAAACCACAUAAGUUUGUGAAUUUCCCAAUUUUCUUCAUUUUUUCUAAAGAUUCUUUCAUAUUCGCCAACAUAGCUGCUCCCCAAGCAUAGUUGUUGACAUCAUUUAAUCCAAGAAGGGGUAGGUACAUGGAAGAAUAAGAGCUGCUGUUGUUUUUGAAAUUUAAACAUUUGCUACCAUGCGGGAAAAAAAAUUUUCACAGCUCACAGGGAAACGACGACGUUUCUCAUUGCUUUGAAAUGAAGCUAAAAACGGCAAAAAAGGACGCGUCGUUUCGAAUCCCGACGGCGUCUGCGUAGGAAAGCGAAGCUCCGUAACGGCGCCGUGACCUGCUUCCCCGUGAACGGAACCGAGAGAGGACCCCACUCAAACCGGUACACAACGGGCCCAUCCGCUAGCCAAGCAAAAAAUAAAAUCCCAGCCGUUGAAAUAAUCAACGGCUCCCGAUCCUUCUUCUUCCUUCCCCAAAUACCCAAAACCCUUCCUCUGUUUCUUCAUUAACCAGAAAAACCCAAUAAAUUUUACAACUUUCCAGCGAGAACGAUGAACGAGAUGAGCGAGAGAAAACCCAUAAUGUUCAAGAGAAAUUCUGGAGAAUCUGAGCUCGAAGGAUCAAACAUCAAGAAGAUAAGACUCGACGAUGAUGACGAUUUAGCAGAUUCUGAGGUUUUACGCUCACUGGAGAGAACGUUUUCUUCUUCUCUAGCUUACUCUGCUUCAGAUUCUGGAGGUUUCUCCGCCGAAGACGAUCAUCGGAGCUCAAGCGUCAGCACCGGCUGUUCAAGCAGCGAAACUAACGAAAUCGCUUCAGAUACUCGUCUGCCAUUUUUAGAUCUGGAGGUGAAAUUCGAAACUCGAGUUCCUCUGUACAUUUCUUUUUUUUUUUCGAUUUUCGUCUCGCACACACAAUAAAUUCUCUGAAGUUUUUUCUUACACUUUCUCUAAAAUAAAGAUCUUGUUACGUUUUGCUUUCACAAACUAAUUUAUUUAAGUUCCUAAUACAAGCAGCUAAUUUUAAUUGAUUGUUUUCUUCUUUUAAUUUGUGGUUUCCGUUUCAAGGCUCAACAAAUCUCCGAAGCCGAAAUCUCGACGUUAGGGACCAACAAUUUCAGGUUACUUAUUUGAGAAACGUUUUCCAUAAUUUUUUUUUUGGGCUAUAAAUUCGUCUUCUCACGUUCUUAUUUUUUUAUUUCUCGGCGUUUUACAGAGAAGAAGGAAGCCAAGUAAUAAGCGAGAUUCUUGGAGAAACAGCUGAAAUGGACUCGGCGACGACGGAGAGAAGAGAUGAUCAGCGAAAAGAAAGGAAGAAGACGGAAAAAUCUCCGACGCAGGCUGAGCUUGACGACUUCUUCUCGGCGGCGGAGAGAUUUGAACAAAAACGAUUCACAGAGAAGUGAGUUUCGAUUUUUUUAUGAAAUAUGCGCAAGAUAUCAAAGUAUUUAUUCAUAAAGUGCGCAUCUUAGCGAAAAGAUAUUUAAGCGUGCACUUUUGUAACUAGUACAGGUACAACUACGAUAUCGUUAAUGAUACGCCGCUUGAAGGUCGGUACCAGUGGGUUAGUCUCAAACCUUAAAAGGCAAAGAGAAGAAGAAGAGGAAACAGAAGAGACAAUGCUAAAGUUACACGUCGUAGUACUGUGACUUGUCACAGACAUGGAAUCGUAGGAGUUUUAUUUCAUUGUACAGUCCUCUAAUUUUAGUUUCAUAAUUUAACGAUCUUAUGUUCUUCGUACCCAGAGAGAAAAGACGCAGCUUUUUUGUUUUUACUUUUUAGUGAUCGAAAUUUUUCAACAAGUAGAAGUCUUUUUUUUUUAAUCUUGAGUUGAUUUUUUCAAUGAAAUUUACAAGGUGGGGUUACAAGAAAAAAAAUAUUGGACUUAUUGUGUCAGUAAAGUAUCACUUUUUUUCAGUUUUUGUAGAGUUGGUGUUGUGCAUAUUAUUAGCAUUUCAUGAAUUGGGAGCUUCUAGAGUAUGUGUGAAUUUGGAAAGCUAUUUAUUGUUUUGAUUCUCGCUCUGGAUUUAUAAAAAUUGUUUGUCCUUCCUUUGUGUGUUCUUUGUUUCUAUUGUAAAGUUUUCUUUCCCAGUUUUUCCGUUUUGCAUAUUUCAGUGAAGUAGUAGUAGUAGUUUUCGCCUUUAAAAAAAUGUUUUCAAUAACAAAGAAAUAAAAAAUAAUGAUGGUUUUAAUCAACAAACAAAACUUUGAAUUUGAACGCGGAAUUACAAAGGAGUAUCAUACAGUUGGUAUGUACUUUUUUAUUUUUAUAUAGUUAAAAAUGAAUAUUCCUCAAAUUACAAAAAGGAGAGAGAGAGACUGAGAGAGAAGAGAAUUUGAGAGAGGAGUGAUGGUAAAAGAGGAUCUCAUCAUUACCUGAUUCCGUUGGGAUUAUAUUCCUUUUUAUUUUGCUUUUUUACUCUUCUUUUUUUUUCUUACAGCAGACAGUGGCGCGUGGCUGCACGUGCCUUCUGUUAUUUUAGUUAUUUUAGAUUCUUUCUGUUAUUAUUAUUUUCUGGCAAACUGUCUGUUAUUUUUGGGUAUACUUUGAGAUGAAAAUUGUACACACACUAAAGAAACGAUAGUGAGGAAAUGGAAAAAGAUAUGUAAAAAUAUUGAACGUCAAUAUCAGAUGACUUCUUCCAACAAGCCACAUGAGGUUUGGUGCUGUAUGGGUAAUUUUGUCAUUUUCACUUAGAACCAAUAAUGAAAUUAUAUGUUGCGACCAUGCAUGUAAAAUUGCAAUGCAUUCUGUUGCAACUUUAUAACUCUCUUCCUAUCGUUCAUUUCACCUUUUUUUCAAUUUCGGUAAAAUAAAUACCCAAAAUAAUAAAAUUCUAGAGACGAGACAAAAUAAUGUAACAUGUAUACUUUUUUUUAUCCCUGUCAUAAACAACCGGAAUUAUUUUAAAUUUUUUAAUUAAUGUAUUUUUCAUAUGUACUUUCAUGUAUAUUCCUCCACUUAAUAAAAGUAUUAAUCUUUAAAGAAAAAAAAUAAUGGAUGUAGAGAAAAGAAAGGGUAAAAGAUGAACGCGAGUCUUUAGAUUGUGUUAAAUUAGAUGAUUCGGAUGAAGAAUACUUCUUUAUUUGUGAUUAAAUCGAUGAUUUUAUCAAUCCUUUCGUUUAUAACAUAUCACAUAUGAUUUUAUCAAUCCUUUCGUUUAUAACAUAUCACAUAUGUUUAUAUAUAGUUAUAGGUUGUGCUUCUAGCACUACAAAAAAGAGGGCAUAUAACGUCGGUUAUAUUUCUAUUUAACGUCACUUAUAAACUGAAGCUAAUGUAUUAUCGUCGGUUUUUAAACCGUCUUAACAAUCAACGACAUUAAAUUUGUUAACUUCACUUGAACAAACGACGUUAUGUUUAACGUCAAACAAUUAACGUCAGUUUUUUAGUAAUUUUAGCAACGGUUUUGGUUUGCUUUACAACCGACGUAUUUGUUAUUUUUUAUUAUUUUAUGCUAAUUAUUUUUAUUUUUAUAUAUAUAUAUAUAUAAUAGAUUAUACACUCAAAUAAAAAUUCCAAUUAAUCACACGAAUAUGAUUUUACAUAGAAUAUAUAUCAGCUCCAAAUACAAUGUCACUAAAAUUAUAAUAUGAAAGAUACAAUUUUGUUAUACAGUAUUGUAUAAUCUGUACUGUCUUCAUGAUUUUUGUUGUACACUUCUUCUCCAGAUGAUGCUUUAAUUAGCCUGAAAUUAAAUAAGGCAACGAUUACAUAACAUCACCAAAUAGACUGUAACAAUAUUUAUUUGAAAAGACAACAAUAAAUCAGAUUCAAAUCCUAACUAAGGCAUCGGGACAAUCUGCUCAUAUCGAGAAUGAAACAAAUAAACUUGCAAGAAGGAACAAAUCUAACAAACUUGAGACAAUCAUAUUCAAAUCCUAGCUGAGGCAUUUAUAAACAAUCUCCUCACAUCAUCAAUGAAACAAACAAACUUGCAAGAAGGAACCAGAAGCUAUGGAUGAAUAACAUACCAGUUUCAGGGCCUCCAAAGGAAUCAGUGAAACCUAUACAUCAAUGAGAAGCUUGUACCUUUACUUUAACGAAAAAAUAGCUUCCAUCAACAGCUUUAAAGGAUAAAUACUUAGUUAACAUCAGUGUGGAUAAGGACACGGACAAGCUUUCCAUUACCCAUCAUAAACUGGUCCAUCACAUUGUAAUCCCUGCUAGCACGUUAAUGCUCAGGAGCCUUCUCUUCUCCCUUGAGAUUCUUCCAAAGCUGGAAACAGCAAAAAAAAAACCAAAAGAAAAGUUAUUGAUGAUGAACUGUACUACAAAGCAUUUACAGAAAAUCAGAUAGAAGAACCUGAUUGAGAUUAAGCGAUGUUGUUUCCCCACCAUAGUAAUCAUUUCUGUCCAUGUGAAGCACCUACUCGUAAUAUUCAUAAAACAACACCAUCAGCCGACCAAACCAAUGCCUUGUUAAAACAAAAGGCUUCUUAUUGAAAUAACGAUUGCAACAGUAUCAGAUCGUGGGAAAAUCAAGAGAUCAAUGAAUCAUGGAAACUCAAUGUAAAAGUGCCAAAAGCAAUCGCAUAACAACAAAGUCCCCUCAUGGGUAUAUUACCAAAGGCAAAAUCCAAAAAAUCUUUGACUCCACUUAUGUAGUAUUGAGAUAAACGAUGUUUAGAUAUCCAAGACUUGUCCAUUCUAAAUUCAGUCUACUAAUAAGGAAAACAAAUGAUCAAUUAUUGAGCUAACACGUCCAAGGAAUGGCAUCAGAAGAGAUUUAAAUGAGUACCAUCAAAUUUAGGUGAAGCAAAGAAGUAAUGAAAUAGCUCUUGGACUGAAAAUGUUUAUCUUUGAAAAGUGAGUUAGUUCAUCAUGAAAAUUCAACACACCAAUCUCUUACAGUUCUUACAGAUUCAAACUACGAUAGUUCAUCAUAAAAAAAAAAAGAGUUUAUCUCUGACUAGUUAGCUAAAACGUCCAAGGAAUGACAUUCAAAUGAGAAGCAUCAAAUUUUUCUGAUAUCAAAAUAUAAUCUAAUCAAAAGGCAAUCUAAUCAGAACUCAAUCUAAUCAAAACGAAAUUCAAUUGACAGAUUGAUUCAAGUAAAGAUACAAAACCUACCUGGUUGAAGAUCACCGAUGAGUAGCUUAUCCCUUCCCACGAACACAGAUUUGUAUGAAACUACGAUGACAAGAAAAAUUAAACUAUUAGAAUCAAUCGAUGUGAUCAUCAUCAUCAAACGCAGCAAAUUUCUACAGAACGAACCUUUCCUGUCGAGCUAUCACAGAAGAGAGCUUCUGAAACUCGGUGUUAGAUCUGCCCGCAUGUGUGCCUUUUGAAGAUUGAUUUCAAACAAUUUGAAAGACAAAAUCGAUGAGAAUUGUAAGGAUUUAAAGCUGAAAUCGAUGAAUGAAAAAGGAUUUGAAGCUGUGGAGAUGGAUUCCCAAUUUUCGUUUCGUAAUCGAACUCGGAAAGAACUGGGAAUGAAAAAGCAUAAAAAAGAAAGGCAUGUUAUAACACAUAUCAUAUAUGGACUCUUAUACCGGCCCAUUAGGUCCAUCAGGGCAUUGUACUUAACCUAGAUUCCCUAUGUACUCUAUAUAUACAUUCCAGUGAUUAAUAAAGUUUCUAAGUUUUCACAACACGUUAUCAGCACGAUAAGACUCUCUGAGCGAAAAACCCUAAUAAAUCCGGCCACCACCAAAACCCUAAAAGCAAGUCGAAACUUAAAAGACGCAUAUCUUCCAAACCGUGAGGAACCAGAAGACGAUCUACAUAUCAAAUCGAAGCCCUCGACGAGACGAAUCUACUGGUGAAAACCGUUUGUCGAUCCAACGUCGGACGCGCCCUCACGCACACUUACAGUACACGACGAUCAACCGAAAAAAAAAAACCAGAUCCGAGUUUUUCCUUCUUCAACCAGCAGCUUCUCCAGUUUUGGUGAUCAAUCCUUGGAAUUUGUAGCGGCUAACUGAGGUCUAUUAGCUCCCAGUUUCAUUAGCCUGUCAGAAAUCCAAAGGUGGAAAAGCAAAUGGAAACCAUAGUCGUAGAUAGUGGAUCCAGCCACACUAUCUUAAGAAACAAAAGUUACUUCAUAAACCUAACCUAUCAAACCGCAAAUAUUAGCACCAUCGCGGGUCCCUCAAACCUUAUCGAAGGAUAUGGCCAUGCCUAUGUGUUGCUAUCAAAUGGCACACAACUUGAAAUACCAGAUGCUCUAUAUUCUCCUAGUUCGAAGAGAAAUCUUCUGAGCUUCAAGGAUAUAAGACAGAAUGGUUUCCACAUAGAAACCCAAGGUCAAGGGAACAAAGAAUCCCUCCUAGUCACUAAAACCGUAGACGGCCAUAAACAAAUCCUCGAAACCAUACCCGCGCUCUCUACUGGACUUUACCAUGCUAAAGUCAGUAUGAUUGAAGCUAAUACCACUCUCAAAGCCCGGUUUACUGAUUAUACUAUUUGGCACGACCGGCUCGGUCAUCCCGGUGCAAAUAUGAUGCGUAAACUAAUUUAAAACUCUCAAGGGCAUACCCUCAAAGAAAACCGAGCUUAUCCUCAACACCUCAUGUGCAUAGCUUGUUCUCAAGGCAAAUUGAUCACUCGGCCUUCACCAGUUAAAAUCUCUAAACAAACACUUCAUUUCCUAGAAAGAAUCCAGGGCGAUAUCUGUGGACCUAUACAUCCAUCUUCCGGACCAUUCCGGUACUUCAUGGUCCUUAUAGACGCAUCGACCCGUUGGUCAUAUGUUUGUCUCUUGUCCUCUCGGAACCAAGCCUUCGCUAGGUUCUUGGCCCAAAUCAUAAAAUUGCGGGCCCAUUUCCCUGACUUCCCACUAAAGACUAUCCGCCUUGACAAUGCUGGUGAAUUUACCUCACAAGCGUUUAAUGACUACUGUAUGGCCAUGGGGGUAACCGUGGAACAUCCUGUAGCACAUGUCCAUACUCAAAAUGGAUUGGCUGAAUCAUUCAUUAAACGCAUUCAAUGGAUAGCCCGACCAUUACUCAUGAGAUCAAAGCUCCCGGCCUCAGCAUGGGGACAUGCAGUAUUACAUGCUGCUGAACUCAUACGCAUCCGGCCAUCUAGUGAACACAAAUAUUCCCCAUCCCAACUACUCUCGGGUCAUGAGCCAGACAUCUCCCAUCUCAAAACAUUUGGGUGUUCAGUAUAUGUACCCAUUGCUCCACCACAUCGAACCAAAAUGGGACCUCAAAGAAGGAUGGGAAUAUAUGUUGGUUUUGACUCUCCCACCAUCAUAAGAUAUCUCGAACCAACCACUGGAGAUCUCUUCAAGGCCAGAUAUGCGGAUUGCCAAUUCGAUGAAUCGGUAUAUCCCUCUUUAGGUGGUGAGACAAACAAGCUGGUCAAAGAUCUUUCAUGGAAUCAAACAUCAUUAAAUUGGCAAGAUCCUCAGACUCUAGAAUGUGAUUCAGAGAUCCAAAAGAUUAUUCAUUAUCAAAAGCUAGCUAAUCAAUUGCCAGAUUCCUUUGCUGACCCGACCAAAGUAACCAAAUCGUACAUCCCAGCUUGUAAUGCACCAGUACGAAUAGCUGUCCCAACGGGACAGACCCAAGUUGCUACAGAGUCUGCACCACGUCUCAAACGGGGCAGACCUCUCGGUUCCAAAGAUAAGAAUCCCCGGAAAUCAAAGAAAGGUGCAAUAACCGAAACCGGGAUUCCUGCAAUAUCAGACAUAGCCGCGGCUGAGACUCAAUCUAAUGAACCCUCAAUGGAAGUUUGGGACGCCGAAUCUCCAGGUUCAGAAGAUAACAAUGAGAUCUCCAUCAAUUACAAUAUGUCCGGAAUACAAUGGAAUCGAAAAGAAGUCGACUUAAAUGCACUUUUUGCAUACAAAGUAGCACUUGAUGUUGCGCUCACGCAAGAGGAUCUAGAACCCACGUCAAUAACACAGUGUACACAUCGAACAGAUUGGCUAAAAUGGAAAGAAGCCAUAAACGUGGAGUUAAAGAGUCUCAAACUCAAAAACGUGUUCGGUCCGAUCAUCCGGACCCCAUCACACAUCAAGCCAGUGGGCCACAAAUGGGUCUUUGUGCGCAAAAGGAACGAACUCGGUGAAGUCGUUCGAUACAAAGCACGGCUUGUAGCACAAGGAUUCUCACAGAGACCCGGAAUCGAUUAUGAGGAGACUUAUUCUCCAGUGGUGGAUGCAACAACAUUCCGAUUCCUCAUAAGUCUGGCCAUAAGAGAAAAUCUUGAUCUGCGGUUAAUGGAUGUUGUAACCGCAUAUCUCUAUGGGCCCCUGGACAACGAAAUAUAUAUGAGACUCCCAGAUGACAUUGAACUAAAAGACAAAAAUGCAUCUCGAGAUCAAUACUGCAUCAGGCUGAACAAAUCCUUGUAUGGACUGAAACAAAGUGGGCGUAUGUGGUACAACCGCCUCAGCGAUUACCUCAUCAAAGAAGGCUACAAAAAUGACCCCAUCAGUCCAUGCAUCUUCAUCAAGAAGUACUCAAACAAAGGAUUUGUAAUCAUAGCAGUAUACAUGGAUGAUCUAAACAUCCUCGGAACAUCUGGUGAGAUCUCCCAAACAGUCGACUGCUUAAAAGCAGAAUUCGAAAUGAAAGACCUAGGCAAAACAAAGUACUGUUUGGGAUUACAACUUGAGUACAUCAAAGGAGGAAUCCUUGUGCAUCAAUCGGCUUAUAUCGAAAAGGUACUCAAGCGAUUUAAUAUGGACCAAGCUCACCCAUUGACCAGCCCAAUGGUAGUUAGAAGCUUAAGUGAUGACCCUCUUGGUCCCAAAAAGGAUGAUGAAGAAAUCCUUGGUCCUGAAAAGCCAUACCUCAGUGCUGUAGGAGCGUUAAUGUACCUGGCUAGUCACACUAGACCAGACAUAUGUUUCGCCGUGUCACCUCCUCGCUCGAUAUAGUUCAUCUCCAAUUCAGAGGCACUGGAACGGUAUAAAACAUCUCCUAAGAUACCUUCGAGGUACUCAAGACUUAGGACUCUUCUAUACUAACCAAAAUAAAGAUGGGUUAGUCGGCUUCGCCGAUGCAGGAUAACUAUCAGAUCCGCACACUGCCAAGUCUCAAACUGGCUACGUUUUUACGCAUGGAGGAACAGCCAUCUCUUGGAGAUCAAUGAAGCAGACACUCACUGCCACUUCAUCAAACCAUGCUGAAAUCCUAGCCAUUCAUGAGGCUAGUAGGGAAUGCGUCUGGCUGCGCUCCAUGACUCAGCACAUCCGCAGAGAUUGUGGUAUGGACGAAGACACACAGCCCACGGUGAUGUAUGAAGACAACGCGGCAUGCAUAGCUCAGCUCAAGGAAGGAUAUAUCAAAGGAAAUCGGACGAAGCACAUUCUACCGAAGUUCUUCUCAACCUCUGGCAGAAGAACGGCACUCUCAGCGUUCAACAGGUCCGAUCCAGUGAGAAUUCAGCUGACCUCUUCACCAAAUCAUUGCCUACUUCAACACACCGGAAGCUCGUCAAACAGAUAGGAAUGUAUAGACUUAGAGAUCUGCAGUGAUGCUACAAUCAGGGGGAGUAAUGCGUGUUGUACUCUUUUUCCUUCACCAUGGUUUUGUCCCACUGGGUUUUUCCUGGUAAGGUUUUAAUGAGGCAACAUUCCCCAGCGCAUUAUCGAGAUCCCGAUUGAGUAGCUGACCCGGUUCACUCGUCCAAGGGGGAGUGUUAUAACACAUAUCAUAUAUGGACUCUUAUACCGGCCCAUUAGGUCCAUCAGGGCAUUGUACUUAACCUAGAUUCCCUAUGUACUCUAUAUAUACAUUCCAGUGAUUAAUAAAGUUUCUAAGUUUUCACAACAAGGCAUUUGUUUUGAUCCAAUUGAAAUGUUAGCUAAUGAGCUUUUGUUUAAUAGAUCCAAUCGACGUUAGAUCACUAAAAUGUUAAAGUCGGUUAACAAACAAACGUUAAAAUCCAUCUUUUUAAGAAUGUUAAAGUCGGUUUACAAAAUAACGUUAACUGAAUGACGUUAUUCAGCGAAUUUUUUGUAGUGUAGAUUGCAUUCAGGUGUAUUGUAUACGAUUAGUUUGAAGGAUUAAGAACUAGCUUUUUGUCAUAAAAACGAAAUUCAUUCUAUUUUAUUAAAUUUAAAUUCUAAGUUUCUAACCAAGGUAUAUAUCUAAACAAGUUAAAUAAUAAAUGUAUAUCGUAUGUUUGGUGCCUAUUUGUGUAAAUAAUAGUAUGUUUUUUCCUAUUAUGUCUCAAUUUUUCUCAGCCAUAUUUCAUUAAAAAGAUACUAAAUGUAGUACCAAUAAAUAGGGUGAAAAAAAAGUUAUAAGCAAUAAAUAUGAAGGUAAUUAGUGACAAGGUUUAAAUAAAACUUGUGGGGGAGUAUUACAAGAGUGCAUGCACAUGGCUUGGAUCUUGUGAGACUUUCCUUGACAUCAGAUCCAAUGCUCCUAUACCUAUAGAAUGUUGAACCGUUCUCCUCCCACGAAUUACCCCCUACCACACGUGUGCCAUUCUAUUAAUGAUCGCCACUUUAAAAUCGAUUUUGGAUUUUGUCGAACCGUUUUGAAGAUUCGCUUAAAAAGGCUUGAUUGGUUGUUUUCUUUGAUGAUGAUGUGUUUGCGAGAAAAGUUGCCGUUCAAUGUAUUUGAUGCUGUUUUUUCAUCAUCUUAAAGUCUUAAAUUAUAGUAUGUUUUUCCUUUUUUUUUGGUUGUACUCAUUAUUUUUGUUUGUUUUCUUGGUGCUAAAAGGCUGUGUAAUCAUUAGUUAAAGCUUUAUAAUUAACCAAACCGUUUUAAAAAAAAGCUUUAUAAUUAACCACAUCCAUUAGACAAAACUAUGCAUUCACUAAAAUUGAUGCAAAAAAAACGAUAUUUUGUUCACUUUUAAUUUUGAACAAAAAAUAAAUAUAUCUGCAACUGUUAAACACACGAAAUAAACACAAAGGCCAUAUAUGUUGUAAGUUCGUAACAUGAUCGACAACUAUUAGAGUAUAGGAAGAAAUGUGUAAACCGGUAUAAUCGGAAAUGCUCUUCAUCAUAUAAAAGAGUAUCUUAUAACAACUUUUCAUUCAUUCAAUACAACAGAUUUUCUCUUCCUCUUCUUCUCCUUCUUCCUGCUCUCAGUUCUUGCUCAAUAACAACCAAACCAGGAAAGACGAGAAAACACUUAAAACAGUUAUUACUCAUUAGCCAUUUACCCAUGAGGAUUUCAGCACUUUAAUUUGCCACUUUGUCCCUCCGGUUUCAGCUUUUGUUUCGGCGAGUAGACUGAAAUGGGUUACCAGUGGGAGAGUCCAUCGAAAAAGACGAUGUGAGUCAUGUGACCAUGCAAUGCAAAUGCGAUCGCCCCUCAAUUCUCGUUCUUUAUAGAGUGCAUUGUAAGUCCAUAAUCUUAGCCUUACUAAUAUUGAUGGUUAAUAGAUUCAAUUAUAAGCCCAAUUAGCCAUACCAUUUUGACUACUGAAUAACUGUGGGCCUUACACAACAUAAGCUUCACAAGGCUACUCUAGCUUCUUGAUAUUUUUGUAUUGUUUGUAAUUUUUUUCAUUAAUCAAUUUAGCCCAAAACAUACUAGUCAUCCUACGCCUUUCAACUUUAUAAGUUUAUAUCCUAAAAAUAAUUAAACACUUCUUAGACCAUCUCCAAUGGUUACCUCUAUUUUUUCCUCUAUAAUAGAAAAACUCUAAAAUAGAGGUGCAUUUGUCUCCAAUGGUUACCUCUAUUUUUCCUUCUAAAAAAUAAUAUUCUCAAUAUAUUCUAUUUGUUAUUUGUUCUUAACACCUUUUAUUAAUAAAAUUUAUAAAUUGAGCCUACUUAUUUUUUUAAAUAAAAACUUACAUAAAUUAUAAUACUACUAACUUUGAUAGAUAAAAUUUGUGAAUUAAUCUUUUAUUUUACUGUUUAUAAAAGUUUUCAUAAAUUAUAGUGAUAAUAACAUUUGACUACUAAAAUUUUUAAAUUAAUCCCACUUAUGUUACUUUUUAUGAGAGUUUCAACAUAUUAUAAUAAUACUAAAAGUUAAAAUUUAUAAAUUAAAAAAAAAUUGCUGUUAUUUUUCGUUUAUUUUUAUGUAUUUUUAAUUUGCAAUUAUUUUUUUGUAAUUUAAUUUCAAUGAGAAUUUUUAUGUUUAACAAUACCAUAUGUUUUUUUUAACUAUAACCAAAUCUAUCAUAUUUAUAUUCAUAAAAAUUAUAGUUUUUGCAUAAAUAGAAAGAUUUAAAAGUUAAAGGACUACUUUACAAAUAAAAAAUUUCACCUCUAUUAUAGAGGGAAAAAAUAGAAUCUCUCUAUAUUUGGAGGAAAAAAUAGCAAUCUCUAUUUUAGAGGUGAAAAUAGAGGUGGGUUGGAGCAUAAUCUCUAUUUUCACCUCUAAAAUAGAGAUAUGUUGGAGAUGCUUUUAAUCGUUUUACCGCAAACCUAAUUAGUUAUUUUUAACUACAUCAAUCUGAUCAUUUGUUUAGUGACUCGACUCAAACACCUAAAUGGCUAUGUUUUAGAACAAAGACUGAUGUUUUAAUAGUAUAGAUAUUAAUUAAGUUUUUUUAUUAGUUUUUUAUUUUAUUUUGGAAUUCCUAUUUUUUAUUUAUUUCUUAGUUAUGAACUUAUUUUGUAGAGAAUCCAUUUAUCCCAAUAACAACCAACAUUCAAAGAUUUUUCAAAAUCGAUAUUAGUGUUUUACCCCCCAACAAAAUAUUUAUUUGCCUGAUUUCGCACAUUGUAUCAUCUCAUCAACUGUCAUCAGUUAAUGUCAACCCUAAAACUACGGUCGAAUCAGAACCGUUGGAUCUAUUAUAAAAAAAAAAAACAGAGCUUUGAGAAGACGUAACUGGGCCCCACGUUCCCACCACUUCUCUCUCAGACCUAAGCGAAAGACCAAAAAAAAAGCCUUAAACCCUCCGAAUCCACACUCUUCUCUCUCUCUCUCUCUCCGCCUCCAUUAUCUUCGAAAGACCAAAUCUAAUCCUCUCUCUCUCUCGGUUUCCGCCAUUUCCACAGCUCCACCAAAGCUAUAACCUUUCUCCAUACUCGAGAGAGAGAGUGAGACCGAAUUUGGAAAUUUCUUGAGGAGGAGGUGGUGUGUGUGUUUUCCAGAUCAGAUCGGAUCGUAAAUUUUUAAAAAAAGAUGCAGACGACAAACAACGGCUCAGAUUCUGCGUUGGCUACAUCCGCCGGAGCAACGCCACCGUUGCAACAAUCGACUCCGCCGCCUCAGCAGCAACAACAGUGGCAGCAACAACAACAAUGGAUGGCGGCGAUGCAGUAUCCAGCGGCGGCUAUGGCGAUGAUGCAGCAGCAACAGAUGAUGAUGUAUCCUCACCAAUACGCUCCGUAUAACCAAGCUCAUUAUCAGCAUCCUCAGUUUCAAUACGCUGCUGCUUCUUCUUAUCAGAAUCAGAAUCAUCAGCAGAAGAAUCAUCAUCAUCAACGUGUUGGAUCUGGUGGAGAUGAUGUCAAGACACUUUGGGUUGGUGAUCUUCUUCAUUGGAUGGACGAGGCUUAUCUUCAUACCUGUUUCUCUCACACCAAUGAGGUCUUGUCUUCUUCUUCUCUCUCGUUCUUUUUGUUGUUAUGAUGUUCGGUUUGUGUUUUUUUUUUGAAUUCCAGAUCGAUUUGAUUUGAUUGUUGAAUAAUUCUGUUUUUCAUCUGACAUGGAAAGUGAUAGAUGUAACACAGUUUGCAGAUCCGAGAAUUUUUUUUGUUGUUGUUUUCAGUUAUUGGAAAGAUUCGUUACUGUGAAUCCAAUGUAAAAUUUGGCAAGUUUCUCAUUUUUUUUUGCACUUCUUGAUUGGGGUUUUAGAUCUAAGUGACAAUUGUGAUUGCGUAGAAGCCUAAAGGUUUGACAUUUAGGGUAAUGAAGAACUACGUUGACCUAAAAAAGACAACUUUAAAGUUCUUUUUCAUAAGGCAAGAAAAGUACCUUUGCCACGUUUAGAGGACCUUUCUGGUUAUUGGAAAAUAUAAACACUCCAAUCAUGUAACGAGAUCAUUUCUCAAAUGUUGUCUUUUCAUUAAGAAAUCGUUGUGCAUAUGCCUUUCAACAACACUCUGUUUUAGCUUUAAAAACACUCUGUUUUAACUUAUUUUCUAUCAAAAAUCUGUGUGUGUUCUCCAUUAUAAGCUUGUUCGACUCUGGUUUCAUAUUCUUUCUGGUUUCUUGUUUUUGGUGAUGGUGCAGGUCUCUUCUGUGAAAGUUAUACGCAACAAGCAAACUUGUCAGUCAGAAGGGUAUGGUUUUGUCGAGUUCCUUUCACGUUCAGCAGCUGAGGAGGUUCUUCAGAGCUAUAGCGGUGUAACAAUGCCGAACGCAGAGCAGCCCUUCCGUUUAAACUGGGCAUCUUUCAGCACCGGUGAGAAAAGGGCAUCAGAAAAUGGUCCAGAUGUAUCGAUAUUUGUAGGAGAUUUGGCUCCAGAUGUCACUGAUACUGUACUGCUUGAGACUUUUGCUGGAUAUCCUUCUGUCAAAGGCGCAAAAGUUGUGAUCGAUUCCAACACUGGCCGUUCCAAAGGCUACGGGUUUGUCAGGUUUGGUGAUGAGAACGAGCGAUCAAGAGCUAUGAACGAAAUGAAUGGUGCUUUCUGCUCAAGCAGGCCAAUGCGUGUCGGUAUUGCAACCCCUAAAAGAGCCGCUGCUUACGGUCAACAAAAUGGUUCACAAGGUAAGUUGAUGGUAUAAUCUUUGUCACUUCAUGUAUUCUACAGUUAACUUAACAUGUAUUCAAGUGUUUUUUUAUCUGUUUCUUUUAUGACUUUUAGUUGUCUGUCUUCACCGGAGUAGUAAGCGAGUUCCUGUGAAUGUGAAUAUAAGUUUUGAGUGAAUUGUAAUGUUUUCAUUGGAUUAGCUCUGACAUUGGCUGGUGGACAUGGAGGAAAUGGUUCUAUGGCUCAUGGUUCAAUGUCUGAUGGGGAAUCAAAUAACUCAACAGUGAGUUCUCCUAGCUAUUCCUCUGGCAGCAACAGUAUUCCUCACUGCUCAAUUGUCUUUUUAUUACAUUGCAGAUAUUUGUUGGCGGCCUUGACGCUGAUGUUACUGAAGAAGAUCUCAUGCAACCUUUUGCUCAGUUCGGGGAAGUUGUGUCUGUGAAGAUCCCAGUAGGAAAAGGAUGCGGGUUUGUCCAGUUUGGUAACAGGUACUAACUUGUCCUGUGCGCGGGACUUGUUUCAAUCCCGUAGAUGUUUAUUUAACAGUAGAGAUGGGUUGUUGCAAAGUGACGUGCCAUUGGUUUUGACAGGCAGAGUGCUGAAGAUGCGAUCCAGAACUUGAACGGGACAGUCAUCGGGAAAAACACUGUCCGGCUUUCUUGGGGACGAAGCCCCAACAAACAGGUACCAGAAAAAAAUCAUCUUGAGUUAGACAUUUAGUGUGUUCAAUAUUAAUGGAAUCUUAUAUGCAUUUCUAUUAGCAUGGUCUAGGUCAAAGUUAGUUUUAUCGUUCUUUUUUUUUUUCUGUCUCUAUAAAGUUAUAGAAAUCCUUAAAGUCAAAGUCAGUGGUUGACAAUGGAGAGUAGGUGUAUUGCGUGACAUAAAGACCUAGUGGAAUCUAGCACCUUCCCACGGUUUCCGUUGACUAUUUUGAUUGGCAAAUCUAGUGCCUGUCUCCUUGGGGCCACUUGUCAUCUCUCUGAACAUUGUCCAAUUCUGAAACAGUUAUGAUGGUCCUGUUUGUGUUUCUUAGGAUUGAAAAGAUUUAUAGCUUUCAAGAUUAAUGAUUUAGCGACCUAUAUAAUCUAUAGAGGUUGUCUUUAGUUUCAUUUUUGUCUUAAGUCUCCAUUAAGUUGUUGUAAUCAGACUAGUUAAACUUAAUCAACGCGUUGAGUCAACUAUUUCUGGCAUUUGCAUCCAUGACUGAGUAAAUCCUUUAUCAAGUCUGCAUCAUGGAUGAUUAACCUACUCGGUAGCCUUUUACCUGUAAUAUUCUGUUGAAUGGUUAUUCCAUUCACAAAAUUUGUUCAACUUCUAACUGUAAUGAAAAUGACAGUGGAGAGGAGACUCGGGCCACCAAUGGAACGGAGGAUACUCAAGAGGACAAGGUUACAACAACGGUUAUGCUAAUCAGGACUCAAACAUGUAUGCUACUGCUACAGCUGCUGUCCCGGGAGCUUCUUGAAAGUGUUGGUAUGUCUCUGUCAUCAGAAAAUCACGUAAGUCCUGGACUUACGGGGACUUGGUUUCAAAACAAACCAUCGGAAUGUCAAAGCGAUCCGAUGAUAAAGUUGUUGGUUCAGGGGUUAGCUCGCAACAACAAAACUAAAAAACCUCUCUUUAGUCAAAAGAGGGUUUUGUAUCCUGGAUUUGAUAUUUUUGCUUAUCUUGCUGUCUCAGUCUCUGUCAAAAUUUUGAGGUUGUCUGAAACUUGAAUUUUAUUUUCAAACUUUCUUAAGUUUAUUUGUCAUGUUACCGAGACUUCCUCAAAGUCAGAGUUUGGUCAACAAUAAGUGAUUUUCCAAAUCGUUUGGAUCAAUUAUUUAGCUUGCAGUACUUUGGUAGUUUUUACACGUGUUUUGUUCGAUUUAUUCCCACCAAAAGUUCAUAUUCUAAGAAAAUGGUUCAUGAAACCCCAAAACUUUUGAAGAAUACUCGAAAUUCCGAGAAAAUCUUAAACUCUAAACCUUUAACACCAUCUUCGACUCACCAAAUGGGAGUGGGUAGAUAAUUCCGCAUUUGCCCAUCUUUGUUGGUGAGAAUUCUCAUCAUUUCACUUUUCUUCUCCAUAUAUAACUUUCAACGGACUACGGUUUGAUCGUGUUUGCCGAGAUCUUUCCUACUUCCAUGAACUGUCACCAAUACACAUUUGGUGACAUGCAAUAUUUCACCACUUUUUUGGGGCAUUUAAAUCCACUAUGACUUCAAUUCCUCUUCCAUAGGCUUAUCUUUUCUCUCUUUUUUUUUUUCCAAACAGACAUUCCUUAAUUGGUUAUUUGUUUGGUCUGUUAUCCAAUUCAGAUUUAUAUAUAUGUACAAAUUCACCACAUUUGGGAUCCAAGGAUUUCUAUUGUGGAGAUACAUAUUUAGGAAGAAAUUUGUGUAAAACGAUCAGCAAGUUUCCUAGAUAACAAUGAAAAGGAGGUGUUGAUCUCUAUUGGGAUCACAUCAGAAGAAAAUCAAAGUCAAAGAUUUUUAGAAUGACGAUGAUACAGAAGUGUUGGUAUCAAACGGUUAAUAAUUUAGUGUUAUUAUUGGAUGAAUUGGGGUUUAUCAUGCAGUGUGCAAAUUUGAGUUUUAGCCCAAAGAUGCUAUCCAUACACACUUUGCAUCUGGAGAAGAUCGAACACAGAUGAAAAAUAACGAGUUAAAUAAUACAUUACUGAGUAAGGAUUUUCAGCAAAAAAAUAUAGUCAGAUUCACUCCUUUUAUUGUAGGCCUCAUUAUUUGAUGGAUAUAUUUGUUUAUGUAAUAAUUUGUUUUCCAAUAAUUCUGAAUAUCAAUAAAAAUUUUAGACGAAAAAAAAGAAUCGAAUGACUGUAGUCUAUUUAUUUUCUAAAUGAGAUUGUAGCAGUUUGAUGUCUUCUUGGGUUAUAAGUAAAAGAAUAUCACAACAUAAAUCCUACCGUUGAUGAGAUUAUUGUUAGCUUGUUUGGUGCAAUCAUCUUACUCCAAAAAUAAAAUAUGUACUCAUAUAAAUAUAUUAGCAUGUUAUGUCUUAUGCAAAAAUAUGAAAACAUACAAUUUAUUUACUUACCGUUGCAUAUGUAUAGAUAAAUACUUUACAAAGAGUUUGAAGCGUUAAUAGGCAUAUUUAACCAUUCCAGAAACAAAGGUGAAACAUUUAUCAGAAGAGUUUUAGUCACACAUUUGAAAAAUGACGUUUUUUUACUUCGGAUCCCCAUUUGGCAAAAUUUCUUUUCUUUUUUUUUUUGUUAACCCUUUUAAUAUUUUUUUUUCUAAUAUAUUAUUAUUCAACGUUCAAAAAAGAUAAAUAUUUUAAAUUAUCUGUACUCUAUCAUUUUAUUUAUACUAGAAAAGAGAUGAACAAGUUUUACUCAGAAAACUCAAUUAAAAAAAUUCUACUUUUAUUAAUAUCAAAAGUAAAUAAUUACAAAACUGUAAUGAGACCUUAUAUAAUGGUUCUAGCAGCUUAGACUCAAGAAAAAUAAAAUAUUCAAAACAACAAGACUUCUAAAAGUGAAGAUUCAAAACAACAAGGUUUUUAAUUUGAAAAUGCAACAUCAAAGGAAAAGACUACUAAUCUACAUUGUCGCUGCAUUAAGAUCAAAGAUAAAUGAAAUCGGUUAGUCAAAGAAUUCAAAUUGAUUGAAGACUUACCUUACCUGAUGAAGCGAGAUUAGUGUGUCUUUGACCAAGCUUGAACCUCCCCCUUUAAGUGUCUAGAUUCAUUGGCGAGAUGGUGAACAUGUAGACUUGGGCUUGAUUUGGUAAAAGGGCCAGAAGUCUUGAUUCUUUGGAGUUAGACCAUUUCCUAUCUCUUGACAAUCUCUAAGUAGUCUGGUCCAAACUUGCUGUUGUUAGGCUUCAUUAUGAGACUUCUCUUGAUCAUGGUUUUCUCUCGGCUUCCACUUGAAACAUUGCUUGCAUUAUGUCUUGGUUAUACUUGUGUUGGAGGAUUUUAGCUUUUUGUCUUGUUAUUGGUCUUUUAUGAAUGAUAGGCACUUCAACAUCUAGUAGUUGUGGCUCAGUUAUCCAUGAGGUUAAUGGCUGAAAAUGGAAAUGGAAUGGAUUAAGAAAAAUUGAUUUAUUGUUUAGUUUGAAAUAAUUAGUUGUUGAUUGGUGAAGUCUUUUCUUGAACCUGUUUUAGGUUUAGAUUUUUUAUAUGUCAUUUCAUAUUAUGUCUAGAAUUGAUAGAUGGAUUGUUUAAGACUCAUUCUUACUGAGUAAUUUAAUUACUCACCUCUCAUCUUCUUUUUUUUUUUUUUAUCAUUUUAGAUUAGUUUUGAUUGUAAUGUCUAAUAGGUUGUUACAUGGAUGUUUUCCUUCCUAGCAGACCUGAAACGACCAAAUCAAGUGUUUAUUAAUCGAAUGUGGUGUUUAAUCGAAUGUGGUUAGAUGACCUAAUAUGAUUUUCGAUUAUUUCAGGAGACUUGAGACAGGAGUAUUACAAAAUGAGUGUAAAAGAAAAAGUCAUUAUAAAAAUCGGAUUCAUUGAACUAUUAGACGCAAAGAAAACAUUCUGGUCGGAUGACGUCAUUUGGUUUGUUUGAAUUUGAUUUGGAAUCAAAUGAGAGAACGAGCAUAAUUGUGUCAUGUCGUGGAUCGAAACUUUUAUUUUGCGUAUUUAAUUAUACAGCGAAUAAUCAAGGUAAGUGGUAUGUGGUAAGUGGUAACACUACAAGUUACGAUCAUGCAUUUCAUGUCAGAAAUUGGUUCACGGGAAAACGGUUUCAUCCAAAUCCAGACAACAAUUUUUACCCAAAUCAAGACAACCUUAGCAUGUUUAUAAAUUUUUGUAAGAUCAUAUUUCCUUCCGUUUUACAAAAGUGGAGUUUUAAAAUAACUUUUUCAUUUCAUAAAAAGUGGUGUUUUGAUAUUUUAUCUUCACAAAUGAGCGAUGUUUUACAUUUCCGACCCUAUUUUUUUUAUAAUAAACUUCUAUUUAACUUUUAUUUUCUUAAAAUAUAAAUUAUUCUCAUCUAGUCCGUGAAACAUUAAACAAUGACAUAUGUAUGUGUAUAUUAAGAAUUUAUUUUUCGACCAAAAAAAUGAAUAUAUUUUAAUGUGUGUGAUAUGUGAAGUGUCUCUUAACGAUAGCAUUUGUGAAAAAAAUGAAUUAUAUCAUUCCAACGUUUCGCCUAGAAUUCAAAUGUAAUAGGAACUAAGUUAUUGUUCGACUAAGAUAUAAAUGAAAAAUAGAGCUGAAUGGUUUAUUUUUAUUUCGGUGCCAAUUAAGUUCAAUUUUUGAUUAGACUGCACCAACUGUGUUGCAUAAUACUCCCUCAACUAAACAACUCAUUCGAUUCAUAGACAAGAUGUUGAGCGGGAAGACGUUCGACGGAAAUAUCUUUCAGAGAUUUGAGUAAUACGACAUGUAUAUCUAUAUAUAUUAUUAUACUCUGUUUUUGGUAACUCAGAAUAGCAACUGAUACGAGAGUUAUUUCUCUGCGUCUAGGUUUAGAGAUCCUCUUGAUUGUAUAUAUAUUGUAAGGUUUCAUCUCAAUAAGACACAGAAAAAAUUUACCAUCGUUAUUCUCAUUAUUUCAUGGUAUCAGAGCAAGGUUCUCAAACAACCUCGACAAGCCCAAUGACUGGUGGAGACGGGAAGAUAAUUGAGCAAGUGAAGACAUUGUUGUUGGCUUACCAAUUUGCCGCGAAUGAGAAUCCAGGUGCGAUAAUUGCACAUGUUCAUUUUAACGGAGAUAACUUUGCCGAGUGGGCUCAGGCGAUAAGAAUGACGAUGAAAGUCAAGAAGAAAUAUGGGUUUGUUGAUGGAACCGUCGUGAAACCAAAAGAAGACGCGACAGAGUAUGAAGACUGGUUCUAGGCGAACUCCAUGGUGGCACUUUGGAUUCUCAAUACUGUUGAUCCAAAAGUGAGGAGGACUUUGGCGAACAAAGAGAAUCCAAGCUGUGGAAAGAGAUCAAAGACAGAUUUUCUGAAAAAAAUGGACCGAGAAUUCAGGAAAUCCAUUUUGACCUUGUUGAUUGAGAAUUGUAUCAGUGGCUACUGCUGUUUUACUGGUCUGUCUGUCACCAAUAAUUAAUUCUCGCUGGCCGCGUCCUAUCAGGAUCAUGGAAUCAAUAGCAAUAAGUCCUGUUUGAACUGGGGUAUCAAUAGACUUGGCGAGGACUUAUCCGUAGAGUGUGCUGGAAUGGAUCAGGCUUCCAGCUCAGCUUUGUCAUCUUUCCUCAAUACACUAACCAUAUAACAGCUUUUCCUUGACAAUUUGUACUGCUCGGCUGAGUUGGCACAGUUGAGACAAGGCAAUAUCAGUGUGAUAGAUUACUUUGGGAUGCUUCAUGUGCUUCUGGAAGAUCUCACAAACUAUGAACCAGCACCUGCAUGUAAGUGUGGAGGAUGCACUUGUAGUCUGGUGUGUCGGUCAACUGCGUGAGGGAACAAGUUUUACCCUUAACAAAACAAAUGAAAGCCGCAAGUGCACAACUAAUCAGUUGCAGUAUUUAGGGAUCGAAUCCACAGAGAUUUGUGUGCCUGGUAUUCUUCUACGGUUUUUAACUUUAUGUCUAGACUAGAUUGGUUUUUAAAGGUUGGUUGUUUGUCACAAAUUAAACUAAAACAAAAGAAAGCAAAUAAAUCUAUCCUAAAAAGCAAGUAAAGAAAUCGAAUGAAAGGCAAUAGAACAAGUAAAAUAUCGAAUGAAAGACUAAUAAGGCAAGUAAAUAUCGAAUGAAAGACUAGUAAAGCAAGUAAAUAUCGAACUAAGGAAAUUGAAAUGCAGAUCUAAGUAAGCAAAUAAAAAUCGAUGGAAUUGUAAACUAUGGCUAAAAACGCUGAGCUUUUGGAAACUCUAAGGGAUCAUAAUCGGUUUUAACACUAGGGUAGAUAGAUUGGGAUUGACGGAUAACGAUAUAUGGGUUCUAGAGCUAGAGUACGGCAGUAUGACUACGUCACUGUCGUGAUCAUAACCAACUGUUUCUCGCAACCCUGACCAGUAGGUUUCCACUCUGGCCCUGGAAGGGAGAGAACGCAAGAGCUGCACAAGACUCGUCAAUACUCACGAUCUCGCCGCUAGUAGAUUUCCACUCCUAUGGAAAAAUCGCCUGUUUCAUCCUAGGGCUGAUACUUAAUGAAAACUUUCGCAACACUAACUAUCUAGAUCAGAUACUAGGUGAUCAAUCAAGCAUACAUGCAAUAAGAACAAGAAUAAACAGAGAACAGGUCGAAAUCCCAGAUCUAUAAACCUAGAUGUCUUAAUCGAUUAUGAGAGCCCCUUUCGGGAACCCUAAGCCCAACUCGGGAUCUACUCAGACAUGGCUGAGUUCGACAUCAUCAUUGGUUUUAAUAAAAGUAAUGAAAAACAGUAAAGAAAAGAGGUAAAGAAAGCUUCUCUAUUGAAGAACUCGGACUUGAACAAUCUUCUACAAAAAUCUCAUAAAAACGGCUAAAGGAAAAGGGUUUCUGUAAAGUAUGAAGGGUUCUCCUAAAAACGACCUAAAUGACAUGUAUUUAUAGUCUCCAAUACUCCAUGGUCUCUAGGGUUCCGGAAUUGAGGCUGAGAAUGACUUUGGGCUUCAGAUAAGUGGGCUUUAACUCGGAGGUUGAUUGCCGUGGUCGGGAGUGUUGUGACCGCAGGGAUUGGCUUGUUGGCCGCGGUCGGGAAGCUUCUGACCGCGGCAAAUAGCUUGUUGGCCGCAGUCGGGUGAGUUGCUGACCGACUUCGAAUGGCUCCGGGGCUAAUGAAAUAUCUUGAGAUCCAACCGUUGGAAUGUCUCCAAACCAAGUGCAUUUGAAAGCUAGUUGAUUCUUCUAUAAGUUGUCCAAUUUUGAGGGUGAUCAGACGGUGAGAAAGUCUUCGUCUCUCCAUGAGAGUUCUGACGGUCUGCAUUUAUCCAAAAGAGUCUUUUUGUUCUAUUUUGUGCCUCUUUAUCCCAAAUUACCUGAAAAGUCUUUUAAAAUCCGGAAACAUAGAAAUCCUUUGAAAACCUUUGAAAAUGGAGUAAAAACACCUGUAAAAGAUAUUAAAAUGAUCCAUAAAAAUGGUCAAAAUCCGGUGUUAUCAACUCUUCCAGACUUAGUCUUUUGUUUGUCCUCAAACAAAACAAAAGCUAAAUCUCGGCGAGAGGUUUGAAAACGCAGGAACUAAACAAAAUCUCAGAGACCAAACUUCUAGACCAAUAUCAAUCAGUAUGCAUCAAUCGGGAAUAGCCUAGAAAAUUCUCACUAGCAAUACAGGCAUAACUAGUCCGUUAAUCCGUCAUGCAGAAAUCUAUGCACUAAGAUCUAACUUCCAGUCAACUAGCUCUUAACAUUCAUUAAAAAUCUCGGUGGUUCUCAUCAAAGAAAAUCUAGGCAAGGCAAUCUAGGCUAGGUCUCAAGAAGGAUUAUUUUGGGGGUAGGGCUUAAAGUGUUUAAGGGUUACCUGAAGAUCUGGAGGAUGCAUGAUAUUAUGCAAAACCGCAAGAGAGAGUGAAGCUGUUGGUGUCCACAGUUUUCAGUCACUUUCUUCUUGACAUAGAUUCAUGGUCUUCUUCCUCAGGUUCUCUCCAAACUCCCCCAGACUUAGAUUUUUGUAAAUCUUUCGAAACAAUAGCUCCUUAAACGAAUAGUGGUUGCUCAUUGCCCCACAAAUUUCGACAAUCUAAGACUCAUUAGGCUUUUGGUCCCCUUUUUUUCUUUUCACGUUUUUUUUUUUUUUUUUUUUUAAAGAAAGGGAACACCUUUAGAUAUAGAGUCUUAGAGAGCACGAAUUUACCAGUUAAUAUCUGUCUUGUAAAGCUUUAUUAUGUUUCUGAUACUCUUCCUUCCAAAUUCCAUUCAGUCUCCUUUGUGAGUGACUGAAAACUGCGUCGCUCCUCUUCUCUCCGACGUUUUUGCACAUAUCUGCUGAUAUAAACUAAAGAGAGAAUGCAUGAGGAUUGAAAAACAAGGGUUUUGGGUUUAGGGUAUGGUACCAGAUAAAGAUAAACUGGUCAUCUAGGACGACAAAUAGUGGUGAAAGUGAUGGUAAAAGACGUCCUAGAUGUGUAUAUCGAUGCCUGCCUAAAAUCAAUGAUGAGAAAAUUAGAUAUCAAUAUUAAGUCCACAUAAAAUGAGCUAGUAUAUCCUGUCAGAAAGAAUCUCCAUGAAUAGAAGUCCUCUGGUGGGAGUUCGUAGUGCAAGUAUUCUAGCUACUGACUAGUCUAGUGCUAACCACAAAUGAGCUAUCAUGCAUAGUGUAGAAGUGUGCAGGUCUAAAUCAUCAUAGUUUUGCGUCAAACAUUCCUGAAAAAUACUUAAUGUCGAAUAGGUUACAUAUUAAAAUUUAAAAAGUACUUGAAAUUUAAAAGCAAAGCAGGAAAAUGAUUAGUACGGAUAGACGUCCUCCCCCAGACUUAAAUCACACUGUUCCCAGUGUGAAAAAGUUGGUGAGAAGAUGGUGAAUAAAAGCGAAAUAAAAUAAAAUAAGAUAAAAGAAAAGAAAAUGAUGAUAGAACCGUGAUGGUAGUGAAGUGCUGAUCAAUCACUCAUCCUCCGAAGUGUCGUCUGCGAACUGGUGCUGCUCCUGUAAGAAGGUGACAACGCGCUCAAAGCGUCGUCCCUGUCUCUCAACUAUGCGCUCCAGAUCGGAAUGAGUGUGUGAUGAUGUAGAUGAUGAGGUGUGGCCGGUCGAAAUAUAUGGCUGAAAAUGAGCACGGGCCGCAGCUGCAUCACGCUUCGCCUUUGCCACUAUGUAUUGGCCAAUGGUGAAUGGUAGACGAGGUACAGAUGGCAGAAAAUCAUCGGAUACUGGAGUCCAACGAGGGCGUCCUCCGUUGCACAAUCUCGGGAUAGAUGCUGAAGGCAAGCUGACUCGGUGCUCCUCAGUGCCACUGUAAUACUUGUAACCAAACCUGUCUGGAUCGAAAGCGGCACGAGAGAUAGUGUGAUCGCGAGAGAGAUAAAGUAGAUCAUACCAGGCAUCGGGAAGUGGAUCAUCAGAUGAGAAAUCGAAUCCUAAAGCCUGUAGUAUCGCUGUAAUAGCACUCCCAAAAGCUGGAGUAGCGUCCUCGCAACCAUGUAAAUCAUGCUUCACCUUUACCAUGUUCUGAGCUAUGAUCCAGGCAAAGCAAGCAAGUCGUGGGUCGUCCAUAAACGGAAUCUGAAGUGUAAUGAGCUCAGUCUUCAAAACACUUCCCAUGUUGGCUCUAGAGAAGAUCGUGUGUGCUAAGAGUUUGUGCACAACUCUCACUGCUGGGUGGCUAAGAAGGGCUGAUUUCGAUCUCCCACUAUCAUAGGUUCCAUGACCCAUCUCUCUCCACAGGUUAAGAUCAGGUUCAUCUUCAAGGUAAAUGCCAUCAGUGUAUGGAAGCUUAAGAGCUUCACAAACCUUGGAAAUGGUGAGAGAAUAAGGCUGUCCGCGGAUAGAGAAUGACAAGAUGUCAUCUGAUGCUCUGGGGUUCCUCCUCUUCGUGUGGUGGAGUGUAAUAGUCGCUAAGAACUCACGGACUAGCUCAGGAUAAGUCGGAAGGUUCAGCUCCAUGUAGGGUCUCAGCUUAAGUACAUCGAUGUACCAGAUCACAUCCUCUCUGAUUCCAAGCAUCUCUAGUGUAUGAUAAUCAAUGCAAGGCGUGGGUUUGAUGUUCAGCUUCUUGAAACGUCUUGCAUAGUCCACUCUCGGGUUUGUCUCCCUUCCAAUGUAUCGAAUUUGUGGUGGCUCGGGAGCUGCUCGUGUUUCUCUUGAGUGCUGGAGCAAUCUCAUCACAUAGCUUUUUCUUCUCGGUCUGGCUUGGUUCAGCAUGUACUCUCCUAGAGUAGCAUCAUCGGGAAUGUCCUCGGAGCUGCCACCCGUUCGACGGCUCCUUCGGGAUCUGGUUUCGUCCAUUUUCUGCAAAAUGAAAUGAUUCUUUGAAAAAGAGUGAAUAUGGAUGCUGAUUUUAACACAUUAAGAUCUGUUACACUAAUACUAGUAUAAAGAAAUUAAUUAAAACCAUGAGCAAGCAAAAUUUAUAUUGAACCAGAGAAAUCAAGUAGUUCAUGACUAAAUUCGGAUUUUUGAUGUUCUUAACAUAGAAAUCUUCUAAAAAUCGGUUUUGAUGAGCAAUUUCCAUGUAAAUUCUAAAGAUUACCCAAUACUAAUCACUAAUCACACAAGACUAAAUCAAAUUCAUCAAUUUUGCUGUUCCAAAUUCGAUUUCUAUUAAGCAUGUAGAAUCCAAAUUUCAAAAAUCUCAAUUUCUCUUAAGCUAGGUGCUAAAAUCGAUUUUUAGAUAACCUAAAUGGAUAAUCUAUCAUUCUUAAGCUAUUUCCACCAUCAAUAGACCAAGAUUUUGGGUUUUUAAAGAAAACCCUAAGUUCAAAAUCGAGUAAGAGUGGUGAGUUUGAGGUUCAUACCUUGCUGGAAAGAGAGAAUUGAUGGCAGAAUUGAAAUCAGCUUUGAAAAAGAGUGAGGUUUGAGCCAAAAAUCUCUUAAAAAGCUUAAGAAUUGAAAAAUGUGUUCUUUCUCCUAAAUCUGUAAGUCUUUUGGAAGAGAAGAGAAGAAAGAGUUUUGAUCCAAAAAGUUUGUUUCUUUUCUUUAAAAAGCGUUUUUGAAACAAAAACGGAAAAUUUCUGGAAAUUUUUAAGUUUACGGGAACUUACCUUUUCUUGUUUGCACAUUAUUAAAGUUUAAAACUUACGGAGGAUCUUUUCGGGUUUUACCGGGAAUAUUUCGGGAAACACCGGGAAUCACCGGGAAUCACCAGGCAACACCGGGAAAUACCAAAAAACGGCAGAAAUCUGCGGCAUCACCUCAACGACCAACGGCCGCGGUCAGGAGACGCGCGACCGCGGUGGUUAAGGGCUCGGCCGCGGUCACGUUCACGGUGCCGCGGUCGAUGCACCCUUGGCCGCGGGUUGAACGGUCACGACCGCGGCUCUUCUUCCUGCGGCCUAUUGUCCAAUCUUCUCGUUUUUGCCGGGCCGAGCAGCUAAAAACCUACCUUUUCUUCUUGGUUUUUCUAAUUUUCUGAUUUUUUUGUGUUUUUGUUUUAUAACAUACCUAAAACUUAAAAAGAAAAAGAAAGCAUAAAUUGUAAAAAGGAAAGGAAAACUAAAAGAAAGAGUACCUAAAUGGGUUGCCUCCCAUUAAGCGCUUUUGUUUUAAGUCGUUUAGCUCGACGUAAGCAUUAGGAAUCAGACUGAUUUAAAUGGCACUCCACUUGAUGUGCCUUUAUUACUUCCGGUUGCUGGAGGUUUUACUUCUUCUCCUUGAGGAGCUGUCUUCUUCCCUUUAUUCUUCUGUCGGACUUUAAUAUUGUUCAAAACCCUUUUUGUGUUUUCGAUCAGCUCCUGUAUUUGGUCCUCACUAGUUUAUGUUGCAUCCGGUGGAAUGAUGAUCUUGAUCUUUGCAAAAGCUUUCGGCUUCUCCUUUUCUUUCUCUUUUGUCCUGUUUCCUUUGCUUGGAAAUUCAUCUAAGAUAGUAGGAUAGUACCUUUUUCUGUCCACAUUGAGGAAAACAGCAUGCCGGUUUGCGUGAUCGAUUAUUGCUCCUACUGUAGCUAGGAAUGGUCUCCCGAAAAUGAGUGGCCUCUCCUUGUCUUUAUCCAUCUACAGGACUUGGAAAUCUGCUGGAACAAUCUUAUCUCCCACUAGAACUUGUAGAUCAUGAAUCGCCCCUUCAGUAUCUUUCUGAGAUGAAUCUCCAAAGAUAACCUUAACCGUCGAUGUCCUUAAGGUUUUUAUGCCCAAUUUUUCGGCAAAUGUCUUAGACAUGAUGUUGACAUUGGCUCCGGAAUCGCACAAGCAGUCUGUAAACUUGAUUCCUGAAAUGAAACAUUGGAAAACAAAACGUCCCGGAUCAUCGGCUUUUGUAAGCCUUUGAAACGGUGAUCGUUCAGGUACCUUAAACGGUGGCUGCUUGGGAUCGAUAUCCUUGUACAAUGGUACAAAGAUUGGGGUUUCUUCUUUCUUUCCAUCGGUUCCGGCCUCUUCUUCGGGCAAUGUGGUUAUGGCGUUGCAAAACUUCUUAGGGUUAUCUUCAACUCUUCCUGGAAGAACUCCACUUUGCCUCUUCAUAGAGUCGGCUGUUUGGGCGACUUGCACAUCUUACUUUUUGACGUGCGAAGAUAAAGAUUCAAACUUACCAUUCAGAUCAUUGUACAUGCAGUCCACUUUCACGUUUAUGUCUUAAGAUGCUUUUUCGUUCGUCAUAACGAGUUGUUGGAUGGACUGUUCAAGUCUACCGAUUUGUGAAGCUAGCUGGUUCGUCGUGACUCCCUGCUGUUGUACAAAUUGAUUAUUAAAACCCGUAUCUUGGUAGCUAUAUGGUUGUCACGGUUGAUAUGGUAUUAUUCCUCCAAAGUUUCCACUUUGAAACUUGUUUUGGAAAGAUUUUUGCUGAGGUGGGUAGUACUGAUCUUGAGGGUUCUCCACAUUUGGAUUGCGGUAAGAGAGAUUGUUGUAGUUUGCAUUCCGGAAGUUGUUGUUUAAGUUGUUGUUGGAGCGAUUUUGGUAUGGCACCAGUGCUCCUACGUAGUUCACAUCUUCUUCUUGAAAUGCUUGAUUAAUGUGAUCGAUAUCACUAGGUCCUUCAUCUUCUGCGCCAUUGUUGGUUUCACAAACAUGGAUUGGGCGAUUGUUGCUCUUCAGAAGCUGGCUCACCAUGUUUUCAACUCGGUUAUCUCUUUGUUGUCUGUUCCGGCUUGCUUCAUCAAUCGAUCGUAUUCAGGAAAGUCAUUGCUAUUGGCUUGAGCCAAAUUUUCGAUGAGAGCUCUUCCUUGGGUUAUCGUCUUUUGCCCAAAAUCUCCAUUUCUAGCUGUAUCAAGUGAAAGUUUGUAUUUUGGUUGCAAACCUCGGUAAAAUGUGCUCAGCAGGCUUGAUCCAUGAAAUCCAUGGUGAGGGCAAUCACGUUCAUACUCCUUAAAACGUUCCCAAGCUUCAUAGAAAGAUUCAGUUGGCCCUUGUUGAAAGGUUGAGAUCUUCGUUCUCAAAUUUUUCGACCUUGACUUAGUGUAGAAGUGGUUUAGGAAAUCAGUUCUACAUUCUUCCCAAUUGGUAAUCGAUCCUGCAGGCAAAGACUUCAACCAACGGUGAGCUUUAUCUGCUAAUGAAAAAGGGAACAACUUACACUUUAAAUAGUCAGGUGGAACUUGGUUUGUUCUCAUCAUGCUGCAAAUUUCUUCAAAAAGCUCGAUAUGGUCCAUUGGGUGCUCAGAAGGAACUCCAUGGAACUGGUUUUGCUUCAGCAAUGAGAUGAUUUGAGGCUUGACUUCAAACUCAUUCUGGUUUGGAAAUGGUACUUGAAUCGCAGAUCGAUUCUGAAAAUUUUGAGUAGGUGCAUCAAAAUCAGCUAUGCGAUGGUUCCUGGCUUGUCUUCGGUGUUGAUUUGCUGGCGGAAUGGGGCGGUGAAUGCGUUCAUUCGGCUGCAUUGCUGGGUGGUCACCAUCGGCUGCAUUGAUGGGUGGAUCAAGGUCUUCACGUCCUUCCCUCUCUCGGUUCUGGUGGUUUCUUGGAAGAACCUCAUCCUCCUCUCCAUCUUGUCGAGCAUGAUCACCUUCUAUGUGAUCAUUCUCUUCGUUUUCUCCAUGUUCGGACCCGUCUUGGUCCAUAUUUAAAUUUCGAUUAAUAGGAUCUCCAGGCUGGUCGUCGUUGGCCAUUCGUUGCGUUCGUUUAAGUCUUCGAAGUUCUCUUUCGUGUCUGUCUAUCUCGUCUAGAAUUGGAAUGUCUCCUGCAGGUCUAUGGCUGGUAUUCAUGCAAUUCAGAGAAAGACAAAAGAAGGGAUAGAUAGUUCAGAAAAACUUUAAGAAAGAACUAGAGAUCAGGUGUCUAGAACAGAAGUUAAAACAAGAAAAAUAACAAAAGGCAGCGAAACAAAUCCCCGACAACGGCGCCAAAAACUUGAUGUGUCGGUCAACUGCGUGAGGGAACAAGUUUUACCCUUAACAAAACAAAUGAAAGCCGUGAGUGCACAGCUAAUCAGUUGCAGUAUUUAGGGAUCGAAUCCACAGAGAUUUGUGUGCCUGGUAUUCUUCUACGGUUUUUAACUUUAUGUCUAGACUAGAUUGGUUUUUAAAAGUUGGUUGUUUGUCACAAAUUACACUAAAACAAAAGAAAGCAAAUAAAUCUAUCCUAAAAAGCAAGUAAAGAAAUCGAAUGAAAGACAAUAGAACAAGUAAAAUAUCGAAUGAAAGACUAAUAAGGCAAGUAAAUAUCGAAUGAAAGACUAGUAAAGCAAGUAAAUAUCGAACUAAGGAAAUUGAAAUGCAGAUCUAAGUAAGCAAAUAAAAAUUGAUGGAAUUGUAAACUAUGGCUAAAAAUGCUGAGCUUUUGGGAACUCUAAGGGAUCAUAAUCGGUUUUAACACUAGGGUAGAUAGAUUGGGAUUGACGGAUAACGAUAUAUGGGUUCUAGAGCUAGAGUACGGCGGUAUGACUACGUCACUGUCGUGAUCAUAACCAACUAUUUCUCGCAACCCUGACCAGUAGGUUUCCACUCUGGCCCUAGAAGGGAGAGAACGCAAGAGCUGCACAAGACUCGUCAAUACUCACGAUCUCGCCGCUAGUAGAUUUCCACUCCUACGGAAAAAUCGCCUGUUUCAUCCUAGGGCUGAUACUUAAUGAAAACUUUCGCAACACUAACUAUCUAGAUCAAAUACUAGGUGAUCAAUCAAGCAUACAUGCAAUAAGAACAAGAAUAAACAGAGAACAGGUCGAAAUCCCAGAUCUAUAAACCUAGAUGUCUUAAUCGAUUAUGAGAGCCCCUUUCGGGAACCCUAAGCCCAACUCGGGAUCUACUCAGACAUGGCUGAGUUCGACAUCAUCAUUGGUUUUAAUAAAAGUGUUGAUAUGUGAAUAUCGACAAGGGACAAAACAGUAAUUUAGAUCGGAAGCUCGGUUUUAUUAGAUUGAAUCAGGUGAAAUACAACUAAGUUCGGUUAUUUCAAUAGGCAAUAACGAACUAAGACUUAAUGCGACUAAGAAGCUGUCGUAACGAGUUCUCAGUCUUUAAGUCUUCUUGGGAAUAACUUGUGUUCUCUGGUGUCGAUUCGUCUCCCUUUAUAUAUAUCUCCUAAGUCGGUCUUCAAGCACGCCUUAGACGAUAUGGGACCGAGAGGAGUUUCCUUUUCUCUCGGUUCCUUUUCUUUUCUCUCCGAAGUUUCCUUUUUCCCUCAGGAAACUUUCCUGUUUCGGCCGAGCUCAAGGAAACCUUCCAUUCCUUUGAGAGGUUUCCCACCGUUCUCGGCCUAAUGGGCUAUCUUCGGCCCAUCUUCGCUCGGCCCAUCUUCUCUCGGUACAUCCCUUCGUAAACCGGGCUUACGGUUCGCCGAUCUCAGUUUGUACCGGAGAAAACCAGGGUGCGGUUUUCACCUCCAACAAAAAGUAAUGAAAAACAGUAAAGAAAAGAGAUAAAGAAAGCUUCUCUAUUGAAGAACUCGGACUUGAACAAUCUUCUACAAAAAUCUCAUAAAAACGGCUAAAGGAAAAGGGUUUCUGUAAAUUAUGAAGGGUUCUCCUAAAAACGACAUAAUGAUAUGUAUUUAUAGUCUCCAAUACUCCAUGGUCUCUAGGGUUCCGGAAUUGAGGCUGAGAAUGACUUUGGGCUUCAGAUAAAUGGGCUUUAACUCGGAGGUUGAUUGCCGCGGUCGGGAGUGUUGUAACCGCGGCGAUUGGCCUGUUGGCCGCGGUCGGGAAGCUUUUGACCGCGGCAAAUAGCUUGUUGGCCGCGGUCGGGUGAGUUGCUGACCGACUUCGAAUGGCUCCGGGGCUAAUGAAAUAUCUUGAGAUCCAACCGUUGGAAUGUCUCCAAACCAAGUGCAUUUGAAAGCUGGUUGAUUCUUCUAUAAUUUGUCCAAAUUUGAGGGUGAUCAGACGGUGAGAAGGUCUUCGUCUCUCCAUGAGAGUUCUGACGGUCUGCAUUUAUCCAAAAGAGUCUUUUUGUUCCAUUUUGUGCCUCUUUAUCCCAAAUUACCUGAAAAGUCUUUUAAAAUCCGGAAACAUAGAAAUCCUUUGAAAACCUUUGAAAAUGGAGUAAAAACACCUGUAAAAGAUAUUAAAAUGAUCCAUAAAAAUGGUCAAAAUCCGGUGUUAUCAACUCUUCCAGACUUAGUCUUUUGUUUGUCCUCAAACAAAACAAAGGCUAAAUCUCGGCGAGAGGUUUGAAAACGCAGGAACUAAACAAAAUCUCAGAGACCAAACUUCUAGACCAAUAUCAAUCAGUAUGCAUCAAUCGGGAAUAGCCUAGAAAAUUCUCACUAGCAAUACAGGCAUAACUAGUCCGUUAAUCCGUCAUGCAGAAAUCUAUGCACUAAGAUCUAACUUCCAGUCAACUAGCUCUUAACAUUCAUUAAAAAUCUCGGUGGUUCUCAUCAAAGAAAAUCUAGGCAAGGCAAUCUAGGCUAGGUGUCAAGAAGGAUUAUUUUGGGGGUAGGGCUUAAAGUGUUUAAGGGUUACCUGAAGAUCUGGAGGAUGCAUGAUAUUAUGCAAAACCGCAAGAGAGAGUGAAGCUGUUGGUGUCCACAGUUUUCAGUCACUUUCUUCUUGACAUAGAUUCAUGGUCUUCUUCCUCAGGUUCUCUCCAAACUCCCCCAGACUUAGGAUUUUGUAAAUCUUUCGAAACAAUAGCUCCUUAAACGAAUAGUGGUUGCUCAUUGCCCCACAAAUUUCGACAAUCUAAGACUCAUUAGGCUUUUGGUCCCCUUUUUUUCUUUUCACGUUUUUUUUUUUUUUUUUUAAAGAAAGGGAACACCUUUAGAUAUAGAGUCUUAGAGAGCACGAAUUUACCAGUUAAUAUCUGUCUUGUAAAGCUUUAUUAUGUUUCUGAUACUCUUCCUUCCAAAUUCCAUUCAGUCUCCUUUGUGAGUGACUGAAAACUGCGUCGCUCCUCUUCUCUCCGACGUUUUUGCACAUAUCUGCUGAUAUAAACUAAAGAGAGAAUGCAUGAGGAUUGAAAAACAAGGGUUUCGGGUUUAGGGUAUGGUACCAGAUAAAGAUAAACUGGUCAUCUAGGACGACAAAUAGUGGUGAAAGUGAUGGUAAAAGACGUCCUAGAUGUGUAUAUCGAUGCCUGCCUAAAAUCAAUGAUGAGAAAAUUAGAUAUCAAUAUUAAGUCCACAUAAAAUGAGCUAGUAUAUCCUGUCAGAAAGAAUCUCCAUGAAUAGAAGUCCUCUGGUGGGAGUUCGUAUUGCAAGUAUUCUAGCUACCGCCUAGUCUAGUGCUAACCACAAAUGAGCUAUCAUGCAUAGUGUAGAAGUGUGCAGGUCUAAAUCAUCAUAGUUUUGCGUCAAACAUUCCUGAAAAAUACUUAAUGUCGAAUAGGUUACAUAUUAAAAUUUAAAAAGUACUUGAAAUUUAAAAGCAAAGCAAAGUGGUUCAAAGCUAUAAUGGGACAGAAUUCACAUGUCUUGGUAAUAAUUUCGUGAACGCAGUAUAAUUCAUCAAACCUCGUGCGUAGGAACACCUCAACAGAACGGAAGAGUAGAGAGAAAGCAUCGCCACAUCCUCAAUGUGGCACGCUCCAUCUUGUUCCAGUUGUCACCUCCCACAAAAUUCUGGGAAGAAAGCAUCUUGACUGCCAAUCAUCACCUAAUUAAUAGAACACCGUCAAUUGUUCUGAAAGGAAAAACUCCAUUUGAAGUCAUCAAUGGGAGAUUGCCAGAAUUUGAUGAUCUCAAGGUCUUCAGAUGUUUAGCUUUUGCGCAUAAACAGAAAAAAGAUGGUGAUAAGUUUGAUUUGAGAAGUAGAAGGUGCGUCUUUGUCAGUUAUCUCUUCGGGAAAAAGGGAUGGAGCUUAUUUUUUUAGAAACAGAAAAGAUUUUUGUUUCUCGUGAUGUGGUGUUUGUGGAAAACAAUUUUCCUUUUAGCUCUGCACUUUGGGAAAACCAGAGCAGUGUAUGGAAAGGUAUGGGUGAAUUUGAGUUAGAAGAAAGUUCUCUUCCACACAUUGAGGAGGCUGGCACGGAAGAUCAGGGAAACAAUAGGAUUGUAGCUGUUGUUCCAUCAAUUGCAGGUGCAAAAGAAGCAGAUUUGAGUGUCGCGGAGUUACCUGCAGACAAUCUGCAAUCUGCAACUUUAGACCUGGAUCCAUGAAGUGAUUCUGGGAUUGUAUUCACUGUUGCUGAUGUUGUGAAUGAUGAACCUACGAUUACUGUGGACCUGCAUGACAGAGUUGAAAUGGAACAAUUAGGACGUGGUCAUCGAACAAGACAACUUCCUAAGAAGCUCAAAGACUUCAUCCUCAACACCGUGUAUGAUUCGAACAACCCUCUUGAAGCUACUGUCGAGUUUGAUGAUGACGUUAAUUAUCCCCUGUCAUCAUAUCUCGAUAACAGUCGAUUUUUAGCAUCUCAUCUUGGCAGCAAUUAGCACCGAAACAGAGCCGAGUACGUUUUGUGAUGCAGUGAUCUAUGAAGUAUGGCGUGGAGUGAUGCGAGUUGAAAUUGAUGGAUUAGAGGAGAAUAAAACAUGGGAUUUAGAACCACUACAACCUGGGAAGAAAGAUAUUAGGUGUAAGUGGGUUUAUAAGAUAAAGUUUCGAACAGAUGGCUGGAUUGAGUUAAGGCGCGCCUAGUUGUGCUUGGAAAUAAGCAAGAAGAAGGAGUCGACUAUACGAAAAUGUUUGAUCCGAUCAUUAAAAUGAUGAUGAUUAGAGUUUUCUUAAGUGUAGCAGCUGCAAAGAAGUGUGAGUUGCAUCAAAUGGAUGUGCAUAACGCAUUUUUACAUGGAGAUUCAGAAGAAGAAGUAUACAUGAGACCCCCUCCUGGUUUCAAAACUGUAGAUCCAAACCUGGUAUGUCGUUUACGGAAAUCUCUAUACGGACUUAAGAAAGCCCCACGCUGCGGGUUUGCAAAGCUGCGAGAUGUGCUCAAAAAGUAUGGUUUCUCUCAGUCAUAUGCAGAGUACUCCUUGUUUGCACUUAAUCAUGGAUUGUCGGAGAUGUAUGUGUUGGUAUAUGUUGAUGACUUAAUUAUCGGAGGAAAUGAUUUUGGAGCUAUUGCAGAUUUCAAGAUUUAAUUACAGAAAUGCUUUCAUAUAAAAGACUUAGGUCUUUUGAAAUAUUUCCUAGGCAUCGAAGUGGCACAAAAUCCAGAAAGAAUAUUUUUGUGCCAGCGUAGGUAUGCUCUUAAUAUAGUGGAUGAGGUUGGUAUGAUGGUAGCUAAACCAGUAGUGUUUCCUAUCGUGCAACAACAUCAUUUUGCACUUGCUGAGGGUCCUCUUUUUGGAGCACCCAAACGUUAUCGACGUCUUAUGGGAAGAUUGAUAUUCUGGCAGCCACACGACCGAAUUUGGCAUAUACUGUUCGUAUAUUGUCUCAGUUUAUGCAAUUUCUUCGCACUGUUCAUUAGGCAGCUGCUUUGAGAGUGGUGAAGUAUUUGAAAGACACACCUGGACAAGGGAUUUUGUUAAAGUCGGAUUGUGAUCUAUAGAUACAUGGUUGAUGUGAUUCUGACUGGAUGGGGUGUCCCUUAACGAGAAGAUCGAUCAGUGGUUGGUUUGUAACUCUUGAUAAUUCACCAGUUUCAUGGAAAACCAAGAAACAUGAUGUUAUUUCUAAUUCCUCGGCAGAGGCAGAGUAUCAGUGCAUGUCCAAGACAUUAGAUGAACUGAAGUGGUUAUGGCAAGUCCUAGCUGAUAUGAGCGUUUCUCAUCAGGCUCCAAUGGCACUGCAUUGCGACAGUCAGACCGCAUUGCACAUUGCUGCGAAUCUGGUGUUUCAUGAACGUACUAAACAUGUAGAGACUGAUUGNNNNNNNNNNNNNNNNNNNNNNNNNNNNNNNNNNNNNNNNNNNNNNNNNNNNNNNNNNNNNNNNNNNNNNNNNNNNNNNNNNNNNNNNNNNNNNNNNNNNAAUGUUUAAGUUAAAUGGUUGUGCUUGAUCACAUGAUUCAUUUAGCUCGAGUAAUUUAACAACUGAAGGCACCCUAAUCCAAUAUCAUGUCUAAGCAGUGGCUUUAGUUGGAAGAAGCAUUUCCGAUCAUCAUUUUGUUAUUAUAUAUGGCCCAAUACAAAUCUUAGCCCAACCACAUUUCAGUGUUUUUCAAUUCUUAAGCUGGGGGGGGGGGGGUGGGGGGAGUGUUGAGCGGGAAUAUCUUACAGAGAUUUGAGUAAUACGACCUGUAUAUCUGUAUAUAUUAUUAUACUCUGUUUUUGGUAACUUAAAAUAGUAAUUGAUAUGAGAGUUAUUGGUUGCGUUUAGAUUAAGUGAUCCUUUUGAUUGUAUAUAUAUUGUAAGGUUUUAUCUCAAUAAGGCACACAGAAAAUUCACCAUCGUUGUGCUCAUUCUCUCACAAGAUUUUGUGCAACCGUAUCUUAUCUUUUGCUUCUAAAGAUUUGAAUGUUCAUGAAAACUUCCUCAAAAACUAUCAAACAAAGGACGUAAUCAUUGUAAAAUAUUUUUGUAUGAAUUGCAUAUCUGAAUUCAAAAUAGAUUAAAUUUUGUUGAGAUUCAAUUAUUUUACAUAUUGAAAUUCAAAUCAUAUUAAAUUAAAAUUUUCAAAUCUAAUCACAAUUAUGUAAGUUAUACCUAAAACCUAUUAAAUUAUUUUCGUCUCUUGAAUUAAUAAAAAAUAUCAACCAAAAUAAUUUAUAAACUAGAUUUUAAACCCGUGCAUCCGCACGGAAAUUUUUUGUUUUUUUUCUAAUAUAAUUUGUAUUUAUUUUUUUGUUUAGAUAUAAUUUUUUUUAUUAUUUAUUUAUUUUCUUAAAUCAAAAAUAUUCAUUUUUCAAUUUUUCAAAUAUGAAAAAAUAAUAAAAAUGAGAUGGGGGCACAGUUUAUACAAAAUCAAAACAUAAAAAAAAUAAAAAUUAUUGCAUACACUAUAAUGUGGUUUGAAAAACCAGUUGUACACUCCCUUUGUUGAUUAAAUUUUUAAAAAACUAUAAUGCUAAAUAAUACUGUUAAUACGUCUCAAACUUUUAACAAAUAUUUAUAUUAUACAGUAAUAUGAACGGAAAAAUUAGAAUUAUGUUUUUAUAAUAGUUCAUUUUGAAUUAAUAUUAAUGGACGGGUUAAAAUUAUAUUUUAAUCAUCAUAAUUAAUUUUAAUACUAUAAAAAUAUAUCUAAACACAAAAAUCAAUAUUUUCGCUUAUUAAAAAAUAUAUUUAUAUAAAUAAUUAUAUGUAAACUCAAAAACAAAAAUUAUAUUACAAAAUUCGUUAAACAAUAAAAAAUAUUCCCGUGCGGAUGCACGGAGUUAGAAUCUAGUCUAUUAUAUUAAAACAAAAGCACUUUUAGUGAUUGCUUCCAAACACUCCUAAAGUUUUUUUAAAAUAUUUUAUUUUAUAUUUAUAUUUAAUUCCGAAAAAUUAGGUAUUAAUUUAGAUAUUUUUAGAUUCUCAUAAUAUCGCAAAUAGUUAACGAAUAUCUUAUUUUAUUUUAUCAUAAUCAAACAGUCUAAAAUAUCAAAUAUUUAAGAUAAAUAAAUAUUUAUAUUUUACAAUAAUAUGAUGGAGCUGAUUAAGGUUAUGUAUUAUUAUACUUCAGGUCCUAUACAGGUUAGUUUGUUAAAACAUGUAAGAUAUUAAGAUAAUUUGAGGUAAUUAAAUGAACAAGUUAGCCAAUUUAUAGAUAUAUCUAUUUUUAUAAUAACACAAAUGGUACUUGAAUAUCUUAUUAUAUUUUAUCGUAAUCAAAUCGACCUAAAUUCAAUAUUAAUAAAUAUUUUUAUAUUAUAAUAAUAUGAUAGAGCAGGUUAUGGUUAUGCAUUUAUAAUUACAUUCUUAUACAAGUUAGUUUUUAAAAACAUGUAAAAUAUUAAAAAAUAAUAUAAGGCAACUAAACGGAUAGAUUAGCUAAUUCAUAGAUAUAUUAAUUAUUUAUAUGUAAAUUCACAUAAUUAAAAUCACAUAAUUAAAUUUACAUAAUUAAAAUCACAUAAUAACAAAGUUUAUAAUUAAUAUUAGAUCGAAAUAUACUUAAUUAACUCAUAUUCUAAUUCUACUAAUAUACAAAUCUAUAUUAUUUAAAGUUAAAACAUGAUAACAAAAUGUCCUGCAAAAAAUAGCUCGAUACCAGGAUGAUGAAAAACUUAACACAUCUCAUUCUUAUUAUUUUCUAAUAAGCGAAAAUAUUGAUUUUUGUGUUUAGAUAUAUUUUUAUAGUAUUAAAAUUAAUUAUGAUGAUUAAAAUAUAAUUUUAACCCGUCCAUUAAUAUUAAUUCAAAAUGAACUAUUAUAAAAACAUAAUUCUAAUUUUUCCGUUUAUAUUACUGUAUAAUAUAAAUAUUUGUUAAAAGUUUGAGACGUAUUAACAGUAUUAUUUAGCAUUAUAGUUUUUUUAAAAAUUUAAUCAACGAAGGGAGUGUACAACUGGUUUUUCAAACCACAUUAUAGUGUAUGCAAUAAUUUUUAAUUUUUUAUGUUUUGAUUUUGUAUAAAAAAUAUAUUUUUGAUAUACAUGUAUAAUUCAAAAUUAGUGAUAUUAGUUACCAAAAUUUUUUUAACCUAAUUUUUUUAUAUAUAUUUUUAGUUCUAUGAAUUUUAAAAAAUAUAUUUUUAAUAUUUAAAUUAUACAUGUGAAUUUUACCUAUUAUAUUAUUAUUAAUUUGUAAAUAAAUCAUAAUCGUUAAUAUAUUAUAUAAACAAUAUAAAUAUCAUAUCAUUUACAUCAUUAUAAAUAUUUUAUAUUUCUAUGAUCAUUAUUUUUCAUAUGUGAAUUUUUUUUUUCAAAAGUUCUAGAUAUUUUUGAUAAAAAUAUUUAAUAGUAUAGAAAUUAUUUAAAUUAGAAUUUUUAAAUAAAAUCUAAAUUAAUAUCUGAUUUAUUAGUUUUAAUCAAAUCAAAUCAAAUCUAAAUUACCUAUAUUUAAGGAAUUCGAAAAAUAUUUAAAUUAAUAAUUAAUUUUCGAAAUUAAAUAUAAAUAAUAAUAAAAAUUAUUGUUAAACUCUAAAAAAAUUAGGAAUGUUUGGAAGCAAGUACUAAAUGUGCUUCUGUUUUAAUAUAAUAGAUAUCUCAUCCCGCCUAAUGUGAUUGUUACUACUUAGUUCAUUUUAAAAUAUGCACUACAUAUUAGUCAUAAGUAUGAACGUUAAAAUAUACUGUUUAAAAUCUAGGUUGAGUAUUUUCGAUAAUCCUUUCCAUUGCAUUUGAGUUGUAAUUCCUCGUAAUUAUUGUUGGUAUGGCGGACGCAAGUGUGUCGGUAUGGAAUUGUAUGUCCCUUAUUUUUUAUUUAUUUUUAUUGAAUAAACCUAAAUAAAUAUGAUUUAAUAUAUUAUUUUAACACCUUUAUAGAAAAAAUAUCUCUUAUUAUAAAAGAAAUAUGGUUUUUUAUUGAAAAUGCCCUUCCCCAUAAAAAAAAUUCUAGAUCUGCCAUGAGAGAGAUUAUUCCGGUCACGGACUACUGAUUUUAUUAAAGUAAUAACCGAUGGCAUAUGAUAAUUGAUUUCUAAUAAAAUAUAUCCACAAAUUAAACGGCAAUCAGACACAUCAUUUUUUUUUUUUGGUAUUCUUCACAUUAUUUAACCACAAUUGUAUCGAAAAAUGCCUAAAUAAUGUGAUAUUUGAUUUGUCUCAACAUUUAAAAACAUACCACUCUCUUCUCCACUUGUUUCAACUUUGUUCUUCUCCAAUGGCUCUCUCCUCUCUAAAUUUCUCUGUUUUAUUCUUUCUCCUCUUCACUCCUUCCAUUUGCUCGUACUCGUCUCUGACUUCUUCAAAUCCUAGUCAAAUCUCUGCAACAAGUUUCUGCAAGAACACACCACACCCAGACGCUUGUUUCCACUCCUUAAAAUUAUCCCUCUCCAUCAACAUAAGCCCCAACAUUCUCUCUUUCGUCCUCCAAACCCUCAAAACAGCUAUUUCCGAAGCCGGAAAACUCACCGAUCUCCUUUCGGGCGCCGGAAUGGACAACAAACUCUUCGAGGGCCAGCGUGGCUCACUUCAAGACUGCAAAGAUCUUCACUACAUCACUUCGUCCUUGUUGAAACGAUCACUCUCAAAGAUCCAAGACGGUGAUAAGGAUUCACGAAAGCUAGCAGACGCUAGAGCUUACUUGAGCGCCGCUCUCACCAACAAAAACACUUGCUUCGAAGGUCUUGAAUCUGCCUCUGGUCCACUAAAGACGAAGCUCGUGACCUCCUUCACGACCACUUACAAACACGUAAGCAACUCUCUGUCUGCUCUUCCGAAACAGAGAAAAGCCUACGGUAGCAACAAGACUAAAAACCGCCGGUUACUUGGGUUUCCCGACUGGGUCUCUCAAAAAGAUCGCCGGUUUUUAGAAGAUUCCAGUGACGGGUAUGACGAGUAUGACCCGAGUGAGAUCAUCAUCGUGGCUGCUGAUGGAACAGGGAAUUUUACAACUAUCAACGACGCCGUAAGCUUUGCUCCGAAUAUGAGUAACGAUAGAAUGCUGAUAUAUGUAAGAAAAGGCGAGUAUAACGAAAACGUGGAGAUUCCGAGCUACAAGCCUAAUAUUGUUCUGAUCGGAGACGGGUCCGAUGUUACGUUCGUUACCGGCAACCGGAGCGUUGGAGAUGGAUGGACCACUUUUCGAUCUGCUACUCUAGGUAAUAAUCAUCUAUGGUCUUUUUUAAAAGAUCUUUAUUUGGAUAAAACAAAACGUUGUGCUACACUGAUUGGGGCAUAGUGUAGAUUUAGGACCAUGGAAUUUUUGUUUUCAUUUUUUAAUCAUGUAAGACUGUUGGAUUUUUUUUUUUUUUUUAAUUAGAAACUACCAUUUAAAAUCUUAUAAUCGUCAUUUAAGUGAGAAAAAAGUGAACAGAAAAAAUAAGUUCUGAAGUAAUGCUUUAUUUUAGUUUUGUUUUUUUCAGUCAUUAUGCUAAAGAUGUGAUUAGUGAAGAGAGCAGCCAUUUUGUAUUGUGCUUAAAGCCUUAUUCAUUGCAAUCAAAAUUUGAAGCCUGUAAAAAAAUGGGGCAACUUCAGUUCUUGGCACUAAUUCAUGCGUUCUCAAACUUGCUUGGUCACAGCCGUUUCAGGGGAAGGAUUCUUGGCGAGAGAUAUAACAGUAAUGAACACAGCAGGACCCAAAAAGCAUCAAGCUGUUGCAUUACGUGUGAAUGCGGAUUUUGUGGCCUUAUACCGAUGUGUCGUUGACGGUUACCAAGACACACUUUACACUCACUCGUUCCGACAAUUCUACCGUGAAUGCGAUAUAUAUGGAACCAUUGAUUAUAUCUUUGGGAACGCGGCCGUGGUCUUCCAAGGCUGCAACAUUGUUUCAAAGUUGCCUAUGCCGGGACAAUUCUCAGUUAUAACAGCACAGUCACGAGAUAGUCCGGACGAAGACACCGGGAUCUCGAUUCAGAACUGCUCCAUCCUUGCAACAGAGGAUCUAUUUAACAGCUCCAAUAGAGUUAAAAGCUUUUUGGGACGCCCAUGGAGAGAAUAUUCAAGAACAGUUCUAAUGGAGUCAUUUAUUGAUGAGUUUAUUGACGGUUUUGGUUGGACCAAAUGGAACGGUGGGAACGAAAUUGAUAGUCUUUAUUAUGGAGAGUAUAAUAAUAACGGACCGGGUUCUGAAACGGGUAAGCGGGUCAACUGGUCGGGUUACCACAUUAUGGAUUACGAAGAUGCGUUUAACUUCACGGCAACGGAGUUUAUCAUCGGCGAUAGUUGGUUGGGCAGUACUUCAUUCCCGUAUGAUAAUGGGAUUUAACACAAUUCUUGUUACAAAUUCGUCUUCAUAUAAAAAUCUAAUUAUUAUAUAACAAAAUAAUAGAAAUAACUGUGUGUUUUGAGUUAUUUCUAAAAGCGGUGUAUUAGAGCAUCCACAACAGAAGUACUUAGAUGAUGCUUAGCCCAAAAAAUAAAUCCAAAAUGAAAAUAAAUUGAAGAAUCGCUGCUUAAAUAAGACUAAUAAGCAUCGAUGCUUAUAAGGCACGUGAGGUUUAUUUAUUGGACAGAUAGAAAAGAAGCGAUGUUUAUUGGUAUUUGUUUUCUCUCUCUUCAUUUUCUCUCUUUUCUUUUUCUCUUUCUUCAUUUUUUUCUUUUUUUCUUCUUUCUUAAGUUUAAUAUUAUUUUAUUGCUAAGCAUUCUUAAAUCGAUGCUAGCAUUGCUGAUGCUCUUAGUUAUGUAGAGUUAUUUCUUUAAACUAGGUGGGUAGCCCGCGACUCGUGCGGGUGGAGAGUUUUCUUUAAAUUAAAGAUGUACUAAAUUAGUUCUUAUCUUUUGGAACAUAUACAUUUCAUAUACAAUAUACCCCAAUUAUUUUAAAGUUAGUUUUGUUUGUUAAUAGAUUCGGAUCCGGAGAAGCUUUACUCGAGUUACCAUAUUUUCUAUAACAUGCAAUGUAAUAUGUAUUAUCUAUUAGUGACUCAUUGGAUUAUUAGUUCGAAGACCUUUUUUUUUUAAAAAGCAUUACUGACGCUUUACACUUGAAUAAUCGGCUGCGUUUCUACUAUUUUCUUAUAACAUGCAAAGCAAUAUAAGAGGAUUGUACUUACAGAAGGAAAUUCGAUUAUUUAAAAUAACUGAACAAACCAAUUAAAAAUCUUAAAAAAAAACAUCACUAAAUGUCAUAACACUUAACGUGUGCUUAGAUAUAUAUAUCUUUUGAAAGAUAUCUUUAUAAACCACGUUCAUUGUCUUCUGUUGUGGGUUUCCUUUCUCAUCAGUUAUCAAAAUACGUAGUCCUUUUCUCGAUGUUACCCUAGACACAGCAACAUAAAACUGAUCAUGAGAGAAGACUGGUUUAAGUAAAAAUAAACCAACCUUUUGCAAAGUUUGACCUUGACUUUUAUUUAUCGUCAUAGCAAAUGCGAUUGCAAUGGGAAAUUGCUUACGACGCAUUCUGAAAGGGAACCUUGCUUCUGGUGGGAAAACAAACAUCCUAGGAAUCAAAACUGUUUUGCCAAUUCUAUCACCACUUAAAUGGCUAGCCUCAAUCACAUGUUUAGCCAAUCUGGUCACCAAUAACCUCGUUCCAUUGCACAAACCGCCUCUAGGAUGAAUAUUUCUAAGUAGCAUGAUAGGAGCACCAAUCUUCAACUUCAGAAAAUGAUUUGGCAACUCAGAUACUCUAAUACUGUUAAGAUAUUCCUGAGUAUAAACCAUAUCAUCAUUCUUACUUGUGUCUGAAGUAUCAAUACUGUCUGAGCUUAAAUACUCUUGUGCAUCACCUGUAUAAAAAGAGCGAUUUAAUUUACAGCAAUAUAGUCAGAAAAAUUCGAAUUCAAGCGUUGUAUUAACAGUUACCUGUGAGCUUCGACAACAUAAACUCAUUUAUUACAUCAACGUCUUGGUUCCGGGGACUCAAUAUAGCUCUCUCUUGAAAAUUUUUUGCAUCUCUUGUGGUUUUAUACGAUGUGCCAUAAAUUUCAGAGACAAUUUUUUCUAGUGGAUUUCCUUCACGGAUAAUCAAUAAAUCUGAUGGAAUAUCAAUUUCAACUUCUCCUGUAUUUGGCUCAUUUAUCUUCCCAUUACCGAUAUCUAAUAUCCAUUUAGCAAAAUCUACCAUCUCUUGGUUCUCAAUACCUCCCGACACACGAAGAGGCCUCAUGUUUGUUGUUAGUUCCAUCACCUUGCAUUCUAACCAUAAAGGAGAUGAAUUCAGACUUGCCAUCACUGUUUCUAUCUUACCUCCACCUGGUAUGACAGGUAAAAUUUGUCUGAAAUCCCCACCUAGAACAACGACUUUACCACCAAAAAUUUUAUCACACCUAAGUAUAUCUCGCAUUGUUCGGUCCAGCGUUUCGAAACAAUGUCUACUCAUCAUUGGAGCUUCGUCCCAUAUUAUAAGGCUAGCUCGUUCAAGUAAUUCUGCCUGAUGUGAUCCUGCACUUAUCGAACAGAAUGUAGAUUCGUUCACCGCCAUUGGUAUCCCAAACCUAGAAUGAGCAGUUCGACCCCCUUGUAAUAGCAAUGCAGCUAUUCCACUCGAUGCUACAUUUAGAACUAUCUGACCUCUAGAUCGAAUUGCUGCCCCUAAGACAUUCCACAAAAACGUCUUACUUGUGCCCCCAUAACCAUAAACAAAAAACAUACCACCUGCAUUAGCAUUCACAGCAUCCAUUACGAAAUCGUAAAUUUGUUUCUGUUCAUCUGUUAUUGUUGAUAGCAACCUCUCAUGCUCUUUGGCCAGCUUAUCACAGUCAUAAUUCAACUCAUCAAGUAUUAGGUGAUUUGUAUCUGUGUACUCUUCAAUAUCGUCUGGUUGUGGCAUUGACUUCUUAAAAUUAGCCAGCGAAUUUUCAUUUUUGCGCAAGUACUUCUCUAUUUCCAAUAAUCCAAGAUUCUUCCUCUGUGCUUCGCUCAUUUCAAAACCUGUGUGUUUAUUUUUUUUUAAAAAAAAACACUUCGUUAGCAUAUAAUGUUUUCGUGCAUGUGGUGGUUACGUAUGUUGAAAUUACCCAAACUACAGCUACUUUAAUAUGGAAAAAGUCAUCUUGAAGGAAUUUCACGAUACGUCAAUGUCCUUUCCUCGGGACUUUGCUGAUUGCAUUCCAACCACGCUUCAAAUUUGCUUUUCUUAAAAAAAGGGAAAUGCACAGCCCUCCAUGUUGAUUCACUUGCUGAUAUAUGCCUAUGUUUAAGGGAUAAGUGUUAGCAAAUAUGUUGUAAAUCUAAAUCAUAUAUAAUAUAAUGAAAGAGAGUAUAAUUUUUAACAUACCUUGAAUUUGAUUUGGGUUUCUCAUCGUCAUCUGAAAACACAUUCAAGAAUGAUAUUAUAAUAUGGUAAUCUAUAUCACAAAAUAAAACACAUACAAGAAUGAUAUUAUUUAUUGUUUCUCGUGUUUUGUUUUCUCCAAUUACCCACUAUGACAACACAAAAAUUGGAUUAAACCCACACGAUCACAACCAAAUAAAGAAAAACAUAGAAAUAAAUAAUGUUACCUGUGAACACCAUUGUAGAACUCAACGACCAGCGACGUAAGCAAUCCAACUGCAAAACUAACAAUAUUAAAGAAACAAACACGAUCACAACCAAACAAAGGAAAACUAAUUAACAAUAUACAGCGCAAAAAGAAAACAACUAAAGGAAGUAGGACCUUUCAAAAAAGCAAGAAGCAAUAAGGGAAGUAAGACCCUUCAAAAAAGUAGUCGAAAUAAGCAAGAAGCAAUAAGGAAGAAGAAGAGUGAAACCUAAUCGUUAAUACUCAGGAAAAAAAGUAGGAGGUUGUUGUCAAUAUAUGUGGUAUAUAUAGGCUAAUGUAAAACCUAAUCCAGUUUCAGAGUCAAUUUAUAAUUUUUUAUUAACGUCAAUUUAUAAUUUUUUUUGAUAAUACGAUUGAUAUUUUAAUAUAUAUGAUUUUAGAUUUUAGAUUUAAACAAUUUUCUUUUUUUUUAAGAAAAUUUAAUUAAAUUAAAGAAGGGGUAAAUGGUAAUUAGCCACCCUGAGAUUGAAUGAGAGAGCUUUAAACGAAAUUUUUACUUCGCUUAUAAUAUAUAUGAUAUGAUGUGUCUUAUCCGUCUUCUUGGCUUUAUAUGAGUCUAAGAUCAUCUCCAUCCAUGAUCUUGCAUGGGGUUCUUAGACCACCUCCAACCAUGGUCUAUAAUGAGAGAUUUUAAUCUUAUGUUCUAAUAGGUUUUUGUUUACUUUAAUGCAUUAGAACCUCUUUUAGAUUUUUUCAUUGUUUUAGUAUCUAAUAGUAAAGGAGGCUCUAAAAAGAUUUUGCUCGCUCGAUCAAUUGCUCGAUCAAUUGCUCGACUUUGCUUUGUUUGCUCGAUCAUAUGUGGAUAAUCGACUCUGACGUUUGCUUGCUCGAUCAAUUGCUCGCCGACGCUUGUUUAUAGACCAGAAGCUGCUGAUUUGUAGAAGUAAAGCCAAUCAUCAAUAAGAAAAUUGAUCGCCGCCGUUUUGUAGAAGUAAAGCCGCCACCGAUUUGUAGAAGUAAAGCCGCCGAUUUGCUCGAUCAAUUGCUCGCCGCCGAGUUGUAGAAGUAAGUCGCUGUCUCGGAAAAUUGGAGAGGAGCAGAGGACAAUGCCUACGAUGAAUGGACUGGACUCGCCGCCGGAAAUAUCGAAGGAGGAGAUAUCAAGGAAAGCAUCGGAGUUAUCGGACAAAAUGAAUUCUCUGAUGCAACAACUCUAAAACAUGUAGAGGGUUUCAAUAAAAAAACAAAAUAAAAAUAAAAACUCAACGACCAAUCACCAUUUGACACGUUAGAAUCUCUGGUGAGGCUCUGCAGAGCAGUAAAUUAGAACCGGUUCUCCUAAUAUUAGCCAUUAAAUCUUUUUUUUUUCACCUAAAAGUCAAACUAGAAUCCCUCCUCAUCCUGCUGUUGGAGGUGUUCUUAGUAUUAAAGUGACAUUUAAAAUAAAUUAAAAAAACUUAAAAUCUUUAAGAAUCGCUGCUUAGAGUUCUAAAAUAAGAACCUUUCCUUAAGAGUUUUUAAAGACACUUGUCCUUGUUUUAUUGGUUUAUGUUUUAAAAGUUUUUUGGGGCCAAUGAUAGAUGGAAAUUAGAUAAGAGACAUAAAAUUAGAGAGAGAAAGAGACCGAAAAUUUAUUAUUUUAAAAAUCUUAAGAACCCCAAUGAGAAAAUGAGGGAUGAAGAUGCUUUUAUGCAUGCAUGUCUUUUGAUACGUCACACCCAUUAAAAAGAAAAAAGUUGACAAGUUAUGUUAAUGUCAGUUACAUUUAUGAAUACGGUGAGGUUGGCCUGGGCAUUACGGUCCACAAUUCGGGUUGGGGUCGACUCCUCCGUUUAGAGAUGUCUAGACCCAAAUAGGAUCCAAGGAAAUAUUUGGUUAGGGUCUUGUCAGGUUCGGGUCAGUUCUAUGAUUGAAUGAAAUUUCAAUUCACAAACCGAAGAACCUGAAAAACCCAGAAAAUAAUAAUCUUGAUUCGGUUUUCAUAAAAAAUUACUUGAAUAACCAGAAAAACCUAUUAUCUGAAAUAAACCAAGAUAUCAAACACAAUACAAGUUGAAAUCCAAAUUCUAAGUUCCUGAAUGUGACAUCCCAAGUUUAAGUUUAUGGCCCAUUUUUUUUUCCAGCAGCCCAACACUUAAAAACAUCUCUCUAAUUUUUGGCUUAACUAUCCAAGUUCAGCCCAAAAACUAUAAGGAAAGUCCUAAGUGUGAGUAAGGAUAAAUUGGUUAUUUUUUCUCUAUCCUAGACCUAAUGAGCUUGACUUCCUCCCUAUAUAAAGGCCAGCCACAUUCUUUUGAGAGACACAAAGAGUUAAUGCAAUGAAACUCUAUAAAAACCUCUGAGCAUCAGUUUAAUAUUUGUCUGAGUGUGGGUUUUGCUGUGUCAUUUGCCAGCAACUCAGAUCGAGCUAAGUUCCAAUCUUCAUACCACUGGAAAUAUAUAGCUGCAAGGAAUCCAUAGCAAUUUUCAGAUCCUAGGUAAGCUCCGUUUUUAUGUGAGCUGAAAGUUAGCGAAAAAUCAUUUAUUUUGGCAAAUUUAAUAUUUCCAGUUUCGCAGAGCCAACUUGAGAGAGGUUUUGCUAUCGAUCCAGAAAGACCCAGAUAGCGAUCCACAUACCAAUCUGUAGAUCUCGGAUUCUUAUUUCCAGAUCAACUUUCAGAUUCAGAUUCCGAGAUAACCUUCAAAGGUUAUCGAAGUUCCUUUCCGGCCAAGAAACCUCCCUCUUCUGAAAAAGGAAAACCAUUUAUGGUGAUCCAAAUAUGGGAAGCCAUUUAUGAUGAUCUAAUUAAGAAAAUUCAUUUAUGCUGAUCCAUUUUAGGAAAGUACAAUUAUGAAAACUUCUAUUUUUAGAAAAUUUUUAUUUUUGAAAAGUUCUUAUUUUUGGAAAUUUCUGUUUUUGAAAAGUUAUAUUUCUGGAGACUUUAUUUUUAUUUCUAUUUCUUCCUUUUUUUAUUUUUAUUUCUAAAGUCACACAUCAACUUCAGGAUGGGGCACAAUAUAAUUAAGGUUAAGACACGAUCCACUGCUUUGAGACGCACCAUGUGGGGAGUUGUUUUGAGUAUUCAUUUAAUAUUAUAUUUAAUUUAUUAAUGCGCGUAAGAUGUUUAGUACAUUGAAUGAAUGUGUGAUGAUAGGUGGUACUUGCUUGUUUGUUGCCUAAGUAGUUGAUCAUGUGCAUCAUUUAUAAUUGGUUAUUCAUUUCUAUUUAUAUUAUGAAUUAAAAAUUAAUAUGUGAAUUUAUUAAGAUGGAAAUAAGUAAUAUUUAAAAAGUCAUAAUGUUUACGAUGGAAGCUAGUGAGGAAUGAUAGUAAUUCAUUAGUGUAGAUGGAAUGUGACUGUGUGAUUGUUUUUGACGGCCUAUAACAAGGGACUGAACAUUAUGAAGUUGUAGUGCUUGAGAAAGGGCUGACGAGCCAUAGUUAAACCCUGUUGAGGGUGGUGGCACUGGAAACUUGUCAAGACUGGAAUGGGUGGUGGCAGAGAAUGAGUAUCUGGGACAUAAGGGUCUUGGAGAAUGUGUUAAUGUGAAGAGUCGGUCUUGUUUGAGUUCUGCAUGAUAUUACCCGGCUACGGCCGUCAAGUCCUGUGUGGGUGGUGGCAAAGAAUUGUUGUUAAGUCAUGUGUGUGUGUUGGCAGAGAAUGAGCACCUUGGAUGUGGUUCUUCAGGAAUGUGAAAUGUCAGUUUUUGAGUGAAUUAAUAUAGCAUUCAAAUUUAUUAAUCAAAAAUAUAAAGUUCAUUUUUUGGCUAGCAUAUUACGUUUUUAAUAAAUAAAAUAUCGUAUUAUGAAUCUCGUGGGCACUCAUGCCGCUGAGUAACUAUGUUACUCACCCCUUUUUCCUUCUUUUUCUAGAUAAGGUUUAAAGACAUUUUGGAUUAGAGUGCAAGUCAAGCUAUUUGAUAGAAGUUUUCCGGGAUUAGGGUGUCUCACUCAAAAUAGAAAGUAUGGCAAAGUACAAGACCCAAACACAUAGACUCCACAACAAAAUAUUCAACAUCAAGAUCAGUUCCAAAUCUAAAUCCAAAAAACUGAAAACAAAAGACAAGGAAGAACCUCAAUAAUCAUGAAUCUCAUUCGGGCUUCCUUGCAAACUCAGUUCCAAGUCUUCUUGCCUGUAUACAACAAGACAAACAAUAUUUACUGACUUACUAUCUUUUGACACUUCUACUACGACAAACAAUCAAACACAAUUCAACCUUUAGUAUAGUAAACUAUACACCUCUAGUAUAAUCAACUAUACACAUCUAUUAUAAACAACUAUACACACCUAUAGUAUAGUCAACUACAAACUAUACACCUACUAGUCAGACAAUCAAACACAAUGACUAAGAAAAACAAUCAAACACAAUUCAAACUAAUAAAGUAAGUUAUUAGAACCAAACAAGUAAAUUACGUUUCUAAACAAUCAAACACAAUUCAUAAAAAAUUGUGAAGGAAAACAACAUUACCUGAUAAGUUAUAACCAAAACUUCAGUUUUCAAAGCUGUCUUGAGAUUCAAAAUUUUCAAACUCUGAAAAGUGAAAACAAUUCAGAGAGCAGAACCAAAAUAUAUAAGGUAUAACAUAAACUUAAAAUCACAUUUCAAAAUUUCAGCUUUUUAAUAUACCCAAAAUUUGAAAUAAUUAAUCGAAGCAAACUCAAAUGACAAAACUAAAAUCAAUCCUUAAGAGUUAAGACACAAACUGCUCAAGAGUCAAGACACAGUGGCAGAGCCAUAAAUUUUUUCUAUUGGGGGCAAAAAUAAUGGGAGUAUAUAUUGUUUAGUGUGGGGGCAAUUAUUAUUAUUGUUAGCAAUUUACAGUAAUCAGAUUUUUUUAUUGGAGGCAGUUGCCCCAAUCUCCUUAUACAUGCCUCCACCACUAGACACAAACUAAUCAAGGAUCAAAGCAGAGAUAACUUCAGCGUCAUGAAAAAGUCUUAGAGAAUACGGAACACGAUAAAUAUUACUUGGUAUGAUCUGAAAACAGACACCAUUACAAGAAAAUAAACUAAUUUUGACCUUGAUAUUUUUUUCAUUUGACUAAAAUCUGUCCGAAAUUUGAAUUUGACAAAACAUAUGGUUAUUGGUCAAACAUUUUUGACCAUUUUGUUUCUGUUCGCAAAUUUGGUCAAAUAUUAGUCAAUAAUAGAGCCGAUUAUAUAUGGUUAUUGGUCAAACAUUUUUGACCUUUCUCCAAUGAACAUUGGUCAAAAUUUAUUAACCAAUUAUCGACGAAUAAUAGAGCCGAUUAUAUUUGGUAAAACCUUUUUGUGACCAUUGACAAACUCAAAUAUUAGUUGAUACUUUACGACAAGUUAUAUCGGAUGACAAUUGAUCGAAUUUACUGACCAAUUAUUGACGAAUAAUAGAGCCGUUUGUCGGUUAUAUUCGACUAAAUUUAAACCAAUUCUAUAUUUGGUGAUUAUUGGUCAAACACUUUUGACAAUAUUUUUCAGAUGAAAAAUGGUCAAAAUUGCUGACGAGUUUCCCACCAAAAAGAGAGUCUUUUUUUUACGCCCCCUGCCGCCAGAAGAGAGGGCCAUGGGAGAUCCUAUCAACUUGUUCGACCUACGAUAAUCAGCUCAUGGGUUUUGGGUUUGAAAUUGUGUCAAACCUAAAUACCCAAGAAGCACUAGCUCUCCUUGACGACUAGUCAAAAUCAGUCAAUUUUAAAAAAAAAAUAUAUAUUUCCCAUUCUCCUCAAUAUCUAAACGUAGAAACAAAAACAAACCAUCAAAAAUGUCUUCUAGUUAUCAUAUAAUUGAUGUAUAGACAUCGAGAUCCAGAAACCAGAAACGUUACAAAAGAGUUUGGAGAAGUGCUUACCGAAUUUAUACGAGUUGCUACAACUUGUGACUUAUCAUUAGAAUCUGGUAAGAUCAUUUUUUCUCGUACUUGUUGCAAUAGUAGAAAAUUUUGAGAGGUUUCAGAAGUAUGGAAUUACAUAUUUAAUAGAGGGUUUAUGCUGAAUUAUUAUGUAUGGUUUUUGCAUGAGGAAGAUUCAUAUACUUUAUCUAGUAGUAGUGCAUAUAUGGGUGAAAGUAGUGGAUAUAUGGCAAAAAGUAGUGAAUAUAUGGGGAAAGGUCUGAAGAACCUAGGGAAAACAUUGAUACGGUUGAGAUGGUUACUGAUUCGUUUAGGGAAAAUAGUCUAACUGAUCAUGGAGGAGAUGGAGGAGAUGGGGAAGCUGCACACACCACAGGCAGACAGGCUCCAAGUCUUAUGCAACGCAUUUUGAAGAAAUGGUAUUAUCUAAUUUGACUAUUUGAUAAUCGUCAUUCUCGUCUAACAUCAUUAGUAAAACGCCUAGUAAUUUUGCCAUAAUUUUGGAAAGCCUCCAAAAAUAGUGGCUUUUAUGAGUGAAACACACAAAAGCUAAAAAAACAAAAGCAUUUGUGGACAAAAAGGCUGAUGGAAUUGUCGAGUAAUUUUGCCAUCAUUUGUAGACAAAGGAAGCUGAAGAGUCUCCAAAAAUAGUGGCUUUUAUAAGUGAAAGCAAAAAAACAAAGGCGUUUGUGGACAAAAGGCUGAGGGAAUUGUCGAGACGUUGUUAGAGACAGAGCAAAAUUUACUUUCACAGGAGACCCAAGAUAGAUCAGUAGUAUCUCACUCUCUCUCUCAAACCGAAUUGAACUUGCUGUUUUUGAAGGUAACUACUACUAUUCUUUUCUAACAUUUCCAUAAUAAAUUUUCCUCUUUGUGUUGUUAUUAAUAAUGUUUACAUGUUUUGUUCAGCAUAUUUGAUUUAUUUUUAACUUCAAGGAGGUCCCACUUGUAAAUGAGGUAGUUUUGGUCUCGGAUCUCUUCAAUACUUUGGCAUUCCUUCUUCUGACACUUCUAUAGUAAAAACUCUAUAAAUUAAUAAUGUUGGGACUUUAAUAUUUUAUUAACUUUUAAAAUUAUUAGUUUAUUAAUUUUACAUAAUUUUUAUUUAUUUCUUAUUAAUUAUAAAAGAAUUGUUUUUAGAGAUUAUAAUUUUUUUUUUAAAAAUUGUUUCUAAAAUUAAAAAUGAAUUACAAAAAAACUUUAAUUUAAAAUAAAUAAAUAAAAUAUCACUAAACUCAUAUUUUAGUAAGAGGAGUAGUGUACAUUUAUGGUAAUUAUUAAUGAGACCAUAUAUUUACAUAGGAGUUUUGUUAAAAUUAUUAUUUUAUUAUUUUAUUGAAUUGUGUUAUAUUUUGAACCGAUCCAAUUCAAAAGCAAGAAAUUAUUAAUUUAUAAUAUUUAUUAAUUUAUCGAAUAUUAAUUUAUAUAAUUUCUAUUAUAAAUGAGAACUGAAGGAAGAGUUGCUAACCGCAAAAAUUAUAAAUUGCUGAGAUGGAGAAGUCCCUAGCUGAGGAGGCAAAAGUCUCAAGCUAAACAGGCAAAAAAGCUCAACCUUAUUGAGAAUAUAUUAUUUAAGCAAUUUCCAGAUUUAGUUACUCAAUCUGAUGAUAAUUCCGAUGCUGAGGAAUAGUGUACGUUUUGUGUGUAUUUUUGGAUGGUUAAUUUUUUUUUAUAUAAAAAAAUUUCGUAUAUUUAUUUUAUUUCGACUACUUUAGUUUUAAAUCAAAUCUAUAGUAUCUUAUACUAAUAAAAGUUGAAGCUAAAUUUUUUUCAACAUUUUUAUAGUAUCUUAUAUAAAUUUUUUAUUGGUCCAUCUCAACAUUGAAAAUUAAACUUUUUUUUCAAAUUCCAUUAUUAUUUUUAAAAAUUAUUAAAGAUAAAGAAAUUAUUUAUAAAUUUUUUGUUAAUAAUAAAAAACUAAAAUAAAUAAUAUUAAAAUAGAAAAUUUUAAAUUUAAAUUAGAUGUAUACACACAUAUUUAGAGAUUCUUACAUUAGUAUCCAAAUUUUUUUCACUUAUAAUAAUUUUUAAGUUUUUUUCUGUGUGUACAACCAUUUCAAAUUAAAAAAAAAUAGUUAGAUUUCACAAAAAAAUGAGUCAUUACAAUGUAAAAUAACCAACUUGGCUAAACUAUAAGUUUAACUAUUAGCUAAAUUACAAAGAAUAUAAUGAAACGAGAUAUAAACAAAGUCAUUACAAGCUGCUUUAAUAUCGAAAAAGAGACCGAAAAAUAAGCUUGGCCACCGAAUUUGAGAAGAAUGAUAAAUUUCAAGCAAUCCAAGAAACAUGUCAAGCGAUUGAUACUCGACACUUUUAAAAAACAAAGCACUGAAAAUAGAGAAAGAGGUUCCGUCAUUAAGACGAAGGAGAUUAAGGUAUUUGAGGAAGAUUUUUAAAAUAACAUGGCAUCUGAUACGGUUUUAACAACCUAACAUUAAGCACAAAGGUAACAAUUAGCUGACCAAGAAGCAUCCAAAUACAUUCGGUAAGCCUCAAAAACAAGGAGGCGAGACCAAAAUCAUGACACUUUUGAAAAACGAAACACUGAAAAUAGAGAAAGAAGUUCUGUCAUUAACCCGAAGAUUGAGGUAUCCGAGGAAGAUUUUUGAAAUAACAUGGCAUCUGAUGGGGUUUUAACAACCUAACAUUAACCAAAAAGGUAACAAUUAGCUGACCAAGCAGCAUGCGAAUAUAUUCGGUAAGCCUAAAAACAAGGAGAGACCAUAAUCACUUGCCUCGUGUGGGAUCUUCCAGCUUUGAUUUCUAAAUCUAUUAUUAAAAAAAAAAAAACUAUAUGCCUCUAAGAAUGUCCACAUAUGAUGUAAAAGUUCAAUUUAAUUGGUCUACAUCAAUAUUUAAAAUUAGAAAAUUUUCAAAAUUUAAAAUUAUAUGGUUAACAAAAAAUAUGUUUAUAGAAAAAUAAAUAUAGAAGCUAUAUGCCUCUAAAGACAUCCACAUCAGAUUUAAAAGGUCAAUUUUAUUAGUGUACAUCAAUAACUAAAAUUAAAAAAAAAUAUAAAUUAUAAAAUUACAUUGUUAAUACAAAACAAUAUAGAAAAAAUUGUUAAUUAAAACUAUUCUAUCAUGAAUAAAAAUUAAAGCUAUGUUAUAAAUUUAAUUUAUUAUAUAUAAAACUAUAUAUUACUUAUACAAGUUUAUGUUACUUGAUUUUAAGGCUUUUCAUGUAGAAUUUUAAAUAACUAAUAAUUAUAAUUUAUAUUAAAUUUUUCACAUAUGCAAAACAUAUUUCCACAUAAUCUCAUGUAAUAUAUUAUGCAAAAAUGAUCGAAAAUUUUAUAUUUUGUAUAUUCGGCUUGGAAUUGCAAUAGAUUAAUGUAGAAGUUUUUAGUUUUGAGGAUUUCAAUUUGUUAUUUCAUUUUUCUAAAUUUAUAUGUAUUAAAUUGUACCGACUGCCUACUUAAAUAUAAUUAAAAGAAGUAAGAUUGAAUAUGAUGAAACUGAAUAUAAUCAUACAAAAAUCAUUGAAAUAAAUAAAUAUGAUCUAUUAGUUGAAAAAACAGAUAUAACAAGAAUAAAAAUGAACAUGAUGAAAAAAAUUCAUUCUUAUUAGAAUCAAUGACGUAUAAUCAUUGAAAAAUUAUUUAAACGUUUACACAACCAAUUGAUAAAAAUAUAUUUAACUCACAAAUUUUGUAUGAUUUUCUUUGUUUUAUAUUUAAAUAUUAUUUUGGUUUCAAAUUUAAAGUUGUUAUUAAUCUCAAAGCAAAUAUUUGAUUUAUUAAUUUGUUUUUAAAAUUAUUAUAACAAAAUAAAAAUUUGUAUCGGUUAAACAAGAGAAGAAAAAAGAUUAAAUUUUAAAAUUUAUUAUUGUUUUUAAAAAAUACAUAUAUAAUUGGAAGAAAAGUAAAAAUGAUGAAAAAAAUUAUCUUCAUGAUUUAAAGAAGUGAAUGUAUAAUAUUUUAUCAUCAUGUCAAUAUUAUGUUUAAUUAGUACUAUUUGGCUAAUUUAUAAAAAAAUUUAGUUGAUUUGGGUAUAUUAACUUAUAAGUGUUUGACCAAAUAAUACGUUUUUGAAAUAUGACAUAUUGUAUAUAGAUUUAAAACAAAACCGUUAAAACCUCAAAAUUUACAUAAAAUUAUUAUAUUAAUAUUAUAAUAUUUUAAUAUAUUAUUAAAUCACUAAUAUAUAAAAUUUAUAUCUUAAUAAAUAUAAUUGAUUGUAUAUUAUUUUUAUUAACAAAAUAUCCACGCAUAACAUGAACGCAAAAUCUAGUAUAAUAUAUAAAAGCAGCUGUUUGGUGCUCUUUGGAUGUCUACAUCAGCUUCUUAACAAUUUUUCAAAAAGUUGCCACGUGGCAUAAGCAAGUCGCGGUUUGUAGAAUCAAAUCAAUUCAUCUUCCAAGCCUCAAUUUCUUUCGGCAAUGUAACUCUCUAAUUACUGAUUAUCGGUCUCUCUUAAAAGUUCAAUCGACAAAACCUACGGCGGAUACACUGUCACAACACUUUGGUUUAUUUUUGUUGUACGUGAACGUCGUAAAGUCAGUAAUGAAUGACAGAACUGGAGCGUCCAUGGGACAGAGACUGCUGUUUUGUCUUGGAAGAGUUUUGCUGAAAAGAAACAAGGGCAUCCAUAACUUCCACCAAGGUUAGGGUCUCCGCUUGAUUUACUUUUGUUUUAAUUAACCAGUAUGUGAGUUUUCCUAGAUUGUAUACUAAUUUUUUUUUGCUUUGUUAUUUUUUCCCUGUUAUAGGUUGGCAGAAACGGCCAGCUACACCUUGCUCCUUACUCAGGAUUUGUUUGUAGUCAAAACAUCACAGUUGCUCUCUUCAUAUUUCCAACUGGCCUCUUGGUUGCAUUCAUCUUCCCUUCAAGUAGUUUCUUCCUAUCUCGUGAUUCUCCCAUGUGUUAUACUAAGCGUUUCAGAAUCUGAAAUCUCCUUAUAUGUAGAGACAACAGCAUAAUUAGGAUCAGAGUUCUCAAACAAGAUGAUUUCAUGUAACUGUACGUUUCUGCUUUUCAAUCUCAUGAUUCUCCCAUGUGCUACGAUAAAGGUUUUUUGAGUCUUGAUUCUCUUCAUAUAUAAGAAAGUCAUAAGCAGAGUAUAAAUUUAGGUUCAGAUUUCUUACACUUAUUUAACAUCGCUCCCACCAUGUUUUCUGUUUCUUUUUCAAAUGCUAUUGCCUAUUGGUAUUGAAUUAGCCUUUUAUCGCUAGAACUGAGUAUUAGUUGUUUCUGGGAAACUUUGUCUCUGAGAUAUUAGGAUAAAAUAUGAUGUCAUGAUCUUUUAUCUGAAUCCUGCAGGAAGUGUAAUGACCUACUAUUGCUAUUUCCGAUGCAAGUGGUGUAGAGUAAUGAUGCAGUGGUAGAAGAAGAAAACAAGGUGUGAUGAUUAUUUGGGCUUCUCGACUAGAGUGCUUUGAGUAAUGCUUGCUUUUAGGCUGCAAGGUCUUUUUUAUAGGUUUAUUCACCUAAUUCUUAUUUACGAUUGCAGAGCUCAGGCCUUGAUAUUGUCCACAUGAACAACCGAAUACAAGCUAUUGGAUUAGACACCAAUAUUCAAGCAAAUGCAUGCAUCAGUGGGAAAAGCGUUGGAGAAGGCAUCAGGAAGCUGGAGCAUGUGUCCAUGUUAUGUCCGGGACACUUGUUUGUGUCUGUGACAUGAUAAAGAGGACAAGUCUACGUACCAGUGCUAUUAAACUUCUGAUUCUUGUGAAUCUGAUGAAAUGUUGAGAAGAGUAUUCAAGGACCAAAUCUGUGAUGUUUACAGAUAUCUUCCACCUUAUCUACAGGUCCAGUUUCACUGCUCAAAUAUAGUUUGGUGGGUAGAGUACGCAAACAAAAACAAAAAUUAAGAAGUAAGUGGCAUUGUACAUAUGUUUUUUCCCGUAUGCGCACAUGUAAUUUACUAAAUUUUUUAUGGGCUGCUUAUAAUCUCCAGACGAAGUUACAAUACAAAAUAGUUGAAAAAAUAAUAUUUUAGACGAUGAAAAAAACAAAUUUAUGUAUGCAUAUGUAUCGGCAAAAGAGUUUAGAAGAUGAUGGGAGUAAAACCGGGCAACACGUGUUUAAAGUUUAAACCUCUUUUGCUCAUUCAAAAAGAAUACCAUAUCGUUGUUUAAUAGGUUUGUUGCUAAUCCAUCGUUAACAUAAGUUACAUAACAGAUGACGUUUAUCCAAUAUUAAAUUCUUAUUGGUCUCUUUAGAUAACCAACCAAGAAAAGGAGAAAUAUAUCUUAAAAACAAAAUAUUACCGGACAUCAAUUCAAAAUAUCUUAUGAUCACGAUAUAUUCGUAUUCAAGCAAUGAAUGUAGAUGCAUAAAGAUCUAAAUAGUGACUGACAAAAACACUUCAAUAUUGACUUAAUUCAACAGCUCAUGUAUCAGAUCAUGAACCAAAGGUUGAUCCAUAAAAUCGGUAAGCUUUUUAUGUCUAUGGAGCAAGUCCACUCUACAAGUUAGUUUUGGGUACUACGUACUCGCUUUUGUCCACAUUUUAUAAUAUUCUAACUAGGUCUUUCAUCCGUCCUACACGCGGAUACGUGUUUAUUAAUUUUUAACUUUAAUAGAAACUAUUUGAAAUUUGUUAAAGUACAAUGUUAAAAGAAUUAUAUACUUUUUUUUUACUUUACUAUUUAGUUUAUGAAAGAAAUUCUCAUAAUAAUUAAGAUAUAGUUUUUUAAUUAAUUAUUAUUAAAACAUAUUUAAAAGUUUUGUGUCAACAUUCAUAUUUGUAUAGAGAUUGUAAUUUGUUUAAUCGGGUAAUCUGCUUUGUUAUUUUCAAUCACUGCAGCUACAUAUUUUGUUUAUAAAUGAUAUUUUGUUGUGAAAACUUAGAAACUUUAUUAAUCACUGGAAUGUAUAUAUAGAGUACAUAGGGAAUCUAGGUUAAGUACAAUGCCCUGAUGAGCCUAAUGGGCCGGUAUAAGAGUCCAUAUAUGAUAUGUGUUAUAGCACUCCCCCUUGGACGAGUGAACCGGGUCAGCUACUCAAUCGGGAUCUCGAUAAUGCGCUGGGGAAUAUUGCCUCAUUAAAACCUUACCAGGAAAAACCCAGUGGGACAAAACCAUGGUGAAGGAAAAAGAGUACAACACGCAUUACCCCCCCUGAUUGUAGCAUCACUGCAGAUCUCUAAGUCUAUACAUUCCUAUCUGUUUGACGAGCUUCCGGUGUGUUGAAGUAGGCAAUGAUUUGGUGAAGAGGUCAGCUGAAUUCUCACUGGAUCGGACCUGCUGAACGCUGAGAGUGCCGUCCUUCUGCCAGUCUGAGGUUGAGAAGAACUUCGGUAGAAUGUGCUUCGUCCGAUCUCCUUUGAUAUAUCCUUCCUUGAGCUGAGCUAUGCAUGCCGCGUUGUCUUCAUACAUCACCGUGGGCUGUGUGUCUUCGUCCAUACCACAAUCUCUGCGGAUGUGCUGAGUCAUGGAGCGCAGCCAGACGCAUUCCCUACUAGCCUCAUGAAUGGCUAGGAUUUCAGCAUGGUUUGAUGAAGUGGCAGUGAGUGUCUGCUUCAUUGAUCUCCAAGAGAUGGCUGUUCCUCCAUGCGUAAAAACGUAGCCAGUUUGAGACUUGGCAGUGUGCGGAUCUGAUAGAUAUCCUGCAUCGGCGAAGCCGACUAACCCAUCUUUAUUUUGGUUAGUAUAGAAGAGUCCUAAGUCUUGAGUACCUCGAAGGUAUCUUAGGAGAUGUUUUAUACCGUUCCAGUGCCUCUGAGUUGGAGAUGAACUAUAUCGAGCGAGGAGGUUCACGGCGAAACAUAUGUCUGGUCUAGUGUGAUUAGCCAGGUACAUUAACGCUCCUACAGCACUGAGGUAUGGCUUUUCAGGACCAAGGAUUUCUUCAUCAUCCUUUUUGGGACCAAGAGGGUCAUCACUUAAGCUUCUAACUACCAUUGGGCUGGUCAAUGGGUGAGCUUGGUCCAUAUUAAAUCGCUUGAGUACCUUUUCGAUAUAAGCCGAUUGAUGCACAAGGAUUCCUCCUUUGAUGUACUCAAGUUGUAAUCCCAAACAGUACUUUGUUUUGCCUAGGUCUUUCAUUUCGAAUUUUGCUUUUAAGCAGUCGACUGUUUGGGAGAUCUCACCAGAUGUUCCGAGGAUGUUUAGAUCAUCCACGUAUACUGCUAUGAUUACAAAUCCUUUGUUUGAGUACUUCUUGAUGAAGAUGCAUGGACUGAUGGGGUCAUUUUUGUAGCCUUCUUUGAUGAGGUAAUCGCUGAGGCGGUUGUACCACAUACGCCCACUUUGUUUCAGUCCAUACAAGGAUUUGUUCAGCCUGAUGCAGUAUUGAUCUCGAGAUGCAUUUUUGUCUUUUAGUUCAAUGCCAUCUGGGAGUCUCAUAUAUAUUUCGUUGUCCAGGGGCCCAUAGAGAUAUGCGGUUACAACAUCCAUUAACCGCAGAUCAAGAUUUUCUCUUAUGGCCAGACUUAUGAGGAAUCGGAAUGUUGUUGCAUCCACCACUGGAGAAUAAGUCUCCUCAUAAUCGAUUCCGGGUCUCUGUGAGAAUCCUUGUGCUACAAGCCGUGCUUUGUAUCGAACGACUUCACCGAGUUCGUUCCUUUUGCGCACAAAGACCCAUUUGUGGCCCACUGGCUUGAUGUGUGAUGGGGUCCGGAUGAUCGGACCGAACACGUUUCUGAGUUUGAGACUCUUUAACUCCACGUUUAUGGCUUCUUUCCAUUUUAGCCAAUCUGUUCGAUGUGUACACUGUGUUAUUGACGUGGGUUCUAGAUCCUCUUGCGUGAGCGCAACAUCAAGUGCUACUUUGUAUGCAAAGAGUGCAUUUAAGUCGACUUCUUUUCGAUUCCAUUGUAUUCCGGACAUAUUGUAAUUGAUGGAGAUCUCAUUGUUAUCUUCUGAACCUGGAGAUUCGGCGUCCCGAACUUCCAUUGAGGGUUCAUUAGAUUGAGUCUCAGCCACGGCUAUGUCUGAUAUUGCAGGAAUCCUGGUUUCGGUUAUUGCACCUUUCUUUGAUUUCCGGGGAUUCUUAUCUUUGGAACCGAGAGGUCUGCCCCGUUUGAGACGUGGUGCAGACUCUGUAGCAACUUGGGUCUGUCCCGUUGGGACAGCUAUUCGUACUGGUGCAUUACAAGCUGGGAUGUACGAUUUGGUUACUUUGGUCGGGUCAGCAAAGGAAUCUGGCAAUUGAUUAGCUAGCUUUUGAUAAUGAAUAAUCUUUUAGAUCUCUGAAUCACAUUCUAGAGUCCGAGGAUCUUGCCAAUUUAAUGAUGUUUGAUUCCAUGAAAGAUCUUUGACCAGCUUGUUUGUCUCACCACCUAAAGAGGGAUAUACCGAUUCAUCGAAUUGGCAAUCCGCAUAUCUGGCCUUGAAGAGAUCUCCAGUGGUUGGCUCGAGAUAUCUUAUGAUGGUGGGAGAGUCAAAACCAACAUAUAUUCCCAUCCUUCUUUGAGGUCCCAUUUUGGUUCGAUGUGGUGGAGCAAUGGGUACAUAUACUGAACACCCAAAUGUUUUGAGAUGGGAGAUGUCUGGCUCAUGACCCGAGAGUAGUUGGGAUGGGGAAUAUUUGUGUUCACUAGAUGGCCGGAUGCGUAUGAGUUCAGCAGCAUGUAAUACUGCAUGUCCCCAUGCUGAGGCCGGGAGCUUUGAUCUCAUGAGUAAUGGUCGGGCUAUCCAUUGAAUGCGUUUAAUGAAUGAUUCAGCCAAUCCAUUUUGAGUAUGGACAUGUGCUACAGGAUGUUCCACGGUUACCCCCAUGGCCAUACAGUAGUCAUUAAACGCUUGUGAGGUAAAUUCACCAGCAUUGUCAAGGCGGAUAGUCUUUAGUGGGAAGUCAGGGAAAUGGGCCCGCAAUUUUAUGAUUUGGGCCAAGAACCUAGCGAAGGCUUGGUUCCGAGAGGACAAGAGACAAACAUAUGACCAACGGGUCGAUGCGUCUAUACGGACCAUGAAGUACCGGAAUGGUCCGGAAGAUGGAUGUAUAGGUCCACAGAUAUCGCCCUGGAUUCUUUCUAGGAAAUGAAGUGUUUGUUUAGAGAUUUUAACUGGUGAAGGCCGAGUGAUCAAUUUGCCUUGAGAACAAGCUGUGCACAUGAGGUGUUGAGGAUAAGCUCGGUUUUCUUUGAGGGUAUGCCCUUGAGAGUUUUGAAUUAGUUUACGCAUCAUAUUUGCACCGGGAUGACCGAGCCAGUCGUGCCAAAUAGUAUAAUCAGUAAACCGGGCUUUGAGAGUGGUAUUAGCUUCAAUCAUACUGACUUUAGCAUGGUAAAGUCCAGUAGAGAGCGCGGGUAUGAUUUCGAGGAUUUGUUUAUGGCCGUCUACGGUUUUAGUGACUAGGAGGGAUUCUUUGUUCCCUUGACCUUGGGUUUCUAUGUGGAAACCAUUCUGUCUUAUAUCCUUGAAGCUCAGAAGAUUUCUCUUCGAACUAGGAGAAUAUAGAGCAUCUGGUAUUUCAAGUUGUGUGCCAUUUGAUAGCAACACAUAGGCAUGGCCAUAUCCUUCGAUAAGGUUUGAGGAACCCGCGAUGGUGCUAAUAUUUGCGGUUUGAUAGGUUAGGUUUAUGAAGUAACUUUUGUUUCUUAAGAUAGUGUGGCUGGAUCCACUAUCUACGACUAUGGUUUCCAUUUGCUGGUGUGCUUUAUUAUGAAUAGAAGAUAGAAUUCAGUAUUGAGGAAUUCAGAAAAUGUGAUAAAUCAUAAAGUAAAGCAGUGUCUGAGAAUAAAGGCAAAUGGAAAAAAAAAAUGAAACAAAUCCCAAAAUGAAAAAAAUAAAGAACAAAAUCAAAUUGUAUCAGAGUUUCAGAUGAUUGAAUUAAUCGAGGAGAUCAGCUGUUUCAUAGUCCAUGGGGUCGGUCUGCUCGUUUGUGGUGUUCUCAUCAUCAAGGAGGUCGUCACCUUCCAGGUUAGCAGCAUCGACUGGCUGAGUCAUGUUGGCUUCAGCAGGAGCUUUUCCGUACUUCUGGUAUAGAUCGCAGUGGAUCUUGGGGGUGCGACAUUGCUUUGUUGGGUGGUUGAACAUCCCACAUCUGGUACAAGCAGAGUGAUCGGGGUUGGUGUGGCGGGUCGGCUUGGUGAUGCCUCGACCACGACCAGGACCAUAACUAAGGUUAGGUCGGUUGCCACGACCAUGUCCGCGUCCACGUCUUCCACGUCCAUGUCCUCGGCCAUUACCACGUCCAUUACCACGUCCACGGCGGUGAUCUGAGGAUCUAUCGGGUUGAACAUGGUAGGACUCUUGACGAGAAGCUGGGACAGGAGCCGAUCCCGGGGGCCUCAUAGCGCUGUUCCUCAUAAGCAGCUGGUUAUUCUUCUCAGCGAGGAGAAGACAGGACAACAAGUCUUCGUACAAUGUGUGUUUCAUUGCACGGUAUUGUUGUUGGAGCACAACAUUCUCUGUGCUGAAUGUGGAUAAUGUUUUCUCGAGGAGAUCAUUAUCUGUCACAUCCUCGCCACAGAGUUUCCGGAUGGCAACAAUACGAAAGAGUUCGUUGUUGUAAUCAUUUACGGAUUUGUAGUCCUGGAACCGAAGGUUCUUCCAGUCGAAAUCUGCCUGAGGCAACUGGACCAUUUUCUGAUGGUCAUAUCGCUUUUUCAGCGCUUGCCACAAUUCAAGUGGAUUCUCAAGAGUGAGAUAUUGCUGCUUAAGGCUCGGGGCCAGAUGAUGGCGUAUAUGACAUAUCGCCUGAGACUGUCCCUUACGGGAUGCGGUGUUACCGUCAGUAAUACACGCAUCGAGUUCUUUCGAUGCAAGGAACAAGCGCAUGUCUAGGGCCCACUCGAGGUAGUUAUCCCCGGAGACGUGAAGGGCCUCGAAUUCACAUUUCUGAAUGUUUGACAUCUGAAACAUGAGAUUGAUUUUGUUAGGGAUUGUUUUGAGAAAAUUUUGAAUGCUGAUGAUGAAACUUUCUAUUUUGAGAAUAUUUCUAUUUUAGGAAAGUUUCUAAAUUUGGAAAGUUUCUAAUUUGGGUAAUUUUCUAAAUGAGGAAAAUUUCUAUGUCGGGAAAAUUUCUAUAUGAGGAAAGUUUUUUUUUUUUUUAUAUGAGGAAACUUUCUAUUAGAGGGAACUUUCUCGGAAAUAGUAAAUUUUAAAGGGUAUGGUUUUAGUUACACCGAACAUGAUGUCGGUUUAAUAGCUGUGAUUUAAUCGGUUAAAGCCGAAUAUAAUUUCGGUUAAUGAGAACCAGGUUUAACCGGUUUUAGGCGGUUUAGGAGGAACCCUAGGGGAGCCGAAUAUGAUUAGGGUUUUAUCUAGGGUUUUAACGGGUUUAGGGUUUUGUAGAUUAGGGUUUUAUAAAACGAGUUUAAAACCUUUGAACAUGCAUAAACUUGUAAUUUAAACAAUCAAUCAACAAGUUAUCAAUCAAUCAUCAGAGUAUCAAACACUUUCAAUCAAUUAGAGAUCGAUUUUUUUUUUUUAUAGGGUUUUGAAGUGUUUAAACAACAGGUUCUAUGGCUCUCAGUUUUAGAAGAUACAUUUUCCACCUUUGGAUUUCUAACAGGCUAAUGAAACUGGGAGCUAAUAGACCUCAGUUAGCCGCUACAAAUUCCAAGGAUUGAUCACCAAAACUGGAGAAGCUGCUGGUUGAAGAAGGAAAAACUCGGAUCUGGUUUUUUUUUUUUUUUUUUUUUUUUCGGUUGAUCGUCGUGUACUGUAAGUGUGCGUGAGGGCGCGUCCGACGUUGGAUCGACAAACGGUUUUCACCAGUAGAUUCGUCUCGUCGAGGGCUUCGAUUUGAUAUGUAGAUCGUCUUCUGGUUCCUCACGGUUUGGAAGAUAUGCGUCUUUUAAGUUUCGACUUGCUUUUAGGGUUUUGGUGGUGGCCGGAUUUAUUAGGGUUUUUCGCUCAGAGAGUCUUAUCGUGCUGAUAACGUGUUGUGAAAACUUAGAAACUUUAUUAAUCACUGGAAUGUAUAUAUAGAGUACAUAGGGAAUCUAGGUUAAGUACAAUGCCCUGAUGGGCCUAAUGGGCCGAUAUAAGAGUCCAUAUAUGAUAUGUGUUAUAACAUAUUUGAAGUUCUUGUAAUUCUUUUUUCCAUUUUUUCAAAUUUUAUGAAUUUCUACAAUGCCCAUCACUUUUGUUCUAUUUUAAAUUAUUUGUUUUUGUUAUUUUAAAUCUUUGUUUCUAUUUUUUCUAUUUUUUAACAAAAUAAAAUAACAUGUGUGUAAUUCAAAUAGGAUUGGACUAUUUGUCAAUUGUAAUUUCUGUAGAAUAGUUAAGCUUAUAAGAUGUGUGAGUGGAGUGGUAAACGUGCUUACUCUUUUAGUUGUAGGUGAAUAUCUAUUUUGGAUUUAGUGAUACUAUUGCCUACGUCAUAAGAUUUACCAGUCAAUUCUGGGUAGCUGAAGUUCUAGUUGUUGAUAAAUACCACUUUUCCAAGAGCGUCUACACAAACGAAGUGUAGUGUUAGAACAUGAUGAAAUUUCAAAAUAUAUGUAUACAUGGAGAGAAGAGAUUAGUUUACCAUAUAGGUCUACAUUCAUGUCGACUGCUUCUUUAAAUGCUCGAAGGAUCGAAUCCUAAAAUUUUGCUUUCUAAUAGUAUGAUCAGCUUGAGUGUCCUUAACCAUUGUUGUUUGUUGAGUGAAUUGGAUUUGAAAUUUGUGAGAAGUUACUUUGUAGCUGGUCUUGUUUUCAAGGACAACAAAAGUUUUGAUCCUGUAAACUACAUUGGGCUGUAGUUCUUCAUCAUAGUAACCUAUACGGUUAGCUGAUAUGAAUGCAUAGAUGAUGGUUGACUGCAAGACAAAUAAAAAAUUAUUAAUAUUGUCUUAUAGCUUUUGAGUACAUUAUGAAUUGUUAAAUUUUGUAAUUACCUUUUGAUCUAUGAGAAGUAUUUCGAGUCCCAUAAGUAAACCGCAUUUUUUAGUGUUUCUUGUCUCCAGAAGUGUAAGAUUCUAACAAGCAAUUCUUUUUUGUUAAAACCUCUUUGAAGCUCGUUGAAACUUAAGGAAGAAUUAGCCAUUAUUUUAUCAAUAACUCUAUGUCUCUCUAUCUCUCUUGUUUAUUUGUGAACGUAUUGGAAUUGUAAACACUUAUUUAUAUAAUCGAUAGCAAUCCUAUAUAUGACUAAUAAAAUUAGAUUUUAUAGCUACAUUCGUUUUCUAUUAAUAUACUAAUAGGAUUAGCUUUUCUCGUUAACUUCCUUUUCCUUUUCUAUGUUUUUUUAAUUUUAUUUUCUUUUUUUAUUAAUGGGACUUUUUCAAAUUCUAUUAAAAAUAAAAUUAACUACUAUUGAAAUUAAUAUUAAAAUACGAUGUAGCUAUAAUAUAUAAAAAGUUAAAAAAUCCUUUGACAUGUUUUUUUUUAAUUAAACUUUUGUCAGAUAUAUAGUUAAUAGAUUUUUUUAUUAAUUAAACUUUUUCAAAUAUAUACUAAAUAGAUUUUUAUAUUAAUUAAACUUUUUUUUAGAUAUAUACUAAAUAUAUUUUUUAUAUUAUCAAUACAAUAUUAAAAUUUAAAAAUUUACUUAAUUUUAAAUGGUGAUAUAAACCAAUAUAAUUGCUCUUUUUAAGCCUAUGUGAACACCUUAAAAGCAUUUAGCUUCAACUUUUAUCUAUUAUAUUAAAACAGAAGCAUAUUUAGUACUUGCUUCCAAACACUCUUAAUUUUUUUUAAUGUUUAAAAAUAUUUUUAAUAAUUAUUUAUAUUUAAUUUCGAAAAUUAGUUAUUAAUUUAAAUAUUUUUAGAGUUCCUUAAAUAUAGGUAAUUGAGAUUUGAUUUGAUUUGAUUAAAAAUAAUAAAUCAGAUAUUAAUUUAGAUUUGAUUUAAAGAUUCUAAUUUAAAUAAUUUCUAUACUAUUAAACAUUUUUAUCAAAAAUAUCUAGAAUUUUUGAAAAAAAAAUAAUUCACAUGUGAAAAAUAAUGGUCAUAUUUGAAAUAUAAAAUAUUUAUAAUGAUGUAAAUGAUAUGAUAUUUAUGUUGCUUAUAUAAUAUAUUUACGAUUAUGAUUUAUUUACAAAUUAAUAAUAAAAUAAUAGGUAAAAUUCAAAUAUAGAAUUUAAAUAUUAAAAAUAUAUUUUUUAAAAUUCAUAGAACUAAAAAUAUAUAUAAAAACCAAGUUAAAAAUAUUUUGGUAACUAAAAUCACUAAUUUUGAAUUAUACAUGUAUAUCGAAAAUAUAUUUUUCAUUUCAAAUAAAAACAUAAAAACUUAAAAAUUAUUGCAUACACUAUAAUGUGGUUUGAAAAGCCAGUUGUAAACUCUCUUCAUUGAUUAAAUUUUAGAAAACUAUAAUGCUAAAUAAUACUGUUAAUACAUCUUAAAUUUUUAACAAAUAUUUAUAUUAUACGGUAAUAUAAACGGAAAAGUUAGAAUUAUGUUUUUAUAAUAGUUCAUUUUGAAUUAAUAUUAGCGGACGGAAAAUUAUAUUUUUAUAAUCAUAAUUAAUUUUAAUACUAUAAAAAUAUAUCUAAACACAAAAAUCAAUAUUUUCACUUAUUAAAAUAUAUAUUUAUAAAAAUAAUUAUAUCUAAACUCAAAACUACAAAUUAUAUUACAAAAUUCGUUAAACAAUAAAAAAUAUUUCCGUGCAUCUGCACGGGGUUAGAAUCUAGUUAGUUUUAAGAUGUAUGCAAAAAGUUAUAAUAAGAACAUUUUCUAAGAAAAAAAGUUGACAAAAAAAUACAAAUAAUUUUCGUUGGAUUUCCGACAAAAUCCAGUUUUGGUCGAGUUCAAUCUGAUAAUCCGAAACCCAUGAAUAUUUCCAACCGAUUUUCUAUGCGUUUCUCCAAAAUCACCUGUCUUUUUAGUGGUUAUUGACUUGUUGUAGAGAGAGAACAAAUAAUCACACAAGCUUCUAGUGGAUUUGCAUGGAUCAAAUAAUUUUCUUUCAAAUCGUUAGAUAUUUUCUUUCAAAUCGAUCAAGUAUCUCGAGUGAUCAUCUGUAUCCUAGUGAAUUUGAGCGGCAUUGAGGGCUAAAUCCUUACACAAAGCAACAUACGCUUUGAGUAAAAAAUUUCGUGGGAAUAUAUAUAUAUAUAUAUAUAUAUAUAUAUAUAUCUUAACAAUAUUAGACAUACCAGUGUUUGUCUAAGCAAUACAGCAUAAAUGCAUCAUACAAAAUUAUAUAAUGAUAAGCAAUCCAACAUAAAUACAUAAUACAAAUUUAAUAAUGAUAAGCAAUACAAAGUCUGGAACAAAAUAUUAGUCUAUAAAUUUUGAAAACUAUUUUAUGUGGACAACGCUUUUUACAAUAAAAGCAAUUAGGUCGAGUCAUAUGUUGAUUGUUGGACAGAAAAGUUACCUUUCUAUCAUUGUAGACCCACGACAAACCGGGCUUCAUGUAUAAGUCAUUCCCUAGCAAACAUUCAACGUGUAGGGUGACACAACAAUACUCAUCACACGUAUAAUAUCGUUCUCCAGGAUUUAUGUUUUUCUCGCAAACUUCACACCAAUACGUCAUGAAAUUUGUCUCGUUCCCAUAAGAAAGAGUGAGCAUAUGUGAUACACGUUAUACAACCAUCAACAAAACAGAAAAGCUAAUUAAGUUUAUGUGUUUCCUUUUUGCAAUAGGAUUAUGUUUUGGUGUUUUCCUUUUAUUGGUUUUAAGCUUUAGGAUGUUUUUAAUUUAGGAGAAUUGGUUUGUAGCGUGGACUAUAUAUAGGUCCCUUAUAUUCAAUAAGAAGACAACUUCUAACAAUUAACCUAAUUCUCUAAGAGAGACUUGGGUUAAGAGGAAGAUUAGCUAAAUCUUUUCUAAUUCUCACGUUAAAACUACGGCUCCAGUUACAAGAUCGAAGUCAAAGUUGCAGGCUCAUAUCAACUUGGUAUCAGAGCCGAACGAUUCGAUGGGAGACAUUGAUUCCGUUGCUGUGCAACUCGCAAAAAUAAUGGAAGCAAUUCUGGAGAUGAAAUCAGCGAUGAGUCCAAUGCAAACUACGUUGGGGGCUCUUGAGGAGAAGACGACGACUCAACAAAUAGCGUUGGAAGCAACGGUUGCAGCUCAGAAAGAGAUGAGCGAGCAGACGCAAAAGGCAAUCGCACAACUUCGAGAAGAGCAGUUGGCGAUUCGCAACGACCAAACCGCCUUGCUGGAACAACUUUCACAGGAAUCAACAACACAAGUCCAGAAACCUGAGGAACUCUCUGCGUCUGGAAAACAGAGUGGAUCUACUUGUGUUCAAGGAAUAGUGAAGGCGAACAAAGUCAGUUCUGAGGUUGAGGGUGAUGAUUUCACACCAGCAAAAAAGGGCAAGAACAUACCUGACGGUAAUGGUGGAUUUCAGAAACAAAUUACAUCAGGAGGACCAUGGCCAAUACGUUCGAUUGGCAGAGAAAGAGGAAACCGUCGUACAGACGCGGGAGGUGACUGGAACGUGCGAGCAAUAGGAGCUCCACUUCACAAAGCUUAUCCUACCUACACAGCUGGUGAUUUUCGUUUGCAAGAAGAAGCUCCAGGUGACUACUCAGGGGGAUCCGAUGGGUGUGUAAUACCACCAUCAAAGAUGGAAUUUCCUCCAUACGAUGGUACUAUAAACGCAGUCGAGUGGUUACAGAAGUGUGAAGACUAUUUCAUCGAUCAAAGAGUGUUUAAUGAUGAUGCCAAGGUACGAAAAGCAACCUUGUUCUCACAGGACAAGCGUAUCAUUGGUACACCAAUCUCCGGCGUUUGGUUACGCACAAACUAGGGUGGGCUGAAUUCAAAAAAAAAUCUGUAAAACCCAUUUUGGACGAGCAGAUUCUGUAAACCCUGUUGGAGAGUUAUGUAAUUUGAGGCACACUGGGACAGUUGACGAAUACUGCAAUCAAUUUGAGGAGUGUCUUGGUCGGCAAACACGUCUCUGGAGAUCAACAACUGUGGCAGUUUUGUGCAGGUUUGACAGAUGGUUUGCGCAAAGAGGUGGAAUAUCUUCGUCCUGAGACAAUUUUUGAAGCAAUGGAGUAUGCUCGAGAUAAUGAAUACAAGAUCGAAAGAGACAAACGCGUACGCGCGUUUGGAGGACAUAUGGCUCCAUUAGCUAGACACUUAAUCCAAAAAACUUGGCCAAAAAUGUCAGAGACCAACGGACUGGACAAGGAAGCUUGAUUGCCUCUAGAAGAGGAAGCUAAAAAUACUCCACAAAAGCAGUAUUCGAAGAAGUUAACAAGGGCAGAAAUGGCAGAGAGACAAGCAAAAGGAAUUUCUUUCAAUUGCGAUGAGCUCUUCACGCGAGAUCAUGUUUGUACUCCGGUUCUCUUUCAUAUAAUGCCAGUCAUGGAUGGAGAUGAUCAAGAGGACGAACCAUUUGAAGAAGAGGACUUUGUGGGAGAACGCCGAAACUGCUAGAGGCUGAAUUGGAGCUUGAGGACAAGCUCCUAGUCGAGAAGGGGAGUAAUGAUACACGUUAUACAACCAUCAACAAAAUAGAAAAGCUAAUUAAGUUUAGGGGUUUUUGCUAAAAAUAACCCAAAACUUGAUUUUGAAUACAAAAGUAGACCCCUGAAAAAACAUUUGGCAGAAAUAACUUAAAUGGAUAGUGAAAAGACCAUUUAAUCUCGUAUGAGUAAACAAAAACGGAUGUCCUAAUUACCGUUUACUCCCUGACGAAGUCUACUAAAGUGAAAAUGAAGUCUACUAAGUAAUUAAAUCUGUAAAUUUAAUUUAAAAAUUUAUAAAAAAAUAUUUUGGUAUGAAAUUUACCAUCAUAAAUUCCGUAAUCGUAACCCAAUUGCACAGAAAUUAUUUUUUCACAUUGUUAAAUGGAAAUGUAUGUUUUUAAAUUAAGUAGAAGUAAAUUUGUUAUUUAGGUUUUAAAAGUUAUAGACUUCGAUAUUGAAGUCUACUAAACCGAAUAAAUUAACCUAACCGAAAUUUAAACGGAGAUUAAACCGGGAAUAACUUCUCUUAACCAAGAGAAACUGCCUUUAACCGGGUAAAUUUACCUAGACCCCGGAAAAUUAGUAACAUUAACCGAACUAAACUUACCCGAACCGUACGGAAUUACCAGACUAUAUAUACGAAUUUUACAGAUCCCGUUAAAAAAAACCGUCGAAAGUUCGUGUAAAAAAAAAAAAGGUCGAAGGCGAUUUCUGCUUCUCUGCUCCGGCGCCGCCGAUAUACAGAACCGCCGCCGAUAAAACUCGUUCAGGCAAGUUUUCUUUCUCCAACCACACCCCCAUGCUUCCCUACUCCUCCGUAUUCAUCACAGUUCCGAUUUCGUAACCCCCAGUUUUCCGAUCUGAAAUUAGGGUUUUUUUUUUUUUUUUGCAGAUCUGCUUUCGCCGUUGGAGGUUAACGUCAUUUCCUGCCUCAAAACGGUUAAUAGAUGUUGUUCCGAAGUUAUAUACUUAGCAAUUCUUAAAUUUCUUCUAUCUUAUGUAUGACCUAGGUUUUUUUUUUCUCGACGCCAGCUUCAUCUAAUAAAGGCGGUAAAAUUAUAAACUAUGUAGAUUCCAUUUCGAUGAUUUGUAUUAGUAGACUUCAUAUACAGUAUUUAUCAUGUAUUGAUUGCUUCGGUUGGGUUCUGUAGACUUCAUAUGUAGUAUUUAUGAUGUUUUGAUUGCUUCAUAUACUGUUUUUUUAUGUUAAGAUUGCUUCGGUUGGCUUCAGUAGACUUCGCGACUCGGAUUGUACUUAGAAUGUGAAAGUAGACUUCAUUUUGUGAAAGUAGACUUCAUUUUGUGAAAGUAGACUUCAUUUUGUGAAAGUAUACUUCAUUUUGGGAAAGUAGACUUCUUUUUGUGAAAGUAGACUUCAUGUGUAGACUUCUUUUUUUGAAAGUAGACUUCAUUUUGGGAAAGUAGACUUCUUUUUUUGAAAGUAGACUUCUUUUUUUGAAAGUAGACUUCAUUUUGGGUUUAGGGUCUUCAUUUUGGGAAAGUAGACUUCAUUUUGAUAAUGUCUACUUUCAUUUUGAUAAAGUAGACUUCAUUUUGAUAAAGUAGACUUCAUUUUGAAAAUGUAGACUUCAUUCGUGUGUAGUUUAAAACCGUGACUAGUUUUUCUCAUUAGAGAUUUGUUACCGUUGAUGCAGGAAUCUUUGUUAGAUAAUGGUGGCCUCUGAAUUCCCCAGAAGACUUUACACCAAAGGGUUUGAGCCAGCCCCGGAUAAAACCAUCGGCUAUUAUGCUGAUGAUUAUAGGCUGGUCCUUGCACUAAAGUCAGCUCUAGAAGAGGAUGAAUGGGAAGAGAUUUACGAGUCACCGUUGGGUGUCUUUUUAAAGUUCCACGAGUUGGAUUUUGGUUGGGCUUCUAGGCUGGUGCACCACAUGCUCACCUUUCAGAUAGUUUGCAAGCAGAGGUACGAGAUAUGGAGCCUGAUUGGUACCACUCCAGUUCGGUUUUCAUUGCAUGAGUUUGAGGAGAUCACCGGACUCAACUGCGGGUACGUGGAUGACUUGGCUUUAACUGAUCUUGCGCUUUCCGAUGACACGCGUGCAUUUUGGGAGCUAAUGGGGGUUGAUGCCGAGUCGGGCCCAAGUACCAUCGAAAUUAUUGAAGCAUGUUCCAACUGCUCAUCAUGGUCUCGUGAUGAUAGGCUGCGGUUGGGUUAUCUUGGGAUCUACGCUGGUUUCAUAGUGGCAACGAGACCCGGCUCAUCCACAAAUGUCAACCAUGCCAGACUAGUGAUGGAUCGCGAAGGUUUUAAGGAGUUUCCAUGGGGAAGAAUUGCUUUUCAGCAUUUGAUCAAUUCUGUUAAGGAGAAAGAUCUCAGCAAAAACAUUCAUAUAGAAGGAUUUGUGCAAGCUCUUCAAGUGUGAGUGUACUAUGCUCUACCGUAUUUUGCUGCUGAAUUUGGCGAACCAUUGCCAAUUGUUACUGAAGAACCUCUUUUACUGUAUUAGUGUAGUAGACUUCUAUGUUAGUAAUGAGUUUCCAAUGUAGACUUCAGAAGUAGACUUCAUAUGUAGACUUCUAUAUGUAUAAUUAAUAGUGUUUGACAUUCAGGUGUAGACUUCUGUUUUAGACUUCAGGAGUAGACUUCAUUGUUAGACUUCAGGAGUAGACUUCAUACGUAGUUUUCCGAGGCUUCAUAUGGCCCAAAUUCAUUUAUUAAUUGUGUUUUUCCAGGCUCGCAUACAGUGCUGCGUGGCUAAGGACUUGGCGGAUAUGUUUCCCGUGUGGGAUGAUGACGAACAGGAUCCAGAUAUUGUCAAGAUUUUCAAUGCACUCCAUGACCCCAAUUUCAAGUUCUCAAAAAACCAUUGGCCUUUGGAAGGUGUUUUGGGUGCACACAUCGUCAAGUCAGAAGCCGGAAAGAGGAGCCUUCCCUCAGAUGAAUCAAGUCGCAAGAGAUCCCGCACAGCCUCUGCAUCUGCCGCAUCAUUCGUUGAUGAUGAAGGGGUCGGAGUUGUCGCUACUAUGAAAGCGCACUUCGACCAAUGCUUCAAAGGCUUUUCAACCAAGAUGCUGAAUGGUCUUGGUAGCUGUGAAAAGCAGAUCAAACUUCUCACCGAGAAGGUUGAAUCUGUAGAGCGUGCGGUAGAAGAGUUGACUACGGGGUCGGAGAAGCACAUUGAGGACGAGCCAACCCAGCAGCAGGGCACUGGAUCCAAGAAGCAUGAAGGGGUUAGUUCCAAAAAUCCUCCGCCUAUACGAAAACAUUACAUGCGAACAAGAUCACACAAAGUUAGGAACACUUAAUACUAAUGUCAUUUGAAUUCGAACAUGUUUACUACUGUUAUGUACCAUGUGAGAUUAUUUACUUAUGUUUUCAAAACUUGUUGUUUACAAUUUUCAGACUAUGAUAAAACAUGUUACUAAAUUAUAGCAUUGGUGUACUCAUUUGUAUAUUCAUGCAUGUUUUUGACAAUAAACUGCAGAGUAAUUCAGAGAAAGAUGAUGCUCCGAUGAAAGCUAAUGUCAACGUUGGUGCGUGUGAGAGUGUUAACGCUCCCGGGGAUGCAAAAGGAAAGAAGGCUGCCGUGAAUGAAGAAGAGGCCCCAGAGACUAGUAUUUGUGAAAUUGACCCGAAGACGUGUGAUGUUGACUUCGACGCGGUUGCACUUGCCAAAAAUGCCAAAGCCAGAGAAGCAGCUCAGCUAGUUGCCCGAGCAACGAGUUCCAGACACCGCCAGCUGGCUGCGACACAGAGGAGUCCCUUCUUAGGAAACAGCACCGCAAAGGCCAUCAUUCCAUCCUCGGCAUCUCACUCCGGCCGUGCCCGUGGAUAUGAUCCUUUUGAUCAAACCGGUGUCAGGGCGAAGUACCACUCUAAUGAACUUUAUCAAAUCAAACCCGUAAGUAGACUUCUAUACAUAUGUAAGUAGACUUCCUCAUAGUAUUAUUUCCUAUCUAACUCUUUCACUUGUACAGUGCCUGGCCAAAAUGCCCAAGACACUCUUCGAUUGAUUGGUAUUACAUUCUCCGGACACCGACAAAAUGGCUAGCUGAUACGGUUAGUGUUUUACUUUAUCAUAGUAGACUUCGUGUUUAGACUUCUUCCGUAGACUUAUAUAAUAGACUUCGUUUGCAGACUUCACUCAUUUCUUAUUUUCCUCAAUGUGCAGCACAUGGAAGCUUACAUCAACUUACUCAGGCUGCGAUUAUCCAAGCAUCCGGAGUGGUUUGUAUCCGACCGAAUUUGCUUCCUGAACUCCAUGUUUGCUACUGUUUGGAGGCGUGACUACGAAGCCUUCAAACAAUCCGAGCCGAAUGCAGAUGGGUCUGGGAAACUUCUACCGCCUGGAGCAUAUUCGUACUACACAGGCGAAUUACCUAUCUACUGCCAGACUAAAAAGACGUGGGCAUAUGAUGUCGACUAUUUGUACUCCAUGUUGCACAUUAGGGAGGACCAUUGGGUAGCAAUAUGGGUCUCAUUUGUGACGAAGCAUAUCACGGUAUGGGAUAGCCAUGCGGCAACCAAACAUGCAUCUGACGAACAAAUUGCUGAAGCUGUGGAGCCUCUUGCGGUUAUGCUACCCUACUUUCUUCAGACAUGUGCACCUGACGAUGACAAGUGGAGAUUCCCCUACACGCCGUUCACCCAUUAGCGAGUACCAGGUACGGAGAUACCUCAAAACAUUCAGAGUGGUGAUUGCGGAGUGUACUGCCUGAAGUACAUCGAGUGUCAUGCAUUGGAUUUACCAUUUCCUCCAGAACUUUGCGAUAAAAACAUGCAAAAAAUCAUGGAGAAAAUGGCUGCAGAGCUCUAUGACGAAACAGGAUGUAAGGGCCAUGAUAAGCUAGAUGCAACCGGGCUGGAUGUCUAUGAUAGACAAGCUUAGUGUUUCCGUUCUUAAAACUAAAUUUGAUUUUUUAUGGCAACUUUUGGGCUACUUGCAUAAAUGACCUUCAAUGUGAUUGGAGGUCAUUUUAGCAAUUGGUAAAUGAUAGGUGUGGAAGUUUUUUGGCCACCUAUCUCAUAAUUAACUUACCAAAUAUGUUGUAUUUUCGUUUAGGAUAUUGUACUCAAACUGAAGUCUACGACUGAAGUCUUUGACUGAAGUCUACUAAGUUGUAAUUGUAUCUGUACUGAAGUCUACUAAGUCUAUUAACAUGUUAGUAUUUCUAAUUUUCGAUUUCACCCUUACAACUGAUUAAGUUAUGUAAUUUUUGAGUAUACUAAAAAGUGUAUACGGCAAACAAGUUGAUACCGAAAAAGUGUACACCGAUAGUGUACACGGAAAAAGUUUUAUUAAAAUAAGAAUUAUAAGUCUACAAACGAAGUCUACAAACGAAGUCUACCAUAGUCAUGUAAACAUAUAAGUAAACCCAAAAAAACAUAAAACAUGGAGUCAAAUAAUUUCACCGCGGCCAUUCAUUUGCAAAUCUAGGAAUUGUUUUCCAGAAUAAGGCACAUUCCAACUUCCAGAAGCAAGGACUGCAGAGUUUGUCACCAUAUGAGUCCACGAGGCGUUCAUCAUCCAUCCAGUGCUGGUUUGGCAGAUUCAUACAGGCACAACUCCUUGAUUGUGCCUUAUCAAAAACAUGGAAGACCGGUUCGUGAAACGCAUCAGGCUUCUUAUAAGUGGUCGGUCACCUGUUUAGGUGCUGCAUAGUCUUCCUCAUCUUCGUUAUUCUGCCGGAACUAUACCUCGAAUGUGGUUAAAUACAUCAUGGCUACCAUCCAUGGUUAAAGAGAACAUAACCAUGAAGUAAGUAGCCAUGAGGCAUCCUCCAUUUGAUGACACCUGUAUUAACUCAAAUCCUUCUUGGAUGCUAUCUUCAUAGAAGAUUAGAGAAACGACUCGUAGGUAUUGCGCUGUAGGAUUUCUACACUCCAAACAACAUCGAAAAAAAGCGUCAACCCUCCCAUGUUGAUCCCAGACCCAUAGAAUCGUCAAAGUUAUUAGAUCAACGGCUCUUAAAAAACCCUCCUCAUUAGAAAUCUCAUUUAGAUGUUUGGAGGAAACCCUUGCUCUACAGAACCCACCGUAGGAACGAGAAGUGAUUUUUAAGAGGAUAUCCCACAGAAUGUCGGAAGGGAGAGAGUUGAAGUUUAUCUGGUUCGACAUCUGCAAGGGGUCUGGAAUGAAACUGUAAUUCGUCUAAACCCGAGAAUUUAUAAGCAAAAAUACAGUACACAAACAGGUACAACGGUUAUAGGCACCGUUAAAGUCGUUAAAGCAGUUACACAUAUGAAGUCGUUUCAAACAUAACCGCCAACAAAAUAUCACACACACAGUAGACUUCGAUAGUAGACUUCCCCAAUAGACUUCUAAAGUUGACUUCCAAAGCAGACUUCUUUGAGAACAAUAGAUGUUUUGUCUUCCUAUUCCGGAGCCUUCUUGUUAUUUUCCUGGUGAAUCUUCGACGGCUAAGUAUAUUAAAAAAAAAUUUCAACAUUGUUAGAUGAGUUUAGCUCAACUUACACAAUUCGGUAGGGUAUGACCAAGUUGCUUGCAUUGGGAGCAGCUGUAUACUUUGUGCAGCUUCCUUGGCGUCUUGCUUUUCCUCCUAGCAAUUUCUAGCCAUGAUUGCCACCGAGACUUCUUCCGUCUGUUGGGUGCACGGCGAAUGUCUGGUGGCAGACAUAUUGAUGUCGGGCCUCCUUGGACCUCUGCAAUUUGGGGAUAUAUGUUGGCAGAGUAUGCGGCAAACAAGUAGUUUUUUGAGUAAGUCGGACAUACUAGGGAAUCCACAGCUAUCCCACCGGCUAAUGCAGCUGCAAUAGCAUGUGAACAUGGGAUCUUCUCGAUAUAAAACACACCGCAUUCACACAUUCCAUAUUCCAAAUCAACAAUACAAUUCCUGGUUCCUCCUUUCACAUAGUAUCUCCAAGUGUCAAUUCGGUCCACCUCCAUUGCAUCUGCAUAAUGUCCACGAAUCGCCAGCAAAUACUCCACUCCCCGAGUAUUAUGUGUUGUGAGACUCAAAGCAUCCUCUCUGCGUUUUAAAAACCACCGACCGAGCUUCUCUUGUAUGAAAUCCAAGAAGAAUGAAAUGGGAUAGCCACGGGCCUUCUUAAGUGCAGCAUUUAUAGACUCUGCAACAUUGCUAGUCUUAAUAUUGUAUCUGUCUCCAACAAAAUGAACUCGGGACCAAAGAGAGACAUCGGCUUCUUCCAAAUAGUCAGCAAGGUCAGGCUUGAUCUGUCUCAGCUCCGCCAUGUACCGGUUGUAGUCAUAGAGGUUGUAAGCAUAAGCUACACGUUUAACCAAGUACAGCAACUGCUUCCCCCUAAACUUUGUUACUAUGUUAUGUUGUAGAUGGUAGUAGCAGAUCCCUCGUUUUGCCCAUGGGAAAAUAGUUUCACAAGCUUUCUUAAUAGAAAUAUGUCUGUCAGAAACUAUCACCAAAGGAUAACCAUCUGGGACACAUUCACGCAUUUUAGAAAAAAACCAUUCCCAUGAAGCAUCAUCUUCACCAUCAACAAUUCCAAAUGUCAAAGGAAAAAUCUGAAAAUUUUCAUCUUGUGCGGUGGCAACCAACAAAGUACCCUCGUAUUUCCCUGUUAGAUGACAUUCAUCAACCACAAUAACUCUUCUCAUGUACUGAAAACCAGCAAUCGAUGCUCCAAAUGCGAGAAAUAGAUAUUUGAAUUUGUUAUUCGAAUCUACAUGAAGAGCUGAUACAGUUCCCGGAUUGGCUUUGUUCACCGAAUGUAGGUAAGCUGGGAGACUCGCAUAUCCAUCUUCAGCUGUUCCCCUGACCAAUUGUUGGGCAUAUAUCAAAGAUCUGUAAGAGGUAGUGUAAUCCAUCUUGAUGCCAAACAUAUGCUUCAUUGAAACCCUGACAUGUUCUGGUGUAAGUCCAUCAAUGAUGCCGAAAUGGCUUAUAAACAGCUUGCCAAUAUACUUAGGAGUAGACUUCCCACGGUGAGCCAUUCGAUGGGCUAUUGAACAUGUGUGGUCUUUCACAUAUUUUGUCACCCAAAAAGUGGAUGCAUCAUUCUUCACGCUCGCUCUAACCAUCCAUGCACAUCCUUCCACUCGACAUUUAGCCACAAACAGGGUCUUGGUAGACUUAUGUGUUUUGAAAGCAAAUUUUAACAUUAUGGCAGUCAGUCUAACCUCUGAUAACAGCUUCUCUUUUGUAGGAAAACUUGCCCUAACAUAUAUAUUAUCAGACCAUGACAUGGGCGUGCUCCCUGUUUCACCAUAUCGGUUUCUGACCUUUUCAAUACAGACUUCAUCUUCAUCAUCAUCUUCAUCUUUCACUUUACCGUAGACACUGUAAUCUUCUCCGUCAGAGUAAGCGGCAUUGUCGACAUCUUCUCCAUCUUCGUUCACAUCAGAACUGUCUGCCUCAUCAUCGGUAGAAUGUUCUGAAUUUUCCUCAGACUCCUCACCUAAAUCUUCAUCUGAUCCUUCCUGGUUCUCCUCAGUAUCCAUCUCCACUCGACAGGACACACAAAGGCGUAACAUAUGUACUCUGCUUAACGAAAUCAAGCUUGAAACUUGUCUAUCAUUGGUGACAUGCAUUGGAGGUGUAUCUGGAGCCAUAGAUUGCAACAUUGAGACUGGUAGUGCGUAGGUUAACUCGAUGAUCUCAGUCUUCUUGCCCAAGUUAUAAUCAUCUCGCGCCAUUUCAGUAAGCUGCCCAAAGGUGCAACCAUCGUUCAAAAACCACAUUCUUCCACCUUUGCCCAUGUCAACAACAAAAUGCCAUGAAUUCUCCUUAAUCUUCCACUCACCGUACACAACUAGAAUUUGAGCCAUUCUCUGAAAAAAUAACCACAUAAACCGUAUUAGCAAACACUGCAUAGAGACUUUUUGUAUGAAAGUAGACUUCACGCCGAUGUCUACUUUGAUAAGCUAAGUACCUUAAAAAUCUAAACUUCUGAUUCAACAAUAAAUAUCCAAUGAAACGGAAUAAAAAUCACUAGGUAGUUCAAUCACUAACUAAGAAACAAAUAUAAACCAAAAAAAUUGAAAAAUAUUUUAUAAAUUUCCUUAAAACGCGUUUUUACAAAAACGCCAAAAAGUAGACUUCUAAUGCAGACGUCGAAUGUAGACUUCACGACGAAUUCUACUUUUAUAAGCUAAGUACCUUAAAAAUCGAAACCUCUGAUUCAACAAUAAAUAUCCAAUGAAAUGAGAUAAAAUUCACUGGGUAGUUCAAUCACUUACUAUGAAGCAAUUCUGAACCAAAAAAUUUGAAAAAUAUUUUAUACAUUUGCUUAAAACGCGUUUUAAAAAAAAACAUAGGAAAGUAGACUUCUAAAUUAGACUUCAAAUGUAGACUGGAGGAGAAGUCUACUUUUUCACUUAGAAGUCUACUGAUGAAGUCUACUAAAAAAGAGGUCAUUUUUGCAAUUGACCAAUCUGUUGACUUUUCCUCCGGUAGACUUCAGGAGUAGACUUCAGUCAAAAAAAGUUACUUUAGCAUUUGACCGAUGCAUUGACUAGCACAGUAUACUUCUAUUGUAGACUUCAUGUCAGAGUAGACUUCUCUGACUGUCUACUUUUGAAGUCUACUUUUUAAAUAGAAGUUUACGAAACAAAAUAGAUUAUUUUUGCAAUUGAAUUUUUUUAGUAGACUUCACAAUGAAGUCUACUCAAAAAAAGAUUCCUUCUAAUUUUGACCGAACACCAUAAGUAGACUUCACAAAGAAGUCUACAAAAUGUAGACUUCUUUGUGAAGUCUACUUAUGGUUUUUGGAAUUUUUUUAAUUUUUUAUUUUUGAAAAACAGAAGUCAAACACAAAAAUGACCUAUACGUUUUUGGUCAAACUACAAAAGUAACUUAAAAGUAGACUUUGUAUGCAGAUGUAAACAGUAGACUUCAUAAGGAAGUCUAAAUCCAAAAGUCAAAAUACGGUCAACUACAAAAAUAACCUCUUUUCUUUUGUAGACUUCUAAAGCCUUCAAAUGAAGUCUACUAUGUUUUUUUUUGUUAUCAAAGGAUAUCGAGUAGACUUCUCGUGAGGUUUAAUGAAGUCUACUUUUUAAAAGUCAAUUGCAAAAAUGACCUUAUGUUGACUCAUAGACUUCAGUAUAGUUCACGAGAAAUCUACUUUCGCGAUAUAAAAACUGAAAUGUGGAGAAAUUGAAGUGCGAGGAUUACCUUUAACAAAAUUGAGCUCGCCUAAGUUUCUCUUAUCCACCCAGAACUCAGGAUUUCACCGAAAUUAAACAACCCAGGUGUCGAGUAACCAGAAUUCACCGAAAAAGCAUGGCGCAAAACAUUGUAACUUUGCCCAGAUGUUUUGGAGAAGAAAUUAUGAAAGAAUAAGCAAGGUUAUGAGUGAAUGAGCUUAGAUAUUUGUUUUAUUACAGCUUUAAAAUUGGUUGAGAAACAUUUAUUCCAUUUUCAUGGCUGUUCAUGGUGGUUGAAGAAAUUGAAGACGAUGGCAUUCUUGUAAUUAAAAGGUCUUUAGAAGGUCCAAGAAGACUUUAGCCAAAUUAAAGAAAAAUCAAAAUAAUAGAUGAAUAAUGGCAUUUUCGUUAAUAGUUUAAAUGAGAAGGAUAGAAUUGUGAGAAAAUGGCAAAAGUUGGAGAGAGAAAAAAAAGAUGUUAGUUUAGUGUUUGACUUUGAAAUAUGGGUUAAAUCUGAAACUCUCCCUUAAGUUUAUGUGUUUCCUUUUUGCAAUAGGAUUAUGUUUUGGUGUUUUCUUUUUAUUGGUUUUAAGCUUUAGGAUGUUUUCCUUUUUAAUUUAGGAGAAUUGGUUUGUAGCGUGGACUAUAUAUAGGUCCCUUAUAUUUAAUAAGAAGACAACUUCCAACAAUUAACCUAAUUCUCUAAGAGAGACUUGGGUUAAGAGGAAGCUUAGCUAAAUCUUUUCUAAUUCUCACGUUAAAACUACGGCUCCAGUUACGAGAUCGAAGUCAAAGUUGCAGGCUCAUAUCAAUAUGCUUAUCAUGCUUGUACAUCACCCUUUCAGGUAAGGUAGGACAACUGUAACACAAAACAAAGUUACACUCAAUGCAAUUGAAUGUUUCAUUUGUAUAAGCAGUUGUUGCGUAUUCGCAAACACAACACACUCUCCGCUCUUCUGGUUUAAAAGUUAGGAAUAAAGGAUGUACAUGACUUUCAUGGACUAAAUGCUCGGAAAUGAUGGCGCACUGAACACGUAGCUGGAAAUCACACUCUUUUUCAAAGCAUUUAUAGAAGAAACCAGCUGUGACAAGCUGCUAGGACAAGCUGCACAAAAUUCCGUACGCUUUAUAACACUAUCAUAACCUCCCAAAAGAGUGAGCAGAUGUGGAUGUAUCAGGUGAUGUAUUUUUUGAGACAUAUUUGCACAUUCUUCGUGGAGAAUGAAAUCACAUUUCAAACAUGAGUAGAAGUUACCAAAAUAGAUUGGUGUGAUGCAUGCUUGGCAUUGCUUAUUUUCAUCAUAGUCUCCACCCGUGUUCAGGUCAAGUUUCAAAUGAUGUUUUUCAUGUAGAAAAUGUUGAAUGAUUCCAUCGCUUAUAUCCUCACAAACGGGUCAAUUUCUUCUUCUUCAAGGUCUUCUUGUUCGCCCUCAAGUUCUAUGCCAUCCCACACAUUGCUUUGUGUGGCCCAUCUAGAAUGAGCUGCAUACCAACAACCAUUCUUGACGCGAGAAUAACCCCCAUGUUCAUUUUCUAUCUUUCUUUGACAGACACCACAAAACCAAUCUCCUAGAUCAAAUGACGGAGUAACAGACAUGAGAUAUCUUUAGGACACGGGGUAAGCUGAUACAUUUUUGAUGGAGCACAAAGUCACAAGGGGAACACUUUUUGAAAGUGUUACAAGAUAUAUAUCUGAUACAUUUUUGAUGGAGCACAAAGUCACAAGAUAUAUAUAUAUAUAUAUAUAUAUAUAUAUAUAUCUAUCUUACAUAUAAUGAAAAUACAUUUCUUUCUUCAUGAAUCCUUUUUGCAAGUUUAUCAACCGCACUAUUCCUCUCUCUGUUGAUAUGUUCCAACGAACAAUUUGGUAACUUUUGGAUCCAGUACCUGAUAUCCUCCAAUAUUGUGCCGAUCUCGUUGCAUUCUUCCUUAUUAUUAAUUAGAUUAACCAAAGUCAAACAAUCCCCUUCAAACCAAACAUUCCUCCAUUCUUUAGUCCAUACCACCUGCAAAGCAUUAAGAAAAGCAAGUGCUUCAGCUUGUAAUAGUGAACUUACCGGAUUCAAACCUGCAUUGCCAGAACAUAUAUAGUUUCCGAUGUGAUCUCUAAUUAUCCAAGCCACUCCAGUGAACUCAGUGUUGGAUAAACUUCAACAUUACUUCAAGCCCAAGUUAACCUUGAUCAAGUCGGAUUAGGAAAAGAAAGGCUUAGUCGGUUUCUAGAUGGUUCUAGUUGCUUUAGGAGUUAUCUAAUACAAUUAGAAUAAGGAAAUUAUGUUUGCUAUAUAUAUGGGUGUCGAGAUGUGGCAUUACAUAUGAGCUUUGGGUGUUUAAGAUUUUGAGAUAUUUUUCUUAAGCAUUAAUAUAAGAGAGUUAUUCUUAUUCACAAAGCUAAGCACGUUUACGAUCUUACUCUUAUAUUUGGUAUCAGAGCGGUGAUUCCGAUACACAACCAUGGGAGAGGUGAUUCCGAUGGCACAGACAAAAGAUACAAUUCCGAACUCAAUUCAAUGCCCGAUGCUUACCACCACAAAUUACACCGUGUGGGCAAUGCGAAUGAGGGUGCUGUUGCGCGUUCAUAAAGUGUGGGAGACUAUUGAUCCAGGGUCAGAAGAUACCACUAAGAAUGAUAUCACAACAGGAUUACUCUUCCAAUCCAUCCCGGAGAACUUGAUCUUACAAGUCGGUGAGAAAAAUUCUCCUAAAGAAGUGUGGGAAGCAAUAAAAUCUAGGAAUUUAGGAGCUGAGCGAGUCAGAGAAGCAAGACUUCAAACCCUAAUGGCAGAGUUUGAAAAAUUGAAGAUGAAAGAUACAGAAAAAAUCGAUGAUUUUUCUGGAAAGUUGUCGGAGAUUGCAUCGAAAACAACAGCACUUGGAGAAACGAUCGACGAGCCCAAACUAGUGAAGAAGUUUCUCAACGGGUUACCGAGAAACAAAUUUAUUCACAUCAUUGCCUCAUUAGAACAAGUUCUGGACCUAAAGAAGACUAGCUUUGAAGAUAUCAUUGGCCGACUUAAAGCCUAUGAGGAACGUAUUAUCGACGAUGACAAGCAAGAUGAUACGCAGAGCAAACUGCUAUACGCCAACUCAGAACAACAAACCUCGUAUGGAAGAGGACGAGGAAGAGGUAAUAGAGGACGAGGGAGAGGAGGUCGAUUCAACUCUCAAGACAAGUCAAAUCAAAGCGAGCAAAACAGGGAAAGAAGAGACCUUUCAAGUGUGAUCUGCUAUCGCUGUGAUCAAGCUGGUCAUUUUGCCUCAAAGUGCCCAGAAAGGAUUCGAAAAUUACAAGAAGCAAACAUCACAGAAACAGAGGAAGCUGAUGAUGAUGCUAUGCUAUAUAUGCAUGAGAUUGUUUUCUUGAAUGAAGAUAAACUCAUACCAAAGAACUACAAGGGCGAGGAAGGUAUGUGGUAUCUCGACAAUGGUGCGAGUAACCAUAUGACCGGUAAUGAAACAUAUUUCUCUGAACUUAACAGAAGCAUCAAAGGAAAGGUGAAGUUCGGAGAUGGAUCAUGCGUUAAGAUCGAAGGAAAGGGAUCCAUUUUGUUUCAAAGCAAAACUGAUGAACAGAUUCUUGUCAAAGACAUAUACUUCAUUCCCGAACUCAAAAGCAACAUCUUAAGCUUAGGACAAGCCACCGAGAUCGGGUGUGAUGUUCGAAUGAGACAAGAUUAUCUGACCGUUCAUGACCCUAACAACAGGCUUCUGGUAAAAGUUAUGAGAUCACCUAAUCGCCUGUACAAGAUUGAGCUCAAGAUCGGUAAACCAAUUUGCUUGUACACGAAAAUCGAAGAUGGAACUUGGAAGUGGCACGCCAGACUAGGACAUGUAAGCUUCAAAACGAUCAAAGACAUGUCUCUAAAGAAGAUGGUUUACGGUUUACCAUCAAUAAGAGAUGAGAAGAAGAUCUGCGAAUCGUGUCUGAUCGGAAAACAAGCACGACAGAGUUUUCCGAAAACAGCUCUGUCUCGAGCAGCAAAACCACUAGAGCUCCUCCAUGCCGAUCUAUGUGGACCCAUUACACCACCUACACUAGCACAGAACAGAUACGUGUUUGUUAUUAUAGAUGACUUCUCAAGGUAUAUGUGGACCAUCCUGUUAAAAGAAAAAGGAGAUGCUUUUAACAAGUUCAAGGCGUUUAAAUGCUUGGUCGAGAAAGACUUUGGAGAAGAAAUCAUCACUCUUAGGACAGACAGAGGAGGAGAGUUCACCUCCAAGGAAUUUCAGGAUUUCUGUGAAGAAAGAGGGAUCAAAAGACAGUUGACUGCACCUUACACUCCGCAACAAAACGCAUUGUUGAAAGAAGAAAUAGAACCUUAAUGGAAAUGACGAGAAGCAUGCUUAAAGCCAAAAAGGUUCCGAAUUACUUAUGGGGAGAGGCUGUACGACAUGCCACUUAUGUCAUUAACAGAAUCCCUACGAAAGCUCUCAACAACAUGACGCUAUACGAACGCUUGCGAGAAAAGAAACCAAGUGUAGAACACCUACGGAUCUUUGGAUGCAUUGCCUACUCAAAAAUUGAUUCCGGAAACCUCAGAAAACUAGAUGACAGAUCGAUAUCUCUAGUUCAUCUUGGGAUCGAACCAGGCUCGAAGGCCUACAGACUGUACAAUCCUUCAAAACAAAAGAUUGUGGUAAGCCGAGACGUGGUGUUCGAUGAAAAAUCUGACUGGAAUUGGAAAGAAACAAGCAGCGAACCAAACAGAGAUCCGGGAAUGUUUCACAUGAGAUGGGGAGAGAUUCAAGACGUUGGAGAAGGACCUGUUCUUACAGGUACUCAAAAUCAUAACGAAGAAGAAGAUCUUAACGAAGAAGAAGACUUUCAAGAAUUCGAAAACGAGGGGGACGAUAACGAUGACGGUUCAGAACAACAAUUAAAUACCUAUGGUAAUCAAGAUGAAGAUACGACACCAGAGGUACCAGUUUUGAGAAAAUCAUCAAGACAAAUAAGAAAACCUAAACAUCUCGAAGAUUUUGUGUUGCAAGCCUCGAUCGAAUGCGAGAAACUUCUUCUAUCAAUAGACAGCGAGCCAAGGAACUACAAAGAAGCAAAGAAUUGUUUGGAAUGGAGAAAAGCUUGUGAAGAAGAAAUCCAUUCGAUUAACAAGAAUAACACAUGGUCCCUUGUUGAUCGACAAAACAACAUGAAGGUCAUUGAUCUAAAAUGGAUUUUCAAGAUAAAGAAAAAUGCGGAUGGCACCAUCAACAAAUACAAAGCAAGGCUUGUUGCUAAAGGCUACAUACAAGAAUCAGGAGUGGAUUUUGAUGAAGUUUUUGCACCUGUUGCUAGAAUUGAAACCAUAAGACUUUUGAUGGCACUAGCUGCAUCACACGGAUGGGAAAUUCAUCAUUUAGACGUAAAACGGCCUUCCUACAUGGUGAGCUAAAAGAAGACGUGUUUGUUGACCAACCGGAGGGAUUUGAAGUGAAAGGACAAGAGCACAAAGUUUACAAACUAUUUAAAGCCCUGUACGGCUUGCGACAAGCACCAAGGGCGUGGAAUACAAAGUUGGAUAAAAUCCUGAAAGGCAUGAGAUUCCUAAGAUGUAUGAAGGAGACAUCAGUGUAUCGUAAGGAAGAAGGAGGAAGUCUGCUCAUAGUUGCUAUCUACGUUGACGACUUGUUCGUCACAGGUAACAACUUAAAGGCGUUAAGUGAGUUUAAGAAAGGAAUGGCUUCUAAGUUUGAGAUGUCAGAUCUCGGAAAACUCACUUACUAUCUUGGUAUCGAGGUUCAUCAAGGAGCUGAUGGAAUUGAAAUCAAGCAAGAGGCAUAUGCAAGAAGAAUCCUAAAAGAAGCUGGCCUUGAAACCUGCAAUGCGACUCUUAUACCUAUGGAUUUCGGACUCAAGGUUUCUAAAACAGAUGAUGAACCAGAAAUAGAUGCAACAAGCUAUAGACGUAAUGUUGGAUGUUUAAGAUACCUGCUUCACACUCGUCCAGACCUAGCGUUCUCUGUCGGUAUCGCCAGCAGGUAUAUGCAGAGCCCAAGAAAAUCCCAUGGAGACGUGAUGAAGCAGAUAUUAAGGUACCUUAAAGGGACGCUCACUUUUGGAUUGAAAUUCAAAAGGGAUACGUCGAAAAGGUUGAUCGGAUAUAGCGAUAGUAGUCACAACAUUGACGUUGAUGACGGAAGAAGUACAACAGGUCACAUCUUUUACUUUGGAAAUUCACCAAUUACUUGGUGUUCUCAGAAGCAGAACACGGUAGCCCUCUCCUCAUGCGAAGCAGAGUUUAUGGCUGCAACAGAAACAGCAAGACAGGCUAUAUGGCUUCAAGACGUUCUAAGCGAAGUUACAGGAUGGGAACCAGAGCAAGUCAUCAUCAAAAUCGACAACAAAUCGGCCAUAGAACUCACCAAAAACCCAGUGUUUCACGGGAAAAGUAAGCACAUCCAUAAACGUUAUCACUUUGUGCGAGAAUGCAUUGAAAGGGAGCAGGUUGGAGUGGAACAUGUACCAGGAACAGAGCAAAAGGCGGAUAUACUGACUAAGGCGCUGGCACGAGUCAAGUUUGCUGAAAUGAGGAGCUUAAUUGGUCUUCAAGAUAUUGCUAAGGAAGAGUUGAAGUUUAAGAGGGAGAAUGUUGGAUAAACUUCAACAUUACUUCAAGCCCAAGUUAACCUUGAUCAAGUCGGAUUAGGAAAAGAAAGGCUUAGUCGGUUUCUAGAUGGUUCUAGUUGCUUUAGGAGUUAUCUAAUACAAUUAGAAUAAGGAAAUUAUGUUUGCUAUAUAUAUGGGUGUCGAGAUGUGGCAUUACAUAUGAGCUUUGGGUGUUUAAGUUUUUGAGAUAUUUUUCUUAAGCAUUAAUAUAAGAGAGUUAUUCUUAUUCACAAAGCUAAGCACGUUUACGAUCUUACUCUUAUACUCAGAACUAUUCCGAUAACUUCCAUCAAAAUUACAUUUCAACCAUCCAUAAGGACAUUAUUCCUUUGAUAAACACCAUCUAAAUUCUUUUCUUUUUUUUUUUAAUUUUCUGACACAAAAAAAGAAAUGGCUUAUUUAUUUAUUUUUCUCUGUUUCUGUAAACUUUUUUUUUGUUUUAAAAACUACUUGGUCAUAAAAACAUUACCUUGAGAGAAGUUUCACAAGGAAAGUCAAAGGAGGCCACAUACACAGAGCCAGUCCAAUGAUCAACUCCAGAACAACCUUACAAAUCCAAUCAUAAGUUAAUUAUACAUAGUCAUGGUGAUAGAUCUCAAAAGAAUAGAGGAAAUCUAAGAGAAACAUUUAUCGAUAUACUGUAUAUACUCACGUUCAUCGGCGGUCUGGAAAACUCUUCCUCCGUGAUCUCCCAGAACCCCCUAUCUGAAUCAAUGAAGAAAAACACACGUGAUCAAGAGUAUUAGGAAACAUGAUCUCAAAACAGAUAAGUAAUGAAGAAAGAGCCCCUUGCAUUUUAAAUAAUAAAUAUAUAUAUAUAUAUAUAUACAUAUAUAUUAGUUGAGAUUAUCAAUACUUUAUACUUCUAAUGUGAGACAUUUUAACAAUUCUCUAUCUAAAACAAAGAAGACAAAUCCAGAUGAACAAGAAACUAGAUGCUAUCCCAAAAGCCACAAGAAUAAUAGUGGAUAUCUGAAUAUAUUGGUAUUGGAUUCCCACGAGGAGACAUACACUGGCCUAUUGUCCAGUAAGCGGCGUAGGAGAGAAUCAGGACGCCAGAAACUCCAACUACGAACCCCAUGUUAUUCAUGUAUUGUUCUUUGUUUGGAACCUCUUUUUUUUUGGUUUUUGGUCCGAGAUGGUUCCCGGUCUGGUUUUUAAUUAUGCACCGCUCGAGAAUGGAAGUAGAAUUGAAGUCGAUCACUCGAGUUUUUGUUUUAUAAGGGCAGGAAAUUAUUAUAUGGAAGAGCUGAGUAGUAAGAAAAAAAAAACGGCAUUUAUGGGCAACUCCUUUUUUAGUAUCCAACAAGGCGAACAGGGUGAUUAAAUAACAGUAAAAGUAUGCCAUUGAAUUUAUUUAAUAAUGACUUAAACCCAUGUGACUAAUUAAAUCACAUAGUAUAUAUGACUGAAGACAUAUUCCCUGUAUUUUUUUUUUUUUCUAUUUGUGACUUAUAUUAAACCCAUGUGACUAAUUAAAUCACAUAAUAUAUGACUGAAGACCUAUUCUCUAUAUAUUUUUUUCUAUUUAUUAUGACUUAAACCCAUGUGACUAAUUAAAUCACAUAGUAUAUGACUGACCUAUAUUCCCUAUAUUAAAAAUAAUAGAAUCUUUAAGCUUACAGCGUUGGCAUGAAUAAAAAAGUUAACGAUCGUUUGGAGUAUAUGUGAAAAGUCCGAAAAUCGACCAAUUCCGACUUGAAUUAUGAAUUUAUGUUAAUAUUAGAUCCGAAUUUGUAACCAGUACGAAAAUAAAUUAAAACUUCUGAUCAAUUUGAAUUUCAUUUCUAAACUUUGUUUUUCGUGCUUAAAUCUACAUUCCGCUCAACAUUGUUAAAGAUCUGUCAAAUCAAGCCCAUAUAGCUGACAAUAUACGUCGUCUUAAGAAGCUGCGAAAUGAGUAUAAUACACAAAUUGACGUCGUUUAGUAUCUACGCUUCUUACGACAUCAUUAUUUUUGUUUGUUCCUUCUUUAUCUUCAACCUCUCGAGUUAUGGGUUUCAGACAAACUAAGAAUUUCAAAAUCCAUUUUAAGGUUGUUAGACACGAUUCAAGAUUCUUCAAGGUCGAUGUCUUUUUCAACUAGUUUGGAUUAGUGACUGUAAUUUUUUUCUUUCUCUGUUUGUGUGUCCCUAAAUUUUGAAAAAUAGAUGUCUUUUUCAGUGUCGAUUUACUAAUAAAUAUUAUAUUUUAACUGUAAUUUGCGUAGGAAUAAAUUUCAGGCAAAUUGGGACUGAGUGAGAAAGAGGAUUUGAUGGAUCCUUAACCAUGUAGCGGAAUGUAGGUUUAAACACACAAAAAAAUUAGGAAUAAAAUUCAAAUUAAUCAGAAGUUUAAGUUUGUUUUCGCACUAAAUACAAAUUCAGGUAUAAGAUUAACAUAAGUUCAUAGUUCAGAUCAGAAUUGGGCAAUUUUUCGUGAAAAGUUUAUUGAAACAUUGCAAUGUUGCAAUUAUUAUUCCCAAAUCGUUUGGAUCAAUUACUAUUUUGCAGUGCUUUGGUAGUUUUUAAUAUUUAGAGUCGUGUUACUAUUUUGCAGUGCUUUGGUUUCGAUUUAUUCACACCUUCAAAAAGUUCUUAUAAUUCAUGAAACCAAAAAACUUUCGAAGAAUACUCCAAAAAGAAACUAUUUUUUUACAAAAUAUGAUAACCACUUUUUUUUAUUUGCUCAAUAUGAUAACCACUUUUUUAAAGCUUUAAAAGCUUUUCUAAUGCCGUAAAAUAACUUCUUUGUUGUUUUGGAACAAAAAAAAAAUACUUCUGUUUCACAAAAAGUGUCAUUUUAUUUUUGUUUUACAAAGAGUAUCACUUUGUAUUUCCAAUGUAAUAUAAUAAACAAAAAUCUAACUUUAACCUUAUUUUUUUAGUGUAUUAAUUAAAAAGAGAAAAUUGUUGUAUGUAUUAAUACGGAGUUGUGUAAAACUUUUGCUAAUUUUUUUAACUUGUGAAAUGUGUCAAAAUGACACUCUUUAUGAAACAGAAAGAGUAUAUAUAAUAGUAUUUGACCCAAAAAUAUAUUUGAUGGCAUUUCUAUGAAGAAAAUGUAAUAUUUUUGUUUAAAGUGUUCCAAAAUUGUAUAGGUUUGUACAACAAAUAGAAAUUGAUUUAUUUGGAACAACAGUUAAAGAACACAAGGCCAAUCCUCCGAGAAAUACCACAGAGUUUUGGAUUAAACGCUAUGGAGAAAUAACUGAAAUAACCGCCACACAAUGUCAUCAAUCAUCACUCUCUUUCCCUGACAGAGCAGCAACCAACGAUUUCAUCAAAACGGUCUAUUGUAAAGACCAAGCAAUGGUUUUUCUCUAUCUUCAACUCGUUUCCUAGCAGCUUCCCUCGCCUUCAAUGCAGCUCUCUCUUCCGCAGAUACUUUCUUCGGUUUCUCAUCUUGUCUCUUUCUCUUGUUGUUGCCAAUAUCAACAGAUGAAGCAGCUCCUUUCACAGUUCUUUUCGGGUUUAAAGAAGCCGAGACAACACGCCCAGGUGCUUUUGCCAUACUUGGUCCAGCUUCUGAAGAAGGUACAGGCUUUUUAACGGGAGGUACUUUAGUUCCUUUAUCUGAUGAAGUUUUAACCGCAGCGUAAGCCUCGUCUUGUGUCACCCAAUGUCCUGUUUCAUUAUCCGUGUAAGCACCACAUACACGGAGAAAAUGUAUACAAUUAUGUUUAAAAGCAAAUGAAAACAAAACUCUAUUAUUGUUAGUUUGUUACAUACCUAUGGAGUCACUGUAAUAGAAUCCAGACUUUGAGUCAUAGUGCAGACCAUUGGUCUGGUUGUAAUAAUAGCCCGAAGCACUGUCAAGCACCCAAUCUGCCAUAACAAUAUCAUUACUACAUCAAACGAAACAAAAACUCAUCUAUAUUCAUGAAUGAAAAAGGCUAAGAAAAAUGCCCAUCAAAAAUGGUGAAAUAACCUGAGAGUGACUCAAAAGAUGCAACCGUUUCGCUUUCUGGUGAUGAUUCUCUCUAUAGAGUUAUAGUCAUUAAAACUUAUAAGUCAAAAAAGCCUUUUGCAAACCGUGUAAGAUGAAAAAAUGGAAGAAAUCAUUUAAAAGGUUAGCAGAUGCCACUUCAUUUGUUCAUACUUUUGGUCAAUGAAAGCAAUUCACAAGUCUAGUUUCAUAGAUUCCGCAAAUCCUUUAAUAUACGACCUCAAUAUGUUACUGUAUAACAAUCAGAUUCAAAGCUAAGCAACAUUACCAGCCAUGUCAAACAACAAACUUGCUAAUGGGAGACACAACAAUUAAGAGGAGCAAUCUUAAGAAAAUCAUUAGAGAGAUAACUUACCGCGUGUACCAUCCUCAGGUGCGCCGUUUGCUUUGGCUACUUCAUGAGCAGUUGCUAUAUCUUUCUGAUAGCUACGAGUUGCUUUCUGAAAUAAAGUUGGGAAAAAACAGAGUAAUCAGCAAUGAAACAACAUAGAAGGCUCAAGUUCUUUGUCUAUUUUAACAAGAAGUUACUCACAGCUUCGAUCUGUUGAAGCAAUUUCUCGUUUUGCUUGAGCUCUUUGUCUUUGGCUGCGCUCUUCUCACGCAUAUCAGUGAGCUUCUUAUCGACACAUUCUCGGUGACGUUUACCAAGUUCAUGGUUUCUAAUACUUGUUGGAUUGUUCUGAAUCCAGAUCUUACAGAACUCGCACCAUUUGUUCCCUUGGCUCACCCAAUACUAGCAAAAAAUUACGAACAAGAAACCAAAAAAAAACAAAAAGAAAUCAGAUCAAUUUCAAUUACGAAACCUAGAGAUAAACAUGGGUUUCGAGAAAGAAAGAUGAUUUGAAAACAAUGCAAAAGCUUUACGAAUUUUGAUUUACCUCAGUCAUGGUUGUCGAUCGGGGAAGAUGAAGAACGAACCCAAGCUCAAACCCACAAACCGGAGUUCCCGGAGCUCAGAAAUCAAGAACUAACUGAGAGAAGGGUUGGAAACCCUAAUUCGUUAAACUGGAAUCGAAAUAAACCUAGAGAGACGAAGAAGAAGAAAAGGGGAUGUAAUGUUAUGGGGGAGGAAAUUCAGUUCGGUAUGUUUGUUUUCUCAAUUGAUUUCCCAUCACUUGAACCGAAAACUUGGUACGUACCCCAUUAACUUUUUCUUUCCGGUUUUCAUUUGGUUAAACCGACUCAAACCUUAGAAAUUAUACAGAUCCAAACCGAAAUUAGCUUUUACAACACUUCUUUGAAUUCUUUUCUUUUACAACCGAAAAUUUUGGUUAUUUUAUAAAUUUUCCCCUUGUAUAUAUUCAAUAGAUCAGAUUAUGGGUAUUUAUAUAUAACUGUAUAUAUUAUAUAUAUAUAUAUGUAUUUAUAUUUUAUAUAUCAGAAGAGAGGAAGGGACAUGCGAUAGAGAAGAGAGGGAGAAGUGAUUCACAUUUUGAUUGCUGCUUCACACACAUAUUUAUACAAGUGAAGAGAAAUGAAUAGGUAAAGUAAGCUGUCAAUAAUUUAUGCUACCUAACCAGGUUACAUGGAUAAUUAAUAUUUAACACUCCCUCUUAAUUAUUAAUCUUUAAUAAUCUAUUACAUAUUGCUUCGUUAAAAACAUUAUCAUGGAACAAUCCAUUGGAAUAAAAACUAAUCUCCUUUUCGAAAUGAUGGAUAUAAAUUUCCUUCAUAGGUCUCGUAGUCGGCGCAUUCCAAUAUUAUGGACAUGUUUUCUGAAUGAUGUAGUGGGAAGUGCCUUUGUAAAGAGAUCUACUGCAUUGUCACUUGAGCGAACAUAUUGGAUAUUCACUUCCUGAUUUUUCUCGAAUUCUUGAGUGUAAGAGAAAAACCUUGGAGGAAUAUGUUUUGUUCGAUCACUCUUGAUGAAACCUUCUUUGAGUUAAGCGACACAUGCAACAUUAUCUUCAAACUCUUUUGUUGGUUCCUUAUCAAUGACUAUUUCACUUGCACCUUGAAUAUGUUGAGUCACAUAUCGGAGCCAUAUGCAUUUUCUACAUGCCUUAUGGAGAGCAAUGAUUUCCGCAUAAUUUGAAGAAGUGGCGACCAUAGUCUGUUUUUGAGAACGCCACGAGAUCGCUGUUCCACCAAUUGUGAAAACAUAUCCAGUUUGCGAUCGAGCUUUAUGCGGAUCAGAUAAAUAUCAUGCAUCUGCAAAACCAACUAGACCAACUUCGAGGUUUCUAGGAUAAAAUAAACCCAGAUCAAUCGUACCUUGGAGAUAACGAAAAAUAUGUUUUAUUUCAUUCCAAUGUCUGCGUGUAGGAGAUGAGUUGUAUCUUGCAAGUAGAUUAGUAGCAAAGGCUUUAUCUGGUAGAGUACAAUUUACAAGAUACAUAAACCCACCGAUAGUGCUCAUAUAAGGUACUUCAGGACCUAAUACGUUUUCGCUAUCUUCAAAAGGUCGAAAUGGAUCCUUGUUAAUAUCAAGUGAUCUAUUGACCAUUGGAGUACUCAAAUGAGUUGUUUUAUCCAUUUUAAAGCGUUUUAACACCUUUUUGGUGUAAUUUGAUUGAUGCACAAAUAUUCCGUCUUGGAAAUGCUCAAUCUGGAGCCCUAGACAAAAUUUUGUCUUUCCAAGAUCUUUCAUUUCGAACUCUUCUUUCAUGUGAGUUCUUGCAUCAUCAAUUUCCUUUUGAAUUCCGAUUAUGUUCAGGUUAUCGACAUAUACAGCAAUGAUCACAAAUCCUGAUGAUGAUUUCUUAAUAAACACGCAAGGGCAUAUCGCAUUGUUGAUGUAUCCUUUACUCAACAAGUAUUCACUCAAGCGAUUAUACCACAUGCGUCUGGACUGUUUAAUCGUAAAGUGAUCGCUGUAANNNNNNNNNNNNNNNNNNNNNNNNNNNNNNNNNNNNNNNNNNNNNNNNNNNNNNNNNNNNNNNNNNNNNNNNNNNNNNNNNNNNNNNNNNNNNNNNNNNNUAGAUUUUUAGAUGCCGUUAGGCUCAUUAAGUACCUGCAUGUGAUUGCAUCCAUGACCGGGGAAUAUGUAUCUUCAUAAUCAAUUCCUGGUCUUUGAGAAAAACCUUGUGCCACAAGUCGGGCUUUAUAUCUUGUGAUCUCGUUUUUCUCAUUUAUUUUUCUCACAAAGACCCAUUUGCACUCAACCAGCAUUACAUCUUCUGGUGUAAUGACUAUAGUUCCAAAGACAUUUCUUUUAUGCAGGGAGAUUAAUUCAUUUCUCAUGGCCAUCUGCCAUUUCUCCCAGUCAGGCAUUUUCUGGCAUUCUGACACGGACCUUGGGUCUGGUUCAUCAUUUUAAUUAUCAAUUUCCUUGGAUACCAAAAAGGAGAACAUUCCAUUUGUAUCAUUUAUCUCACUUCUAGCCUAUAAUGUCCCACUUUGGGCGAAGUUAAUGGAAAUCUCAUACUUUUCAGUAUCAUGUUCGUCUUCUGGACAAACUUCUUUAACUAGUUCUUCUGGAACCUCUUCAUGUAUGUCUUCAGGACAUAUAUCUUUAUAUGGUUUUUCUAUAACCUUUUCACCAAUGUCUUCAAGAUAUUUUUCUUUAUUCGGUUCUUCUGGAACCUUGUCUUCUAAUUUCUUUUUCUUUCGAGGAUUUUUAUUCUUCGAGCCAUCAGCCUCCCGCGCUUUAAUUGAACCUGCGGUUCAUUCCCAUCAGUAACUUGUUCCGGAAACAUUUAUUUUUGAUGGAGCAUUAGCAGCGGAGAUAUAUGAUUUUGUCACCCUUCUCGUAUUUGUGAACGCAUCAGGUAACUGGUUUGCCAAACUUUGCAAAUGUAUAAUUUUCUGAACUUCCGCCUCGCGUUGAUGGGUAGGGGGAUCAAGAUAAGCCAAGAUUUGUGUACACCAUAUGAUAUCCUUUGGUGAUUCUCUUGAUCCUCCCCCCAACGCUGGGAAUUCAUUUUCAUCAAAGUGGCAAUCGGCAAAACGUGCCGUAAACAUAUCUCCAGUUAUCGGUUCAAGAUAUCUAAUUAUACUUGGUGACGUAUAGCCGAUAUAAAUUCCCAAUCUCCUUUGUGGCCCCAUUUUUGUUCUUUGCGGUAGGGCUAUUGGGACAUAGACCGCACAUCCAAAGAUACGGAGAUGGGAUACAUUUGGCUCUUUGCUAGAUGUUAACUGUAUUGGGGAAUAUUCACUAUAUGCACUUGGCCUCAUCUGGACCAAUGCCCCAGCAUGCAAUAUAGCAUGUUCCCAUACAGUAAUUGGGAGUUUUGUUCUCAAUAUUAACGGUCUUGCAAUCAACUGCAAUCGUUUUAUUAAAGACUCAGCCAUGCCAUUUUGUGUAUGAUCAUGUGGAACCGGAUGCUCAACAUUGAUUCCUAAUGACAUACAAUAGUUAUUAAAGGCCGCUGAAGUGAAUUCACCAGCGUUGUCAAGCUUUACUUUCUUUAUGGCAUAAUUAGGGAAUUGCGCUCUCAACCUGAUUAUUUGGGCAAUGAAUCUUGCGAAAGCCAUAUUUCUUGUGGUCAAUAUACACACAUGUGACCAUCUACUAGAUGCGUCAAGUAAUACCAUAAAAUAUCUAAAUGGCCCGCACGGUGGGUGAAUCGGCCCACAUAUAUCACCAUGUAUUCUCUCUAAGGAUACAAGGGAUUCAUUCCCAACUUUGGCUGGCGAGGGCCUAGUUAUGAGUUUUCCUUGAGAACAUGCCUGACAUAAAAACUCUCCCGAUUGAAAAAUCUUAUGGUUUUUCAAUGGGUGGCCACUCGAUUUUUGCACAAUUCUUCUCAUCAUGACUGAUCCAGGAUGGCCAAAUCUUUCAUGCCAUACUCUAAAAAUACUAGUAAACCCUGAGUUUACAGUAACAUAGGAUUCAAUCAUAUUUAUUUUUGUGCAAUAUAACCCAGAGGACAUCAUUGAUAAUUCUUCCAAUACAUGUUUCCUCUCAGAUGUAAUGCAAAGAUAUUCAAUGCCAUUCUUAUUUAUACUUGCUAUAUGAUAUCCAUUUCCUCGAAUAUCUUUAAAACUUAGCAAGUUUCUGCUAGAUUUGGGGGAAUAUAAUGCAUCAGUUAUUUCAAACUUUGUCCCUCUUGGCAUUGAAAAGUUAGCUCUUCCGGAGCCUAUUAUAAUAUUUGCAUUACCAGAAAUAUGGUACUCACUCUUCCGGCGGAGUCCUUUAUUUUGAAACCGGAGAAAUACUUUUUAUCUUUAAGUAUAGUAUGUGUCGUAGCACUGUCUGCUAGACAUGUAUCUUCAUCCUGAAUCUCAAACGAUAACAUGUUCUGAAUCACAAUAUGCAAGAAAAUGCAUUAAUCAACCAAAAACAUGAUUUUAGAAAUUAUUUUAUAUUAAGAAAAACAUUUUCUUGUUAACAAAAAUAUAUUACAUUCUUAUUUAAAAUUACAUUGAUUUUUCUUGUCUUCUUCAAGAAGACUUUAUAUUACAUCGAUCUUAAUCGCUUUGUUUCCGUUGAUUCUUCAGGAUCAACAAGGAAAUCAGCGAUAUCAAGAUGGGUAUAAUCACUUAUGCCAUCAAAGGAAGGUCCAGCUUCAUCAGUGAUGAAAUUGGUUUCAAAAUCCUUUCCUUUAUCCUUUUCUUUGGCAUCUUGUGAUGCUCGGUACAGAUUGGCUAAAUGUCUUGGCGUACAACAUGUUUUUGCACAAUGAUUUUUCAUGUCGCAUCUGUAACAAGCAGUUUUUUUUUUUGCUUUCCUGCUUCCCUACCAACAUCAUUUUGUCUUCCUCGUCCCCGACCUCGUCUGCGACCGCGGUUACGGCUUCGACCGCGUCCACGUUCGAUUCUAUUAUUUUGACUGGAUGACGCAACAAUUGCUUCUGGGAAUAGGGAUGAUCCAGUUGGACGAGUUUGAUGGUUUAACAUCACGAGCUGAUUAUUUUGUUCAGCCACAAGGAAGACUUGCAACUCCGAAUAAGUGGUGUAACCUUUUGCCCAGUAUUGUUGUUGCAGGAUUACAUUUCCAGGGUGAAAUGUUUGAAGAGUUUAUUCGAUCAUGUCAAAAUCGCUUACCUCCUGUCCACAUAACAUCAUCCUGGAAGUAAUUCCGAACAUCGUGGAAUUAUAUUCACCAACACUUUUGUAAUCCUUGAACCGGAGGUUCAACCACUCAUGUUUGACUUUCGGUAAGAUCACAUAUUUCUGGUGACCAAACCUAUCUUUGAGAGAUUGCCAAAGAUCUGCAGGAUCUUCUUUCGUGAUGUAUUCCUCUUUUAAACUAUUAUCGAUGUGGUGGAGCAAAAAUAUCAUGGUUUUUGCCUUUUUCUCAUCUGAUGUCGUUUCUGACUUAUCGAUGGAAUCAAGAAGCCCGUUUCCUCUUAGAUGCAUUUUUGCACCUACUACCCAUGACAUGUAAUUUUUCCAGACACAUCAAGGGCAUGGAUUUCGAACUUCGCCAAAUUUGACAUGAUAACUGUAUGUAUAUCAUAAAUUUAGCAGAAAUGCAAUUUAAAUUUUGUUUUUAAAAAAACAUGAUAAAAACUUUUGAAUAUGCAUAUAUAACAAAAAUAUAUAAUUAGGCAAUAUAGAGGUAGAACCUUCUAUAUAAUUGAGGAGGCAGAGCCUACCAUAAUUUUAAGGAGGAGGUAUAACCUUCUACUCUACAAAUAUAAAAUCAAGAAGGAGGCUUAGCCUUCCACUCCAUUAAUAUGAUCUGAGGAGACAUAGUUUACCAUAUGAUCAUAUGAUCGUGAAGACAUAACCUAUCAUAACGAUCGGUUCGGGGAAGACAGAGCCUAUCAUCUCGUAAACUUAAAAUAAAUUGAAUAUAAAUUUAAAUUAACGAUUCGGGAAGGCAGAACCUAUCAUCCCGGAAUAAUACAUAAAUUUAAAAUAAAUUAAACUAAAUUUAAAUCUUACCUCUUUGGGUAUAAAAACGGAUCGAGAAAUGCUCAUAUUGAUAACGUCUUGUAAAUUUUCCCCUUAUAUAUAUUCAAUAGGUAAGAUUAUGGGUAUUUAUAUAUGAAUAUAUAUAUAGAUAUAUAUAUAUAUAGUUAUAUUUUAUAUAUCAGAAGAGAGGAAGGGACGUGCGAUAGAGAAGAGAGGGAGAAGUGAUUCACAUUUUGAUUGCUGCUUCACACACAUAUUUAUACAAGUGAAGAAAAGUGAGUAGGUAAAGUAAGUGGUCAAUAAUUUAUGCUACUUAACCAGCUUACAUGGAUAAUUAAUAUCCAACAGGUUAAUUUUUCUUUCCGGUUUUUAUUUUACGACACUUCUUUCUUUUUUAUUGCGAUAGAAAUAUAAAAAUAUAAAAUAACAAGUUACAUUCACAACCAAAUUAGCUAAGAACUCUCUGUGUUAUAAAUAUCCUGAAGGCAAUUUUCAGCCAGGACCUGACCUUGAAUAUAAAAGAAACUUAAUUUCCUAAAAAAAUUAUUUGAUAACUACAUAUGGCUGUUACAGAGAGAACAUAGCUUUAAGCCUGACUUAGGGAGCAAGAAAAACAAUAUCAGGUAAAAUCAUCAUCAUCCAAAAGACGAAGAGAAUCAAACUUGUUAAUGCUCUCAAACAUACGACCAUCUUGUUGUUGCUGGUGAGCUUUAGAUGAUGUGCUCUUGGGUUCAUCACGCUUCUGUUCUGGUGGGGCUAUAGAUGUUGCAGCAUUGUAUGUAGUCUUCAUAGUAAGAAACUUCAGAUCCUCUACAUAGUCUACAAAGACUUGAACACUUGUAUACUCAAUUUCAACUGUAGCAGUUACACCAAUGAUUGGAUUCUCCCAAAACUCAUAACCAUUGCAUUUAGGGAAUUGGUUCUCCCAAAAAGUGUAGAUAUAUUCUGACCAUUCCGAUUCAGGUUUCUCGUCAUUCUUUAAAAUGGACAAAUACAACUUCACGGAACGCCUCGUACCAGGAUAGUAAUCAUACGUCAGAGUAAACACGCCUAAUUUACCCUUGUAGUUGACCAGUUCCGGAUGAUACCCACCAUAAAUGAAAUCUCUAUUUAUAAACUUGAACUUCUCAGAUCUAACAUCAAAGCAAACUAGCACAUAUCGCCUUUCAUAUGCUUUGUCAGAGAAGAUAUAUUCACCUAAGUAGUACAAAAUCCCAUUGAUGCAUAUCCCUUCACUGCUACGAUUAGGAAAAUGGUUUAAGGGACAAUGGAUUUUCCUCCACAAAACGUUUCUUGUUCCUAGUGUCAGAAUUUCAUACUGGAAUCCCUUUUCAUCAUAGUUAGGAUUAGGAUCGCGAAUGGACAAUACCUUGAAUUGUUUUUCAAUGGGAUCAAACCCUAAAUAGCUUCUCAAAUAUAUCCACUUUUUAGGUAUAGGUAAACUUGUGUACUGACCCGUGCUAGGGUUAAAUAUCAGUGUACGCUUAUCAUCUGGUCUAUGUCGACAGAAACAGAUCAAUCCUGAGGCAUAACCACAAGUCUCUAGCCACGUAUUGUCUCCAAGGAACUGCAUGUGACGAUCAGCGGUUACUACAAGAGACGACGACUCCUCAUCAUAUGGAUUCUGAGGCUGAGACGACGUGAAGAAGCACCACUCAUCGCCGUCUACGUCUAGUUGGACGGCAAAUAAGAGACACGGGGGACGAGCAGAGGACCUCGUGAGGAACAAAUCGGUGAAAUAUGGACGGAGAAUCAUGGAGCUCCAUAGCUUCGACACGCAAUGAAACCUCGCGAUUGACUUGGCAGGCAAUCUCGAGAGUAUCUCGUUGACGAGAUCAAUCGGGAUGGAAUCUGUGUUUUCUCCUCUAAUCAUAUUGAGUUCCAACUUUGAAGAAGGUUUCCGAUAUACACACCACAGGCUCUUAGUCUAGGGUUUUUAAAGGCAAUCUUUUUUUUUUUGCUUCCUCUAGACGUCAAUGACAAUUCUAGGUUUUCAAAAUUAACUGUAUUAUCGAAAAUAUGGAAAACGAUAUUUAAUUAGAUAAAACUUUGAUAGGAUAUUUGCAAAGAUUGAUAUCUUUUUUUAUAUUUGUAUGAAAAUUUUAAGCUAUAAGUGUAGAAGCAACAUGAACGAACAAACAAAGUUGACCUUGCCAUAAACUUGAGCCAAAAGAGAAUCAUCUCCCUUGAGAUUCUCUACAAUAUAUGAACUUGUGUACUGAUACUAGAACCUGCACUGGCAUCGAAGAGAACGAACUGUGAUGUAGCUUAUAUUAUACACUAAACAACAAUACUAACAUUAAGAACUUUAACUCACCUGUUCAAUAAAUGUAAGAAGACAAUGAUCAAUACAUGUAAGAACAAAAGCGAUCGAUGAGAUCUAAGAAGAAAAGCUUAAAAAGUUAACUUAGAAAUUCAGGACAGGCAUGCUAAGCAAAUUAUCACAAAACUCAACAACAAAAAAUUCCACAAAUGCAAAUAUUACACACUCAAAUACCAAGUCAAAAAUACACGGAAAGAAAUCGAUCAUGAGAAUAUAUACGCCAAUUUACUAUAGUUUUUAAGUCUCAAGAUCCCAACAACGAAACAGCUUAUCCUUUUUUGGGAAUUAGACUGUAAACAGCAACUGCAGGUUUUGUUUCUUUGCUCCAUUUAUCAGUCAGACUGAUUCAGUCUCCAACGAAUCUACCUAAAUUAAUACAAUAAACAAAAUUUUAAGCUUCAGAGUACCAACAACAAGCUAAAUCCAACUCUAGAUAAGAUACUUCUGAUCAUGGAAGUUUCAGGUUGGUAUAUAUGUAAUCUUAAUUCAAAAACAAAAAUUUCCAUCACCAGAACAGGUCUGCAUUGGUAUGCAAAUUCUAAUAUCAGCCUGUUAUUAGCUGAUUAUUAUAAUCUUUACACAGAUCACUUUAGGUACUAUUUUAUUACAAUAAUUUUCAUGGAACUGCUCUUGUACGAAACUUUAUGUUCCUUUUACAUUUCUCACUACUGAUUCAAGAAUCAGAGUAAAGUUCUUGUCAUCCUCUCUGUAAUCAGAUUUCACUUUGUCAUGUUUGUUUCAUGAUCUUCGCCGUGUAGUUUUUCACUGAUGGUCGAACAAACUUGCUUCUCUUUCUUCAUCUCUCACAAACUUUCUCUCUCUUAGUUCCAUACUCUGCAUUUGCGCUGUUUCUUCGUCUAUCUCUGUUUGUGCGACUGCAACAGCUUCAAGUCUUGGUUUGGUGGGUCUUCUCUCAAUGAAAAUUCCACGCCUGUCUGAUGUUAAGAAGACCUAUCAGAAAUUAAAGAUAAAUAACGCAAAUUAAGACGUUGGUGAUCAACACAAUCGAGGAUACAUUAUACACUAGAAUCGAGGAUACAUGUAUUUAUUAAUCAAGAGUUGGUUUAACAAGAACUAUUAAUAAGUCAGGAACUAAUUAACGAGAAUACAUUACCUUAUGUUAAAGAAAUAAACACUUUGGAAUGCCAAAAGGAAUCUGCAUCUAUUUAGUAAUUGCUUAUGACAGUAGAUCCAGCAACUUCUAGUAAUCUCAGCCAUAAUCUUCUCUUCAUGAACUUGACCGAUUCUGCAAUUCAUAAACACCUGAAAAAGCAUCUCUACAAAUUAAUAGAAAGUAGAAUCUUCACCUUGCCACAUACUUUCCAUGUCUGAUUCCUAGCUUGCAGCAAAAGCAACUUAAAUGCUUUAUUUGAGAUUUCCAGUACCUUGUUGCUGUACCCUUUAUACAUGGUAUUUGAGCUUGACCUAGCUUUUUUUUUAUGUUUAAUUAGAAAAGUAAGAGAAGCCACGUUUGUAGUAAAGACACAUUGACACAUGUAGGAUCAAUAUGCAAACGAUAACCUGCAAAUUUUGGAAUAAAAGAUCACAUUAACAGAUGUAAAAAAAAAGAUCACAUUAACACAUGGCAUAGCUGAAGAAAACCUCUGGAAAUGGCUUUAUAUAUGGCUGAUGUGACUGCACCUAGACUAUCAAAUUUGUAUCAUUGUAUGGUUUCUUAUUCUAAACUUUUCAAUUAGUAAAACAAAGAUUUCUUAUCUUUCCGGUGCUUUUACCUUAAUGCAGAUACUCAACAGACAACUCAACUCAAUCCGAGGAAGUGGAGAUCGUACUUAUGAUGAAGCCAUGGGUCGGUUGUUUGACUGCCGACCACCUUGACACCUAGCCGAUUAUCCCCAUAUGUAUCUACUCUAAUAUAUAACUAGGAAUUAACCCACACAUUGUGCCGGGUAAUAAUUUUAAAAUUGUAUUUUAAUUUAAUUUUAAGUUUUUAGUUAAAUUAAGAUUGGUGGCAAAAAUUCUUUAACAAAAAAUGUAAAUAAAUAAAAUUGAUGGCAAUUAGAUAACAAUAUAUAUAAAUAUCACACAACCGAUAUUUACUUGUAUAUAUAUCAUUGAAUAGAACUUUGAGCUAGUUUUGUUAUGCAGUUUAAUUAUUAGUAAUUUUUAAAUGUGAAAGUGAUAUGAUUUUAAUAUAUAUAUAUAUAUAUAUAUAUACCAAUAUGGAUUAAAAUCUAUAUAUAUCCAUAAAAUAAAAAUUUAACUAUGAAUAUUUUAUUAGAGAUCAAACUAUCAUUUUUAGUUAAUGAAUUAUAUUAUAUGUGUUAAUAAUGAUUAUAUAUAGGAUUGUCAUUAAUAAAAUAUUUAAUCUAUUUUGCAAUCUAAUAAAAUAUUUUUUUUGGCCAACCCGUAAAAAAUACAAUUUAAAUUUUGAAAUAUAUUUCUGUUGUUUUUAGUAAAAUAAUUCAAUUGAUUUUCGAAAUGAUAUUAAUAAUUAUGAAAAUACCAAUGAAAAAUAUUGCAAAAGUUUAAAUAGAUUUUUUCAUAUAUAUGAAUUGAUUAUUAUUUAAAAUAAUAGAAUAUUUUAAUAUUUUAAUAAAUAAAAUAAUAAAGAAUUUAAAUACACUUGAUUUAUAUCUAUAUAUAUUCAAAAACAAAAUAUGUGAGCUAUAUAUUUAACUAUCUCUUACGGAAGAAUAUAUAGUUGAGCUUUCUAUUUGUAAAUUUUAUUUAUGUAAUAUCUUCUUACUAAAUAUUUUUUGAUGUAAUAUCUUAUAAAUAAAUAUUUAUUUAUGUAAAAUAUUAUGUAAUAUCUUACAAAUAAAGGUUCAUUUAUGUAAAUGUCGACUAAUAAUAAUAUAGAGAUGAGAGAAGGGGGGCUCUCCAGCGGUGACACAUCAGUCCCCCCUUAUUGGGUCAAUUUUUUUUUUUUUGAUUUUACAAAUCAACAUUAAAUAAAAAACAAAAAAAACAUGCAUCUAAUUUAGUUUACCUUUAUUUUUAUUUUUUAAAAACAUUCUCAAUGUUCAUUUCUCGUCAAAAAUUUAGGUGUGGUUACAAAAUUCUAAAAGUUUUUGCUAUCUUCUUAUCACAAAUCUCUUCUAACUCCAAGAUUUCAAUGUAUAUCAUUUUCAAACAAAUAUUGAAAACAGAGAAAAAUAAAAUAAAAACUAUUCUUUUUUAAUUUCGUAAGAUUUUAUUACCAAACCCUGGAUGAUUAAAAGUUUAGAAUCAUUAAUUCAGAGAUUACAAUAAAUAUACUAUAAAGUUUUGAUACUGAAGUAAUACGAAUAUAAAAAUAGAGGGAAGGAGGGGGGAUGGGGAGUGGGAGUGGCAGAAGGAGAUGAUUGUCGAGACUGAUCCGAGAAGAGAUGUUUUGCUCUGGAAGGAUCUCCCUUUCAUCAUGCCCGUUUAAUAAAGGAAUAACAAAGAACACAACUCAGAAGAAAAUCGGGGAAGGAGGACCAGAGGUUUUAUUGGAAGACCCAAUAUCUUACAUUACUGUUUAAAUACAGCCUCCCCAAAAUUUAUAUUUUGAAAAUCCCUAAUCUCUGUUUUUUACCUUUUUAAAAGUGUUGUUGGAGUUUUGAUCUUCAAUAAUUAUAUACCAUUAGUGAUUCUUGGUUGGUCUCAUCAAUUUUUAAUUCGGCAAGAUUAUCAGAAGAUAAAUGGCUUGAUCAUUCUAAAUACUAUGAAUUUAUACAUAAAAUUUCAAUAGUGUUUUGUGGAGAAAUCAUAAGCUUUUGGAUGCAUAUUCACUUAAUGUUGGAAUUACGUCUCUGAAGAUUGUUCAAGGGAUUAUUAGCAAGCUUGAAUCACAAGGGACACCAGGAGUAACUUUGAGUGUUUCAUCAUCGGCUACCUGAUGUGAACUUAGGUAGGUUGAGGCCUACGUUAAAUAGCAUAGCAAUUAAUGAUGAUAAAAAUCAUAUCAAGAUUUCCCAAAAACUAAAUUGUAAUGUAUGAAUGGUUUCUCUGGAUGACGUCUUUCAUCAUUCUAACUAUUUACUUAGGCGUCUUACAAAACAUACAAUUUUUACUCUCUUUCUCUCUAGAGGCAUCACUACAAAAACAUCAUAAUAGAAUAGUGGAAAAAACAUAACAUUUAUAACUCAUGCACUCAAGCAGAUUCACUAUGACAUCAUAGUUAUGUGAUAGCUAUAAUCGUUGGAAGUGCUAAUAAGUUUAAAAAAUUUCAGCAUAAAGAAGUAUUUGAUAAUAAGUUUUGGUACAAAAUAUCUAAAGUUCUCCAAACAUCAAUUUAUCCUUCUCCUAAAGUUUUUAGUUUAUAAAUAUUGUUGUUUGAUAGUUCUGGUUUCUUUUGUGUGUCAUAGCUGUAGCUAGCUAUGUUUGUUUAAGGUGUUAAACAAAAGAUGCUUCUUUGAGUUUUGUCUUCAGAAACAAUGAUACUUUAAUGUUUGAGAUUCCGCCGGUUUGUAUGCAAUGUUUCCUGUUUAUUAACAAAAAUAAAUAUCAGAUAACAAAAAAAACAAACAAUUCUCAACAGAUAUACAAGAAAAAUACUAUUCGUCAACUUAAACAUGUAACUAAACUAUUUAACAAAAAAAAUAAAUGUAACCAAAAUAACAAACUAACAAAUUUACACUCAAGCCAACACACAAAAAAAAAGAUGUAGUAACAGCCUUUUUAACAUAGUUCAGUAUUUACUUUAUACAUGUGUUUAUCUAACAUUGCAAUUAAAAUAUGAGUCUGAAAACACAUGCAUAAUUUUAACAUUUUCAAAUUAAUAAGACAAUUGAAGAUAAAUGUAUUUAUUGAAUUACAAAUGUAUAAACAUUAUAACACAUAAACCCGUACGUAGUGCGGGUACACAUCUAGUCUUCUUAUAUAUAAAAAUUGUUCAACUCUCUCCAGCUGAGUGACACAUCAGCAGUGGAAAGAGUGACACAUAUCCAUUUAAAAUAAUAAUAAAAUAAAUAAUUAAUCAAAUUUAAAGCAAACACAUUAAAAACAUAAAUAAAUAUUAAUAUAUAUUUAUAUUAGAAUGAAUGCAAAUUUAAUUUAAAUAUAUAAAAACUUAGAAAUAUUAUAUAAUACAAGACUUUUUAAAUGUACCUUUCUAUUUUAUUUUUCAAGUGAUUUAAACUUUAAUUUCAAACUAAAAAUAUAAUUAGAUUUUAAUGCAAGUGAAAACAAAUUAUAAGACUGAAUAUGUUAAAAAUUUUCAAAUAAUCUUAUAUAAAACUAUAACUAAUAAAAUUAUAAAACACAAAGAAUAAUUGAUAAACGAUUAAAGAGAUAAAAGUUAUUAAAAAAAACAAUAGUAAAAAAGAAGAGUGUCCAUAAAAAUGUCAUACAAAAAAAAAAAGAAUCAAUAAAAUAUAUAUAACCAAAAAAAUUCAAAAUGAUAAAUUGAAAAAUUGCUAACAAGUAUUAUAUUAGUAAGAUUUACAAGAAUGAAAAAAAUAUGAAGAUCGAAAAACAAAUAAAUAUUCCUCUCUACAUAUAUUUUUAAGUGAAUUAUUAUGUUUUCAUACAAUCAUUAAAAUAGUAGAUUUUUAAGAGGAAAUCGCAAUGCAUCUUGCUCAGCAGAUCUCCUUAUUAUCUUGGGAGAAAAAUUAUAUUAUUUGUCACAACAGGUAUAGAAAAUAUUACAAAUAAUAUAUUAUCAAGAAGAAACUGAAGAAAAUAUAAAUAUUUUAAACGCAAAAAUAUUGAUAGUAAACAUAAAAUUCAAUACAAAUUCUAAAAAUAUAUUAUUUAAAAUAUAAAUUAAAACAAGAUCUGCGCAUACACGUGGGUUCUCUCCUAGUAUAAAUAAAAGUAAAUGAUUCUCAGUAAAUUUCUAAUUUUUAAUUUAUUAAAAAAUAUGUGUUUUAUAGUUGUUGUUAUCUCGUUUUAAUUAAGGGGAUAUUAUAUUUUGAUAGAACUAGAUGUAUUUUAAUAGGAUAUUUGUUGUUAUUCAUUUUUGUAUUGUUAAAAAAUACAUUUAGAAGUAAAUUUUAAAACAGUAUAAUGAUUUGGAUAAGUACUAAUUUUUAGUAAAAGAUGAUCCUCUGCACUUUUACCGGUUUGUAAUUUAAAAAAAAAAAAUAUGUGUUUUAGUUGUGGUUAUGUUGUUUUGAUUUUGUAAGAUAUUUACGAAAUCAAAAUUUUAGUGAUCAAUUUGGAUCAGAAUUACUCGAGAACUUGACACAAAUGUUGUAAGAUGGAUUGUAGACAAACAUCAACUAGAACGUGUUUCCUCGCUCUUUAGACUAGUCACAGUUCUUCUAAAUGUGAAAAUUGGCACAAUAGGUCAAUAGCUACUACUAUCCAUGACCGAGAACAAAAAACAAAAAAACUACUACUAUCCAUGACCAAAACUGGUUUGGUAUGCUGCCAUUCAUGGGUACAAACUGAUACUAAGCAAAAUAUGUUUACAUACACAGAUAUUAAAACAUUGUGUUCUUGUGAACUAAUAACAAUUACCCAAAAAAAAAAAAGAAAAUAGAGAUGAUCAAUGGCGAUAAAAGAGAAAUCGACACAAGGGACAUUUAUGACUGGUUUUCAUCCAUUUGAGUAUGCAAGCUUUAUGAAAAUGAUGAUCACAAGGAAACUCAGCUAAUUCUUCUCCUGAUUUGAAAUCCUCCAUGCAAAUCACACAUUCGUUAUCCUCCUCCUCCAACGUCGGAUUGGGGCGGUACUCCUGGAUCCUCAGAUAGUGGAUACUAUAAACCUUGGUUAUGAUCUUCCAUAUAUUGACUUCAAUUAUCACUCCUCUGCCUAUCAAGGAUGACGAUGUAAUAGCUGUGUCGAUGUCGUGAAAGAUAGUGGAGCACUCGUCGUUAAAGAGGCCGAAACGCAGCAAGAUUAGCCAGAUGUUUCUAGCGCAGUGUAGCGAGUAGUAGUUGCUAGAAGAAGGGUUGUUUGAUCUGGAGAUAGCGGUGGUUCCGUUGGGACCACGAGUGAUUUCGAGGGCGACGUCGUUUGGUUUGUUUAAGGGAAAAUAGCCCGAGUGUCGUACGAUGCUUUUGUCGGGAAGAGAUGGUGAUGAGGUUGGUUCCAUGUUGGAGUAACGAAUUUUCUUGCGCCGGACUUCGGUGCAGGUUAGCUGCACGAAAAGAAGAGAGGUACUCGAGUGCCUGCAAGGAGAUACAUUGUGCUCAAAUUCAGUGUUUUCCGUGAAUAUCAUUUGGCUAAUCUUUUUGUUGAAUGGAGAAACAUUAUCAGACUAGAGAGCCUAGAGGAGGAAAAGAAGAGAUUGCCUUAUUGCGAUGGUUUUAUACUAGUGAGAAAAAAAAAAAAAAGAGUUAGUUUUAAAGAUUCUUCAAGAUCUUUAUUCCCUUUUUUUUUUGAACUGAAUAUAGAUAUUUUUUUUUCAAAAACAAAAACUACCUCUACGAAUUAAUAGGUUUUAGAGGAUUUUAUGAUACAAUAUUUUUUUCUCAAAAAAAAUCUAAAGAAAAAGCGCGCUGUUAAUUGGUGGUUUUAAGAAAAUAUUUUUCAAGUCAUUUAAAAUUAAAUUAAAAACUUUUACGGCGGCCCUCAAUUUUUGGAAUAUUAAAUUAAAGAAAAAGCGCGCUGUUAAUUGAUGGUUUUAAAAAUCAUGUAGAUUUUUCUCUAAGAUGCAUUUAUUGGAUUUUGAGGCCAUUGAAAUAAGUUAUGGUUUUGUGCUUUCGGCUCGUAGUGCCCUUCAGGUUCCUCUGUUCAGUGAGCUGGUCUCUUGUCAUACAAUAAAGAUGGAUUUUUUUGUCCGAAGUUGUUCAAUCGGCUUUAAUUGACACAUUCUCAAAAAGUCUCAAAAAAAUAACUCGGCACAUCUCACUUUCUGAAGCAAGUUUAGAUAAGAUCAUGAACAAUUCGACGUAUAUUUUCAUCUCUACCACAAAGUCUCAAUUUCAUAGAAAUGUUCUCUAUUAUUAUCGUCUGACUUUUGUUCUAUCUUAUUCUUCUAGCUUCAGCUAUACUUCUUACUUGUGCGCUUUUGCCGUCAUCCCGAUAUUCACGUUAAAUAAUCUUUGAAGAAACCACAAAGAACAAAAGAGAAAUUCAGUAUGCAGAGAUGUCCAAUAAUGAUAUCUUCAUAUUAGAGUUUAUAUAUAGUGUAUGUGAUUAUAUUUCUAAAACCGACUUUGUGGUGUAGAUUAUGACCAAAAAAAAAUUAGGGUUCGUUAGGGUUUAGUAAAUGUCGUUUUAGUAAAAAAAAAAAGUUUUUAAGAAAUUGAUGACAGAAUAAGUAUCAAACCGAGAUUGAUUGAUCAAAAGCUGGACGAAAAUUAUAACCAAAUGGUACGAUAAACUCUAUAUCAGUUUGUUUUAAGUGAUUUAUACACGUAAGCUGAACAGAACGAAUGCAACGCGUACACAUAGGAUUGUAAAUAUAUCAGUAAAGGUACUACAGACUUUCCGUAGCCGAAACUCUUUGAAAACGUGACACCUCAGAAAAACGCUACACAAAUAAAUAUAUAGAUAGAUGUACUAUUUGAAAAACUAGGUGUUUAGCCCGCACCUUGUGCGGGCGAAAAUGUUUCAUUAAAAAUACUUACUCAAACUCGCUAAUUUACUUGAAAAACUUACUCAAAAUCGCGUUGCGCGGACGGAAACAUCAUCUUUUCUUUCAAUUUCUUUUUGUCUUGUUCUUUCGAUUUUUUUUCUUCCUAUUAUUCUUUAUAUAGUCUAUCUUUUCUAAUUUCUUAUUGUUUUACAUAAAAUAUUAAAUAAACAGACUUCUUCUUUGUGUUUUUCUUCUUUUUUUUAGUUUUAUUCCUUUUUCGUAUUUUCUUCUACUAUUUAUUUUUGGAAGUUUGGAAGUUUUCAGGUGUAUAUUUUCACAUCUUUUAUAGGCUUGAUUAUCUUUGUAUAAACGAUCAAUUUCAAAAAAUCUUACGAAGUGAAGCACAAAGAUAACAUAGACACAUAUUAUCCGAGUAUUCUAAUAUGAACUCUCCUCUUAAAACAAAGUUGAAAUAUAGUUAGGAAGCUGAAACCAAGUCACUCUUAAAGUUGUUAUUCUUUAUUGCCUAAAAAGUAAUUCCAAAAUUAUAUAUAAAUCCAAACAACUAAAACAUGUUUUAAUUUUUAAUCAUAAAAAUUAGAACUGUAUUCACUUCUUAUAUUUUGUAGAAAGAAUAAUCUUCACAUAAUGAAUUAUUUAUUAUUUGAGACAUAUAUUCUUCCAAUUAUUUUUAAAAAAAAUAUUAGAUUCUUAAACAAUUAUAAAUGAGAUGACUCUGCAUAUGAGUUACUCAUUUUCCCUUUGAUCGUUAUGUAAGGUGCCUACUGGUAUUAUCUUGACUAUUUCCUGGUUUUUAAAACUUUACCAAUGUACUCUGUUAUUGAGAUUUACAUAAUGAGAUUAUUUUUUCUAUAAAGCAUUGAAAGAAGUAAAAAUCUUUUAAUUAGCGGAGUGAUGCUAUAGGUUUUUUUUAGGGGAAACAAAUCUAUUCUUUAUUUAUCUUAACCAAUAGCUUCUCAAUACUAUAAACUUACAAUUUUUCACAUGUCCCUCCAAAUUGUAAACCGAAUACUUGAUAUGAUCCUUAAUUUGGAAAAUACCACUUGCAAUAAACCAUAUGGUUUUUUGCACCAAUAAUAUAAAUCUGAAGCUGAAAGAUCUCUCACUUACCACUUGGAUCUUUCUUAGACCCUUGUCAACCUUUGUCAUUUGAAAGGAGAUCUAGAGUCUGUUGUUGAUUUGUGCUCUCAUUGUGUUCCACAUCAGCAAGACCAUUCUCCAAAGCUUUCACGUGUUUUUCGAAGUAGGUUUGGUUACUUUAGUCAACCGAAAUCAUUGAAACUUUUGGAUGGUUCAUUAGUUCCGGAGACAAACUGUUCCAACUACAUCUCUGCACAAUGAUGAAGCCUCUUUCAAAUACUCGAAAAAAUUGUGUCUUUGCAUGUUCAUUAUGAGCAAGGUAGUAUCCAUAUGCAAAUGUCCAAUUCAAGACCCUCCUACAUUCCAUUAUCCAAUCGUAAAAUCAACCACAUAAAUACUUUGGUCCGUUUAAGAAAAAUGUUGUAACAAAAGACUCACUGAAAGUGUCAUUACUAAUAUUCCUAAAUUAGCAUGAUUACAAGAUUUUACCAAUAACAGUCUUUAGUGAAAUCACACUUUCUGUUCAACGAUUCCACAAGAUUUAACAUGAAAAAUAUAAUUUUAAAACCCUGAUUGGUCUAGUUUGUUUAAAUUUAAUCAAUAAUUUCCCAUUUAUAUUCCAUUAUGCAUCAUCCUGGUUCACCUUGAAAACCAUGUAUUUUGCAAGGCCAAGAAAGUCUGGUUGGGGCAAGAGUCUCGGGCUCAUCGAAAUCUUUAUUCCAACGAUUUCUUCAGUCUUUACUAUAAUUAGAGUGAAGAAGCAGAGCGAUCAAUUCGAUUUGGCUUAGAGAACAGUAGAAACUCGUUCAAUAUGGUCUAUUUUAUGCUUGUGAAUUUUUUUUUUGUUUUGCUACGAUUUUAUGCUUGUGAAUAUAUUCUUCACUAUAACUGGACAUCACAAUAAACAACGCUAAAUCAGUAUGAUUAGCAUCACUUUGAUUCCUCAAAAUUUAACUGAGAUGAAUACAACUUAAACAUGAAAUCCAAACAGAAUCUCAAGUCCAAAGCAAAAUUAUUUUUGGAUAAACCAGACACAUUCCAAAAACAGAAACAAAGUUGAGAUGGAGGAGCAUAGACACUAUGGGAUCCGAUCGGUCAUAGACUUAUAGAGCAAUAUCGAUGGAAAUUAAUCGCAAAGCUUAAAUACUCAAUCGUCCUCAUUCAUCAUGAACAAAGACCCAAAGCUUUUAAACAAAAAACCCUAAUUCAAAAAUUUUAAUAAAGCAAUACAACUCAAACGUCAAAACACAGAAACCACCGGUUGAAGAAGAAGCUCUGACUAAUCGGAGAUUAUGGCUAAAGUGAGAGCCUUGGGGCUUUCAUAUACAAAACCAUAUAAUUUUAUAGCAUUAAAAGAUCCAAUAUUAACUUCAUGGUAACAAAAUUUGGUAUAAUUAAUUAUAAAUAAAACUUAAUUUUAACCAAUUAAAGGAUAUUAAUAACCUUUUAGAAAGGGACAAAAAAAUAAUUAACCACGCUGAGAUUGAAUGAGAUGUCUUUAAAGCUAAAAUUCACUUCGCUUUUAAUAUAUAGGAUGAUGAUUAGUCACCUAAAUUGAAUAAGAGAACUUAUCGCGAAAAAUUUACUUCGCAUAUAGUAUAUAUGAUAUGAUUUUAAUGUUUUGUUAUUAAAUUACAAUUUUUAAUAAAUUUUUAAAAUUGAAAUGUUUUUUAUUAAAUUUUGAUUUAUAUAACUUUUUAUUAAUUUAUGAUUUUUAAUAUUUUUAAAAAAUUUAAAUAUUUUAUUAUUAAAUUCCGAUUUUAAUAAUUUUGUUAUUAAUUUACGAUUUUUAAAUAUGAUAUUAUUUUAAUGUUUUUUUAUUAAAUUUCAAUUUUUAAUAAUUUUUUAAAAUUAAAUGUUUUUUGAUUAAAUUCCGAUUUAAAUAAUUUUUUAUUAAUUUACGAUUUUAAAAAAAAAUUUAAAAUUUAAAUAUUUUUUUAUUAAAUUCCGAUUUUAAUAAUUAUUUAUUAAUUUACGAUUUUUCAUAAUAAAUUUUAUUAAUUUUCGAUUUUUAAUAAUUUUUUUAUUAAAUUUUAUUUUAGAAAAAUAUAACUAGGGGUAAAGGGUAAUUAACCACUCCGAAAUUGAAUGAGAGAGUUUUAAUUCAAAAUUUUACUUUGCUUAUAAUAUAUAUGAUAUGGAAAACAAUACCUUUUAAUUAUCCGAUCUCGAUUAUUAGAUCAAUAUUAUAUACAAUAUAUAUUAAUACGAUUUUAGUAUACGAAAAGAGUUCAUCCGGACAAACUGAAAGAAUUGUUAAUCUACGAUGCAGUCUUACCUUGAGAAAGUUAUAUCUUCACCUAGAAUAUCUAAUUUGUAUGUUUCCAUGUUCAUUAGGAUCUUUAUAUAAUUAUAUAUCUCCAACGAAUUCUUGUUUCCAUGAAAAAAGAUGUAUGGUUUCUUAUUCUAAACUUUUCUAUUAGACCAUUAUUAACGCUGGUCUCUUCCUCUGUCUCUUAUUAAUAUUUAUGAUUAAAUAUAUUGAAAAGAAAAAACGUUGGUUGAAAAACGUUUCUUAUUUAAGGACAACAAGAAACGUCUUUUGUUGCCACCUAGGAUUUCUAUCCAAAUUUCAUAUUAAAAAAAAAUUAUAAGAGACCACAUAUACGUCUCUCUCCGUUGAUGAUGCUCUUAGUAAUCAAAGAUGAAAAAAGAUGAAGUGCUUUUGGAAUAGUUAGUAAAGAAUCAGUUUGGUGGAACAUAACUAAAUGUAAACAAAGAAACUUGUGGUUUAAGGUAAUACGCUUAAGCUUUCCGAGAGAGUAGAGAUGGAAUAACUUGUCAAGAAUCAAGAUUUUGUUUCCCGCCUGAAACAUUUGGUGUUUGUUUUGUUGAAACAAAAUCAAUUCAAGUGAGGAAUAUAUAUAUUUUUUUAAAUAAACAUUCUAGAAUUUGCAAUUCCAGUUGAAACAACAUUGUCACACUCUACAAAAUUUCAUAGAUACCAAACCCGAAUUGAAUGCAACAGGUAGAGAUCAUUCCAAGCACGAUGAGUCGUAACGUAAACAUCGAGGAUCAUUCAAACAUUCGAUCACCUAUAGAUUCAUAUAGGAUAUCCACACCGUUUGGAAACUCCUUUUUCAAGACCUGUGAAGAUUCUUAGAUCAGCAUGGACAAUAAUAAACACAAACCCAAUUUUGCAAGCUGCAUAGAGAAAGAAUCUCUCAAAUCUAUUCAUAUGGUUAAUACUUUAAACAACUACUAUAGGACACAAAUCUCAUACAUGGACUGCGAAUUGUCGAGUCCCUCCUUUGGAAGCUGCAUAAGUAACAACCAACGGAAAAUGAUGGGAGUCCUCUAGAGAAGUAAGAUUAAAGAGUGCCUUUAAACACUGCAAUCAGGUUCACAUGAAAUGAUGUCUCUAGUGUUCCGAAGGAUAGGCUAAGUUCUUCUCAAAAGCAUCAACCAGAGCUACUGCUCAAUAUCAUGUUUGAGCUAGAAAAGAUAAAGCAUCCUAUCGACACAAUACAAGCCUACCUCUCUUAGUCAAAUCAAGUCACAAUAUCAGACAAAGAUAGCAGAAGAAAAGUUUUUUACUUAAAGAAUAACCAGAAAAAAACAAAUUAUGUUAAGAAAACAGAGUGAAGAAAAAAAAAGAAAAAAACUCACACGAAACCUGUAAAAGAGAAUGUCGUAAGAAAAUAAAUAAUAAAAUAAACAAGUCACACACACAGCCAAAAUAGAGUUUGUAAGACGACUGCAGCCAUGGCCCUGGCUUGGCAAAAAACUUAAUCUCGAGAGAAUUUUCUUUGAUAACUUCUUGAUUGUUUACAGAGAGAAUACAAUUUAAAUGUUAAAUAGAGCUUUUAGACGACUUUAAGGAGCAAGGGAAGCAAUCAAGUAAAUUCAUCAUCAUCUAAAAGACGCAGAGAAUCAAAUUUGUUAAUGCUCUCAAACGUAAAACCAUCUUCUUGUUGCAGGUGAGCUUUGGAUGAUGUGCUCUAGGGUUCACGCUUCUGUCCUGGUGGGCUUAUAGAUGUUGCAGCAUUGUAUGUCGUCUUUAGGGUUUAGAAUUUCAUAUAGUUAACAAACAAUACCUUUCAUCAUAGUUAACAAACAAUACCUUGAAUUGUUUGUCAAUCGGUGUUGACAUUCUUCACUCUCUCUUGUUCACUCAUUCAGGUUUCACCUUCUUUCUCUUUUUCUCUCUUUACUCUUUUCUUUUGUUUCUCUUUUCUCUCUCUUUCACUCUCACUCUCUCUUUCUCUCUAACUCUGUUUCACUCUUUGUUUUGUGUUUGGUUUUUCUAAGUGAUAACAAGAUGAACUUUAGAGAGAAAAAGCUUUAAAAACUACAUUUUGUUAUAUUGAUCAAUCGAUCCUUUCUCCUUCUCUUUUACAACAUUCUUAUAGAGCUAUACAACUCAUUGCACUCAUACCUAAUGAUCUCUAGACAUAACAACUUCUACUAGUCCAUACCUCUAACACUAGACUAGUUUUACAAGCAACCUUACUUAACUAUUACAACAACUCUAACUGCUCUAGCUUAGACUUAUUCAUCUCAACACACCAACACACACACAUACACAAACUCCUCCUCCUUUAUUCGUUUGGGCUUGUACAAAUUCGCAGGCCCACUUGACUAACCUGAGAAGCCCAACUUCUUUCUUUGACUAUCCUUUCCCUUUGACUUUCUUCUUCUUCUCUGAUUCUUUCUUUCACGACACAAAACUUCUUCUUCAUCCUUUCUUCUUUUUCCUUUCUUCUUUUCCAACAAUAUCUGGUUUCUCUUUUAUUUGUGAGGAUUCAAUCAAGGAAUUCAACUUCAACAAUCGUAUCAAACCCUAAAAAUAUCACAGGAAGUUUAUCCUCUUCUGAGAUCGCUGAAUGUCGACGAAAACAGAUCAAACCAGAGGCAGGGCCACAAAUCUCUAGACACGCAUCGUUUACAAGAGACGACGACUCCUCAUCAUAUGGAUUCUGAGGCUGAGUCGACGUGAAGAAGCACCACUCAUUGCCGUCUAGUUGGACGGCAAAUAAGAGACGUGGCUGAGCAGAGAACCUGGUGAGGAACAAAUCCGUGAAAUAUGGACGGAGAAUCAUGGAGCUCCAUAGCUUCGACACGCAAUGAAACCUCGCGAUUGACUUUGCAUGCAAUGUCGAGAGUAUCUGAGUUUUCUCCUCUAAUCAUAUUGAGUUCCAACUUCGAAGAAGGUUUCUGAUAUACACACCACAGGCUCUCAGUCUAGGGUUUUAAAGGCAAUCUAUUUUUUUUUCCUUCCUCUAGACGUCAAUGACAAUCUAUUCUAGGUUUUCAAACUUAACUGUAUUAUCGAAAUAUGGAAAACAAUAUUUAAUUAGAUACAAUUUUGAUAGGAUAUUUUGCAAAAAUUGAUAUUUUUUUGUAUUUGUAUGAAAAUUUUAAGCUAUGACCUAUGAGUGUAGAAGCAACAUGAACGAACAAACAAAGUUGACCUUGCCAUAAACUUGAGCCAAAAGAGAAUCAUCUCCCUCGAGAUUCUCUACAGUAUAUGAACAUGUGUACUGAUACUAGAACCUGCACUGGCAUAGAAGAGAACCCAACUGUGAUGUAGCAUAUAUUAUACACUAAACAACAAUACUAACAUUAAGAACUUUGAAUCAUCUGUUCAAUAAAUGUAAGAAGACAAUGAUCAAUACAUGUAAGAACAGAAGCGAUUGAUGAGAUCUAAGAAGAAAAGCUUAAAAAGUUAACUUAGAAAUUCAGGACAGGCAUGCUAAGCAAAUUAUCACAAAACUCAACAACAACAAAAAUCUACAGAUGCAAAUAUUACACAUUCAAAUACCAACUCACAAAAACACAGAAAGAAAUCGAUCGAUCAUGAGAAUAUAGAUACACCAACUUACUAUAGUUCUAAAUCUCAAGAUCCCAACAACGAAAUAGGUUAUCUUCUUCAGGAAUUAGACCAUAUAGACUGUAAACAGAAACUGCAAGUUUUGUUUCUUUGCCAUUUAUCAGUCUCCAAUAGCAACCUAAAUUAAUACAAUAAACAAAAUUUUAUGCGUCAUAGUACCAACAAAGUAAAUUAGCUGUGAAAAUCGACCGAUAACAAACAUGGUAAUAGCCAUGGCAUACUAAAUCCAACACAAGAAGAUACUUCUGAUCAUGGAAGUUUCAGGUUGGUAUGUAAUCUAAAUUCAAAAAAAAAAAAAAAAAAAAAAUCCAUCGCCAGAACCGGUUUGCAUUGGUAUGCAAAUUCUAAUUUCAGCCUGUUUCAGGUUGGUAUCAUAAUCUUUACACAGACAAACUCAAAUCUUUUUGGAAGUAAGAGAAUGUUUAAUGUUUAAAUUCCCUCUUUUGCUUUCUCUUGAUUUCACAUAGAGAAUGAGAAUCACUGUAGUUACUAUUUUAUUACAACAAUUUUCAUGGAACUGCUCUUGUAUGAAACUUUACGUUCCUUUUACAUUUCUCACUACUGAUUCAAGAAUCAGAGUAAAGUUCUUGUCAUCCUCUCUGUUAUCAGAUUUCACUUUGUCAUGUUUUGUUUCAUUAUCUUCGCCGUAUAGUUUUCACUGAUGGUCGAAUAGAAUUGCUUCUCUUUCUUCAUCUCUCACAAACUUUCUUUCUCUAACUUUCAUACUCUGCAUAUGCUCUGUCUCUUCGUCUAUCUCUUUUUGUGCGACUUCAACAGCUUCAAUUCUUGGUUGGUGGGUCUUCUCUCAAUGAAAAUUCCACGCCUGUCGAUGUUAAGAAGACCUAUCUGAAAGAAAGAUAACUAACGCAACUUAAGACGUUGGUGAUCAAGACAAAAUUGAGAAUACACUAUACACUAAAAUCGAGGGUACAUGUAUUUAUUAAUUAAGAGUUGGUUUAAGUAGAACUAUUUAUAAUCAGGAACUAAUUAACGAGCAUAUAUUACCUUAUGUUGAAGAAAUAAAUACUUUGGAAUGCCAAAAGGAAUCUGCAUCUAUUUAAUAAUUGCUUGUGAAAGUAUAUCCAGCAACUUUUUAAUAAUCUCAGCCAUAGGAACUUGACCGAUUCUGCAAUUCAUAAACACCUGAAAAAGCAUCUUUACAAAUUAAUAGAGAGUAGAAUCUAACCUUGCCACAUACUUUCCAUGUCUGAUUCCUAGCUUGCAGCACAAGCAACAGCUUAAAUGCUUUAUUUGAGAUUUCCAGUACCCUGUUGCUGUAGCUUUAUACAAGGUAUUUGAGAAAUUGAGAAAAGUAAGAGAAGCCACGUUUGUAGUAAAGACACAUUGACACAUGUAGGAUCAAUAUGCAAACGAAAACCUGCAAAUUUUGGAAUAAAAGAUCACAUGAACACAUGGCAUAACUGAAGAAAACCUCUGGAAAUGGCUUUAUGACUCAUGUGACUGCACCUAGACUAUCAAAAUUUGUAUGUUUCUAUAUUCAUUAGGAUCUUUAUAUAUCUUCAAUGGAUUCUAGUUUCCAUGAUAAAAAAAAUGUAUGGUUUCUUAUUCUAAACUUUUCGAUUAGUAAACAAAGAUUUCUUACAUUUCCGGUGCUUUCCAUGGAUCCGUUGUUUGACAGCCAAUUAUCCCCAUAUGUAUUGAUUUAUAAAAGUCUAGCAAAAUCUCUAUCCCUCAACUUAAAGAUGCAUUUAUUGUAAAAUUGAUUUUUUUUUUUGAAUAAAUUUUACAUCAACAAAAAAAAUAAUUAAAUAGAGCUUUUAGACGACUGUAAGGAGCAAGGGAAGCAAUCAAGUAAAUUCAUCAUCAUCUAAAAGACGCAGAGAAUCAAAUUUGUUAAUGCUCUCAAACCUACGACCAUCCUGUUCCUGGUAAGCUUCAGAUGAUGUUGUUGAUGUGCUCUUCUGUUUUGGUGUUACAGCAUUUGUCGUCUUCAUAGUAAUAAACUUGAGAUCCUCUACAUAGUUUAGAAAGACUUGAACUCUUCUUCUACGUUUCUCAAAAGUGCCAGCUCCAAAACCUUGGAUUUCAACACUUAGGAGAGUGUUCCUUUGGGGAUUGAAGAAAAAAACAUAAGACUGUCUAGAUGCGUCUUCCGUCGAAAAAACAAUUUCACUUGUAGCAGUCACACCAACGAUUCGAUACUCCCAAAAAUCGUAAACAACGCAUUUAGGGAAUUGAUUCUGCCAACAACUGUAGCUAUAUUCAGACCAUUCCGGUUCAGAUUUCUCGACAUCCUUUAAAACGGACAAACACAACUUAAUGGAAUUCCUUGUACCAGGAGGAGAAUACGUCCGAGUAAACACGCCUAAUUUACCCUUGUAAUUGAUCAGUUCAGGAAGAAACCCAUCAAGAAUGAAAUCUCUGUAUAUAAACUUGAAUUUCUCAGAUCUAACAUCAAAGCAAACUACCAGAUAACGAUGUUUAUCUAUUCGUUCAUCAUUGUGAUAUCCAGCUAAAUAAUACAAAAACCCAUUGAUGCAUAUCUCUCUAUGCAAAUGAUGCUCAGGAAAAUGGUUGAAGGGACAAUGGAUCUUCCUCCACAAAAAUUUUCCAGUUCCUAGUGUUAGAAUUUCAUACUGGUAUCCCUUUUCACCACAGCUAAGGGACGAUACCUUGAAUUGUUUGCCAAUCGGAUCAAACCCUAAAUAGCGUCUCCAACAUGUCCACUUUUUAGGUAUAGGUAAGCUUGCGUACUGACCCGUGCUAGGGUUACAUAUUACUGUAUGCUUAUCAACUUCUGAGAUCGCUUUAUGUCGACAGAAACAGAUCAAUCCUGAGGUAUAACCACAAGUCUCUAGCCACUCGUCUCCAAGGAACUUCAUGUGACGAUCCGCGGUUACUACAAGAGACGACGACGACUCCUCAUCAUAUGGAUUCUGAGGCUGAGACGACGUGAAGAAACACCACUCAUCACCGUCUAGUUGGACGGCGAAUAAGAGACGCUGGGGACAAGCAGAUGACCUGGUGAGGAACAAAUCGGUGAAAUAUGGACGGAGAAUCAUGGAGCUCCAUAGCUUCGACACGCAACGAAACCUCGCGAUUGACUUUGCAUGCAAUCUCGAGAGUAUCUCGUUGACAAGAUCAGUCGGGAUGGAAUCUGAGUUUUCUCUUCUAAUCAUAUUUUGUGUUAAGAUGGUUUGUGUUUUGGUUCCAGAUGGACUUGACCACAUGCUCUUAGUCUAGGGUUUUAAAGGGCUUCAAAGUUCACUAUAUAUAUAUAUAUAUAUAUAUAUAUAUAUACUAUUCAAUAAUAUGGAAAACAAUUAUCUUAAUUAUACGAUCUCGAUUAUUAGAUCAUAUUAUUUACAAUGUAUUAGACGUUAUUGUUGACAAAAAAAAAGACGUUAUACCAUAUUUAUAGUUUAUAUUUCUUGUAAACCUAAAGGGGUUAAUAUAUGUAUAUAUAUAUAUAUAUCUGAUUACAAUCCAUUUUAAAUGAUGAAGUUCAUUUUAAAUGAUGAAUUUCACAUGAACACAUGGCAUAACUGAAAAAAAACCUCUGGAAAUGGCUUUAUGGCUCAUGUGACUGCACCAAGACUAUCAAAUUUGUAUGUUUUAAUGUUCAUUAGGAUCUUUAUAUAUCUUCAAUGGAUUCUAGUUUCCAUGAUAAAAAAAAAAUGUACGGUUUCUUUUUCUAAACUUUUCUAUUAGUAAACAAAGAUUUCUCACUUUGCAGAUAUAUACUCAACAGACAACGGCCUUAAGACCUAUCAAAUUUUUUGAUCAGUCCCAACCUAUCAAAGGUGAAAAAAUGAAGAUGUGGUUUUUGGAAUAGUUAGUGAAGAAUCAGCUUAGUGGAACAAUACCAAAUGUAAACAAAAGAAACGUGUGUUUUACAUCUACUAAGGAAUACACACGUAAUCAAUAAAAAACCAAUAUUGCUUUUUCAUCAAAUGAUCUUUUUAAGAAGUAAGAGAAUGUUUAUGUUUAAAUUCCCUCUUUUUCUUUCUCUUGAUUUCACAUUAGAGAAUGAGAGUCACUGUGGUUACUAUUCUAUUGCAACAAUUUUUUCGUAGAAUUGCUCUUGUAUGAAAUUUUAUGUUCCUUUUACACUUCCUCUCACUACUGAUCCAAGAAUCAGAGUAAAGUUCUUGACAUCCUCUCUUUUAUCAGAUUUAGCUUUGUCAUGUUUGUUUCAUUAUCUUCACCGUGUCGUUUUCACCGAGGGUCGAACAGAGACUCCAUGUAACAGUUUAGCAAACCCGAAGAAGCUUAGUUUCCCAUCUGUGUGUCUUAUCCAAUCAUGUAGAACCGAAUGUACGGGUAUCGAUGGUCCAACACCAAGUUCCUGCAACUCAAUAACAUGUCGGCUUUAAGAGGAUACAUGUCUUGUCUUUUUCGAGAUUGUUGUAUUAGGCCAAAUACAAGAAACUUACAGAGGCAAGUUCUUCAAUGACAAUAGCUCUGUUCCCAUUCUUGUCGAAAAGCUCAUAAGCAUGACGAAUGCUCUGUUCCCAACAAUCAAGCGACUCAUGCUGAUGAACGUUUAAGGCAGCUGCACAAAACUCUUCGAAAUCCAUUCCUCUGUAUUGAAGUCCAUUUAGCUGUAAAAAAUUCCAGUCAUUGAAAGGGCAUCGACACCAAACUGUUGAAAGAAUCUAUCCAAAUCUGAGAAACACACAGAAACAUUUCUUACCAAAGCAAGAAACUCUGGGAUUCGAGAUUCCUUCAUUGCCUCUGUUGCAUUGCUUGAAAGUGCCUGCCCAAACAGAAAAAAUUUUGCAACAAGAUUUAGAUUACGACGCUGUGUUUUUGUAUCGUCAUAAAAGAGAGGUUUAAACGCUUACGAACCAAUCUAAUGUUUUCCAAAGUGAUGAGUCCAUCUUUGUUUGGUGCGAGGAGAGAAAAUUGAGUUUUCAGGUAAAUAAUUUCAUCUGUGAUCAGCGUCUUGGACAGGGCCUGUAAAAAGAAAGCACACUGAGAAAACAUUCUUCAAUGUUAUUUAAGACACUUAAAACAAAGGUGCUUGAAACAUACCCUUAGAGCAGCUUUGCGCAAUGAAGAAGAUCGCAAGUAGGCCUUUAUCUGCCUAAAGAUCAGAAUAUCGAACGGGAUAUUCAUGUCGGUACUAUAACCCCGGAUCCAAGGAUGCACUGAGAAAAAAGAGUAAAAAGGAACUGAAUUUGAAGAUUUAUGACUACGAAAUGAGAAACACUGUAAAUCUAUAAAGAGAUUUGAACUGACUCAAGGCUUGGGAGGCUGACAUUCUUCUCCGAGGAUCUUUAUACAAUAACCGCUUAACAAAGUCUUUAGCUUCAGCAGACAAGAAGGGCCAAGGCGCUUCAUCAAAACUCGGGUCAGCUUUAAGAACCGCUCUGAAGAUUCCGGAUUCGGUUCUUGCCCAAAACGGACGGCUACCACAUAGUAGAAUGUAUGCUAUGACUCCAAUGCUCCAUACAUCAGCUUCUGUUGUAUAUGAUCUGUGUAGAACUUCAGGAGCUACAUAGUACGCACUUCCCACUAUGUCGUUGAGUCUUUCAUCUUUCAAAAUCAAGGACACAAAACACCGUUUCUUUUAGUUUGCUAAUUAGAAGUAAAAGAAGUAAUGAAAUUUGUGACAAUUAGUAAAAAUAGGAUGAGGAACCUGGUCUGACAAAAUCUGAUAAGCCAAAGUCUAUGGCUUUCAGCUGAGAAUUCUCCUCCUUGGAAGUGUACAAGAAGUUCUGAUGAUCAAAGAAAACAUUCCCCAUAGGUAAGCAUUAGAGAUAAUCUACUUCCUUUCCGGUUCAAACGAAAUUUAGUGCCUCCUCACCUCUGGUUUAAGAUCUCGAUGAACAACUCCUUGGAGAUGACAGAAAGCAACAACACUUAAGAUCUGUAUAACCACUGGUUUUGCAUCAUUCUCUGAGUAUUUCCCUCCCCUGUUGAAAAAAAAAAAAAGAAACUUCAGAACAAUCCCUUGACCUAUGUUUCUGUUGUAUUGAUAACUCUUUAGUAGCACACACCUUGCUAGUAUUCUGUCAAGUAGUUCACCACCUUCACAUAGCCUGCAAAUUCAAACUAAUUCAACCCCCAAAGAAGCGAAACUAGGUUCUUUUUACCAAAAACAAAUUUUAGAAUCUAACUGAUUCAACAUCAGGCAACGAAAUUUUCUUACUCCAUAGCAAUGUAGACGUUAGCAUUGUCCUCGAAUGCAUCAUAGAAUUGAACCAGAUUCUUAUGUCCAGAUAAAGCCUGUAGAAUUUUCACUUCCCUUCUAACAUCUUCUAUGGCAAUUGCAGUUGUCAUCUGCCAAAAAUUAAUAAACACAUUCUGUUCUAUCAGCUACACUAUAAUGGAGUAUGCAAAUCAUCAAGAGCAAGAACUAAACUAAGCUAAUUGAGAGUUCUAAAUGAGUCAAUUUUAAGUUUUUUGACCUUUGAUUUUGGGAUGAUCUUAACAGCAACCACUUGACCUUUGUGCUCUCCUUUCUUGAAUUUAGCAGAGCAAGUGUACCCAAAAUGCCCUCGUCCAAUCUCUUCCCCUAAUUCUACUCUACUGUGAAAAUCCUUCGAAAAACCAAAUCUUUUGUCAAGCCCUAAUUCCUCUUCCUCCUCAUGCGGCGGUAUCUCCGUCGCAGGCUGCGUCGCCGACGAUAAAGCUGCCUCCUUUUUGCCCUUCCUCCGCCGUAGCGCCGCCCGGAUGUGUUUAGCCGGAGACGGAGGGUGAAAAGCACGCCGCAAUUGACGUAGCGGUGUGCUGGUAACGCUCUUGCUCUCUCCUCCGCCUCCGCCGCCGACAUCACGGCUCUUGUUGCGGCGGUGGCGAGCAGGGCUUGGAGUGUAGAAGGGGAAGAAAGGAGAGGCCUUUGCGGCGGAAGGGGUAGGGAGUGGUGAUUUAUCGGGAUCGGUAGGGGCAAAAUCGUUAAUUUGGGGAUAGUCGUUUCCGGGAAAGAAAGGGUUACUAGGUCUGCCGGAGGUGGAGGGUUUGGAGGUACAGCCUCCCAUAAUCUCCGGCGAAAGGAAAAAAAGAAGAAAAGGAACUUUAGUUUAUGGAAAAAUCACAGUGAUGUACCGUAAAGUUCUGGUUUAAAGAGAGGGAGAAGAAGUGUAGAGAAGAGAGAGAGAGAUGGAUCACAUGAGAGAACCAAGAGGAAGUGAAACUGUUAGAAAUUGAAUUUGAAUCUCAAAAUGGGGGUAGUAAAUUAGUUGCUUUCUGCCACGUAUUAACUGGUCUUAAUUUAUUACAUUUUGUGAAUUUUCGAUCUGUUUUUGUUUGUCAUGCCCAAAUAUAUUUUUGUUUAUUUUAAUGAGGUCAUUUUUUUCAACGGUAGUGACAUCAUUUUUUCAAGUUUUGUUUAAAAAUCAAUUUAAAAGUAGCAGAGCCUUUAAAAAUUGAAAAUACAGCUAACAGUUGGUGGGUAUAAUUAAGGGUAAUUAAUUAUGUACCAUCGUAGAAAUACUCCUACUUUUUCAUAUUAUUGAAUACAUUCUAAAUAUAACUAUUUGGGGAUCCGCGCGAUACGCGGGUUUGCGAAGUGCAUGAAACUGAGUACUUAACUUUUUUUUUAUAAUAUCAGAAUGCUAAUAUAUUAUAGAAACUUUUAAUUUUGGAAGUGCAUUCAUAGUCAUCAAAUUGGUUAGUUGGAUAAUUAUAUUUUUUAAAAAAUUCAUUAAUUCUGCAAACACCAUGUUUUACUCUAUUUGUUUUAUGUUUGAUUCUCGACAAUGAGGACAAUCAUUAAUAGGAAAAGGAUAAGUAAACUAAAAUAUCAUUUAAUAAAUAAUUAAAUAAACCAUUUAAAUUGUAAAACUCUAAACCUUAAAAAAAAACUAUUGUUUCCUUACAUUCUGAAAGACGGUUUUGUAUACAACGUUCAAAGUCUUGGUUUGUGGCUGACCCAUUGUAUCCGUUAUCAGAAUCUUCAAACCAGCUCUUAAAUUAACAUGUGAAAAUACUGGUUUUGGUAAAUACAGGCCAACCUUUUGCAAAGUCUGUCCUUGACUUUUAUUGAUAGUCAUUGCAUAGGCGAUAGCUACCAGAAAUUGUUUACGCCUCAUUCUAAAAGGAAAUCUUGUCUCUGUGGAGAAACAAACAUUCGUGGGAUCAAAACCUUUUGACCAAUAUAUUCUCUAGUUAUGUGGCUAGCUUGAAUAACAUAUUUUACCAACUGUGUUACCAAGAGUCUUGUUCCAUUGCAUAAACCACCUCUAGGGUCAAUAUUCCGAAGCAACAUAAUAGAUGUUCCUAUUUUCAAUUUCAAUUCAUGGUUUGGCAAUCCUGAGAUCUUAAUACUAUUAAGACAUUCCUGUGUGUAAUCUUUCUCGUCAAUCUUGCCCUUACCAGAAGUAUCGAUGUUGUCCGAGCUUAAAUAUGUAUGUUCCUCAGCUAGAAAAAUGUUUUACGAAGUUCAGUUGAUCACAUUUUGAAGCUAAUAUGUAAGAUCGUAUGUAUAAAGCGUUAAAUAUGUUUACCUUUUAUUUCUGACAACAUGUAUUUGUUUAUUAAUCUCACGUCUGUAUUUCUCGGGCUAAGUAUUGCUCUGUCUUGAAAAAAUUUUGGAUCUCUUUCCGAUCUGUAUGAAUCACCAUACACUUCUCUUACUAUCUCUUUAACAGGAUCAGCACAUUCUUUUAUCAGUAAAUCAUCAGGGAUUUCAAUCUCAGCUUCAUCAUUGUCAGUCGAAAUAAUUUUGCCGUCUCCUACAUCUAAAAUCCACUCUGAAAAGGCCUCUAGCUCAUUAACGCGAUCACCUCCGGCACCAUUUUGAGGCCUCAUAUUCUUGGUUAGUUCUAAAAUUGUACAACUGUCUCAUAAAGUAGAAGAAUUUGUGGUAGCCAUAAGAGUUUGGGUCUAUUACCUCCUACAAUAACAGACAAUAUUUGCCUGAAAUCUCCUCCGAAUAGAAUGACUUUCCCACCAAAAAUGUCAUCAUUUUUGAGUAUAUCACGUAUACUUCUAUCCAGAAAUCAAUGUUGUAAACUAAAACUAAAAAUAAUUAAAAACAAUUAUUUAAUAUAUAUACAUAAUAAAAUAAAGCAAAUCCAAAAAGGAAACACCAUCUAAAAUUUUUUAAAAAAUAUAUUUACUAUUGAACUCACAAAUCAAUUGAAUUAAGACAAAAGUUUUUGUCUUUACAUAAUUGUUUUUUUUCUUCUUCUUAUUUAUCUUUUAGUUUUUCUUUUUUUUUUUCUUUUUUUCUUUUUCUUCAUCGUCUUCCAUCUUUAUCUCCCCUUCUUUUCUCACGUUUUCUUCUUAGUUUUCUUUCAUUUUCUUUUAUUUCUUUUUCUUUCUCCUCUUCAUUCUAUAUCUCUUUUGUUACUUCUUAUUCUUUGUUUUUUUUGUCACAUCUUCUUCUUGUUUUCUGUUUUCCUCAUCUUCUUCCUAUUUUACUUCUUCUUCUUCUUCAUCGCUUUUGUCUUCUUCGUUCUCUCCGACUUUAUAUUCUUCUUAUUUUCCUUCAUUUAUUUAUAUCAAUCAAAUAAAUGUACUUGAAAACUUUAACUAUUUCUCUCUCUUCAUCCAUGUGUCCAUCCCUCUUUCAAUAUUUAUCUCUCAUUCUCUCAUUUCCCCCUCGUCCUAAAUUUAUAUAUAUCAUAUGAUUUAGAUAACUACAUUUAAAAUAAGAAAUAUUUCGAAAAUAAAAAAAUAGGAACACAAAAAAUAUGAGCUAACAUAGAUUGAAUAUCCUGUACCUAUAAGGUUAACUCUCUCUACCAUUUCUCUUUCUCUAUCUGUCUUCUCUCUUUCUCCUCUCUCUCUCUCUCUGUCUCUCUCUCUUUCUUUCUCUCUCUCUCUCUCUCUCUCUCUCUCUCUCACACUCUCUCUCUCCAUCGACAUGUCCCUGAAGCAUCUAUAUGUCCCUGAAAGCUUUAACUCAAUUUUUCUUUGUCUCCCCCUUUCUCCAAAUUCAUCACCCAUUUCCCUUUCUUAUUCUUUAAUAUUUUUCCUCUUGUCAUAAUUUUUCGUAUUAUGAUUUUUUUUUUCCUUUUUUCGGUCUUCUUCUUCUUCUUUUCCUUCUUCUUUAUCAUCGACGNNNNNNNNNNNNNNNNNNNNNNNNNNNNNNNNNNNNNNNNNNNNNNNNNNNNNNNNNNNNNNNNNNNNNNNNNNNNNNNNNNNNNNNNNNNNNNNNNNNNNNNNNNNNNNNNNNNNNNNNNNNNNNNNNNNNNNNNNNNNNNNNNNNNNNNNNNNNNNNNNNNNNNNNNNNNNNNNNNNNNNNNNNNNNNNNNNNNNNNNNNNNNNNNNNNNNNNNNNNNNNNNNNNNNNNNNNNNNNNNNNNNNNNNNNNNNNNNNNNNNNNNNNNNNNNNNNNNNNNNNNNNNNNNNNNNNNNNNNNNNNNNNNNNNNNNNNNNNNNNNNNNNNNNNNNNNNNNNNNNNNNNNNNNNNNNNNNNNNNNNNNNNNNNNNNNNNNNNNNNNNNNNNNNNNNNNNNNNNNNNNNNNNNNNNNNNNNNNNNNNNNNNNNNNNNNNNNNNNNNNNNNNNNNNNNNNNNNNNNNNNNNNNNNNNNNNNNNNNNNNNNNNNNNNNNNNNNNNNNNNNNNNNNNNNNNNNNNNNNNNNNNNNNNNNNNNNNNNNNNNNNNNNNNNNNNNNNNNNNNNNNNNNNNNNNNNNNNNNNNNNNNNNNNNNNNNNNNACCGAUUUACAUUGAGAUGAGCGAAGAGUUGACCUUCGAGAAAGGUAAGUUAGUUGUGGUAGGUGAAAAACAUAUGUAGGCUAACGAUAUAUAUAGUGUAGGAUAAAUGUUUUAGGAUUUUUUUUUUAAUUUUUUUCGGUGGCCCAUUUUACAAAUUCGGUGAUUUAAACGAAAUCGAUGUCCCAUUAACUAAUAGUAUCGAUAGCCCAUUAAAAUCAUAUUAACAAUAGUGAUACGUAAGAUUAAUGAUAAUUCAAUUAAAAUUAAGAAAAUGACACGUAUAUAUGACACAUAAGCAAAUCACUCUGGUGUUGACACGUAAGAAUUUUGACUUCGCCAAUAAUAGUAUAGAUUGUCUAGCUUUUGAAAUAAAAUCCCAUAAUAAAUUGUAUUUUUUUUUUCACCGUGUUAUGGUUAUAAAAAGUUCUAACUAUUUUAUUUGUAUUGAUGGUUUGAUUCAAAAAAUUUAGUAAAUUUUGAACUUUCGAUCAGUGGAAUGUUGUUAUUGGACAAACUAUACAUAUUUAGUGAUUUGUUAUUUUACAAAUGUCGAUCUAAAUAGUUUCAAUAAUUUAGCUAAUAACCAACUCGUAGUAAUAUCUAAUUUUAUUAGUUUAAAAAAAAUUAUCAUGAAAUCAGAGAACUAGUCUUCGAAUUCUUCCAUUGAGAUUGGACUUUGGUUUAAAAACUAUCGAUCAUAUAAAAAUUAUCUAAUAAACAAUAAAAACUGCUAAUUAUUGGCUUAAACAUUACUCAAAAUUAAGCCAGAAAAUUAAAUGUAUAUAAGCAUGCAGUGAACAUUAAAUAUUUAUUUUAAUAUAAUCUCUUUUUAGUUUUUGAGUAUGAAAUUAGAUCAUUGUAUAGUUUUUGAGUAUAAACUAGUUUAUAUUUUUUUGGUUUUGUCUUUUUUUUAAUUGAUGGUUUUGUCUUUUUUGCUUGUAAUUUCAAGAUGAUUAUGUGUGUAACUUAACUACUCCAUUGUAUUUAGAUUAUUCAAAUUGCUUAUAUGAAGUAUUAUUAUUUGAACUAUACGUAUAUCACGAUUUCAUUCUUCCACUAACUCUCGUCUUGAUAAUCUCUUGAAGUCGUUGGAGAAAAUUAAAAGAUUUCAAAUCUCUGUCUUCCAGUCAGUAAUCAACAAGCAAUACCUAAAAAGUUGGUUGCUUCCGUUUGGAUGUGAUGGAAAUUCAUGUCAACAUUCAAUGCUUAAUGGCUCUUGUUAACUCAUAAAAAGAAGAAAAAAAAAACGUAUUGUCUGAUAAAAAAACAUAUGUAUUAAUUCUGAAUUUUAAAUGGAAAUAUUUGAAAAUUGAAAUGUGAUUUGCUUCCAUUGGGGUUUGAUAAAUAUGUAUUUCAUCAUUUCUUUUUCAACUAUGUAUAUUCUCAUCAUAAUGUUUUUUUUUUUAAAAACAAUUGUAUUUAAGAGUUAUUUCAGUUUCCAGGACUCUAACUAUAUAUAUCUAACAUGGUUGGUUGGUUGUGAUAGAUAUAUAUUUUAAACACACGUCAUAUCAGUGCUUACUUAAAAGAAAUAUAUGUAAUAUUUUGAUAUUUCAAAAAAGAAAAAAGAAAAAAAAAAAAUAUAUAUAUAUAUAUAUAUAUCCUAAAGUUAUGUAGUAUAACUAAGACCAUUAGCUAAAACCAAAUCGACGACAAUAUAUAGUUCAAGAACUAAGAGUAUUAUAUGUUUAUACAAGUGAGGGAGUUCGAUUUUUGGGAUAUAACAAAUACUAGAAAAAAAAAUAAGAAGAGAAACUACAUAUUCCAUUACACACAAACACACAUACAACUCCAAGUGUCUUUCUUGCCUCUGUGAUCCGAUCCAUAAUAGAUACAUAAGGCUGAUUUUUAAAUUACACAACAUUUUAUUCAUGGACUUUUCCACUUUGGUCUAUAUUAUUCAAUUUAAAAGCUAGACUAGCUCUAGGUAUGUUAUAGAUUGGUUUGGAUGGAGUGUUCGUUCACAAAAGUCCUUAUAGCUUAACCUGGAAAUCCACAUUUUGCUCUAAUAACUCCAUCACUUCCGGUCAUAACUCCAAUAUUCCCCAUUUUAACCAUAGAAAUCGCAAAAUCCCUUGAGAACAAGUACGAAUUCUCGCUGUACGACUUCACCAAAGCAGCAGCCGUAGAAUCCGUCAUUAGAGUUUGGUCGGAAUCGAGCAGUCCAACGUUGUUCAUUAGGUUCACGUAGUAAGCAUUAUCGAACUUGACGGCACUAGCUGCGUCAAGAGCAGCAAGCUUAGAAUCAGAUGAGUCCACGUUAGGACACGUGUUCUUUAGCUUAGAGAUAAGAGCCGAGGAGGCGGCUAGGUUCGGAUCCGGCUGGCCUGACCCCUUGAAGUUGAAGAGCCUGUGCUUGAACGUGAAACAUUGAGCAAAUCCUAUAGUAUGUGCCCCUACAUACGUCAUACGUGUAAGUCAUAAAAAUAUAAGUCGAAAAGAAUCAAUAAUAUAUCUUGGGUUUACCAUCUUCUUUUUGUUUUAAUAAUUAAUAAAUAACGUUUUUCUUUUGUUGUUAAUACAAAAAUCUAUAUCUCGAAAUUACUUUUUAAUCCGUAAAUUUUAUGAUUAUUAUUUUCAUAUAUGAGUAUUUGGCUGAUUUUGCAAAAACGGUAUUUAUAUUGUGCAUUCAACCGAAACAUCAUCUAUUAUAAUAAGAAAAAAAAUAAUUAUAUAGUAGGAUUUGACACUCGUAUUGACUAUUGAUAUUGAUAUAACUUGGAAGUUGAUAAUUAACCAAACCUGAGAGGACAACAACAUCUUUGAGGUCGAGUCCAAGGGACACGAACUUGGCCGUUAUAUUCGCCAACGGCUCAAACGGUGACGGCAGAUUUGUAUUCGCCGCUUGCUCACUUGCCGUCAACGAGUCCCGUCUCCCCAACGGCACCGGCCAAAACGGCCCUCCGGUCUGCAUAUGGCAUAAGAAGCCAUGCAUGCAUUAGAUACAUUUUAGAUUAAUAUAAUUAGCGGUUUCAAGAUCACACGUCACGUACGAGGACAACGGCUUCUCUAGCUGCAAGAGCAACUAUGUCCGCGCAUGAAACAGUUAAGGGACAAGAGCUUUCAAUAUCAGAUUUGAUGUCUUCGAUGACUUCGAAACCACGAACUGAGUUUCGGUUUGGCAAAGCGUUCUUCUCUCCUUUGAAAUCCUCUGAGUCCUCCAGAAGAAUUGAGCCAUCACAACCCUACGUACAAAAUUUAAUAACGUGUUUAUGUUUUUAUAAUAUCCAUAUGCAUGAAAUGUUUUUAUAAUAUCCAUAUACAUGAAAAUCAAAUGUUGCGUAACUUACAUUGACAAAACAAUCGUGGAAAUGGAGACGGAGAAGAGAGGCAGCGAUUCUAGAAUCGUCUUUAAAAGCCUUCCAAACUCCGGUCUUAACAAUCAUCUGUAGACGAGGACAAGACCGGUCAUAGAAUCGAUAGUCGAGAUUGCUAACUAGUCCGUAUCCGUGAGGACCGUGACCAUUGUUAUAUCCCGAAGGGAAUGAGGAGACGAAGUCGUUGAAGAGAAGGGUAAAGAAUGCUAGGUGAGUAAUAAACGAAAAGAUUUUGCGAUCCAUGAUGAUGAAAUAAAAGAUAGAUGAUUGUAGCUAGAUUGAUUGUGUAUUGCUAUGAUGAUUUUAGUUGUAUUUAUACACCAAAGCAAGGUGUAAUUUUAUUUGUUUUUAAUGUAUAUGCCUUAAGGGUGCGCCUUGGAGAUGCAUGCAUAAUUAGGAAAGUGGGAGUGCCACUAUAAAUAAGAUAAUACAGUGGGAUAAAUUUUGAGGUUUAUGUAAUAUUUGCUUUUUGUCAGUUAGUUCAGUCACUUGGCAAAAUAAAUUAUUUGCUUUUAACCAUUUUAACAUGUGAUUUUAUUUCGAGUUAGGAUGUGUCAUAUAUUAUACUAAGUGAUACAACGUCACUUCAAUUAAAAGAAAACAAAAUUUCCGAAAUGUAUAUUCCUAACUGAAUAGUGGGAGAAAAUUGAGUGCAUGAAAAAAAAAACUAAACUUAUCAUAUAAUGCCCCACUUUCUUUUUUCUUAUUGAUAAAAUGAUAACGUUGGGGGCAUUUGGUGUAUUCAACGCAGCCAAUGUACAAAGUAGUAAAGUAUCAGUAGAACCAAGUCGAAAUUUCAAAUUGUAUUAAGAGUGCAAUGGAUGAAUUUUGUAUAUAUUUAUGGUUUGUCAUGUCACUAGGCUCUGAGCUUCUCCCUAAAGACGAGGUAGAAGUACUAAAUAUAAGAGAACAACACCAGUUUUGAGGUCAGGUCCAAAUUAAGGAUAUGAAUUUGGCCGUUAUAUUCCCCAACGGCUCAAACGUCAAGGGCACCGCCCAAAAUGGUAUUCCAAUAUUUAAAAAAAAAAACAAAUUGUAAAAUUUGAUCACCGAAAAAGAAUAGUUUUUACAAUGAUUGCAUCUUCAAUUUUAGUUUUGGAAAACAGUUUGAGUUUAGAAAGAAUUUAAACAUUAAGAUUCUUCAGCGGUUGAAAAACUACAAUCUAAGGCCUUCUUCAUGUACUUGUUGUUCUUCAAUGCGCAAAGCGAUGAGAUUCGAUUGUGGAUGUUCUUGCCUAUAUUUGUUAGUUGUUACAUAUAAUAUGAUAUUAAUCACACUUGUUCUUACACUUUAAAAACAUGUAUAUGUAAAUUCUUAACAAACAAAAAACUUAUCUAUUAUUUAACAUCAAGAGGAUUGCGCAACAUAUUCCACUACCCAUCUUGGAAGCUUACUCGACCGAAGUCUUUGCUUUCAUUGGUUGGGCAGAAGUUUAAUAACUUUCUAGUUUCCACCACCAAAGUGGAUUUGUGACAUUUUAUGAACUACUUGGGGUUGAAUGUAUAAUGUUACGUCUCAUUUUAUUAUAAACUAGAUUACUAGAAUUGUCUCAUAUUCAUUUUGUUCUAAAAGAAGACUAUAUUAUUGAUUUGGAUUUGUGAUGACGAAAUUUUUUUUUGGUGUAGUGAUUGACAUAUUUUAUUAAUUGAAUUUGCUUUCAUAUUUUUUUUAGUCUUUUUUUUGCCAUGCAACCAAGCUCUUAGAUCAUUCAAUUUGUGAAUACAAUUUUUAACACUUAAAUAUUUUAUUUUUAAUCAAUUUUUACAAUUUAGCAUAAAAAAAUUAAGAGAGAGCAAAUUAUCCAGAUUAAUAUAAACAAACUUACCGAAUAUCUCUAAUGUAAUGCAUGUAGAGCUGAUUGUUGUGGUCUGUCUAUCACGGAUAAAAUUGUCUAUCAUAAAUGUGAUGUAGAUAAAACCAUAUAUCAUAGAUGUGUGAAGCGAGUAAUUAUAAUGUAGUCAUCGCUGUGUCAUAUCUCAUGUUAAAAUUUUGAAAUGUGCAACAAAAAAGACUAAUGUAUAAGUUAUUACAAUUGAAUAACACUAAUGCAUUAUAGCAACAUUAUUUGUCGCUUCAAAAUUCAUCGCUAUUUUUAAAAUAAACAAAAAUAGUGAAACUUCAUGAAAUUUUUAGCGAACAAUCAAUAUGCAAAUAAAUCUAUGAAUAUUGAUUGAUUAUAAAGACGUGAUUGUGGUGGGGGUAAUGAAGGCAGUCGUCGACGGUGUCUUCCACAGACAUGUGGAGCUAUUUGACAAAAACUAUGAUAUAUCUUCACAAACUUAACUCUUUGUUCUCUUCAUCAGUCAAUGGAAAAAUUUAACUGGCGACGGUUAAGCCAAAAAAAAUCUUCACAAACUGAAGACAAGCUGUUUUAUGUGCAUUUUGCGAUAUUGUGAAGAAAAUUUGGUAAAUGCCAGCCUAUUUGUUACAAAAAAAAAAGGUAUUGGCCUAUUCAUUAAAGGACUUGAAUGACUGAUUGCAGGGUUUCUUGUAAGUAAAAAACUCGAUCAAACUAAUUAUUCUGAAUAAUAUUUGUUUGAUAGUUUGAGAUUUUUUUCAAUUUAGUAGAGUGAUAUGUUGCAAAAUUUCUUGAGGGCUACAUAUAAAUAUUUCCUAUAUAUAUUAUUCAUGUAUCGUAGCUGCUUUGUUAUGGAUUCUUUUUCUUUUAUAUGUUCACAAUAGAUUCUUUUUCUUUUCCGACGUUCACGAUAGAUUCAAAGUUUUCAAUUUUGUCUAAAAUCCAUUAUUAAUUUCACACCAAAAAAACUGAGGAUUCUUUGUUAAGAGAGCAAAUAAAACAACUAGUUUCUUGAGGUUGAAGAACUCAUGUAUCUUACUAACCAUGAGGUUAAACUUUAAUAUAUACUUUCCUGGAAAUGUCCAAUAAUAAGAUUUUUGACGUAUAGAGAAGAUCUGAUAAGAUUCAAAUUAGUGAAUUAUUAAGUAUAACUUACAAACUAAUACCAAGUGGGUGGCGUUUUAUUGGUCUUGAGAAUAAGUAUUCAAGGUCAAUUAGUCCUCUUUUUUGUGUGAAGAAGGUCAUUUGAAAAUUCAGGAUGAUUUAUAUAUGAAAUGUGAUAUUAUCAAGGGCUGGUUCUGAAUCGAAAGAAAUUAUGAUAGAAGACCCGGAGCUUAUACGGUUUAUUCAAAAAAGAAGAAAAAAACUUUGUAAACUGUAAAUAAUUCGAAAUGAGACUAGAGGUUGACCGGCUUGUUAACUUGAGUUUAUCCAAAUGCUUAAAAUGUCUUGCUAUUUGAAACAACUAAGCUUUGAUUAUUAAAUCAAAUUAUCGGCCAAAAAAAAAAAAACAGAAAGGGCGUCUCCAAUGUCUGAACACCAUAACGCUAUUAUUAACGUGAAACUCUCUCCAAUCAGACGGUAUAUCUGACGGUAAAUUAUUUUUUUGGUGUUUUAUAUUUGGUGUUACAUUGUUCACAAAACUAAAUAUUAUUAUAUUAUUUUUCUCCAUUUGAUGAUAUAUUUAGAUUAGUGUUUAUCAGUUGAUUAAAUAUUGUAAAGAUUUAAUUCUUCUUUAAAACUAUUAAAACAUUUAGUAUACAUCAAACCAAAAGUCAAAACUAACAAAUAAAUAUUAAAAUUAUGUAAUCAAAAUUAUAUUUUAAAAAUAUUAAAAUUAAGACAAAGAGAUAAUAUGGUAUAUUAAAGUUAAAAAAAAAACCAUUAAAACAUUUAGUACAACAUAUUCACAAAGCCAAAAAUUAAAACUAACAAGCAAAUAUUUAAAUUAAAAAAUAUUUAUUAAAGUUUAAUUAAAAGACUGAAUUAAAACAAUAAUUAGUAUUAAUCAACACUUUUAAAAAUAAAGGAAUUUUAAAUAUAAUAAUAUAAUAAUAGGGAAUAUUUUUUUAGUGUAAAAUAUAGUGUUGUGAUUGGAGAUGGAAAAGAAAAUAGAACAUUAUAACAUCAAAUUUGAUAUAAUUUUUAUAUUAAAUUUAGUGUUGUGGUUGGAGAUUAUACAGUUUAUUCAAAAAAGAAGAAAAAAACUUUGUAGACUGUAAAUAAUUCGAAAUGAGAGUAGAGGUUGACAUGGUCAACUUGAGUUUAUCCAAAUGCUUAAAAUGUCUUGCUCUUUGAAACAACUAAGCUUUGAUUAUUAAAUCAAAUUAGUAUCGGGAAAAAAAAACAGAAAUUUCUACUAAGAUGUUGAAAAAAAAAUCAUACUACAAAUAAAUAAUAGAGUAAUAAAACUAUGUAGUACAGUAUCUGUCGGUCAAAGCUUAGACCUUUUAGUCGAUUGAAAUGAACGACCGCAUGAUUAGGUGAGCGUUGAAGAACAUACAGUAAUUUGAAAGCAUAUUUAAGAAAAUUCAAAUCAUUAUACGAAUCCGAAUAAAUGACCAAACACAUGCUUAUGUUCCUCCUAUUAUUAUGCUUUCCAAAUCAAGAAACACCGAACACGUAACUAAUUCAUAUUUUCUUCUUUUUCUUUCUUUGAACUAAAAAAAUUCUGAAACAAACAUAAACAUUAUUACUCGGGUAAUGCCUCAAUUAAACCCAACCAAAAAAAGCCGUACACAAAAAUACACUUACAAUCUCUGCAAAUAAUUGAACCAUUCUCUCACUCAUUGCUCCACUAUAUUACUCUCACUUUCUUUCUAUAAAUAUAUAAAUUUAUAUCCUUUCUAUAAUUAUUGCUCUCAUUCACUAGUAGUGAAUCCAAAAUAAACAGAAACGGAAUCAAGAGUUUGGUUCUUGAAAAAGAUUUGAGAUUUAAGGAGAUCUCACUCUCUCCAUCUGAAAGCUUUCAGAUUUAGCAUCUUCAGCAUCUUCCAUGCUACUAUCUCCACCUGUUGUAGUUGUUGUACAAGGUAACUGCAAAGGACCUUGUGGAGAAUCCGAUUUCGAAUUGCUUCUUUUUGAUGAAUCUCCUCCUCCUUCACCGGUUUCUUCUUCCUCUUGUGAUGAAUUCCACAAUUUAAACCCUAAAACAACUACUGAUUGUUUCUCCGGAUUCGAAUUAGGCUUCCUCAUGUGUAACCGGUAUUUCUAUACACAUAACAGAGAAAAUGGAAAAAUGGGUUCUCAGUAACAGUUGUUAACAGAAACAAAAAUGUCAACUUUUCUUUUAGUUGUUACCUGUAAAUGACUCUUCACUUCAUCGUUGGUUAAGCCUUCUUCUUGCAUAUGCUCUCUGAUUUGUUUAGGAGUUGCCACUGUUAACACAAGCAAGGCAAAGAUAUAAGUAACUAAACUCAAGAACAAGAAGAUCAAUCAGUACAAUCACAUCGAUUUAAAGAGAUUCUCUAUCUUUUUUACCUCCCGGUCCACCGAGGUGUUGUAAUGCAUCUACAAAACGGCGAUGCAACUCAGGAGUCCAACACCUUCUUUGCUUCCGCAAAGCUUGCUUUUGAAGAAAUGAUGGUGGUUGUGGCGUAGAGGAAGAGGUAAAACCACAAGAGGCCAUUUCUUUUCUUCUUUCGUUAACCAUCGUGCUAGUAGUUAAACCGAGGCCUAAACCGGUUUCUACCUUAGGAAUUGUGCGAGGGAUCAACAACAUAGAUGAUAAGCCAUUUGAAGAUUUCUCCUCACUUCUCUGCAACAGUUAAAAUCAAACCAAAACAAUCUCAAACUCAGUCCUUGUCCUGAUUCUUAUCUAAAACAUGCUUGGAGACAUCAUCCAAAUUCUCCAAAUGUUAUCUCAAUUUCAGGGGUUUUUUUAACCUCAAUCUCUAGUUUGUUCUUGAUCUUCGUGUGAUCUUUGUCUCUCCAUAGCUGAAACUCUUUCUCCUUGACUAGCUCCUCUCUUUUCAGCAACAGUCCAUCUCCAUGUCGCCAUUCUUCUUCGUCAUGUUCUUCUCGAGUAGGUUUAUUAAGAGAGAUGAAAUCUUUCAACAAUGGUUGAGUAUCCAUCUCUGAGCAUCUCUUAUUUUCCUCCUUGAGAUACGAAAUCGCUGCAAAAACAGAACAAAAUCGUCGCAAGAAACAUACUUUCAGCAUCCAAAAUCAAAAAUCUACCUACUCAAAAUUGGGAAGAUUUUGAAAAGAUCAAUUCACGAACCAUCGUUUAAAAUCUGCAAACAUAGAGGAAGCUCAAGUUCAGAGCUUUGGAUCUUCCUCUUCUCUUCUUCAAGCUUCUUAAGAUGUUCCUCGAGUUUACAACCUUUCUCCACCACAAAAUUCAUGAUCUUCAAAGCUUUUCUCGGAAACCCACAGAUCGUUAUGGGCAUCGAGCUGUGUCUUCUCGAUCCUAGACUUAGCUCAUCUCCUAAAGAACCCAUUUUUCUUUUCCCAAAAAGAAACAAAGUUUGAUCCUAAAAACUCAAACUUUUCCAGAAAUUUGUCAUGAUAGAGGUUUUCUCUGGUGAGUUAGAACAACACUGUGGAGAAACAACCUGAGAAGAGAUCUGUGUGAAUCGAUUUAAAAGAAAACGAUGGAAUCUAAAGAGAGAGAGAAGAGAGAAGAAGAUUGAUUGAAGGAAGGGGAAAACGAGAAGAUUCUGUAAAUUUUGUGGGGUAUCUUUUUUUCCUUUUAGAUAUAAUCAAAAACUCUUCGCUUCGUCGCGUAUCUCUCACAUUCCUUAAUCCUCUCACUCGCUCUCUUUCGAGUUUCACACCUUACUCGCUCGAGUUGACUCAUUCCAAACUCGUGAUUUUUUAUGCUAAUCAGCUCCGUUUAUUUUAUUUUUAACAAUUCACCACUCUGUAUAAAAGUUAGCGGGUUUAAAACUGAUUAUGGGUCGUCUCAAAUUAGUCGACAAAUAUAUUAUUACGGUUAAAUUUCAAAUUUAGAGAUCAUAAGGAAAUUUUGUCCAUUGUUUCAUUCAUGUUAUUUGAAACGUUAUUUUCUAUUGCAUUCAAUGUUUUGAUAAAAUAUUGCAUUCAAUAUUGGACCAUUUCAACUUUUAAUAGCAUGUUUAUGUACAAAUAAAUCUUCAACAAUUCAAAAUGUUGGUGAUUAAAAAAAUGCUACUGUUAAUAAGUUACGUUCUCUAAUAUCUUUCAGCUAAAACCCUAAAAAUAGUGACAAAAUUUUAUCGGCUACUAAAACCUAGCGUAACUCAUAAAUUAUUGGCUUUUUGAUUAAUGUAUCACAAGCACCAUCUAUCUUUUUUUCUUUCUAACAUCUAUUUUAUUACAUUGUAAAUGGGUGAUACAACAUGUUUACAAGCCACGUAGGCGGAAUAUGAAAAACAAAAUACAUGGAAACAGAAUUGUACGCUUGUUCUGUUAUCUUAAAAUAAUUGUUUUGUUAUAUUUUUGUUUAAAUGUUAAUACGUUAAAAUAUUUGAUCUACCUAGAUAUAAAGGUGACAGUUUUAAUUACAAAAAAUCAUGUCGACUAUAAAUGCAGUAGAUUUCAUUUAUUCUAAACGAAUAAAGAUUACAUAAGUAUGACUUAAAUUUCUUUUUGCUCAUCAGUAAUAUAACUAUUAGCAUUAGAUUGAGUAGCUUACAAGUUUCUACACCCACCUAUCUUCUGUUUGCUAAUAAAUUUUUGGUCCAACAAAAUUAAUAACGAUGGUGUUAGGGUUAUAAAUUCAUAAUAUCGGAGUUGUGAUUUGUGACUUUGGAAAAGAAAGGGGAAAAAAAAAGAUUGAAUUAGACGGGAGAUAAAAAAAUGUUUAAUGUCGGUUAAAAGCAAAGUUUCAAAAAUGUGGUGCGUCAAAGUCAAAGAUUCUAAACCAUGGGAUUAAGGCACAAAGAAAUGUGAUUAUUGUUCCUCCUCUCAGCUAGCUUUCCCAUUUCAAGCUUUUGUGAAGUUGAAGAUUUUGUCCAAAGAAUAAUAACUUUUGCAAAUGCUUCUCUGUCUCCUCCUCCAACUGGUUUUCGACGCGUGUCGGUUGAUCUAGGAUUCUGUAGUCAUCAUUUUCCAACAUCAACUAUUUCUCUUAGUAGAGGGCCCUUUAACAAAAAAACUAUUUCUCUUUGUAACUAAGAAAUUAUGAAAACAUUUGGAAAUUCAAUCUUUUAGGCUUCGGUUCGCAUCAAAGAUAAUAUGUGUUUUUUUUUAAUUGGUAAGAUGUUAAACUACUUUUCUAUUCAUUUUAAUAGUUAACAGUAAAAUUAAUUUGUCUGAUUUGAUUAUUAUAGUUUAACUAUUCUACAAAAGUGAUGCUUUACUCAAUAGAAAAAUGGACGAUAUAAUUAGGCAUAUUUUGACUCACCAUGUCAUGUGCACAGAAUAGUUUUAUUUCUGACAGACCAACAUGAAAUACAUUUUGUUGUAAAAGGUGUUCCAAUAUACUCUUCGAAUUUACGAACGUGAGACAAGUAUUUUUGGAAAGGGCAAUCGAAUCUCUAUCUAUUUAUUUAUUUUAUGCUGGUUAUUUCCCUCUUUCAUUGAAAAAGAAUCUUGCUCAUCAACCAGUGGUAUAAAAAAUACUAAAUAUGCUACAUUAUCUUCUUUAUUAUAUGUAAAUUUGAUUAAUUUGACGAUAAAUCAUAAGCACCUGUCUGAAAUAUAGAAUUUAGGACCUUACGUUGGAUCCACAUCGAUUUCUCUCGUCUCCAUUGGUUUUGUCGGAUAGUCAUAGUCAAAGAAUCUACUUUGUAUUCUUUUAGGACUUCUUUAAAACCAUUUCUUUUUUCGGCUACGCCACUUAUAUUUAUUUUAUACUAGGGUCCAACUACAUUCGUUUGGUUAAAUCGUACUUAUGCAGAAAUUUUGAAUUUUAAAAAUCUAGAUAUAUAAAUGACAAAACACUUGUUCACAACGAAUUGAUUUGGAUACUCUUAUAAUAGAAUAAGAUAGAUUCACUUACGGUGGUUCAGUAAUUAAAAUACUCGUUUUAGUUUGGAAAACCAUUGCAUUUAGAUCACAUUGGAUUACUGUGAAUGUUAUAUAACAAAGUGAAGCCAUAUUCCUUGUAACUGAUGCUAUAAAACCAAAGAAAAUACACAUAAUUUAUGAUGUUUUUAUAUUAUAAAAGUACAUGUACAAAACACAAACAAUUGUCUUUUUAGUUAAAAAGUUUUGAAUUCUUUUUGAUCCUAUAAACUCGUGGUACAUCUAUUUGGGAUCUGGUUGCAUCUUACCAAGACAAUUUUGACUGAUUGAAUAUUGAAUUAUAAAUUUUAGAAGAUAAUAUGCUAAUGCUAGGCGCAACAAACAACACGUAAAAUAUGCGACUCCGUAAUUUAAUAACACAAAAGAUAAAAAAUAUUAAAAAAACAAAUAGUGAAAAGGAGGGGAGGAUUCGAAUAUUUCCGUUUUAUCAUACAAAGAUUGUGACCAAUUACUUACUGUAUAUCGAACUUUUACAUUUUGAUUUGUAUAUCUGAAAUAUAUAUUAUAUCUCAAGGCUAUAAACCGUUAUUUGUCUAUUCGAAUUCAAGGUAUAUAGAACUUUUCUUUGUGAAAAUGACCAAUUACUGUAUAUCGAACUUUUACAUUUUGAUUUGUGUAUCUGAAAUAUAUAUUAUAUCUCAAGGCUAUAAACCGUUAUUUUGUCUAUUCGAAUUCAAGGUAUAUAGAACUUUUCUUUGUGAAAAUGACCAAUAGUUUAUAUCAAACUUUUACAUUUUGAUUUGUGUAUCUGAAAUAUAUAUUAUAUCUCAAGGCUAUAAACCGUUAUUUUGUCUAUUCGAAUUCAAGGUAUAUAGAACUUUUCUUUGUGAAAAACUGAAAACCAAAAAUAUAGAAACACAUGUUAGGAUUCGCUAGUACCACUGUACCACCUCUGCAAGAUCCUUGAGCACGGAAGUUCGAGACCAGCUCUCUACAAACUACAACUAGUUGAGAAAAUGUCCAAUAGGCAAUAGACCUUGUUGACAAAAAAAAAAAGAGAAUAAAAUUAUACAAGAUUGUGGUUUUCCGGAUCUCAGAACACUUCCCUAAAAACUUUAAACAAUUUUUACAUACUCACUUAAUCAUUUCAACACGACAUCGAAACAACUCUUAACUUAAUAUGGAUCAAUAUUUAGUGUCUAUAUGCUUUAUAAACGCAAAGUUCCAACAAUGGAAUAUAUAUUCCCUCGAGAGACCAAUUUAUUGCGCAUUUCGGUUAUUAUCGAACUAGCUUUUGAUAUCAAAAUAAUAAAACUCACUUUUAUUAAACUUUAGGAAAACUCAUUCAAAAACCUAAAAGAUUGAAACUUCAAAAACUCAUAAGUUAUGCCACAAGUUGGCAUCUUCUUAUAUAGGAUUAGCAACUCCUAAACCUAAUAGAAAUAAGAUAAUUAGAUAACUCCUAAUUUCCUUUUUUUUAAUCCUAACACUUAUAGGAAAUAUAACUUAAGGAAGAAUCUAGAAACUUGAUCUUUAAACUUCUUUUAAGCUUACUCCAACAAUCUCCUCCUUAAGCUUGAAAUCACCUUUGAUCACUUCUUUAACACCAAUUAGAUCUCUCAUCUCUUUAAACUUGGUCCUCCCAAGUGCUUUUGUCAGUAUAUCAGCUUUCUGUUCUGUUCCCGGAACAUGUUCAACCAGAAUUUUCUCAUUCUCAACACAUUCUCUGAUAAAAUGAUACCUCCUAUGUAUAUGCUUACUUCUACCGUGAAACUGAUAUAUCAUGGUUUUUAUGGUUUUUGACCAUGAUAGAAGUCUUAUUUAUAGAGUUUUUUUAGUGUUUUCCGAGUCUUUUGGAGUCUUUUCAGGUUUUAGGUACGUUUGGAGCUUAAUUGGAGAUUUUGGAGCAUUUUGGAGCUAAAUAAGGAUCAAAUUUGUGAAGGAUAAAUUAUGUGAUUUAGUGUCGCUCGUCACCAUGGAGAGUGACGCUCGACACCGAUUGCAUAAAUAAGAAAAACGUGAUUUUGUCCAAGUUUUGAAGAAUCUCUUGGGCCCAGAAGUCUCCAAUAAUUACAAGAAAGCCCAAAACGUGUUUUUAAGUUAUAAAUAGGGUUUUUAGCCACCUUAUAUAGAAAACUUAGAUUUUCUUAGAGAGAACUUUUGUUUUUGAGAGCUUUUGGGUCUAAAACUCUGUUCCAGAAAGAGAAGAUUUAGAACCCCUGUUUAUUUAUCUAUUUACUGUUUUCUGCAAUCUAUUUAUUCAUGUUUAUUGCUUCAAUCUCCAUGUCUGAGUAAUUUGCUUGUUAGGUUUAGGGUUCUCAUAAAGGAUUUCAUUGGAUGUUGGAUUGAUUGAUUAGUUAGGGUUCAUAAUCUAUUUAGUUCUUCACCAUAUGUUGUUUUUAAAGCUAAUUCUGGACUGGCCACCUAAAACUUAGAUCUUAGGUUAAUUGAUUGACACGGAAGUGUAAUUGAAUAACUGGAAAGAACCUAGGGUGAGCAAAGUAGUUAUUCGCAAAGUAGUUAUUCGCAAAGGAAUUUGGUUUAGAUACUUUGUGAACAUAUCGAACUUGAGUAUUAAAGCUGGUUUAAAUCUUUAGGGUUUGCAAAGGAAUUUGGAAUUCUAGGAUUUUAACUUAGAUAAUUCUCACAACGGAAGUUGGUUAAUUAUAAUUCUGUGAUUCGAGUUCAAGAACCGUGCUUAAACCUGAACCCUGAUUAAUCGAUUGUUCUGCAUUCAUUGAUUUCCUGAGAAACGCCCUAGACCUAAUCUCCAUCCAUCUGAAUCUUACAAACGUUUUUACUGCAUCGUUUUAUUGCAUCCUGUUUGCUUCUCAUUAAUCUGCUUAGCGUAAUUCAAUUUCUAAUAGGUUUAUUGAGCGAAUCUCUCGAAUCUGUGGUUCGACCCCUACACACUACAACUGCAUAUCAGUGCUCUUGCAGAGUAGCUCUAGCGAUUAAACUUUGAGCAGAUCAGAAACACUGGAUUUUUAGUCAAGCUGAUUUGUUAUCAAUCCGAACCACAGCUUUUUCACAUCCAGAUCCAGUGACUUCCUCGAGUAGUUCCUGCAACCAAAUCGCCUGCUUAGCUGCUUUGGUAGCAGCCAUAAACUCUGCCUCACACGAAGAUAGUGCAACGAUCUCUUGUUUCUGUGAGCACCACGUUAUUGGACACUCAUUGAUGUAGAAUACAUGUCCAGACGUGCUUUUACCAUCAUCUAAGUCAACAUUGUGACUACUAUCACUAUAUCCGAUUAAACCAGACAUCUUAGCUCCUCCAAACUUUAAACCGUAGCUCAAGGUUCCUCGAAGAUACCUUAAGACCUCCUUUAGAGAUAUUCCAUGAGAUUCUUUUGGAUCUUGCAUAUAUCUGCUCAGCACUCCAACACAAUAUGAAAGAUCAGGUCUUGUAUGAAGCAGAUAUCGAAGACAUCCUAUGUUCCUUCUGUAUCUUUUUUCAUCGAUGCUUCUCUCUUCCUGUGCCUUACUUAACUUCAAACCUGCGUCCAUUGGUAUGUGUACCUCAUUGCAUUCACUUAAGCCAUUCUCUUCGAGUAUCCUUCUUGCAUAUCUUUCUUGUUUUAGUGUGAUACUAUCUCCUUGUUGUAUUACCUCUAUCCCAAGAUAAUAUGUCAAUCUCCCUAGAUCACUCAUCUCAAAUCACUCUGCCAUAUCUCUUUUAAACUCGCGAAUCAGAUCAAAACAUGACCCUGUGACAAGAAAGUCAUCAACGUACACAGCUACAAGAAGGAGUAAUCCCUUUUCUUCUUUUCGGUACAAGGAAGGCUCUUUUGAACAUUUACCAAACUUUAACUCGCGAAGAAUCUGAUUUAGCUUGUUGUUCCAAGCUCUUGGCGCUUGUCUAAGUCCAUAGAGUGCUUUGUGUAGUUUAUACACUUUACCCUCACUUCCUUUAACCACAAAUCCCUCAGGUUGUUGCACGUAAACUUCCUCUUUUAACUCGCCAUGUAAGAACGCUGUUUUCACGUCAAGGUGAUGAACUUCCCAUCUGUUUGAAGCAGCUAAAGCAAUAAUGAAACGAAUUGUUUCAAUGCGGGUUACUGGAGCAAAUACUUCGUCGAAGUCAAUACCAAAUCUCUGCACAUAGCCUUUUGUGACAAGCCUCGAUUUAUACUUUUUUAUGCUUCCAUCUGAGUUGUGUUUUAUCUUAAACACCCACUUAAGUCCAAUCGGUUUUGCUCCAGAAGGGAGAUCAACCAGGCUCCACGUUUUGUUUUUGUUAAUCGAAGAUAUCUCUUCUUCACACGCGUCUCUCAAGACUUUUAACUCUUUUGCUUCUUUGUAGUCCCACGGGUCUUCAUCUAUCGCAAGCAGUAGGCAUUCACUUUCAAGUUCUGCGACUAAGACAAAGUCUCCUAGAUACCCUGGUGGUUUUUGUGGUCUUGUUGACCGUCUGAGAACAGGUUGUUCAAGUUCCUGUUCUUCGGUUUCUUCAGUUUCAUAUUCAAGACUAUUGCCAACUUCGUUUUCCUCUUCGAUGCUCUCAUCAUUGAUGCUCUGUUCAUGACUAUCCCCUGUUUCACUUGAGUCAUUAUUCUCUAUUUCACCGUUUCUUCCAUCUCUGAGAACAAGAGUAAAUGUCCCAGCACCAUCGUUGAUCUGAUUUCCUGAACUGUUCCACUUCCAGCCCUUUGUUUCAUCAAAAACAACAUCUCGACUGGCAAUUAUUUUCUUGCUCUUUGGCUCCAAAAGUCGAUAGGCCUUGGACCCGGGUUCUGUUCCUAAGUGAAUCAGCAUUUGCUAUCUAUCAUCUAAUUUCUUUAGAUGAGGGGUUGUUGCUUUUGCAUACCCGAUGCACCCAAAGACUCUUAAAUGUUCGAUAUUAGGCUUCUUUCCUUUAAAUGCCUCAUAUGGGGUUUUUUUCGACAACGUCUUUGUUCCCACUCUGUUUAUAAUGUAUGUUGUGUGUCUAACAGCCUCCCCCCAUAGGAAGUUUUGAAUGUUCAUAUGUUUCAUAAUGCUUCAUGUCAUCUCCAUAAGCGUCAUAUUUCUCUUUUUUACUACCCCGUUUUGUUGAGGAGAGUAAGGGGCAGUUAGGUUUCUCUUGAUGCCUGAAUCUUCACAGAAAUCCUGAAAUUCUUGAGACACGAACUCGCCUCCUCUGUCAGUGCGAAAAGUUUGAAUCUUGAAACCAGCUUCUUGUUCAACAAUCUGUUUGAAUUUCUUGAACCUGUUAAAAGCUUCACUUUUCUCCUUUAACAGAAAAUACCACAUAUAUCGCGAAAAGUCGUCUAUUAGCACGAAGAUGUAUCUAUUUUGUGCUAGUGUGGCUGGUGUAAUCGGCCCACAAAGGUCUCCGUGAAUUAGCUUAAGUGCCUGCAUUGCUCGAUAUGAUGUUGUUUGCGGGAAGACUUUCCUUAUCUGUUUUCUGAGCAAACAAGCAGAGCAGGUUUCCUUCUCGACUGCAAUACUUGGUAUCCAUGUGACUUAGAUCAUUCUUGAUCUUUGUCUUCAUGGUCUCUACACCAACAUGUCCAAGUCUCGCAUGCCAUUUAGCUGAAUCGUUUAGUGCCGUAAUUUGCAGACACUUACUAUUUUCCACCUCCAUAUGAACCUUGUAGAGCCGGUUUCUUGACCUGUUUGCCUUUACAAGCAAUUUUCCAUCACUCCCAUACAGAGUUAAGUAGUCUCCUUUCAUGCGGACAUCACAUCCGGAUUCUGUAGCCUGUCCCAAACUGAUUAUAUUGCUUCUAAGAUCUGGUAUAAAGUAGACGUCUGCAAGUAUCUUUCUUUCACUGUCUUUGCUUACAAACAGUAUGGAUCCCUUUCCCUUGAUAUCGAUACGAGAGUCAUCCCCAAAUCGCACCUUUCCUGUGAUAGUUUCAUCAAAUUUUGAAAAGUAACUUUGGUUUCCUGAAAUAUGGUUGCUAGCCCCGUUAUCGAGAUACCAUACAUUGUCUUCAUCAGAGAUGUUUCAAAUCUGUCUGGCUCACGUUUUUCUCAUUGAGGAAACAGCACUUCAUGCAUCAUUAAUUUCUCCCAUUCGUGUGUAUCAUCAUCAUUGACUUCAUCCUCCUUAGUCUCUUGAAGUUUAAGCAAUCUGUCAGGACAACUUGACGCGUAAUGUCCCAACUUGUCGCACCGAUAGCAAGUUACUUUAGAAAAAUCUCUUGUCUCGUUCGUCCUACCACAACCUCUUCCUCUGUAAUAGAAACGUCCUCCACGACCUCUGCCUUUAUUUUCACUGGUAUAGCUUCGGUUUGAUUGAGACUCUGUAUUGGCAUACAUCAAUUUUCCUUGAUCCUCUUGUGUUUCUUCUUCUUCUUUAUGUAGACGAUCUUCAUAGGCCUUUAAACGCCAUACAAUAUCCUCAAAACUAGUUGUAUUAAGGUCCAACACCUGUUCAAGUGAUGCCAUGAUGUGGAUAUAUUCCGAGGAACGCUUUUGAGGAAUUUCUUGACCACCUUAGACUCUUCGAUAUUUGUUCCUAAUGCUGCUGAUUUUGAACAAAUUUCAGAAAGUUUGCCACUGAAUUCAUCGAUGGUUUCCGUAUCUUUCAUCUUUAUGCGAUCAAACUCUGCCAUUAGGGUUUGAAGUCUGGCUUCUCGAACUCGAUCUGCUCCUACGUGGCGUGUUUUGAUAGCAUCCUAGACCUUCUUUGCUGUGUUAAGUUCGCCAAUCUGUAGGAUCAAAGCUUCUGGUAUUGACUGAAAAAUUAAACCCAUCGCGAUGUCGUUCUUCUCUCCUUCGUUUGUCUAUGUUUCUACGACCUCCCAAACUUUGUGAACCCUAAGCAAAACUCUCAUCCUUAAUGCCCAUACUGUGUAAUUAGUAGCAUUUAGCAUAGGGCAUUGUAUUGAUGAGAUGUUGAGCUCUUUUGGUUUUGCGACAGGAACGAGAUCCCCAUCUUUUAUCUAUUUUCCGUAUGUAACUCUUCUUGUUUCUUCUGGAUCGAUAAUAUAAGCUCUGAUACCAAAUAUUAUCGAACUAGCUUUUGAGAUUAAGAUAAUAAAACUCACUUUUAUUAAACUUUAGGAAAACUCACUCAAAAACUUAAAAUAUUGAAACUCCAAAAACUCAUAAGUUAUGCCACAAGUUGGCAUCUUCUUAUAUAGGAUUAGCAACUCCUAAACCUAAUAGAAAUAAAAUAAUUAGAUAACUUCUAAUUUCCUUUUUCCUAAUCCUUACACUUAUAGGAAAUAUAACUUAAGGAAGAAUCUAGAAACUUGAUCUUUAAGCUUUCUUUAAGGUUACUCCAACAUCGGUUGUCUUAAUUAAACUCUUAAACCUUUCUUACAUAUCCAAGACUUAGCAAAAUAUCAAACAAAUAACCAUCGCUAUUCUGUAUAUAUAAGAAUCUUUCACGUGACAACAAUCUCAGACAUCUGUAUCAGCACGAAUAAUUUUUGUAUGAUUCCAAUUCCAAUCAUAAUGUUUUCUGUCACUAUUCUUUUCGUUUCCUCAUGCUCUUUUUUUUUUUUAAGAUGCAAAACAAAAAAAAAAAUUCAUAUACCUCGUCUCCAAUAGCAUACACUAUUUUUUAUUGUCUGAAUUAUCUACUACAAAUCAUAAAAACAAUUGCAUGAACAAUUUAUACGUCUCCAAUAGCAUACACUAUUUUUCAGAUUUGUUUUUCUUGUUUAUUAAAGGAAACAACAUUACAAUAUACGAAUUUCAUCAAUCCUUGCAAAAGCGCUCCUAGAGACCAAACAAAGAAGACCAAUUCUCUCACACACAACAACAACAACAACAACAACAACAAAAAAACAGAAAUAAACAAGAACCAAAUGAAAACCGAGUAUUUCCGGUUUGGUUUAAAUGUGUCAGACCAAUAAAAUCCAUCAGAAAAUUAUAUUCCACCAGAUAUACUCGACGACCAAUUCUCUCACACACAACAACAACAACAACAACAACAAUAACAACAACAAAAACAGAAAUAAACAAGAACCAAAUGAAAACCAAGUAUUUCCGGUUUGGUUUAAAUGUGUCAGACCAAUUUAAUCCAUCAGAAAAUUAUAUUCCACCAGAUAUACUCGACGACGUUAUCAAAAGCGCUAGCGUGGUCGAACACGGCACCUCUUCCGACACCAUAGCCAAAUCCUACACCGAGUCCACAACCAGCUCCAAAACCGAGCCCAAACUUUAGUUUAGGAACUCCUGGUCCGUAUCCUCCCAUAAGACCGGCUCCCAAACCAAAUCCACAACCGGCUCUAGCCCUAAGGCUUGACCAAUAUUUCCCACGCCUUCAAAAAGUUUCCACAACAAUCCCUUCUCAUCGUCUCUGCUGCUCUUUCUACUCCUCCUCAUGUAGCUCAUCGUUCCCCCUUUUAUUUAUUUUCUUGAGAAAACAAAACUUUUGGGGUGUGAAUGGAGUCUUGAUAGGGUUUAAAGAAAUCAUUCAUCAAUGUGCGGUAUAGUUUUUGGCUUUAUUAAUUAAAAAUUAAUGAACGUUACAAAACGAUGCAUAUGGAUGAAGAAAAAUAUUAAAAUAUAUUAUCCAUCAUUUGUCCAUUGCUUUAUUAGUUAACCAUGUUCUCUUUUUGUCUUCUUUUUGAUUCUUAUUCUAGUUGAUGGAUGUCAAGAAGAAAGAAAAAUGAGAUUGAGAGCAUUCACAUGGAAAUUAACAGAGGAUUUGGAAAGUAAAGAACGACCAAUGUUUCUCAAGUUCUCACGAUGCAGGCAUGAAGCUCAACAGAAAGCAGCUCAAACCCAAAAGAAAUGUUUUACGAAAAAACAAAACUCAAAAGAAAUGCAAUAUUCACAUACUCAGCCACCAUUCAACUUGUUUUUUUUUUUACCCUUUUCGUUGCUUAAAUUAGCUGAAGCAAAAGUGUUUCACUGCUAUUGAAACAUAAACACUUUUAGAAUAUAUAUCCAAACACCACCUUUUUUUUUUAAUAAAUUGAACCCAUUGCCAAACAAAUAUUAAAUCUGUUUUCAAAAAUUUAUCAAAUCUAUAUCAUUUGAACAUGUAUUUUUGGUUUUUUCUUCGGACAUCGCGUUGCCAAACAUAUUGAUCUGUUGCCAAAUAGUUAUAAAAUCUAUAUAAUUUUACAUGUAUUUUUGGUUUUUACAAUAAGCCAAAAUAAUAAACCCACAAAUUAAAAGAACCCACAUGAACAAAGAGGAAUUUCCAAGUAGACUUGUUUGAUAUCGCUUACUCGGUUUCGUUUCGUAGAUAAUACACUUGUUGUACACUUACUUGUACUUGAUGUGUUUGUUCUGCACCGCUUUUCAUUCUUAAAUGCACGUCGACCAUUUUACAUUUAUUAUUACAUUUAACGUUUAGAAGAUUCGUUCUAACGAGGACUGAUACAUUGAAUCCAGGGUCGGCCCAAUUGUAACUGACGCCUAAAGCAAGAAAAAAAAAUGUACAUAAUAAAUAUACGUGAAAGCAUCGAAUUUGGGUUGUUUGAGAGCAGAAAGAUAAAAUAACCACUAGACUAUCAAAAUAAUUUUAGUAAAAUUUGCUGUCCCUAAAAUUUAUAAUAAAUCUAGCGUAUAAAUCUAGCGUAUAAAGCUAGGGUUUUAGCAGUUUUAGCUCAGGAUCGGCCCUGAUUGAAUCCGAGUCAUUACUGUUAACAUUUAGAUCAAAGUUUUUUGGUCCUAAAAAUUAGUCUGUUAAUAUUCAAAUUUUUAAAAUUUAGUACAUUAUCUAUAAAAUAAUACUUUAAAAAUAAUAUAAUUUAUUAAUAUGAAACAAAUCCAAAAAUCAAUAAUGAUUCGGAUUUCUCUGUAAGUAAAUAUUUAAAAAUAAGAUAAAUUUCUACUACCUAGUUUAAUUAAUUAUUAGCCUUCACAAUUAAGGAAGGCUUUUUGGUCGCACAAAACGCACACGUGUGAAAACAAACUCGACAACUCGUGUUCUGAGUUUGAUGUACACGCGCUUCGGAUGCAUGCAGAGAUCAUUAAAAUUUAUGUAAAUAUAUAGUCCUAACAAAAAUAUAAUCAAUAAUUAUAAUUUUAUGUAUAUAAAUGUAAGACAAUGUUUAUUGUUAUUUUUAUUUAUAAAAGUUGAAAUUUCAAUCACGUAUAUAUCUUUACUCCUUACAUCAACAGCUUCUUGUCUUUUCCAUUUAUAACCAAAAUUUCUGAAUAUUUUUUGACAUGAUAAUUGUUUUUUUUAGAAUAAUAGUUUUUAUUUUCCAAAUAUAUUAUAUUUUAAUACUAUCUUCAGUUUCAUCAUAAUAGUCAUAAUUUCUUAUAUAUUUUGAACUUAUGAACAUAAAUAUUUUACAUAAUAUAUAUUAACAUCUAUUAUAUUGUGAUUGUUAAAUUAUUAAUCACAAUUUUAAAUGUUUACAUGUUAUUUUUACAAGAAGUUUUGUUUAAAUUCUCAAAUAUAUAACAUUAUUAUGAAAAAAAAAUUUACAAAAUUAUAAAUGAAAAAUAAAUUUUUUUCUAUAAAUCAAUAUCAUUAUAAGUUAAUAAAAAAUUAUUGUUGCAACAUUAUCAAUUUAUAGAAAUUUUACUGAUAUAACUUAGACACCUAAACUGCUCAGGACUGUUUUAGACUUUUAGUACCCAUUACUGGAAUUCAGAUAGAAAAUAUUCGUUUUUUCUUCAAAAUUCAUUACUCUUAGUUUUAGAUGAAAAGAAAAAAUAUUCAUCUAAUCUGUCUCCAACAGCAGAUUUAGAUCUAUUUUUUUUCUGGUUUAUCAAAAGAAACAACAUUACAAUCUUAAUUUCAUCAAAUCCUUGCAAAAUAAGGAGGAAAUGAAAGUGAAGAAGUGCUACUAUAAAACAAACAGUGAAGACCAAUUCUCACAACAACAACAACAAAAACAGACUUAUUAACUUUCUUGUUAGAAUCCUAACACAUCAGAAAUCAUCUUCCACCAGAGAUAGUCCACCACGUUAUCAAAAGCCCGAGCGUGGUCGAAAGCGCGAGCGUGGUUGAAAGCGCGAGCGUGGUGGAACACGGCACCUCUUCCGACACUAUAGCCAAAUCCUACACCGAGUCCACAACCAGCUCCAAAACCGAUCCCAAACUUUAGUUUAGGAACUCCUGGUCCGUAUCCUCCCAUAAGACCGGCUCCCAAACCAAAUCCACAACCAGCGCCUAGUCCUAAGGCCGGACCAAUAUUCCCGACGACUUCAAAAAGCUUCCACAACAAUUCCUUCUCAUCGUCUCUGUUGCUCUUCCUUCUCCUCGUGUUGCUCAUCGUUCCCCCUUUAUUUUAAUUGUUUUCUUAAGCAAAAAACAAACUUUUGGGGUCUGAAUGAGAGAGAGUCUUGAGAGGGUUUUAAAGAAAUUAUUCAUCAAUGUGCGGUACUGUUUUUUUGGCUUUAUUAAUAAAAAUUGAAUUAAUGUUACAAACGAUGCACAUGGAUGAAGAAAAAUAUAUAUUAUCCAUCAUUAGUCGAUUGCUUUAUCAGUCAACCAUGUUUUUUUUUUUUCUCUUCUUUUUCCUUCUUAUUCCAUUUUGAUGGAAGUCAAGAAAAUUGAGUUUGAGAACACUCCCAUGGACUUUUUGGAGGAUUUCAAACGUAAAGAACGACCUAUGUUUCUCAAAUUCUCAUGAUGCAGCUCAACAGAUUGUGGAGAAAGCAAAGCAGUAUCGAUGCUGCAAUAAUCACCUCCUAGUCGUAGCCAUCCAGAAGUCAAAUGGUUCCCUUCUCCACAACAGGUACUAUGAAAUGUAAUGCAAACUUGAGACUCAUAAUACUUUCUUGUUUUUGCAGCUUCUAACGAACCUCUUGAGAGAAAUGGUGGAGUAAAAGGUUUGGAUACAUUUGAAAUGGUUCCAUAAGCUGCUCCAACUUAGUUGAAGGAGCCUCCAAGCAAAGAUCAGCUUGCGUUUCAUACUUUAUGGCCUGAAUCUCAUAAACGCUAUGGUCAUGGUAAUGAACUCUUUUCUCUCUACUGUGACCACAACGGACACCUCGUUGCUUCAUCGUGUAAGGUAGGCUAAUUUGGAUUUUAGAUAUGUGUGCAGUUACUUGUUCGAUCUGUUCAGUUCACAAUGACAGAGAAAGACGCCAAAACUUAAAAAAAUCUUUUAAAUGAACCACCAACUUCUCAGGCUCAUCAAUAUGCUUCCAUGGCGGAAAUAUGGCGAUGGGAGGUUGUGAACUUGUGACAUGAAAAUCUGUUGGUCGUUUGCAAUCUCACAGCUUGACAGUGACACACUUGGAGUUCUCUCAUCCCGGUUUGGUUUGCCAUAUAGAUUGCAGUUCCUAGUCCCCCCAAUAAACCGGCCAAAUAACCGGUGGUUUGAAAAAAGAUGUGUACGUAGAACCACAUGAAAUCAAAUCCUAUGUACCUUGCAGCCAUGGCUCUAAUUGGCAUGAAAAUCCCUUAACUCACUGCGUUCAGUAUUCCAUGGAUUUUCUUGACUCGUAACAUGUUGUCGUUUGCUGGUUUUGUGACCGUGACCUUUCCUGAGAGCAAAUCCAAAGUAGCCAUGGAUUUGAGAUGAUCUCCACCCAUGGCGUGCAUCCCAAGUCUAUCACCUUCCUUCAAUGGACCAUCUUGCCAGAGAUGGUUCACCACGGUUAAUUGUGUUAGAAGGUAACACCAUAGUGGCAAAUAUAGUCAUCUCUCCAUUGACUGCGUUAUACGGAAGCUGAGAGGAUCUUCUUGAAGCAUAGUUAAGUAGCUCUUGAUAGAGGAAGUAUAAGCAAGCAUAAAACCGGAAGUGGAGUUACGGUAAGCCAAGAGAGUUUGAGCACCUAACAUGCCUUUGCUCGUUGGGUUUAUGCCACAAGCAAUCCAACUGGAAGACUUGCUGUUGGUUUGACGUUAUGCAACCUCAUGUACUCCGGUUUCACGUACGGACAUAACUAAAGUGUAGAAACGAGUCCAACACCGGAAGGGCGAUGCAAGAACGAAAGUGUUUGCUAUUGUUAAAGUUGUGAGAAUCGCAUCUAGAGUGAAUAUCAUCGGUUGUUGCUCUAGUAAAGGCGCAUGGAGCCAGCACGAACAGAAAACAUAAAAUUACAAAUCGAGAAGAUUACAGCCUAGAAUCACCUGGUCUUAUUUCCAGGUGAAGUUGGGAACCGGUUUUUUCUAUAUUUUAGUUUUGGUGUCGGCGGCAAAUUUCCAUAUUUUGAUCUUUGUUUCCCUUUUUCCAAUACGAAGCGUUGUAUUUCUUUGGUUCAGUUACCUGUUUAUUAAAUAACGUGGAAAAUAUCAUUGGAUUAAUAUCUUCUUUAUAUUAUCUAAAUAACAUUCCGAGUAUGUAUAGGUAUAAAAAUAUUUUACAAUACAAAAAGUCAAAGUUAUUGUAACAUCCCAAACCCAGCCCAAUUAGAGGAGGUCCAGCAAAUUCAGGCCCACUCCAGAAACCCUAAUAUAAAUAGAGAAUUAGGAGUUAAUGAGCCUCAUUUUGCCUCUAAUUACCCUAGCCCCCAAAGAAAAGAAAGUGAGAGAGAGAAGGAGAAGCUGCACGCCGCCGAGGAGAGCCGCCGCCGCCGAUGCCGCUUGCCGAGAGAAGAAGGAGCACUCGCCUGCCUCCACCUUCUCAGAAGCUGCUUGAUUAUUUUGCCUCUUCUAGUUCUCCUUAAUCUCAGAUCUGCUUUUAAGCCAAGGUGAGGAUUAGAUCUAGGUCUUUCUUCUUAUCCUUUUAUCUUCUUCUGGUGUGUUGAGUUUAGAUCUGGUGGGACAGGUCUGUCUGCUUGUGCAUCUAGGCAGAUCCAUAUAUAUAUAUAUAUAUAUAUAUAUAUAUAUAACUAAUAAGAUCUAGGAUCUCAUUAGAGGAAGAACCAGCAUGAUUGAUUGAUAACCUUGUUGAUUGGUUAGUGAUUGGUAGAAGUCCUAAAGGUCAUAGUCUGUUUCUGGUAUAGCAAUGUGCCGAAUGCAGGUUUGUUUGCUGGGUUAUGUGCUGUCUAUGUGACCGUGGCAAUAAUCCAUUCAUCCGGUGGAGUGAUGACCCACGGGGCUGUCCAUGUGGCAUGCUGGGAUUGGACUGUCUGUGUGACAGGGUCUCUGUCUGAGUGACAGGGCGUCUGUCUGUGUGACAGGGUGAGAUAUCGACCUGUGUCCGAGUGACAAGGUGGUUUGGCCUAUUGAGAGGCGGGAUCGGAGACAUUGCUGCUUGUUAGUUGCUUGUGCACUUGUAGAGUGCUUUUUUUGUUUCAUUAGAUUUAUUCUUAAUAUGUUGGUGGAAAUAAAUGAAUAAGGCGGGAGCCUGGUUUGGUUCCCACUGAGUAAUUCUCCCAAAUUACUCACCCCUCUCUCUCUAAAUUUCGAUGUGCAGGUGAUUGUGAUUGUGAUUGUGAUGAUGUCUGGGAAGAACUAGACGAGUAGUUCUAGUGUGGUGUGCCUUCAGAAAUAGAAGAAGUUUUAUUGUUUUUAAGAACUAUUUCAUAUUUCUUUUUAAGACAAUGUUUCUAUUUUAUUUUGGAUUUAAUAAGUUAUUUCAUUUCUAUUGUAAGACUUGGAUUUGGGUUUGAAUUUGAAUAAAGAACAACUGGUUAUUUAGAAUUUAUUUAGUUUAGGUUCACUACAAAAAAAAGCAAAUAUUGUUACGGAAAAAUUGUGACUAAUUGUUAUGUAACAAUUUUAUGAUGAUUUUUAUACGAAAAUGUGACAAAAUUCGUUAGUCNNNNNNNNNNNNNNNNNNNNNNNNNNNNNNNNNNNNNNNNNNNNNNNNNNNNNNNNNNNNNNNNNNNNNNNNNNNNNNNNNNNNNNNNNNNNNNNNNNNNACAAAUAUUGUUACGAAUUGUGACGUCAUAAAAUAACAAAUUAAUACGAAUUUGUGACUAAACAUAAGUCACUCAUAGUUACACAUAUUUUGUAAUACGACAUCACAAAUAGUCACUGUGUUAGUGACUUUUGUGUUUAGGUCAUAAAUAGUGAUGUUUUUAUUAUCUUUUUAUGACAACAAGAUUUAAUAAAUUUAAAAUAAAGAAAAAAAUAGUUUUAAUUCAAGGAAAAAAGUCCAAAAUACAUAAUAACUAAAAAAAAUAACAUUAAAAAAUAUAAAAGAAAAAAUUAUUAUCAGUAUUUGUGAUCUUCACUCUAGCUCUUGAUAUGCGUAUGACCUGCAUAAAGUUAACAAAAGAAAUGAAUUAGUCAGAAGUUACCAAUACUAAAAAUAAAUCAAAAUAAAAAAUUAAUAAUCUAUAUGCAUAAUAUAUAGACAAAAACCUUUAAAAAAAUUUAAGUUCCAGGUAUAGAAAAAAAUAAAAAUAACACCAUCAAUUCAAAAACCACAAAACAUUUUACGAAAACAAAAUUUAGCAACCAAUAAAAAUAGUAAAAAUAUAGACAGCUUACAAGGAGGAGAAUUUGGAUCCAAAUUUUUGUGAAUGUUGAAGAUAUGAGCGGCAUAAGAAUAGAUAUCAGAUAAAACCUUAAGAAUCUGAUUCAUCGCUAGAUAAUUCGAUAUCAAAAUUUCCAUCUUCAGCAUCUGAUCCACUUUCUGCUACUUCUUCUGGAUCAUCAAGAUCUUCUGUUUGGCCAUGUAGUGUUAGUGUCUCGAUAUGCAAUGAAUCAGCUUGAACAAUAUUACCAUCAUUUUCUUGUUGCAUUGCAGUGAAAUCUAAAUUUUGGUUGAUCACUACUUUUCCUCUGGGUUGUAUCAUAAUUGCUGCUUUCCAGUGUUGAUCUUUUUUUGGUAGAGUCAUCCGUGGAUAUGGAACAUAACAUACCUGAUCUGCUUGUGAAGCAAGUACAAAAGGAUCAUAUUUUUCAUAACUCCUUUUAGCAUUAAUAUCAACAAUCCCUGACUUGUUUAUUCGUAUGCCUUUCCCAAUGGUUGAAUCAUACCAAUCACAUUUGAAGACCACAACUUUAAGAUCAACUGGUCCUGGAUAAUGAAUCUCAAAAAUCUCUCUCAAUAUUCCAUAGAAAGCAGGUUCUUCACUAGAGCCAGAAGAUGUUGUACAUUUGACACAAACGCCAUAAUUGAAAUUUUUUUUAUCUUUUCCAUGAUCAUAUGUAUGAAAUACAUAUCCACGACAAAAAUACAUUGGCCAACAAGUAAUUUUAACCAUUGGACCAUGAACGAGAGACAACAACCAUGUUGGAUAUGAAUUCGCCGUCCAAGUAUCUUCCACCUGUUUUUUUUAUGUAUACAAAACAUAUUAUAAUCUUAACUUAUCAAAGAUUUAUCAAAAAUAUAUUUUUGGAAAAAAAAAACUAAACCUUACAUGUUUUUGUAACCAGUUUGAAUAUUUCUUUUCUCUAAGCUCAAUCAGAUUGUUUUCGCUUAUCCCUGGAUUAGCUGCAAUCAUGCUCUCAUCGAAUAACCUAUAUAUUAAAAUUCACGAGUAAAUUUUAAUGUUUUAUACACUUAUCAAAAUAUGAAUUAACGUAAAUUUGUGCAAAUUAAUAUUUUUAAUACCUUUCAAAUGGUCUUAAUUGAUCACAGUUCCGCAAAAUAUAGGUAUGUAUGAUAUGAUGAUCUUUAUCUUGGAGCCACAUCUCUUUUUCUUUACCACUGCCUCUCCCUGGUUGAGAAAAUAUAUCUGGAAUUUCUUCAAACUCAUGUGUAUCUUUUUGAUUACCUCCAUCAUAGUGUCGAUCUCCUCUUCUCUUUUUUGUCUUGAUGUGUGGCUCAAAGUAAUAACUACAAAAAGUAGAAAUUUCUUCAUUGAUGUAUUGUUCAACAAUUGAGCCUUCUACCUUUGCUUUAUUUUUUACUUUUUUUCUUUAGAUGACCCAUGUAUCGUUCAAAAGGAUACAUCCAUCUAAAUUGCACAGGUCCUCCAAGGCUAGCUUCGUGUGGCAAGUGAAUUGGCAAAUGCUCCAUAACAUCAAAAAAAGAAGGAGGAAAUAUCUUCUCUAGAUUACAGAGAACCAUACAGAUAUUCUUUUGCAACAUCGCAACACCAUCUUUGUGUAUAAUUCUUGCGCAUAUGUCUCGGAAAAAUAAGCUAACACCUACCAAAAAAGGAUUGUUAUAUGAAUUAGAAGUUUUAAUCAUAGUGUAUAAUAUAAUAACAUCACACAUGCCUAUUAAUACUUCAAAUUAAUAUUAAAAUGUUGAAUACUUACUAGAUAAUGAAUCAUAUACAGAUUUAUCCAUAAGCUCAGCAAUCGCAACUGGAAGCAAUCGUUGCAUAAAAACAUGGCAGUCAUGACUUUUCAUUCCAGUUAAUUUUCCUCCCACUAAAUCAACACAAUUAGAUAAACUUGAUGAAUAUCCAUCUGAAGAUUUUAACAUCUUUUUCAAGCCAUCGUAGAAAAACUAUUUUGGCAUCAGUUUGUAGUCUGAAAAUUGGGAUUGGUGACUUCCCGUCAGCAGCUAAAUGCAACUCCUUGCGAUUACAAUGCUCUUGCAAAUCAAGUCGUGAUUUGAUGUUAUCUUUCGUUCUAUCCUUUACAUUCAGUAACGUAUUGAUGAUAUCAAGAUUAUGUCGAAGUUUCUGAUCCUUCCAAUAAGGCAGCUCCCAAAAAAUGCUUUUUUUAUGCCAAUUAUGAAUGCUACCGUAUCCUUGUAUUUUUCCAUGGUUUCCUCCACAUUCAACUGUUUUUGGUAAACCAUAUAUUUCAUUCAAAGUUUCCUCGCCUGUUAAUAUCGGAGGUGGAUUUUAUUGUGAUUUUUUGUAAAUUGUAAUAAUUUCAUUACAAUAAAAAAAUUGUGACGAAAUAUAUAUUUAUUGUUACAUAAAAACAUGUAACAAUAAUCAUUUUUUUGUAGUGGUUAGUUAAUAUUCCGGUUUGCCGAUUCUCCAGAAGAGAGUGAAUAAGGCGACGUUUGGGGAAGUUUUGGAGAGGGUAUCUUCGAAGUUAACUGGGUGGAAAGCGAGGUGCCUGAGUUUUGCAGGGAGAUUAACCUUAACGAAGGCUGUGUUACAAUCUAUACCAAUUCACACGAUGAGUGUGAUAGCUUUACCUAAGGCACUAUUGGAUGAGCUGGAUAAGGUUUCGAGAUCGUUUCUCUGGGGCAGUACGAGCGAGGCCCAAAAACAACAUCUUAUCGCGUGGGAUAGGGUAUGUAAACCGAAGUAUGAGGGAGGUCUUGGUAUAAAAAAAGCGCAAGAGAUGAAUAAGGCGAUGCUUGCAAAGGUGGGCUGGAGAUUGUCACACAACCGAACUAGCUUAUGGGCAUGUGUGUUGAGAAGCAAAUAUAAAGUGGGGGAGUUAAAGGAGGCGGCCUGGUUAGUGCCCAAGAACACGUGGUCCUCAACAUGGUGGAGUAUUGUUAUCGGUUGCCGUGAAGUGUUGGUACCAGGGCAUAGGUGGGUUGUGGGGAAUGGACGGAGAGUUGCAUUCUGGAGAGAUAAAUGGCAAAUGAACAAGUCGAUUUUGGAGGAGAUGAAUAGGAAUAUUUCGGAGAGUAAGAUUGAUGAAGGAGUUAGCGAGUUGUGGAGAGAUGGUUUCGGUUGGGAUUGGAGCAGGAUUGUGCCGUGGGUGACUGAAUCGAUCAAAUUUCGACUCGGAGCUGUUGUGGUGGAUAAUAUUACGGGAGCUCAAGACCGUUUGUCAUGGGGAGAGAUUUCAGAUGGGGAGUUUUCGGUUAAAACAGCGUACAUGAUGUUGACCCGAAAUCAUGUACCAUUACCGAAUAUGGAGGCCUUUUGGGUUCGGGUUUGGCAAGUUGUGGCUCCAGAGAGAGUAAAACUAUUCUUGUGGCUAGCAAGUAAUCAAGUGAUUAUGUCUAAUGCGGAAAGAUUUCGAAGGCAUAUUAGUGACUCAUCGAUAUGUCAAGUUUGUAAAGGAGGAGAGGAGACAAUAAUUCACAUUUUGCGAGAUUGUCCAGCGAUGUCAGGUAUAUGGGAAAGGCUUGUUCCGAGAAGUAAGAGACGUUGGUUCUUCUCCUGCUCGCUUCUUGAAUGGUUGUUUGCAAACUUGACUUCGGAUACAAGCAUGGGAGUUUUUAACUGGUCCACAUUGUUUGCUAUGGCGGUGUGGUGGGCUUGGAAAUGGCGUUGUGGGAAUGUAUUUGACAGUAAUAGAAAAUGUCGGGACAGAGUGCAAUUUGUCAAGGAUUUGGCUAGGGAGGUCUCGGAUGCGAACCGAGUUCAGAGGUUGACGGUUUCAGAUACACAACAAGUCGAGCGUGUGAUUGCUUGGUCCCAUCCACAAGAUGGUUGGCUUAAAAUGAACACGGAUGGAGCUUCAAGAGGCAAUCCGGGUUUAGCUGCAGCUGGUGGUGUUUUGAGAGAUGAUCAGGGGAGAUGGAUUGCGGGUUUUGCUCUUAACAUUGGGAUAUGUUCAGCCCCGGUAGCAGAGCUUUGGGGGGUGUAUUAUGGGUUGUACAUUGCUUGGGAAAGGAGAGUUCAGAGGCUAGAGUUGGAGGUGGAUUCGAAGAUGGUGGUGGGUUUUAUAAUGACAGGAAUUAGUGAGGCUCACCUUUUGUCUUUCCUGGUACGACUGUGCCAUGGAUUUAUCUCGAGAGACUGGAUUGUCCGGAUUAUUCAUGUGUAUAGGGAAGCUAACCGUCUUGCCGUUGGGUUAGCUAACUAUGCUUUUUCUUUAAGCUUUGGUUUUCAUUUGCUAGAGUUGGUCCCGGAUUGUAUUGCCCCUCUGGUUUCGGAGGAUGGUUGUGGAAUUGGGACUUCUAGACGAGUUUAUAUUUGAGUUUAUGCUUUUUGAAUAAAACCUGGGGAGAUCUUUCUCCCCGUUGCACACCAAAAAAAAAAAGUUAAUAUUCCGGUUUAUUCUGGUUUCCUUCGAAACCAGGAAUCGGGGUGUUACAAUUUGGUAUCAGAGCAUGGUUCGAACUAGGUGUUAAGAGAGCUAAGUCUAGAAUAGUGGGAAUGGGAUUCGGAUUUCAAAAGGAAAAUGGUUUAGAAAGUUUUUUUUAAAAAGUUUUUCAAGUUCAAAGAUUUUCCAAAUGCUUUCAAAGAAAGAAAACCACCACCUAGACUAGCCUCUUUAGUUUUUGUUGUUCUUUUCUUUUGCAGGAAGUUAGUCUUUACGGGACCGGGCUAACUUAUCUGUCUCCAUGUCUUGUCAGAUGCCUCUGAGGGCAAAGAAUGCGCACAAGACCCAAGCUCGUCGUUCAGGUGGUGCUGAUGAGGUCACGGACACAUCAGGAAGUGUUGCCCCAGUGACUCAGCAGACUGUGCCUCCAGCUCCAGUGGAUCAGCAGGGAGAGAACCUUGCAGGAGGUGUGCCUGUUCAAGUGCCUCCAGCAGCAGAAGCAGCUCAUGCUGCAGUCCUGGAGGAGUUGCGCCGUUAUCGGGAGAUGUAUGGCCACUUGAACCCUGGAGUGGGAGUGAAUGCUCAGCAGAGCAGCAACAGCCGCAGCAUCAGCAGCAGUAGCAUGUGCAGCCCCAUUGUCUGGGCCGCCGCCUGGGGUAGUGCCGCCAGUGUUUGUUCAGCAGCAUAUGUGCCUCCACCGCCUNNNNNNNNNNNNNNNNNNNNNNNNNNNNNNNNNNNNNNNNNNNNNNNNNNNNNNNNNNNNNNNNNNNNNNNNNNNNNNNNNNNNNNNNNNNNNNNNNNNNAACAAUUCAAGGAUAUGGGAAGGGAAGCCUUUGGCGGGAGGUCCGACCCAGUGUCUGCGGAUAACUGGAGGAAGAGGUUGGAGAGGAAUUUUGAAGCCAUAAGAUGUCCGGAGGGUUACCGGAAGGAUCUAGCUGUUCAGUAUCUGAAAGAAGAGGCGCUGAUAUGGUGGGAUGGUGUGGUCGAAGCGACUCAAGGUCGUUAUGAGUUGACCUACCGGGAUUUCCAAGAAGCUUUUGCUAAAGAGUAUUUUCCACCUGAAGCCUUGGAUUAGAUGGAGAGUGCCUUUGAGGACCUGCGUCAGGCGAACCGUACUGUGAGAGAGUACAAGGAUGAGUUCAAUCGGUUGAGGAGGUUCUCCAGGAAGCAAUUCACGCAGGCAGAUCUCGUUCGUCAGUUUAUGAAGGGCUUGAAUUUGGAGCUGAGGAGCAGGUGUUCUCUUAGGAGAUAUGACACAUUGGUGGAGCUUGUGGAGACAGCUGCCAUCCAAGAGACUUCGCUUGAGGAGCUGAGGAGAAUCAGGCAGGUUCAGUCCCGUCCAAACCGUGCUCAGGAAGGGCCAAAGAGGACUUGGGACACUAUGGCAGCUCCGGGGGCAGCUGUAAUGUGUCAGAGGUGUGGAAAGAAGCACCCAGGAAGGUGUGGCGCCCACAAGUGUUUUGGCUGUGGUAGUAUUGGCCACCAUGAGAGGGACUGCACUGUUGCAGGGACUAACCGGUGCUACCGUUGUGGGAAGAGUGGCCAUCAGAGGAGGGAUUUCCCGGAGAAUGCGAAUCCUCAGCAAGGAGUGGGGAGCAUUGCCAGGACCAUCAGCUAAGAGGCAAGCUGUGGAACCCCGUGUUUUUGCUAUCCGAAAUCCCGAAGAAGCAGCACCGAUCGCUGGUUAGUAAUGUUUUGUGAGAUUCUAUAUUUUUGCUUGUGAAUAGGAAUGUAGAAUGGAAAUGCAUGAUUAGAUAUAAGUAAUCAUUUAGGAUCGGUCUCAGUAGGGGGCGCGAUUGCAUAUACCUUGUUCGACACCGGUGCCACACAUAGUUUUGUGAGCCCGAGCUUGACCAAGUGUUGGACCUUCUCCGGAAAGUUCACCCCCAGGUUGAAAGCAGUGGAAACUGCUGGAAGUGAGCAGGUGGAGACCAUUGGAACCCAUGAAAAGGUGCUUAUCUUGUUGGAAGGAGCAGAUUUUCCUUGGACUCUAGUGGAAAUGAAGUUGGGCCACUAAGAUGUUAUCCUUGGAAUGGACUGGCUGAAGCAUUAUGAAAUUGUCCUGAAUUGCCGGAAGUCGAGGGCCUAUGUUCCGCAUCAAGGAGGUUGGAUUGUCUUUCAAGGAGUAAAGACCAACACAGGAGUGCCAGUCAUUUCGAUGAUUCAUGCCGAGAAUCUUAUAGAGGAAGGAUGUGAAGCUUUCUUGGCGACAGUCUCUAUGGUAGGAGAGGGAGCAUCUAAGAACCUUGAGGAGAUACCAGUGGUGAAUGAAUAUGCGGACGUAUUCCAACCAUUGACUGGACCCCCGCCAAGAAGAGGAGUUGACUUCACUAUCGAAUUAGAACCAGGAACAGCCCCUGUUUCGAAGGUUCCAUAUCGAUUGGCACCAGCAGAGAUGGCUGAGCUAAAGAAGCAGUUGGAGGACUUGACGGAUAAAGGAUUUAUUUGGCCAAGUAGCUCGCCAUGGGGAGCGCCCGUGCUAUUUGUAAAGAAGAAAUAUGGAAGCUUUCGGCUUUGCAUUGAUUAUAGAGGGCUGAAUAAGGUGACCAUCAAAAAUAAGUAUCCCUUGCCAAGGAUUGAUGAGUUGUUGGACCAGUUAGAAGGAGCUUCAUGGUUCUCUAAGAUUGAUUUGGCGUCAGGCUAUCACCAGAUUCUGAUAGAAGAGGAGGAUAUCAAUAAGACAGCGUUCCGAACUCGAUAUGGUCAUUAUGAGUUUGUGGUAAUGCCGUUUGGAUUGACUAAUGCGCUUGCAGCUUUCAUGAAGUUGAUGAAUGAUAUUUUUCGAGAGCACUUGGAUAAGUGUGUGAUUGUUUUCAUUGAUGAUAUCCUGGUCUAUUCAAGGUCGGAGAUAGAGCAUGAAUGGCAUUUGGGAAUGAUUCUGCAGAAGUUAAGGGAUCAGCAGAUUUUUGCGAAGCUAAGCAAGUGUAGCUUCUGGCAGAGGAAGAUGGGAUUCCUUGGGCAUAUCGUCUCAGAAGAGGGAGUAGCCAUGGAUCCUGAGAAGAUCACUGCAGUGACAGAGUGGCCUGUACCUAAAAGUGUUACCAAGGUCCGUAGCUUUUUGGGUCUGGCUGGAUAUUAUCGCAAGUUUGUGCCCAACUUCUCCAGUAUUGCCAAACCCCUCACCAGUUUGAUGGUGAAGAAUGUUAAGUUUGAGUGGACGGAUAAGAGAUCUCGGAGUUUUGAGGAGUUGAACCAGAAACUCACAGAGACUCCGAUAUUGGUACUUCCAAGGUCAGGAAUACCAUAUGAUGUAUACACCAAUGCCUCUGGAUCCGGGCUAGGAUGUGUGUUGAUGCAGGAGAAGAAGGUCGUAGCCUAUGCAUCUAGACAGCUCCGGAAGCAUGAAGUGAAUUAUCCGACCCAUGCUUUGGAGUUAGCAGCGGUAGUCUUUGCUAUUAAGAUUUGGCGUGCUUACCUGUAUGGGGAGAAGGUGCACAUAUAUACUGAUCAUCAGAGUUUGAAGCAUGUGUUCACUCAGGAUGAUUUAAACCUGAGGCAGAGAAGGUGGAUAGAAUUAUUGGCUGAUUAUGAUCUGGAAAUUUUUUAUCAUCCUGGAAAAGCCAACCAAGUGGCAGAUGCUUUGAGUAGGAGGAGAAAUGCGGUUACUGAGGCUAAGGAAACGCAGGAGCUGAUAGCGACUUUGGCGAAUUUGAGUUUGUGUGUCGCUGAAGUAGAGGAUGAUGCCGCAGGAUUGGAAGCAUUGGACAAUGCUGACCUGCUAAUGAGGAUUUUGUCAGGAACAAGUGCAUGAUUCGUCCCUUAAGGAGAUUUUUGAAAAGCAAGUGGUUGGGUACCACAAAGCAGACAAUGGGACUUACAUGUAUAGGAAUCGAGUCUGUGUUCCCAUGAAUGAUGAGCUAAGGAAGGAAGUGUUAAGCCAGGCUCACCAGUCGAAGUUUUCUAUUCAUCCAGGGAACACCAAGAUGUAUCGGGAUCUGAAACGCUACUACCAUUGGUCUGGUAUAAAGCGUGAUAUUUCUGCUUGGAUAUCUCAGUGUUCUACAUGCCAGCAAGUAAAAGCAGAGCAGAUGGCACCAAGUGGACUUCUCCAGAACUUGCCAUUACCUGAAUGGAAAUGGGAUAUGGUAACUAUGGAUUUUGUGACGGGGUUGCCCAAGACACUAAGUAAGAAGAAUGCGAUUUGGGUAAUCGUAGACCGCCUUUACUAAGUCAGCUCACUUUUUGCCAAUUAAAAAGACGGAUGGAGCGAAGUAGUUGGCGCAGAAGUAUAUUGAUGUUAUUGUGAGGUUUCAUGGAGUCCCAGUGAGCAUAGUGUCGGAUCAGGAUCCAAAGUUUACAGCUAGUUUCUGGCAGGCUUUCCAGAAAGCAUUGGGAACAAAGGUUCAUCUCAGCACAGCAUACCACCCUCAGACAGAUGGCCAAUCGGAGAGGACGAUUAGGACCCUGGAGGAUCUGUUGAGAGCGUGUGUCCUAGAUUGGGAAGGAAGUUGGGAGAAGCAUUUGCCUUUGGCAGAAUUUGCUUAUAAUAACAAUUAUCAUGGUAGCAUUGGAAUGGCACCAUAUGAGGCUCUAUAUGGUCGGCUUUGUCGCACACCUCUGUGCUGGACAGAAGUAGAAGAAAUGAGAGUGUUAGAGCCAGAACUCCUUGAGGAGGCGUCUAAGCAAGUGGAAAUGCUUAAGACAAGGUUGAAAGAAGGUCAUGAUCGCCAGAAGAGCUAUGCAGAUCAGCGAAGGCAGGAAUUGUCUUUUGAGGUUGGUGAUAUGGUGUAUCUGAAGUUGAGGACCUUCAGAGGGAAUGAUAAGCAUCGAAAGAUGAAGAAGCUUAAGCCUAGGUACAUGGGACCGUACCCUAUCAUGGAAAGGAUUGGAGAAUUGGUUACCGCUUGGAGUUGCCCAAAGAGUUAGCUGAGUUCCAUGAUGUGUUUCAUAUCUCUCUUCUGAGGAAAGUUGUGAGGGAGCCAGAGCUCAUUUUGCCCCAGCCGCCAGCAUAUGUAAGAAAGGACUUCUCAGCAGCAUAUCAGCCUAUGGCAGUAUUGGAAUUUCGGGAAAAGGAGUUGAAUGGUAAGAGGAAGCCAGUGGUUAAGGUAUGUUGGGAAAGAGAUGGAAUCCGCGAGGAAACCUGGGAAGUAGAACAGGAAAUGCGGAAGGAAUUCCCGGAACUCUUUAAGGACAAAGGAGAAACCGGAGGAGUGGAAGAGAAUUCGGGGACGAAUUCUAUGGAAGUAGGGGAGAGUUGUAACAUCCCAAACCCAGCCUAAUUAGAGGAGGCCCAGCAAAUUCAGGCCUACUCCAGAAACCCUAAUAUAAAUAGGGAAUUAGGAGUUAAUGAGCCUCAUUUUGCCUCUAAUUACCCUAGCCCCCAAAGAAAAGAAAGUGAGAGAGAGAAGGAGAAGCUGCACGCUGCCGAGGAGAGCCGCCGCUGCCGCUUGCCGAGAGAAGAAGGAGCACUCGCCUGCCUCCACCUUCUCAGUAGCUGCUUGAUUCUUUUGCCUCUUCUAGUUCUCCUUAAUCUCAGAUCUGCUUUUAGGCCAAGGUGAGGAUUAGAUCUAGGUCUUUCUUCUUAUCCCUUUAUCUUCUUCUGGUGUGUUGAGUCUAGAUCUGGUGGGACAAGUCUGUCUGCUUGUGCAUCUAGGCAGAUCCAUAUAUAUAUAUAUAUAUAUAUAUAUAACUAAUAAGAUCUAGGAUCUCAUUAGAGGAAGAACCAGCAUGAUUGAUUGAUAACCUUGUUGAUUGGUUAGUGAUUGGUAGAAGUCCUAAAGGUCAUAGUCUGUUUCUGGUAUAGCAAUGUGCCGAAUGCAGGUUUGUUUGCUGGGUUAUGUGCUGUCUGUGUGACCGUGACAAUAAUCCAUUCAUCCGGUGGAGUGAUGACCUACGAGGUUGUCAAUGUGGCAUGCCGGGAUUGGACUGUCUGUGUGACAGGGUCUUUGUCUGAGUGACAGGGCGUCUGUCUAUGUGACAGGGUGAGAUGUCGAUCUGUGUCCGAGUGACAAGGUGGUUUGGCCUAUUGAGAGGCGGGAUCGGAGACAUUGCUGCUUGUUAGUUGCUUGUGCACUUGUAGAGUGCUUGUUUGGUUUCAUUAGAUUUAUUCUUAAUAUGUUGGUGGAAAUAAAUGAAUAAGGCGGGAGCCUGGUUUGGUUCUCACUGAGUAAUUUUCGCAAAUUACUCACACCUCUCUCUCUAAAUUCCGAUGUGCAGGUGAUUGUGAUUGUGAUUGUGAUGAUGUCUGGGAAGAACUAGACGAGUAGUUCUAGUGUGGUGUGCCUUCAGAAAUAGAGAAUGUUUUAUUGUUUUUAAGAACUAUUUUAUAUUUCUUUUUAAGACAAUGUUUCUAUUUUAUUUCGGAUUUAAUAAGUUAUUUCAUUUCUAUUGUAAGAUUUGGAUUUGGGUUUGAAUUUGAAUAAAGAACAACUGAUUAUUUGGAAUUUAUUUAGUUUAGGUUAGUUAAUAUUCCUGUUUAUUCAGGAAUCGGGAUGUUACUUAUCGUAUACUAAUUCAUUUGUUGCCCAAAAAGAAUUAUAUAUUAUACUUCAUUUUUACACCAAAUUUUUGAUAGGUUUAAAUCUGACCUCUGAUAAAUGUUCUUGACUAAAAAUUUAGAACGUUUCCUAUAUCAGGAGCUUCAUCGAACUACUCCAAAAACAUCCAAAUAAAAAGAAUUCAUAAGAUAUUGUCGAUAUCACAACCAAAAAAAAAAUGUAAUGGAUAUUCGGAGAUAUCCAUACGCUUUCCUGACGGCUUUUAUCGUCAUUGUAAUGUUCUUGGUCACAGGUCAGCCAACUAACACAAAAUCUUAUUAAUAGCAAUCAGGAUCGAUCAACCAUUAUUCAUAUUUAAAGUUUCAAAUUGUGGAUAAUGAAAGUUAAUUUUCACACAGAAAAAACGACGUUGCUCUUGUUAUGUUGUUUUGCUUUUUAUAUAAAGAGAAUGCAGUUGAAAUUAUCUAUUAAUUGCAUCGCAAUGAUGAUAAUGUAUACUUGGUUUUUGGGUUAUGAACAUAAAAAAAAAAAAAACAAUUACAGGAUCAGAAGCAAGAUCAGAGAUAUAUAAUUCCGUGUGUCCUGGUGUAUGUUCACCUGGAAUUGUACCAGACUGCAACACACUAUGCACUGGCUUAGGGUUUCCUGGAAGCUACUGUAAAGGACUAACGUGUUGCUGCAAACCAAAAUCCUCUAAACUCUAUACUGUCUCUCCUCCUUAAUUUUUUUGUUUGUUCUUUUUCAUGUUCUGAAAUAAAUGAUAUUAAUAUAUUAUUAAUAAAAGUUGAAGUUAAAUAUUUUUUAAAAAUGUUCACAUUGGAUCCAUCAAUUUGUAGUGAUUUUUUUAUUAAAGAAUCCAUCAGAAAUCAUUUUCAACCAGAGAUAGUCGACGACAUCAUCAAAAGAUCGAGUAGGUCAAUCAGAGUUUUUUUUUCUGUUGUAAAUAUAUAAAUAGAUUCUAUUCCGUAUGUUCGCAAAUGUUUUUAAUCUAAAUUUAUAAUGUAAUUUGCAUUUUUAUAGAUAUAAUAUUUUUCUAAUAAAUGAUAUAAUUAUUUUUGACAUAUAAUUAUUUUUAUAAAUAUUAUAUUUUCUAAUAAAUGAUAUAAUAUUUAUAAUGUAAUUUGUAUUUUUAUUUUUUUUUAAAUAAAUUUGACAAUGAUUAUAAAAACAUAAUUUUAACUCGUUAUAAAAACAUAAUCCAAAAAAAACUAUGAAUAUAAAAACAUAAUUUUGCUCUAUCUAUUCAUAUUAUCAUAUAAUAAUUAAUUAUAAAAAAUAUAUAAUAAUAUAUCGUUUAUUAUCUUUAUUAUUAUGAAAAUAUUAUUUAAAUUUAGAUAUUUUAAAAGAAAUUAAAUUAAUAUCUUAUUUACUAUUUUGUAAAAUAAUAACAAUUGAUUUUUGUAAUUUUGAUAAUUAAUUUUAACUAUAUCAAAGAAAAUAUAAAUUAAUUGAAUUAAAAUUUAAAAAAUUUCGGAAUUAAUUUUAAAAAUAAAAUUUAAAUAUAUUAUUUUAUUAUUUUUUGAAAAUAAAUAAAAUAGAUAAAUAAAAUUAAAAUUUUUGUUUGGUAAUAGAAAUAGUAGAUCUCUAAAAGUAGAAUAGUAAAAAACUAAAAACAAAUCUGUUUGGACAAUGUUUUAAUAGAAAAAAUAAGAUUUUAGACGGAAAACAAAAAAAAAUUAUUCAACAGUUUUUAAAAUUUGGGCCUAAUAUUUCAGCCCAUUAAAUAUUCACAACCAGAAGUCAAGAACCCAAAGUAACCCUUGUUCGGCUCCGCUUUUCCCCUGCAAUUCGCAAUUUUCAGCUCUACAAUUUCCGGCGAGAUUUUUCGCCGUCGGCGAGACAUUACUUGUAAAAGUAGUAGCCACGGAGAAGAACUUCGUAAUCUUCAAUCAAAAAGUCUCCUUCUGAUAAAGAUGUCGGAAAACACCGAAGUCGAAGCGAAGAGAGUGUUCAUAGGAGCAGGAUGCAACAGAGUGGUGAAUAACGUGUCUUGGGGAGCUUCUGGUCUUGUCUCCUUCGGUGCCCAAAACGCCGUUGCUGUUUUCUGCCCUAAGGUCUCUGUUUCCCUCUUCUUUCUACGAUUAAUCCUUCAAAAAGUCCUUUUUUCUCUCUCUUUUGAAAGCAAUAUGUGAUUUUGUUUUUUAUUUUUUGUUUUGUGUAUUUGUUUGAUUUCUUUUUUUGUUCUUUUUCAGACUGCCCAGAUUCUUACUACGCUUCCAGGUCACAAAGCUUCUGUGAAUUGCACUCAUUGGUUACCCAGUAGCAAGUUUGCUUUCAAAGGUAUCUUCUUCUUCUUUUGACCCAUUGGGUUUAUGAGCCGUUCGGGAUUUGGAUUUUGUAGUAUGUUGAAUCGCAUUUGCGUUGCAAAGGACGAGACUUUUGAUGUUAGGAGCCUUUGAUUUUUCGUACAUGACUUAUCUAUCAAAGCUAAUUGUGCUCAUCUUUUGUUUAAUCAACUAGAGAACUUAGACUGAACAGGUUCUGAGUUAUAGGCUUAUUGCUAUCAUUAUUAGACAAUUCUUUUUGUAUAAUGUGAAGGCAUAGGCAUUCAAAUUUCUAUUUAUAGUCUCUAUCACCAAACUUAGUUGCUGUGAAAAGUUGAAUCUUUUCUAGACAUAUAACUACAGAUUUUAGGAGAAAAACAUCCAAUGGUUAAUCCCUGGAAAUUAUAUGAUUGUUCGCAGCCAAGCAUUUGGACCAACAUUAUCUGCUCUCAGGUGAUACCGAUGGUAUCAUCAUCCUUUGGGAACUUUCGACUGCCAAUAACAAUGUAAAAGCCCUUCAAUUUAAUCAGUCUGAUCUGAGUUUCUCUACGGUUCUUGUAUUAUCUCUGAUCCUUUAUUACGUGUCCUUUUUGGUUUUAUCAACAGUGGAGACAUGUACUACAACUACCACGGUCUCACAAGAAAGGUGUAACUUGCAUCACUGCGUAUAUGGUUUCUGAAACCGAUGCAAUGUUUGCUUCUGCUUCUUCAGAUGGAGUUGUGAAUGUCUGGGAUGUUUCUUUUCCAUCUCAGUCUAGUGGUACGCAUUCAAGUUCCUACAGUCUAUAAACAAAGUUAAACAAAGUGAAGUAUUGCCUUUUAAGCAGUAUCUAAUUCACAAAUUUCAUCCUGUGUGUUAUCUGUUGCAGAGGAAUGUAAAGUCUUGUGUCUGGAUUCCAUCUGUGUGGACUCCAAAGCAAUUGUAACGCUUUCAUUAGCGGAAUUGCCUAACAAUCCUGGUAGAUUUGUCCUCGCUUUGGGUGGAUUGGACAACAAAAUCAAACUUUACUGUGGAGAAAGAACAGGAAAGGUGCUUGCUGCUUUUGCCCUUUUGUGCCAAUAUAUUCUCAGAUUAGUUUCAUUUGUGAGAGUUUUUUUCUUUGCUCAUACUUUUUCAGUUCACUUCUGUUUGUGAGCUCAAAGGCCACACGGACUGGAUUCGGAGUUUGGACUUCUCAUUACCGUUACACUCAACAGAAGAAACCACCAAUAGUAUUAUGCUUGUGAGUUCUUCCCAGGACAAAGUUAUUCGGAUCUGGAAACUCGUGUUAGUCGGUGAUGUUGGCUCAUGGCAAAGAGAAAUUACUCUUGCUUCUUACAUUGAAGGCCCGGUUUUCAUCUCAGGGACGUUCACAUACCAGAUUUCAGUCGAAUCUGUUCUCAUUGGACAUGAAGAUUGGGUUUAUUCAGUGGAAUGGCAACCUCCAGUCAUUGAUUCAAUUGACGGGCAGUUAAUUAACCACCAACCGCUGAGCAUUUUAUCGGCUUCAAUGGACAAAACGAUGAUGAUUUGGCGACCUGAGAAGAAUACGGGUGUGUGGGUGAAUGUUGUGUGUGUGGGAGAGCUUAGUCAUUGUGCUCUUGGUUUCUACGGUGGCCAUUGGAGCCCAGAUGGUGUGUCGAUUCUUGCUCAUGGAUACGGUGGAUCUUUUCAUCUCUGGAGAAAUGUAAGCAGCUGCAAAGAGUCUGAGAACUGGCAGAUGCAGAAAGUCCCGUCAGGUCAUUUUGCUGCUGUGACUGAUAUCACGUGGGCUAGAACCGGCGAGUACUUACUAUCCGUGAGCCACGAUCAGGUCAGGAUUUAGUAUUCUUUUAUGAUAUUUUACUUAAUUCUACACAGAACAGGAGAAAAAAGUAACUUUCUUGACACUUCAUUCUGUGUUAUUGCGGUUUUGUAGACGACCCGUGUGUUUUCAUCAUGGAAAAGUAAUGAGGGAAAUGAAGCAGAGGAUGAGCAUUGGCAUGAACUGGCUCGUCCACAGGUUCAUGGUCAUGACAUUAAUUGUGUGGCUAUGGUUCAAGGUAAAGGUAAUCACCGUUUUGUAAGUGGAGCAGAGGAGAAAGUUGUGAGAGUUUUUGAGGCUCCUCUAUCUUUCUUGAAGACACUGAACCACACUUGUGCCGGAGGAGAAGGAAGCUUCCCUGAGGAUUUACAAGCAGAUGUGCAGGUCCUUGGAGCUAAUAUGUCUGCUCUUGGUUUAUCACAGAAACCUAUCUACUUAAACUGUGAGUGAUUGAUUCAACAUCCUUUCUAGCUUUUUACCAAAUGCAAUCUUGAGAUUCAUAGUACUUUCUUCUUUUUGCAGCUUCUAGUCAACCGCUUGAGAGAAAUGGCGGAGGAGAAGGUUUGGAUACAUUUGAAACGGUUCCAGAGGCUGCUCCAGCGGAGUUGAAGGAGCCUCCAAUCGAAGAUCAGCUUGCGUUUCAUACUUUAUGGCCGGAAUCUCAUAAACUCUACGGUCAUGGUAAUGAGCUUUUUUCUCUCUGCUGUGACCACAACGGAAGCCUUGUUGCUUCAUCGUGUAAGGUAAGCUAAUUUGGAUUUUGGAUUAGUUUCCACUUGUUCGAUCUCCUCAUUUCAUUAUGACAGGGAUGGACUUCAAAACUAAUUUUUUGUUUUUUUUAAAUGAACCACAAACUUCUUCAGGCUCAAUCCGCAUCCAUGGCGGAAAUAUGGCUAUGGGAGGUUGGAACAUGGAAAGCUGUUGGUCGUUUGCAAUCUCACAGCUUGACAGUGACACACUUGGAGUUCUCUUAUGACGACACUCUGCUCUUGUCUGUCUCCAGAGAUCGUCACUUCUCAGUUUUCUCGAUCCAAAGAACAGGUAGAACCUUGAAAUUUGAAGCGUUAUUUUCCUAUUAAAGAUUUGGCCUCUCAUAACAUCCAGAAGUCUCAACAUUUUGUGGUUCUUGUUUACCCUGGUUCAGUCUUGAGUGUCUCUAUAGUCCUCUAAGUCUCUGUCUGUUUCUAUCUUCCUUGAUCUUCUCUGUUCAGACAAUGGCGAGGUUAGUCACAAACUCAUGGCAAAGGUUGAAGCACACAAGAGGAUCAUAUGGGCAUGUUCAUGGAACCCAUUUGGCCACCAAUUUGCAACUUCAUCAAGAGACAAGACCGUGAAAAUCUGGUCCAUCGAGAAAGACGCUCGUGUCAAACAGGUUCUUGCCUUGCCUCAGUUUGGGAGCAGUGUCACAGCUGUAGCUUGGACGGGACUAGACCACAAGGAGAAAAGUGGGUGCAUAGCGAUUGGGAUGGAAAGCGGACUGAUAGAGCUGUGGAACAUAAAGAUUAGAGAAACAGAGGAAGGUACAACGGCAACAGCAGCUCUUGCUCUUAGGCUCGAACCAUUUAUGUGUCAUGUCUCAGCCGUGAACCGAUUAGCAUGGAGACCAACCGAAAAGUCUGAGAUUAACCAGAGCUUGCUAAGGUUAACUUCUUGUGGUGAUGAUAAUUGUGUGAGAGUUUUUGACUUCAAGUUUUGAGUGAGAAUACAUUGUAUUGUUUUAAGAUCAGGACCAGAAACUCUCUUUCCCUAUAGAAUCACUGUACUAUUUAUGCAAAUUUUGGUAUCUAACUUGAAACAUGUUAUCUUCUCCUUUUGUGCUAAAAAGUAAAAACAUGUUACCAAAUCAAGGUUUUUUUCAUCGCAAGGGGUUUGAUUCUCUCUUUAUAGCAACUUUUUGCAAAUAUUGGUAGCCAAGUUGAAAAAUUUUACCACUUCACUAAAUACUUCAUUGCAUAGUUUAAAGUCUGAUUACAAAAAGAAUUAGUCAGAAGUCAAAACGACUCUUGGUCAGGUCCAGUUUUGUCACUAUAUAUACCCGAGAGUGAACAAAUGCUAACUCAACAUCAGUUGAAAUCUGAGUUCGUAUAGAUUAAAUGCUUACCAAAAUUGACCCCUUCGACGGACUAAUGACUAAUCAUUGUUCAGUCUUAAUGAAAGUGGCCUCUUCUUCAUUUGCUGCUUCGUCAUUAUCUGUAUAGUUUAAAAAGCUAGAUGGUUUGAUUUUAACCUUGGCUAAACAAACAGGAGUGGAUUGAACAAAAAAACGCUUUUGGUUUUCUAUUAUUUUUUCUCAUACCUUCGUAUAUCUCCAUUUUCUGCUUUCCCUUCUCUGGAUCGUUAGCUGUUCCUGCUGGAAUAAAGACGCGCCAAAAUUAGUGUAUGCAAAGAAAGAUGAAAACUUUCUCUAUCAAAAGCCUAUCAGUAGAAACCAUAGAAGCGAUAUAGUUUUUAACAAUUGACUCAUGAAAAAGGGUGAACAUUAACGGGCACAAGACUAAUCAGAGAAAGUUAUAACAAAAAAUUCAAUUUUUAGCAACACAAACUUUCAAGACUUUUUAAUUCACAUAAACACAAGUCUCAGAAAUAUUUAAGAGAGAUGACUACUUCAGGAAUAAAAUGAUCGAACACUUUUAAUUUACUUCCCCAUUAUCUAUAUAGUUCAAGAAGAUGGAUGAUUUGAUUUUAGCCUUGACUAAACAACAUGAAUAGAUUAAGUGAAACUGCUUCUUUUUUCGUACCUUCGUCUAUCUCCAUUUUCUGCUUUCCCUUCUUUGGUUCGUGAGCUGUUCCUACUGAAGAAAAGACGAACAAAAUUUAGUGUUAUGUAGGAAAGACAAGAAGUUUAAUCUUGAAAGAGCACAAGCACAAUCAGAGUUCUGCCAAAAGCCUAUAGGUUGAACGUUUAUGAGCAUAAGAGUUCACUUUUACCAACAAAAGCUUUCAACAAUGUCUAACAAAAAGGAAUUUGUAUGCAUAUAAACACAAGUCUCAGAGACCUCCAUGUAAUAAAGGAAGCAAAGCAGAUACUUGGAUAAAGAUGACUAUUUCAUGAAAAAAAAUGAUAGAACAUUUUGUUAAUCAUCACAAACCUUCCUCCUCCUGUACUAGAGGCCAUAUGUGUUUGGUUAGAAGUUUAUUCAUUUGGAACAUAUUAAUAGAGUCGACAGGGAACAGCGAUCUCAAUGACUCGUCGCAUAUUAUUGUGCGUUUAUCAGAUGGGUCUUGCAAAUUGUUCUCCUUUAUAUAGCUCCAAAGCAUUUUCACAACCUGGAAAAACCAUUAAUUCAACAGAUAUAAUAUCACAUCCAGGAGUUUUGUAAUUUCCCUAGAUCAACAAACUCUGGUCAAUAACAUACUUCUGUUCUAGCUAGCUGAGGAGUUCCCGUAAAAGCCUGAAGUUCUGGCGAAAGACUGCAAAUUUUGGUAAAGCCGCCUCCUUUUUUUUUGGGUUUCUCUUCGGACUUGGCUGGUCUAAUUCGAUAGAGUUCAGAGUUAGUUUCUAGACCCUAAAGGUGACAACAACACAAGAACUUGAGAGAAAGAAACAACUAACUUUCUCUUCUUGCGUUUUCGUGAACUCCGGUCUACCUCUUCGUCACUUUCUUCUUCUUCAUUAUUCUUUCCUGCGUCUUCGUUUUGCUCAUCUCUUUCUCCAGAUGAUUCAUCUUCAUUUUCUUCUUUAACACUAUUGUUAACACACCCUAUAAAGAUAAAACCGUACACAAGAACUAUAAAUACCAUAAAACAUUCACAAGAACAGUGAAUGCAGUAUAUAUAACAAGGAAAAUACCAUCUCCAUUUAGAGGCCAAAUAUGCUUUGCCAAUGCCUUGUUCAUUUGAAACAUAUUAAUGGUCUUUACACGGAACAAGGAAUAGAGCGACUCGUCACAUAUUAUAUUCCGCCUAUUCUUUGGAUCUUGCAACUCGUGUUCACGGAUAUAUGCCCACAUUUUCUUCACGACCUGAUAUAUGCAAAAUAUAAAAACGCAACUAAAGCUUACUCCCCACAAAACAUCUCGCAGGGAAACGAAAUUUAAGGAAUGGAGACUCGAAAAGAUACCUCUGUUCGAGCUAACUGAGAUGUUCCUAGAAACUUGUCUAGUUGUGGAGAAAGCUGACAUAUUUUGUUAAACCCGCCACGACGUUUCUUAGCCUCUACCGGUCUAUACAUAAACAAAACACAAUCACAAUCACAAAGUUGGCAUCUUUCAUCUAAACCAAUCACAAGAAAGUAGAAACAUCACACCAUUCAUACAACUCUCUUCUAAAAAAUCACCAACCAGAACAAAAAAAAGCAUAAGAAACUAAUAGUCCCCAAACUUUGAUUAAUUCAAUCACCAUAAAAAAAAAAAAAAUAUAUGAAUUUUACAGCUAUGUCCAUUUUCAAGUAUCAAAACAACAAAUUUAAUUGGAAAUGUUAAACAGUAAACAUUACACAAUCCAGUGUUUCAGAAAUUAAUUCAAAUAAAUGCAAGUGUGUGUUCGAUGAACAUUGAGGAAAGAUCAAAAAUCCAUUUUUUUUUCCAAAAUCUCCAAGAAAGGUGCUUUCAAAAAAUAAAAGAGAGAGAAAAUUAUGACCGUUCUGUCUUGUCUUCAUCGUUUUCACUUCCCUCUUCAUCGUUUUCUUCGCUACAGUCUUCUUCUUCUUCUUCUUCUUCUUCGGGUUUGCUUUUUACCACAGCAUCGCUCUCGAGAAAAGCAUCGAUUUGAUCCCUGACGAAAGCCUUCUUAUCCGUCAAUUCGACGCCGAAAUACGCCUCAAGCUGACGGCGAACGCUCGCCGGCGUCGUUGUUUCUAAGUCGGAGCUACUGAGAAUUUCCCGGAGCCGGGUUACGAGGUCCGAGUCAGAAACCAUUUUUGCCAGUUUCUUGAAAGAAGAAGAAAACAAAUAUUAUACCUUUCUUGUUUUCUUUGAAAAAUUCACAAAAAAAAUGGCUAUCGUAAGGAGAAAACGAUGGAGAGGGUAUUUACGGAAUUUUCAAAAUGCCCAUCUAAACCAAAACUUGUCCUUUUCACCCCCUUGGUUUUACCUUUAUUCACAUUGGACCCCAAAAAGAGUUAACUGGUAGUUGAGUGUUUACGUUGGAACUUGAUACUAACUUGUAACUAUCUUUGUCUUCUUGGUCGAUUUUGUCAUAUCAAUAUGAGAUCAAUACUAUUACAUAUACGGAUCUGCAAUGGCGUGUUAGUUUGUACUUUAAAAGUACUUAGGAAAUAGUGUAGUAUGUUAAGAAGAAUCAUUUAAAGUUUGUACUUUUCAUCUUCUAGAAGAAUUUAAUUCACACCUAACGAGUUUAACCCGUACAAUGAGAAUAGAUUUUGCUAAGACACAUGACAAUAUCAAUAUGACCUUGACAUGAGCACUAGAAAAGUUUACAACUUUCUGUUUCAAAACUCCAAAUCUUUGGUUACAAUACCAAAUAUGAUCCUCACACAUGACAUCCUUUGGUGAUUGAUGCUUUUCGAUUUAUGUUUUUCUCUGGCUCUGUUUUUCAGUUCAAAUUUUGUUUCGAAUAUGUCCUUUUAAUUUAUAAAAACUCCAGACGAUUAAAAAAAAUUCCAAAUCUUUUUUCUUUUCAUCUUCUAAUACGUUUUCAGAGAAACAAUCAUAAACUAUAGAACAAAGCUAGAGAUCAACUCACGUGAAUAUUAUACGUAAUCUGAGUUUAAAUAAGCACAGAUUUUAUAAAUCAUUUUUUGAAACAAGAUUUUUUUUUUAAACAAACCGUAGAUUAUGUUUUUGUUUAAAUAUAGUGUUUAAGUUUACAAUUAACAAAACAAAACAAAAAUUGCUUAAGAUGCUCGAGAUUGUGGAUUCAUUUACAAAUAUACACAAAAUGUAAACAAUCCUAGGAUAAGUUUCUCAGGUUGCCUAAUAAAACGUGUAUGUCCAAAAACAAAUGUGAAUCUUCGCUCCCUGUUGUUCGAACUCAAGAUACGUAUACAACAUACAGUGGUUUCAAGAGAAGUGAGACACUUUUUUCACAUAAAAAUAGUCAAUAGGAGAAUACAGAACAACACAAUUCUAUGGCCUAAAAGGUACUAACUCAUUUACCUCAAAUUUUUUGAGAUUGAAGAGAGAAGAAGAAGAAGAAGAAGAAGAAGAAGAAGAAGAAGAAGAAAGCUUCCUAUCUAUGCUCAAUAACUAAUCCGCGAGGUUCCAGAUAAUUCCCAGAAUUAAUCAUGUAAAAAGUAACCACCUGCAAACCUAAGAGAACACCAGCCUACAAAAGAAACAAAUGGAGAGAGACUAUAAGUCAUCACUAACCAUGUCCAUAUGUUAUGUGUGUGAACAAUUUAUGUGCUCAUCAUAACCAAAUUUAGUUGUACCUUAGAUGAAGAUGCUCAUUUUGUUUCCAAACUGUGAUUCUGAAGAGGAUUUCCUGAUGUGUUGUCUCUAGUCUUCUUGUACCAAAAGAACAUGGACCAAAGUGCUCUAAACAACACUCCAUUUGCAAAAUGUGGAACAAACAAACGCCCCCAAUACGGAUAAUACGGUCCAGGAAGUUUAAUCAGAGUGAAUAACAUCAUCAUAGCUAUCAAAUGCCACGGCACUUCUGCUUCCUGCAAAACCAAAAUCUUAUAUUAAAAUAUCGAAAUCGUCACAAUGCAUAGAUUGGUAUCAAUUAACGAGCUGUACCUUAAGACGAGGAGAGAUCUUCAAAGCGGUUCCUUGUAGAAAGCCUCCAACAAGCACACCGAUGACUAAUGGAAACGGGACUAAAGCAAGCUUCCUCUCAUGUGCACAGUAAGACAUCUCGCUGAUGGAAGAAACCGCCAGUACGGGAACGAACAAGAACUUAACGACGGAUAUGGUGAGAUCGAGAACGAGCUGUAUGAAGUUCUCGAAUGCUUUGUUCCAAGGGAACUCCUUGAUGAACUGUGGAGAAUUGUUCCAAACAUCUUUUGUUCUUCUCAUCAGAUUAUCGAAACUAAGCCUCUUUGGUUCCCCUGAAUGUCCAGAUUCCAUAUGAAUCGAGCGACAAAGGAAUCUCUUUGAUAGUUUCGCUUCAUUUGCACACUUAGAAUAUGUAUUGCUCUUAGAGUAGCUCGACGUGAACUGCAAAUAGAAUAAAGGAUAAUCAACAAACCCAUGAGCAAAGUCGGGUAAUUUCUUGAAGGACCUAACGAAAGAUGCAAGAUUUACAUGUUUAAUGGAUCCAAAAUCAGAUGCUAAACACUAAACUGAUCCAAUUCAAUCUCUAUACCAAUAGUGCAAAUCUUCCAUCGAAUCAUUAAUCGAUUGAAAUUCUGGUCUUGACUCACAGAAGAAAUAAUGAAAAAGUAACAAACUUUUUUUUAAGUCGAGGAGGAAUCGGAGAUUCGGUAGAGAAGAAGACAGUGUUUCGUUACCUGGGUCGAUAGAAGAGGAGAGUGAAGUCGCGUAGCCACUGAAGAUUGAGGUGAAGAAAGAAAGAGAUGAGACAUCGCCAUUUUUUUAUGUAAAACCUGUUGCUUUUUUAUUUAUUUUCACGGAGAGUCCAUUGAAGGAGAGGAUAAGAGGUUUUUGUUUUACAGAAACGAGAGAAUCCAAACCUAAUUUGGGAGAAAAGAGAGAAUCGACGAUGUAAAACAAAUUUUUAAAAAAGAUAUAUCUUUUUGAUCUUUGCAAAAAACUUUAAUGAAAAUAAAAAAGGAAACCUGUCAGACCGCCGUGCGACCACCCCGGCUUAGAAUAAACCGAACCGAGUAACGAUCCUCUACAGCACCGGAUGCAUCUGGAAGAUGAUCGUGGCCGUUAAUCACGCUCUGAUCGCACGGUCAUAGUUCAUCAACCAGGGUUUAGGGCCUGUCUCCUUAGAAAUCAAGGAUACAGAGGUACGAGCCUAUAGAACUGAUCCUGUUCAAGUAAGGUCGUGACCAAUGUUGCUCUCUGUAAGCUAUUUAUACAACAUGUAUUUUCUAUAUACUACCGAUGUGGGAUUCUUGUCAUGAAAAAGACAAUUUAUUAGCAUAUUGUAGUGCGUUGUUUCUAGGGAUAUAUGGACAAGGCCCAUUUAUUAUAUUUGAAGCCCAUAUUUUCUCUGCCAUGAAGACAAUCUAGUGUUUGUGACGUUUUCAUCUCUCUAGCUAAUGUCUCUGUUUUUUUUUUGUUAAACUGUUUUUUUUUGUGUGUUCAGACUCUGUAAACCAUACUGAUGAGAAAAGGUUUAGUGAUAAUAUAGGUGUUAAAUGAAUAAUAGUAGUAAAUUAGAUGAUUGUGGGGCAUUUUCUUGGUAAUAAAUUUUAAUUUAUAUAAGUGAAAAUCAUGUUUUUUUUUUUUACGUCAAGUGAAAAUUAUGUAUUAGUAAGAUUUUAAGGAGCCAAAUAAUAUCAAAAGAUUUUUCCUUUACAGUAGUUUUAAAACUUUUUCAAAUUUUCUAUUGAGAACUACAAUUGCAGGUAUUUACGGGUGCCAAAACCACUCAUGGACAAUAUUCUUCGCAUUUUGAUCGAAGCUCUAAUCAAAACUUAUAGAUAUCGUAUUAAUUUACUGGUGUCUGCAUUGAUUUAAUUUCGAUGGUACUCACCAUUCCGUUGAAAUGGCUUACCUUUGUAUCAGGAUUUAAAAUAUUCAAAUAUUUUAAAACUUUUUUACAUUUUCUUAGUGUUUUUAAUAGUUUUCGUUGUACUAGUAUCCGAGAAAAUUGCCUCCCUAAGAAAAGUACGAACACAAAGAUUCAUAUUUUUUUCUUGUAUAAUUCGAUGAGUUCUAAUUGGCUCUUCCUACAGAAAAGUCAUUUAACGGUAACAUAAUAAUAUACUAUUUUUGUUGUGAAAUAAAUAAAAAAAUUAUCAUAGAACUUAUGGCCUGCCCUAGCUCAUUCAUGGAAUGAAUACCCAUCCUCGACCAGAGUACGUGCACCAACCAAGGAGAGAAUGAAUAAAUUCUGACCAUUUCGACCAUCGCAUAUGGGCUUUAUUACCACGCGUGUCAAGUGUGAUUGUUUUUUCAUGUGAUAAAGAGUCUUCACUCUUAUAGGUAUAACUAGAUUUUACGUAAAUUAUAUGCAAUCAAUUAUAUUUAUUAAGAUAUAAAUUUUUUAUAUUAGUAAUUUAAUAGUAUAUUAAAAAUAUUAUGGUGUUAAUUAUUAUUAAAUUUUGAGGUUUAACAAUUUUGUUUUAAAUCUAUAUACAGUAUGUCAUAUUCAAAAACGUAUUAAUUGGUCAAACAUUUAUAAAUUAAUAUACUCAAAUCAACUAAAACUUUUACAAAUUGAUCAAAUGGUACUUUUUAAACAUAGGGGGUGUUAUUGAAGAGUUGAUUUAUAAAGAUUUUUAGAGUUUAAGAUUCUAUAGUUAUUGGUUUGUGAAUUUUUACAUUCUUAAUAGAUUCCUCUGUUAUUCAUUUAGAGAUUAUAAAAAUCAGUUGUUAUUGAUAUGAUGAUUUUUAUAAUCUAAUCAAAAUCCAUUGUUAUUCAAAAAGUCUGCAUUUUAAUGAUUCUAUGAUUCUGUUAUAAUCUAGUGUUAUUGGCAUAAUGAUUCUUUAUAAUUUAAUUCAUAAAUAAUGAUUCUCAAAAUACUAUCUAUAUCCUUUGGAUUCUCAAAAUCUGUCAUAUUAAAAAAUUCUUAAUAGAUUGUUUAAAUCCAUAGAACUCUCUCUAAAUUUUACAAAUCCAACAAAACUCUUAAAAAUUUGACAAAUCUCAUGAUUUUUAAAAUUGUUUUGUAUUAACAAUGUAAUUUUAUAAUUUAGAAUUUUUUUUAAUUUUAGUUAUUGAUGUACACUAAUAAAAUUGACCUUUUAAAUCUUAUGUAGAUGUCUUUAGAGGCAUAUAGCUACAAUUUUUAUUUUUCUAUAAAUAUAUGUUUUUGUUAACCAUAUAAUUUUCAAUAUUUGAAAUUUUCUUAAUUUUAAAUAUUGAUGUGGACCAAUAAAAUUGAACUUUUAAAUCAUAUGUGGACAUUUUUAGAGGCAUAUAGCUUUUAAGUUUUUUUAAUAAUAGAUGUAGAAAUAAAAACUGGAAGAUCCCACAAGAAGUAAGUGAUUGUGGUCUCUCUUUGUUUUGAGGCUUACCGAAUGUAUUCGGAUGCUGCUUGAUCAGCUAAUUGUUACCUUUUUGGUUAAUGUUAUCUUGUUAAAACCCCAUCAAAUGCCAUGUUAUUUCAAAAAUCUUCUUCAGAUAUCUCAAUCUUCGUCUUAAUGACGGAACUUCUUUCUCUAUUUUCAGUGCUUCGUUUUUUAAAAGUGUUAUGAUUUUGGUAUCGCCUUCUUGUCUUGAAGCUUACCGAAUGCAUUCGGAUGCUGCUUGGUCAGCUAAUUGUUACCUUUUUGGUUAAUGUUAGGUUACUAAAACCCCAUUAUAUGACAUGUUAUUUCAAAAAUCUUCCUUAGAUACCUCAAACUCCUUUGUCUUUAUGAUGAAACAUCUUUCUCUAUUUUCAGUGCUUCAUUUUUCAAAAGUGUCGAGUAUCAAUCACUUCUCAUGUUUCUCGGAUUGUUUGAAAUUUCUUCUCAAAUUUCGGUGGCCAAGCUUUGGAGAUUUUUCGGUCUUUUUCGAUACUAAAGUGGCUUGUAAUAGUUUUGUUUAUAUCUCUUUUCAAUUAUAGUUAAACAUAUAGUUUAGUCAAGUUGGUUCUUUUACAUUGUAAUGACUGAAUUUUUUUAUUGAAACUUAACUCUAUUUUUUUUUGUUUUGUGUAUUUGAAAUGGUUGCACACACAGAAAAAACUUAAAACUUAUUAUAGUUAUUUGACAAAAAAUUGAAUGCUAAUGUAAGAGUCUCUAAAUAUGUGUUUAUACCUCUAAUUUAAAUUUAAAAUUUCUUAUUUCAAUAUUAUUUAUUUUAGUUGUUAUUAUUAAUAUAAAUUAUAUAUAUUAUUUUUCUUCAAUAAUAUUUAAAAACAAUAAUAUAAUUUGAAAACUUUUUAAUUGUCAAUGUUGAGGUAGAUAAAUAAAAAAAAUAUUUAUUCAAAAAUAAGAUUAGAAUUUGUAAACUUUUUUAAUUUCUUUAUCAGCAAUAAUAUUAGAAUUUUUUAAAUUGAUGUGGACAAAUAAAAUUAUAUUUUUAAUACUAUGUGGAUAUUUUUUAAUACAUAAUUUUUUUAUUUUUUAUAUAUAUUUUAUUAACAAUAAUAUUAAUAUUUGGAAUUUUUCUUUAUUUUUGAAUGUUGAUGUGGACCAAUAAAAUGAAACUUUUUAAUCCUAUUUAGAUACCUUUAGAAGCAUAUAACUUCAACUUUUAUUAGUAUAAAAUGUACACAUAUACGUAUAUACACGUCGAUCUUAAAUGAAGUAGACGAAAAGGAAACAAUGAAAAGAAAAAAAAAAACAUUGUAGUUCUAGCGAGGGGAUGUUCUCUAGAAAUAAAUAAAUGGAUAAGGUGUACAAAUAAUGUAAAAGGAGCUAUGCUGUCAAGUGUCGGCAUACAAUAAUGUGAUUUUGUUACGUAAUCGUAUCUAUUCUCGAUAUUAUUAUUUUGGUCCAUAGUAUUUUAUACAUUAAAAGCCAUUCUUUUUGUUUAACCUUAAUUUAAAAGCCAUUUGAUUAGUGGUUAUCUAAUCAUAUAACUAAAAGUCUAAAACAAUUAGUUAAAAAAAAUUAGAAACCGUAAUACCAAGAACACAAUUCACCACCAAAUUAAAUUUCCGACAAAAAAGAUAUAUUCUCCUCAAAGUUGAAUCAUAUUCAUUUUGGAAUCUUCUGUGUGAUUCGACUAAUAUAUGGUAAUGCUAAUAUUGAGCUUUGAUUAAGGCUGUAAUUAUGUAACCAAAUCAAUUUAUAAUAUGAUACGACGAUAAACUACUGAACAAAGCUUCCGACAAAGAUAUAUUUUCCCAGGAAAUCAAAUAUGGAAUCUUUUAAAGUGAUUCGAUCUAUAGUACACUGGCUACGUUAUUAAUAGUGUAUAUGGUACGUUAAUUUUGGUGCUUUUAGUUAAGGCAUUUAUUAAGGAUCCUCUCUGAUAGCAAGGAAAAAAAAAAGAGAAAACAAUUACAGAGCCUCCAUGUUAGAUAGAGAACAUUUUAAAAUAUGUAUGUAUGAAUAAUGGACCACUGGACCCAAUAUUUUUGCCUAAUUUUGGUUCUUUAAUUUGUUUAAGAAUAUCAUCGAGGAGCCUUUAAUUGACAUUUAAAAGAGGACAUUUAAAAUUCUCCUUUCAUUAUUUAAUAUGGACUCUUUAGUCUUUAUAAUACGAAUGGAAUAAUAAAUUGUGUAUAAUUGAAGGUUAAUAGCUUUAUGUUGCUUAACGUAGACGUAGUAAGGGUAUUUCGACAAAACGAUAGUACAUUAAUUGGAAUUCCGUUGAGAAACUGUAUUUAGCCAUAUUGAUUUUGAUUUAUUAUAAUAAAACUCAUAAGAGAAUGUUAAACAUUCAAGAGUUAUUGGUCUUUAUGACAGCACUUUGUUACACUGUUACAGACACCUUUUUCAUUAUUUAUGCUGAGAAACGACUCAAACGAGUACAUAUGUGCCUGCUUUCCAUUGCGAGGUAGAACAUAUCACAUUUAAUAACUAAUGUCACACAUGGAACAUAUCUGUAAGAAAUCAAAAUAUUAUUUUAAAAUGGAAUUAAAUCAAGUAUCAAAUCUUUGUCCCACUACCCCUCCUCGUGCCCACUGGUGUAAUAUUUUUCGUCCUGAUCCAUCUAGCCAAAGCCGCAGGAUCACGACAAUUUGAAUAUACAUAUCUAAUCAGUCUUUUUCAUUUGCAUAAUAUGAUUAUCAAUUAACAGCAAUGGAAAACUGUAUAACAACAUUAGUCUCUUAGUUGAUUUCGAGGUAUAAGAGGGUUAUGUAUUUUGUACAAUACGUUUGAUUAGGAUAUUUCGAUCUUCCAGUGAGUAUUAUACAUAUUUUUAAUAGUCACCUAAAGUCAGAGAUUUCCAAAUUACCAGGACUCUAAGUCUAUAACAUAUACCUUUUUAUAUCAUGGAUAUCGAAAAUUGGUAAUUAGACUUAUAUGUCAAUGAUAUCCCGUUUAUUCAAUACAUUCCAAAGAUUAAUUAAUAUGGCGAAGGUUUAAAAAUUUGCUGGUUGUGUUAAAAAAACACUGAUCAAGAUAUUUAGAUAUUGAUUGAAUUGCAUGCAUACAUGUGAUUUAAAUGCUGAAUUAUAUAUUAUUGGUUUAUACAUGUUUUGUAACAAAUCCUCAAAGCAAUAAUACUAUAUUAAAAUAAAAUUUUCUUAAUUCGGUGGUAGGGAUUAUUUACUCUAUAUUAUAAGACAUUAGCAAAGUCUGGUCUUCUUCUAGUUAAAUAAUAUAUGUAAUCAAUUUAAAAUUCAGAUCCUGCAUGACUUACUUAGUUUUUUUAAGAAGAAGUAUCAACGUGAUUUAAUCGUCCGUUGGUGGGAAUUAUUUAUUUAACAACCUUUGCUUCUCUGUACUGUACCCCAUGUAGUAUAAUAGAAUUAUACACACAGAUAUCAUAAAACCAUAGGCGUAUACAAUAAGGUUAGUACUUAGUAGACAUAUAAUAUAUUAAACGCCCCCUACGAAUUAUUGACGCUUCGUAUAAACCAAAGGCCAACGAAGCAUCUUCCAGAGAAAAGAAAAAAAAACUUGCUAAUAAAUUGUUGCAAAUUUGAUGCCACGUGGUAUUUUACUUGAUGAAUUAUCACAAUCCAUUCAAAUAAAAUAAUAAUAUGGAUAAUUGUAUAUAUAUAAGUCUGGUUUUGCAUGGAAGACUUCACAAAGACGAGCAAGAUAUCUGGAGACGCGGAAAACAGAGAGAGAGAAGAAAUCAAAAAUCGUAUUUUUUUCAAAAAAAAAGUUACUGUUCUCUUCUUAGUCUACAAUGGUGAAUUUAAAACUUGAGAUUUGCAUCGAGUUUGUGAAAUUAACCGUAGAUUUCGUCGCCGCCGUAGCGGAAUCGAUCGAAGUAGCUUUCCGACACCGUCCUCCGCCAACUAUUCCGUAUUCAGCUGUGAUGAACGGUCGCCGGAGUAAUUACUCCGCCGCCGUUCCCAUUCCUCUCGUGGGGUUUCUGUGAUUAAUGUAUUCUCCUCUUAUGGUUUAAUUUUUUUUUUUUUGUUUUUGGAACUCUUGUUCUAUUGUCACUGUCUUGCCUCGAUCUGCCACGUUCUUCGGACAAAAUAUGUGAUUCGUACGAAAAGAUCAAGAACGAAAAGAUCACGAAGAGUUUAGAUACUCGGUGAAUAUAUAAAAGCUUAGCCAUUGAAUCUCGACUGUGUCUUAUUUUGUUUUUGUUUUAAUGUAUAUAAUUUGUUUAUUCAUAAAUCAUAAGAUCAGAUCUAUAAAGAAAAAUUGCUUCUAUAUCAUUCAUUUUUACAGAACAUUCUUUCAAGGUAGAUCUGGUUUUGAAGAAGGCAGCUCCGAAUAUUAGGGUCAUUGUCGAAUAAUGAUCGUAGAGAUAUUUAAUUGUACAAAAUUACAAAACCUAAUGUUUUAUCCAUGUUUUUUCAUUUAGUUGUUUUAUAUAUCUUAUCCAUGUUUGUGUUGUGGAUUAGCUUUUUCUUUUAUGGUGGUCUCCACCAAGUAACGUGUCGGAUCCUUUGUUAUUUAUUUUUGGAAUAUUUGUUUUUUCUUUUUUUUUUGUUCAACGAAUCAUGGUAUGAUCACAAACAAAAACGCAACAUAUUGUUUCACUGUCGUUCAAUAAUGCCGAUAUGUAACUUGAUUUUAUUUUGAAUUAAACACAAAACUUGGGAACGAAAUGUACGUAGUUAAUAAUUAAUCUUUUAGGCCAAAAAAAUUGUUAGUUAACGAGCUUGGAACAACACUUAAAAUAUGUUAUAUAUGUAAUGGUCUUCGGAAAACAGCCAAUAUCUGCAUGAACUCGUCUAAAUUGUGCGGAUAAAUUUCUUAAAAAUUAAAGCGUGCAAAUCUACCUAUACUCUUAAUUAUAUGAAAAUCUGUACCUAAAUUAUUUUUUUUGCUGUUCCCAACAUUGACUAUCGUUCCAUUAGUCAACAUACAUAUUUUGUUAAUGGAGAUUAGUCUCGUGCCACAUCUACUGCCAUGUUUUCAUGGAAUUAUGAAACGAUGUUGUUCUAAGGAGAAAAGAAAUGGGCUUUGUAUGAUUUUUUUUAAAAAUUGGGCCUAAUAUCAAAACGACGUUGUUUUGAUAAAAAUUAAAAAAUUUUAAUUUUUUUUUUUGAAAUCAUUAAAAAAUUCAACAUCUACCCUAAAAUUAAGACCCUAAAUCUUUUAAUUAUCUUAUUUUAAACAAAUCCAGAAGUUGAUUUGUAUCUCCAAACUCGAAAUUGCCUUCUAUUUCUAUCAAAAGAAUUGAUUUAAUCGAUUUGAAUCAACACUAAACAGCAAUCAAUAAACCCUAUUAUUCUAUCUAUCUCACCAUCACGAUAAGCUCUUUGGAAAUGUCGUGAAAGAUUUUUUUUUUUAAUUUUUUUAAUUCUGUUCCAAACGAUGUCGUUUUGAUAUUGGGCCCAAUCUUUUUUUUGUUUUAAAAAAUUACAAAACCCAUUUCUUUUCCCCUUAAAACAACAUGGUUUCAUAAUUCUGUGACUACGAGACAGCAGACAUGAUACCAGAUUAAUCGCCGUUUACGGAAUUUGUAUAUUGACUAACAUGAUGAUAGUCAAUGUUGGAAUCAGCCAAAAUUUAAAUAGUUUGGGUAUGAAUUUUCAAAUAAUUAGGAGUAUGAGUACAAAUUUACACACUUUAAUUUUUCAGACAAAAAUCCGCAUUAUUUGGACGAAUUCAUGCAGGUAUUGGCCAUUUUCCCCAACAAUUAUAUAGACAAAAAUCAGUCAUCAACAUUUCAAUUUAAAAAAAAAAAAAAACAACGUUGUUGUUGACGACGUCAACGACCUGAAUUAGCUAUCGUUUAAAAUCCAAUUUAGCAACUAGCUUACUAUUUUUACAAUUCUCUAAAAGAAAUAACGAGAAAAGCUAAUUUUACAUCUUCUAAAUAUAGCAAUUUUGUAGUCUGUUAAAAUCAGUUCCUUUAUAAUUUCCCUUUUUUUUCAUUCUUAGAUUUUUUCUCUCAAGACCCGUCUCUUAAGCAGCCUUGGGCCUUCCUCCCAAGGUUUCUCAUUAAAAAAAUAUGAUUAAAAAAACAAAAAUGGAGAGGCCCUUUGGCUGCUGCGUCUUCUUCUUCCUCGUCUUUAUCUCAGUCGUUGUCGCCACAUUCGACGACGAACAUUCCUUCCCGGAAAACGCCGAUCUCACAGACGAUUUACAGCAAAAAUGCCUAAACAUCAAUAAAAUCGAUCCCAAUCUCAGAUUUGAAAACGACCGUCUAAAAAGAGCCUACAUUGCUCUUCAAGCCUGGAAAAAAGCGAUUUAUUCAGACCCAUUUAAAACCACGAAAAACUGGGUCGGAUCUGAUGUGUGUUCUUACAAUGGAGUUUAUUGUGCAGAAGCUCUAGAUGAUCCCAGCCUCACGGUGGUUGCUGGUGUUGAUCUUAACCACGCCGAUAUCGCCGGACAUUUACCACCGGAGCUAGGUCUAAUUACCGAUCUAGCUAUGUUUCACAUCAAUUCGAAUCGAUUUUGUGGGAUUAUCCCCAAAAGCUUAUCAAAACUCGUUUUGAUGUACGAAUUCGAUGUUAGCAACAAUCGAUUCGUUGGUCAAUUCCCAGAAGUUUCAUUAUCGUGGCCGUCUUUGAAGUAUCUCGACUUAAGAUAUAACGAAUUCGAAGGAAGUUUGCCAUCUGAGAUCUUUGAUAAAAAUCUCGAUGCGAUUUUUUUGAACAAUAACCGGUUUGAAUCGGUUAUUCCUGGUACGAUUGGAAAAUCCACUGCUUCGGUUGUCACAUUUGCCAACAAUAAGUUUAGUGGUUGUAUACCGAAAUCAAUCGGUCAGAUGAAGAAUCUCAAUGAGGUUGUCUUCACUGGAAACAAUUUAACCGGUUGUUUCCCGAAUGAGAUCGGUUCGCUUAACAAUGUGACGGUUUUCGAUGCGAGCAAUAACGGGUUUUUCGGUAGUGUACCAUCGAGCUUGUCCGGUUUAGCUAGCGUUGAGCAGUUGGAUUUGUCGAAUAAUAAGCUGACUGGAUUUGUUGCUGACACGUUUUGCAAGUUGCCUAAUUUGGAAAAUUUCAAGUUUUCUUUCAAUUAUUUCAGUGGAGAAGCUGAGAGUUGUGUUCCUGGGAAGAACAAUGGGAAACAGUUUGAUGAUACGAGUAAUUGUUUGAAGAAUAGACCAAACCAGAAAUCGGUUAGGCAAUGUUUACCGGUGGUUAGUCGUCCUGUGGAUUGUAGUAAGGACAAGUGUUCUGGGGGCAGCAACAGUGGACCUAAACCAUCACCAAAUACACCAAAGACGCCAGAAACUAAUCCACCAAAACCGAAAGAACCGGUUAUGCCAAAGCCUGAUGAAUCACCUAAACCAGAACCACAAAAACCAUCAAUACCCGAGACACCCAAAACACCAGAACAACCUACACCUAAACCUAUGCCACCAAAGCAUGAAUCUCCUAAACCGGAGUCUCCUAAACCACAACCACCUAAACCUGAAGAAUCUCCUAAACCGGAGUCUCCUAAACCACAACCACCUAAACCUGAAGAAUCUCCUAAACCUGAACCACCACAAAAAUCAGAGACUCCUGUACCGGUUUCACCACCAAAAGAAGAUCCAUACGACGCAUCUCCGGUUAAAAACCGUCGUUCGCCGCCACCACCCAAGGUAGAGGAACCACGUGUACCACCACCAUCACCGGUAUCUUCGCCACCACCUCCGGUUUACUCGCCACCACUUCCGGUUUACUCGCCACCACCUCCGGUUUACUCUCCACCACCUCCACCUCCGGUUUACUCGCCACCACCUCCAGUUUACUCGCCACCGCCUCCUCCGGUACAUUCUCCUCCUCCACCACCACCACCUGUUCACUCCCCACCUCCACCAGUUGCUUCUCCUCCGCCGCCUUCACCACCACCACCGGUUCACUCUCCACCACCACCGGUUUUCUCACCUCCGCCACCAUCACCAGUUUACUCACCUCCUCCUCCAAUCCACUCUCCACCACCACCACCUGUUUAUUCUCCGCCUCCACCAGUUUUCUCACCACCACCGACAAUUCAACCACCAAUCCAAGCUCCAACACCGGUUCAAGCCCCAACUCCAUCAGAAUCAGAUCAACCACCAAUUCAAGCUCCAACACCGGUUCAAUCCCCAACUCCAUCAUCAGAAUCAUAUCAACCACCAAUUCAAGCUCCAACACCGGUUCAAUCCCCAACUCCAUCAUCAGAAUCAGAUCAAUCGCCAAUUGAAAUUCCAACACCGGUUCAAUCCCCAACUCAAGUACCAACUCCAUCAUCGGAAUCAUAUCAAUCACCAGUUCAAGCUCCAACACCAAUUUUCAAACCGGUUCAUGCGCCAUCACCAUCAAACAAACCGGUCUCAUCACCAAAACAAUCAGAAGAAACUGAACCACCGGAAGUAUCCACGGACAAAACUGCACCACCGCCGGAAAACAAUGACGGUGAUUUUGUCCUACCACCACACAUCGGAUUCCAAUAUGCAUCCCCUCCACCACCGAUGUUCCCAGGCUACUAAAACUAAUAGUGGCAGUGUUACAAUUUUUUUUAACAUUUAUAUCCAUUUUUCCAUGUUAAUUCAAUUGUAAAAAAAAAAACGCAAAACAAAAACAAAAUUUAAAUGCCAGUUACAAUUGAGCAUUGUAUAUUUUUUUAAUAGAUUAUUUUGUAGAAGAAGAAUUUGCGAAAUGUAACACACAAUACCAUUUUUCUGUUUGUUUGUUGUAAAGCUCCCAUUUUUUUUUACCAUUUCAUAUGUAUUAUUAAGAUCAAUUUCCUUGCAAUUUUUUUUGUUAUUCCCGAAAUUAAUCUUUUGUCUAUUUUUUAAUCCAAGACAUUAUAAGUUUGUAAAGUAUUGCCACUCUUUUACGUUUUUAUUGCAUACUUGCAUGAGAUGAGUGAGCUAUAUAACUAAGAUAAGAAUAUUUUUGGUUAUAUAUCUGAGCUACUAUAUAUCCCGUAAAUCUAAAAUUAAAGAUUAAUUUUCCUCAAAUUUGACCACUUGCUAUUUUGUUAGAUGAAAUAGUUUCAGAUUUUAGAUUCAUUAAAUUGAGAGUCUCCUAUGGCUAUAAAAAACUAUUGCUUAAAGAUCCCUGGCCCAAGAUCCCUGGUUUAGUCUGCUUUAUAAUUUUUUUGGUCAAUAUCCAAUAAGACUGCUUUAUAUUGUUUACUGGAAAAUCUUCUUCUUUGGGUUUUAAUAAGUAGUAGUGGUCGCAAAUUGGGGCCUAAUAAUAAUACAGUUUCGAUCUUUAAGAAAGAAAAUAAUUUGCAAAGCAAUUAAAAUAAAUAAAAAUAUGUGGUAUUAUGACUUAUGAGACGGUAAAAGAAAUAUAGAAAAAGUAUGCAAACAAAGAAAAUUACGUGUCGAAAGAAAUAAUAUAUCUGUUAAAAAGGACAAUUUAUUAUAUUACGAAAAAGGGAAAAAAAAUUAGGUAGAAAAAGAGUAGUUGGUGGGGGCGGUAGGCUUUUACUUUAGUGAACCAAAAAGAAAAAACUACACCGAGUUGACUCACCGAUUCGAUUUAUCGAGUCAACGUGUGGGUUUUUUUUUGUGUGUGUGUUGGUUAGGUCACUCAGGUCAGGUUUAAACGAGGGUUAGAGAGAGAGAGAGUUUAAGCCUUUGACCAAAAGCAAAACUCAAAAUUGGUUUCAGAUCUGAAAAGGGUUUUUUCUGCUUAGAGACUCAGUGUUAUGUAUCGGAUUCUCCGGCGUCGUUUCAUGAUCUAACCCCUCUUUCUUUCGUUAACUCUGGUCCCUUCUUUUAUCUCUUUACAUACUUCGUCACUGUUGAUGAUUAUCUGAAUAUGCCUUUCCCUUUCUUCCACAGCCUUAUUCUCUCAUCCACUAUUCAACGAAAGCGUCUGGUAAUUUCUCUCUUCUUUCAAAGGCUCUUUAUUUGCAUUUGAUUUCUGAUUAAUUUGAGGAAUCAUGUGUUGGGUUGCUCGAGCUUCGUUGAGUCUUGGGAAUAAAACUUCCUCUUAACUUCUGUGUUCAAUUACGGUUAUAAACCAAGUCAAAGAUGUGUUCUUUUGUUGUUUUGGGUAGUGAAAAUUUAGUGAGAAGGGAGUAAUGAAAUGCCAGUUUUAGCUUAUCUUUUUUGCAAUUUGGGAUCGAAAUUCUGCAAGCGAGUGUUUUUUGUUCUCUGUUUGGGUUUGGUAGGAAGUUGGGUUUUGGAUAAAAUCCUGAAUCUAGUCUUGAUUUUGUGAUUUAUGGUUCUCUAACAGCGAAAUGAGAGGUGGGUCAGUGUUAUUCAGAAAUGUGUCUGAACCAGUUUGACAUCAGAUACUGCUCAGGUUGUGUUCAGAUUUAUUGAGAAUAGUAGGAGAAAAGUUGAAAUAUUAUGACUUUAAUUUGACUUUGAUCUUAAUAUGUAACGUUGAAUUGAAACCGUAAAACAUGUAUAGUGUAUUUGCUGGCUUACUGGAGGGGAGAGAGAGAGAGAGAGAGAGAGAGAGAGAGAGAGAGAGAGAGAGAGAGAGAGAGAGAGAGAUAGAAAGACAAUGAGUGGACUUCAUAGAUCUGGACUAUAAAGAGAGUUUAGCUUUGACAUUGUGACUAAUAACUUGACUUGGAUAAUGAUUUUAACCAGCAAAGCUCUCUUUUCUCCUGCCCAUUGUGUUUUCUAGAUGCUUGUUGAUUCUAAACUAUAACAUGGGUUAUAUAAUUUACGAGCAAAGAAACUAAAAGGAACUUUUUGUAUCUUUCUUCUAAAUAGUUUACUACACGGUUCUUUCUUUCUUUCUUUCUUUCUUCACCGGUCUUCCACAACUUGUAAUGUCAUUUUUGUUUUACUAUUCAACUCACUGUACCUGAUGAUCAUAUUUGGCAUGUAGGCCUAAAGAUAGCUGACAACAAAAUCAGUUGUUUUGCCUGUUUCAAGACGUUUGGUUUUAAGAUACAAAAGGUGAUUCCGCGUCUACCAUCUACAUUUUCAAUCUAUCUCAAGACUCUAAGAUCAACUACUGUCAAGUGCUGCUAUGAACAUGGAUUCCGCACACAAUCAGCUGAACAAACGCGCUCGAUUGUUUGGUGACCUUGAAAACAAAGACGCCAAGGUCAUUUAUCCACCGAUCCCUGCAUCUACUGCUCCCCUAAAUAAAGGGUCUGAUGGUUCUACAGCCACACAAAGCUUGUUCGCUGAAUCUAAACCAGAAGAGACGCCAAAGGUACUCAAGAAGAGAGGGAGGAAGAAGAAGAAUCCCAAUCCGGGUAAGUAUCAGUGACAGACUCUUAACUCUUGACUUUUGUUCAGAUCAGAAGAUUCAUAUGGUUUGGAAUGUGCAGAGGAAAUGAAUUCGUCGACUCCAGGUGGAGAUGACUCGGAGAACCGCUCAAAGUUCUACGAGAGUGCUUCUGCUAGAAAAAGAACUGUAACUGCAGAGGAAAGAGAAAGAGCCAUCAAUGCAGCCAAAACAUUCGAACCAACCAAUCCUUUCUUCAGAGUUGUCCUGCGACCAUCAUAUCUAUACCGAGGCUGCAUCAUGGUAACAAACUUGAUUCUUGUUGAAGAUUUUGAUGAAAAGGCCUAAACUUUGUGUGUGACCUGUGUCCUAAAGAUUUGUUUGUUUUGUCCGGUUUUUCGACAGUACUUGCCUUCUGGUUUUGCUGAGAAGUACCUAAGCGGGAUAUCUGGUUUCAUCAAGCUCCAGCUCGGGGAGAAACAAUGGCCAGUGAGGUGCCUUUACAAAGCAGGAAGAGCUAAGUUUAGCCAAGGAUGGUACGAGUUCACACUCGAGAACAAUAUUGGCGAAGGAGAUGUUUGUGUUUUUGAGCUACUCAAAACUCGGGAUUUCGUUCUGAAAGUCACGGCCUUUCGCGUCAAUCAGUACGUGUGACCGACCAAAAACAAUAUCGCUUUCCAUGAGCGAUCUUGCAGAGGAGCUUUCCAAAUUUAUAUUUCAUGUAGGGUCUUCUCUUAACUGUUGUAUCUCUCUUGCAUUUCUUGGAGAAUCCAGUCUGGUUCUCUAGGUUUUUAGUAGUGUUCUGAGUGAAAUUUCAGGGUACCUAUGUUUCGAUGUGGAUAAACAUUUGAAGACUGAGUGAAAAACUCUUUGUUUGAGUGGUAGUUAGUGUCAAAACUAGAGUUGUAAUUACUUUUUAUCUUCAUCAAUUUGGUAUCGGAACUGGUGAGUAAAUCAGGAGCAUGAAUGAUGUUUGAUGUGAAUGUUGAUUAUGAUGGGUUUUAAGGGCUUUUGACCCGCUGUUUCACCAUUGAUUUAGUUGGUGAAGCUAAUGAGAUGGUUGGUUAACUUGUGGGAUGUAGGAUGAUGAAACCAUAAACUUGUCUUAAGGUUCUCUUCUCUGAAGGGGAGAUUUCAGACAUGGCAAACUUUCAUACACAAAAGGAUCACAUAAGAGCCAAGUUUCUUACUUACUACAAUUAAGCUAAAUGUUCUUGCCAGAUUCAGACAUGACAAACACAUACAUUACACAAAGGGUCUUAAUUUCUUACUACAAUCAAGCUUGUAAGCACGUUUAACUAAGCUAGUAACCGCAGAGAUCUUUGUUGAAAAAAAGCCCAAAGAAAACAUAUUGCACAAGGUUUUAAGAACUUCUCUUACGCCUCGUCAAGGCUAUCUCAUAUUCUUCAAUAUCAUCCAUGGAAUCAAUCUCUUCAACAUCAUCUACAACAAAGAAGAAGACGAACCAAAUCACAUAAAAAGGGACACAAAAGUCAAAACCCACAAGAAAGUCCUAAAAUUUUACCAGUUGUAAUCUGCUCAGACUUGAUGUUGACUCUUGGUUUCUUCUUCAACAUUUCUUCCAAAUCAAUCACACUACAUGAAUCAUCAUCACUACUUUCAACUCCAGAAAACCCUUCUUCUUCUUCUUCUUCUUCUUCUUCAAGAUCCAUAACUUCCAUCACCUCAUCAUCAUCAUCAUCAUCACUCUCAAUCACAUCAACUUUGUCCAGUGGAUAAUCAAUUUCAAGAGCAGAAACAUCAAAGAUCACAACACGGAAACUUGAGUUCCCUUUGUAAUAAAAAUACAGAAAAUGACCUUUACUCAAAGAAUGAGCCUUUGCAAACUCACUCCAACCAUUUUCGAACCAAACCUCAUCACCGACUCGUUUGAUCCGAAUCGAACGCUUGAAACCCGCAGGAGUCUCGAUUGUCACCGUGUCAGUGAGUUUAGGACCUAAUCUCACAAAUCUAGCCGGAAUUUUCUGCGAAAAUCCACACAUGCAAGCAAGUUUCAGAUAUUAUAUUUAUCUAACUCAAAAGAAAAAAUAGUAAUAAUCUGUUUAUUGGGUUUUUACCAUCAUUUUUUCCUUGAUUGUUGAGUGGAGAAUAAUCUUCAUGAAUCUAUCCAACGCCGGUUUUGGUUCCGGUUCUAGCCGGCGUUGAUAUGCUGCCGACGUGCUUCGAACCGACGAUCUCCGACUAGUUUUCAUUUUAGUUUUUUUUUUUGUUUUUCCUUGCCGAGAAGAAGAGUUUUGGUAAAGGAGAGAAGGAAAGAUAAAAAAAGUGAAUUUGAAAAGACCUAUUUUUAAUGUCGUGUUAUAUACUCUUACAUUGAUUAGACGAGUCACAUUGAAGAAACACAAUGGAAAUUUUCUUUUCAGUUUCCCAAGAUUCUUUGUAAAUAAAUGUACUCCACCAAAAUCAGAAGUAUUAUUAAAGUAGGAAAAAAUGUUUUAUUGAAAUAGUAGACCCCAGGUCUGACAAUAAGUUUACUAAGUAAAGACUAAAAUUUGGUAUAUAAAUUAUUAUUUGACUCCUAAUAUUUCACUGUGUUAGCUUUUUCUCACCCUACGAAUUUCAAUCCUCGUUACUCUUGUAAUGCUUGACUUAGGCCAUGUUUCUUGCAGGUAUCUGGUUAGGUUUCUAGUUGCUUUUUGGCCCAAAAAAAAAUCAAAAAUCGGAUUAAUAAAGAGAAACGAUUCUUGUUUUAGAUUUUUAAGGAUCGAUUCUACUUGUGUACGUGUCACGUUAUGAUAUGAUGUUGAAAUUUGGGGAAAAAAAUGGACUUCAUCAAUACUUUGUUUUCUCCGUCAAAAAUUUCUUUCUCUCGGUCGAUUCUUCUUCUCCUUCUCCGGUCUUCUUCUUCUCCGUCUUCUCCGAUCUUCGUCUUCUCCAAUCUUCGUCUUCUCCGAUCUUUUUCUUCUCUGAUCUUCUUCUUCCUCAGAUAUUUUAUUUCUCUAUUGAAGCGAUUCUUCUCUGAUCUUCACCACACCGUUAUUCCGUCAAAUUCUUCCCAUCAAACACUUCUCCUCUUGUCUUCCAAAUUCUGUUCGAAGCUUUGUCCUUCACCUUUCUCUUCUAUCUCUUUCCCGUCAAAUUUUUCCCCGAUUAAACACACACCUAAUAGAGUUUUUCCCAAUGUGUUUCUAAAAUUCAUGAAUUUUUUAUUGAGUUUCUUAUCUUAAGUUAAUUAAUAUAAUAUGCUUAAAGAAACCCAAAUUGUUUCCAGCGAUAAACAUGCCCUUAGGCGCUCUACUAGAGAUCGUUUGAGAGGUUGGAUAUUGGAACAAAGCUGUGUUUUUCGUUUGUCUACAAAUUACAACGGUUUACUGAUAAACAUUAAACAGUGAGAUCGGUUACUAAAUUGUUGCUAUGCAAAUGCUUUUACUUCAUAGAGCACGCGAAAGAGUUCACUUUUUUUUCAGUGCGUUACACUCUUUCCUCUCUUGUAAAUAUGUAGUAAUUAUUAGGGCUACUUAUUGUGUAUUAUAUAUCUACUUAUUACAUCAAUACAUCAUAUUAAGGGAAAUCUAUUGUUGAUCGGAACUGGCCGAUACUUCCACCGUGGCUGCUGCAGAACGAUCACUUCCUUGCCGGAAAAGACGCUCGUACUCCGACGAAGACCUAAUUUUAGGCAACAAAACUUUGCCAGAAAACUUGAAGCACAAGGCACAAGUAAUGAUCAAUAUAGCAGACAGAGUCCAACUAAAUUGAAGAUUGGCCAACGCUUUUGCCCUAAUCUCAGCACCAGGAGUCUCACAAGCCACUGCACUACUAUGAACAACACUUCUUCUAUUAUUGUCCAAAGAUGCUGACGUGUUGCUCACGCAACCUUUAGGAACAUACCCUGGAACCCAAAGCAUGAAACCCAUGUUUAAGAACCAACAUCCCUGAAACAUAACCGAAACCGAGAGGACUAGAGCCGCGGAAAAUGAUUUAGGGAAUGACGCAGAAGCUAGAGCUGAAGAGAAGGAGACGAAAGCAAUGAGUUGGAGAAGGAAAUGGUAGUGACCUUCAAGACCUAAAUGAUCAGUGGAGUGAAAAUGAAGGAGGAAGAGUUCUUGAGCGAAGACAGAAGCAGAGAGGAUUCCGAUUAAACCGGAGAAGAGAUCUGAGCAAAGAGUUAGCUCACAGAACAAAGCAAAACACGCGAAGAUGAUGAGGUGGAGGAACAUGGAAGCGUGUUCUAGGUUGUCUGGUUUAAAAGAGGAGAUGUUGAAAUUAGGGAAAUCUAAGGUUAGGAGAAUGAUGGCAAAGAGGGAGAAAAAGAGAAUGGAGAUAAGUUCGAGAUGCUUGAAUUUAGGGAAAGGGAACCAGAAUCUUGCUGAGAAAUUUUCAGGUCCUUUAAGACAAUAAGAUCUUAUGGUAUUGAAGAGAUGCCAAAGACCAAGAAGUGCAAGUGAGAGACCAGGCACAAAGUGUCCUAAGAACGUUCCCAUUCUAAUGUUUUUUUUUAGUAUAUCUUGUUCUAGCUAUAGUAUUUUGUUUCCCGUAAAAUUUGGUGUUGGAUGAUGUGUUCGUGAAGAAGUUUUUAUAUAUAGAGGAGAAAACUUAUGCGUGACGGAAAAUACCACUACAAAAAAAGCUGAGGAAAAAGAAGAGGAAAUGUGGCUAGAACAAUACGUAACACUUUAAGAUUGUGGUGAAGAAACUAAAGUAAGUAACUUCGUUAUCAAAAACUUCUUUACAUUUCUUCAUCAAUAACAAUGUUAAAACUUCUUUUCUCCGUUAUCAAAAACUUCUUUUUUUUAUAAACUCUGGAAGUUUUGAACUUUAGUCUAUAAUUCCUCCCAAAUGGAUUUGAAUUAGUGAAUUUAAGUACACUUAAAAACCACUAGAUCAAGACCUAGUGUUAUCAAAAACUUGGUUGAAGAAACAGAGCAAAUCAUUUGAAGAAAAGAAACAGAGAGCAACGUAGUGUAUUUUUAAAAAUAUUUCAUGGUUUAUAUUUCCUUUUCUUAUUCAAUCUUUUUAUUUUUAUAAAGAUACGUUAAACUUUAAAAUAUAUAUAUACAGGGGCAGAGACAGUUAACAAGCUAUGGGUGUCAUAUGCCUCCCACUGUUUUAAUUUUUUUCUUAAAUAGUUUAGGUAAAUUAUUUAAAUAAUUUAAAUUUAAUAAUAAAAAUAAAAAUUGCCCCCAACUAAAAUUUUUUUUUCCUACAUUUUAUAAAAUUAUACCUCCAACUAAUAUUUUGUUUAGAUCCACCACUAUAUAUAUAUAUAUAUAUAUAUAUAUAAUAAACAGUAAUGGAAAAGGUUCCAUUUAAAUAUUGGCACGAAGUUUAGACUUUAGAGAUGCAAGGUCGAGUGUGACUUCUUCGAAUAAAGAGUUACAAAAAUAUUAGAUUCAUCUAUGCUUAAAUAUGGUUAGUUCUAUUGGUUGCAAUGAAUUUUUCAACUAUGUUUAAUUUAAUGAUGGCACUACGUUUGGAAAUGUAACAUGUCUUCUAUAAAUAUAAUUAAAAUGAUCAAAUAUUCGAUUUGAGUUUCGAAGAUCAAAAUGUUGAAUAUAAAAUAUAGUAGUAUGUAAAGCAGGAUUAAACCACUUUUCUAGGGAAGUGAUAAACAAAAUUAUAUGAUCACCUGCUCUGGAAUUCAAAUAUUCCUCUUUUGAUGUAAUAAAAAAAAAAUACAAUAAUGAACAAAUAGACCUAACUUUUGAUUAGGACCCAAAAAAAAGUAGGUGUCAAAAAACUAUUGAGGAUAGAUUGGGGUCACACUCCAUCCACUCUAAGUGGAAACUAAAGAGUGUUUUCCACUUCUUUAGAAAAUGGAAAUUACGUUGAAUUCCAUUCAGGCAUUUACUACACAAUUCCUAUAUGUAACCAAAUAUGCUUUUCUUUGCGAGACAUUUCUACCAAAUUGAAAAGCAAACUACUGUAAUAAAAACCAGAAUGAUUGAUACAUUUGUAAGCAUUGGAUUAUUUUUUCUUUCGUUUCAUCUCCUAAAUUAAAAUUUAGAAUAAUUCAAGAUUUUGGUUGUAAAUUUGUAAAAGCCAUGAAUGCUUUUAGUGAAAGCCAAUAAAUAUUAUCGAGGGCUAGUAAAACCAUACCACCGGAUUAACACAAGCUUGGUUUUUGUUUAGAUUCAUGAAACGUAAUUUUGGUUGCUUAAAAAACACAAACAAAUCGUAGAGCAAUGUUAGGAAAACAAAAAAAGAAGACGAAUUGUAGUCUUUGUAGAGCAACAAAGAUAUAUAGUGGUCGGUAGAAAAUGGUUUGUUGUUUACAUAUAUGGGCUUAUUGUUUUAUAUUUAUGGGUUUUCCAAGGAAAGAGAGUGAAAUAAGCUACUGGGCUUCUUUUUUCGGGCCCAAUAAAUGUUAAGAAAGAAAAUAAAAAAUAUCCGACCUGCCGGAAUCGAACCAGCGACCUAAAGAUUAUCUGCUAACACUACAGUCUUCCGCUCUACCAACUGAGCUAAGGUCGGUGUUAUUUACUACGUCGCAACAAUAAUUUAAAUCCUAAUCAUUCGGGUACACAUUAUUAAAAUUUAGUAAUCAAAAUUGUGUUUCCAUCAGAAUUUCUUGUAUUUCUUUAUUUAUAUGAUAUUGAUAACGGUAGUCGGCAGAUGUUAGUAAUGUAAUACAGAAUUUUUUUGCCAUAUAAUAAAUAAGAACCAGGGGAGAUUAUGGGCAUGGUUUAUUGUUCAUAACAAUCUCAACAAAAAAUUAGUGGAGCUUUAAGUACAGAUUUAUUGAGUUGUAAAAUAAGCCAUAUUGACAUCAUGAAAUUUACCGAGUUGUAAGUUAAGCCUUGUCUACUGCAAGUACCAUCUCUAAUUCCGUAAAGAGUUGUACAAUCUAUUUUGUACAAGAAAAUAUUUAAGCUGAAGUACUAGUCCAAUUUCUCCAAAUUUACAUAGGGAAAACGUAACUAAUAUCAGAGCUACGGUUAUCAAUAUAUAAACCAAGUUGGAGUAGUCUUGAAUGUAAGAUAUAUCAUAUAUGUGUCAUGUUUAGGGAAAUCAAAUUUUCUCUAGUUUUAAAUCUAGGAAUUAAUAUUGUUUUAUUGUACUCAAAUAUUUGGGAUACCAGUACCAUUGGUUCGUUAAGUUAGUGUUUGUUAAUAAUUGGGUUUUUAGUGAAAAAACCCCUCAACUAAAGAUGAAUCGGAUAAAAACUCAUGAAAUAUUUCUUCCGUGAACAGUACCGUCAAAUUAAAACGAGUCGUUUUGAUUUAAAAAAAAACGACACCCAACACACUUAAACAACACGAUUUAAAAAAAAACAACAUGAUUUUUUAGAAACUCGAUUCCUAAAACCCAAUUCAACCUAAAUCUCCAAAAUCCCCAAAUUUUGUAACCUAAAUGAUGAACCCUAGUUUUCAAAAAUGUGAUUCUCUUAAGUUUUUGUGGCUAGGAAUUCAAUUGAGAGACACUGGGAAUGAUUUACUGUUUCGUUUAGAAGAAAUUUGAAAAUAAAGACGCCAAGAUGGGAGAAAGAUAAUUGCGAAUUGGGAGAAAUUUUUUUUUCGAAAUAGGGUUUAGGUUUCGCAAAUCUGGAGCAAGAUGAUGAGGUAACUAUGUUCUAUUGAUAUAUAAUGUCUUAUCCUGUUUUGUUUUGGUGUUUGAAUUCCUUUUCUUAACAAAAAAAUUGGUCGAUCAUGCUUAUUUGCCAAAACAUCAAAUUCUUCGAGAUGUGCUUCAUCAAGCCAUUUGAAUACAUGAUUUGGACCCGAAAUUGCACCACAUCGAUAAAAUUUUCUGUCGGGAUUUUGUUUUGUAGUAGAUUUCAACACAAUUGUCGAUGCUCCACAUUGACAUUUCCUGGGUAUUUCGGGACCUAACUCCAUUGACGUUCCUGAAUCACACUAGAAAAACAAAACCAACAUAACGAAACAUCAUCAAAUAAUCAAGAUUGGACACAGUCAGAAUCGACAUAAUGAACUCAGCAUUAAUCGAUCUGAAUCGACAUAAAUCAACUUACCCGAGUUUAGCACAGCUCAACUUGAGAUUUUGAAAUUGAUAAAGAAUCCUGAUUUUUGGUCUAAAAUCGAUUUGGAGAUUUUUAAAUCGACAAAAAACUCUAAUUUUUGGUUUAAAAUCGAUUUGGGAUUAUGUUUUAACGAGAGUGAGCAGUAUUCAUGCCGUUUUUUAUAACUAUAAAACGUUCCGUUUUUACUUUAACUGUAGUCUGUUUUAAUUUGAAAGUACUGUUCACGGAGAGGAUAUUUUAUUAAGGAAAAUUUGUUGAGAAGUUUUAAAAUUACAAAACUAGUUGAGGGAUUUUUAUCCGAUUCAUCUAUAGUUGAAGGGUUUUUUCACUAAAAUCCCUUAAUAAUUUUAGGUGAUGUUUGCCAUAUGUGAAUAAGAUUAAAGAAUUGUUUAAAUAGUCAUUUACGGACAUUUAAGAGAUCAUUCACAACUGCAACCGUUAAAAUUUAACUUACAAAUUUACAAAAUUAUAAAAAUUGGUUUGACUCAUAUCGAUCUAAAAUCUAAAUCAAAUAAUACAAGUGAUUGGUAGGAUGAUCUCGUAUAUAAUAAAUAAAUAAAAUUUGGACGUAAAGAAAUACCACCAUGCUAAAAAGAAAAAAGACAUUACAAACUUCUUGCGUUGCGUAUGUUUCAAAUUCAUCAAUAAAAUAUCACAUUUUAAUCCAAAAGGCCAAAAGGCCAAAAGGGUAAGACCUCAUUUUCAACAAUCUGAACAACCAAAUCCACCUUACGUGUUAUAGAUUUGAAGUUGCAAUAAUCCAACUUCCAAAUCAUAAAAAAGGUCGAAUAUAUAUUCAACAAUGACAACAACCAUAUCAAACAUAACCCAAUAUAUUAUUAUACAAACAAGUUACAUUGUUUACAAUUUAAAAGAUUUCUUUAUCUAUUUUCUCAUUGUAGCAGAAUCUUUCUUUUCCUAUCUUUUCUCCACCUUCUUUCUUCUUCUGGCUACACAUGAUUAAAGUAUGUGCUAAUCACAGAGAAAAGAUCUAACCAACAAAAGGGCACACGACUUUUUAUCAAACUUCACAAGAAGAAGACAAAAUCACAUGACAUGGCAGUUUAUGAUUGGUUAAUCACUUGUACCAUAAUCUGCCUCCCAAUAAAUUUCCCCAGAACAACAAUCACAUGGGCCGGGCCGGGCCGCGUAAAACAUUUCAUCACGCGCUUAUGCAAUCACGCGCCGUUGACUAACGCAGUCAAUAAUUCUUAAGACGCGUAAUCCGUCACGCGCCACACUUUCACCGAUUUGUCCAAACUCCCACUGUACACUAUCCACCGUCGAUCCCCUUUCUCUCCGCCGUCUCCGUUACUUUCACCGUCGAUAUCAACCUCCGCUUCUUCCACCGCCGUUAAACACUUAACAGGUCCGUCAUGAUCCAUCAAAACAGAGAGACACGUGUGCGUUUCGUCGACGUUUCUCCUCCAAACGCAGAUAUUCUUAUCCGCUCCUCCGCUCAACAACAAGCUCCCGGCGGAGGCUAGACACAACACCGCCGUUUUGUGGCCGUGAAGCGUCCCGCCGUGAGUCAAAUAUUUCUUCCGUUCCCAGAAAUUAACGGAACCGUCAGAAGAUCCACAGUAAACCACAGCGUCCGUUAAAUUAACUGCUAACGCCGUAACGGCGUUUUCUUGUUUCAUCAAAACCUGUACCAAACCAUGCUUCGUCUCUCUCCCUUGAAGCUCUCGUUUCCACACUUUCAAAGUUCCGUCGGCUGAUCCGGUGAAUAACAAAUCGUCGAAUCCGGCGACCACCGUGUUGACCGCGUCGUCGUGAGCCUCGAUCGAUUCUAGACAUUUCGAAUCUGAUAAUCUCCAGACUUUUAGCGUCUUGUCCCACGAACCGGAGUAUAGCAAACCGAGAUCUUCGUUUACGGUCAGACACGACACGGCGUCGAAAUGUCGGAUCUUGAGGACGUUUUUCCGGCGGCGAAUUUCGACGUAGUUUCUCGGGUUUACCGAUUUGGUGAGAAAUUCUUUCAGAGUCGGUAAGCUUCCGACUCGUGAGUAUUUCUCUGGGUUUCUCUUUGAUCCUCUCCAAACCCGGAUUUUACCGUCUUGAUGACCGGUGAAAACCCGGUUAUCUCCGGUUACCACAAUGGCUUUAACAAACCCGCUAGUGGAUUUAAACCCGGAGAAAUCUUUCAGAUCUUUCCAGACCCGAACGUUCUUGGAAUCGGAUCCCGUGAAGAGAAGAUCACCGGAAGCGGCAAGAGAGUACACGUGUCCUUCUUGUCUAACGACCGUACCGAUUAAACCGUUAUCAGGAUCGUCUUCGAAAUCGCUGUUCCUGGUUUGGUAAAUCCAAGGGGAUUUGUGGUAAGGAGAGCAAGAUUGGUUCCACGGGGACUGAGAAGUAGACGAAGAAAACGGCGUCGUAUUGUCGUUGUGUGGAUAGUAAGUUUGGUUCCAUGGAGAAAGUGGGUAGUUUGGGGACGAUGAGUCGCUACUAGGAGUCGAUGCGUUGCUUGGACGACACUGAGAAUCGCUGCUAGUGGUCGAUGCGUUGCUUGGACGUCGCUGAGAAUCGCUAAACGCGUUUUUGUCAACGCCGCGGUUGUGAUCGCCGUCUGAGUGGUAAGUUUCGUCGACGGCGGCGAGGGUUUCCGAUUUCAAAUAAGCGGCGAAAGUGUGCCUCCGGUUACCUUCAAUAGCCAUAAUUUUCCAGUUUACAAAGAUAGAUUAUUGGUUGUGUUUACAAGUUUUGUUUUUUUUUUGCUUGUUAGGAAAAAAUCUUGAAAUUUUCUUGGGAUUGUGAAAUAAGAACAUGUAGAAGAAGAAGAAGGGUCGGGUCGUUCGGUAUAUAAAUACGAGAAAAGUGGGGACACUGUAAGACGUGUAUGAAUGACACGUGGAAGGGAAGACGUGAGUGUCAAAUACGGAACACUGGUUUUGCCAGUUUCCUUAACAGUGGGAUACCGAAAUUAAUAAAUAUUGAAAUCACUAGAGACAAUAUUUUUUCUGUACAAUAUAAUUACUUCUACAUUAGUUUAGUGUUGUAUUUCUUCUUUUUUUUCGACUAAAUUUCAUUCAUAUCAAAAUGGAAUACAAAGUAGAAUACGAAUAGAAGAUGAAAUACAAAGCUGGUAAGAUUCCAAACUUCAAGAGACACAACUCCAUUCAAAAUACAAAGAAUAACGUAAGUAUUUAAGUGGAACAAAAUAUUUCAUGGUCAGUCAGCUUUUUCAUCCGUUCAAAAAUACACUGCAUUAUGAAAUCAGUGAUCUAAAAGUGUUAUAGGGACUCCUCCAUAUGAGAUUUGAAAUCUCUCCCCAUUUAUUCGACCUGUUUGUAAGCGAGGAUAUAGAAUAUUACGGGCCAGAUACCUAAAAAAAUCAUGGCUAACAAAAAGAAAAUAUCAAAAUAUACUUCAUUUUUUUGGGUUCGUUCCAUUUAUCAUUGAGAACCUAUGUGUUAGACGUGAGCAUACGACAAUAUCUUACCCACUUGAAGUUCAAACAAGUCAAUCAGAAUCAAUCUUAGCCAACAAAAGUUUUAUGUAUUUUUCCUUCAACUAAUUUAAACAAAAUUAUGUAAUUAUCAUAAAAAGUAUAUUUUUUUUUUUUGGGUUUGGAUAUAAUUUUCAGUUAAAAGAAAACUUGAGAAUAUAAUAAGCCUUGGUGAAACUGUUUUGACCAUGUUAAAGGUUGACAAAGGAAGAAGCAUUAUAAUUCGUUUUAAAAUAUAAUGUUUUUUUUUUUGGGUUGGUUGACCAACAAAAUAAGAUAAGGUAUGUGUGUGCCUCUGUUGUCGGCUCCUCAUAUAUACACGUUGCAUCACAUGCCUUUUACGCAAAUGGAUGUAGGGUUUUCUCGAAGGGAAAAAAAAUGUAUAUAUAAUAAUUUAUCUAAAAAAUUGGCCUUGAUCACAUUGUGAGAAGAAGUUUUCUUCUAGAUGUUUGACUUUUAUGAUUCUCUCGUAAAACAAGUUGGAUUAGAAUUUUCUCUUGUUCAGUUUACAAACACGACGACUAGCUAGGUGAUACCUUUUUCCGUUUUUGACUCUCCUUUUUGUUUCCUUUUCAUUUCUGACUUCUACCCUUCUGAAGAAUAGAGAUUGUAUGCAUAUAAAGUGUAGUUUUGAUUAAUCCUGUUCACUUGUUUACUAAUAAUAUCACAAAUAUUAUUAACGUGCUGCUGACCAGAUUCAAUUUUAAAUUGUUAUAAAAGCAAAUCAUUAAAUAAUAAAACUACCUAAGCUAUAAUCACUUUUUAACUUCUUCUUUUUGACGUCUUCACUCAAAUCAUAAAAUAUAUAAUCAGCAAUAUCAUUUUUCUUAACAUCAAUAGUAUAGCAAUAUCAUUUAUUAGAAGAAACUACUAUAAUAAUAUUCUUCUGUUUAUUAUAACUGAUUUUUAUCUGAGAAUAAUGUUUAUUAGUCUUUUCAAGUUUAUGAUUUGUUCUAUUUUUUAACAAAUAUCAAUUUAUUUUUUAUUUACUCUAUAGAGCUAUGUUUGAAUUUUAAGAUCGAAUCAUAACGAAUACCUAAAUUUAACUGAUGUUUAGCUUAGAUGUCGGCUAUGCGGCUGUGAGUCACAACGUACCGGUACCACACAUUGAAUACACGUGUUGGACAAUGAUUCAGUGUAUUAAGGCUUAUACUUCACAUAGUGUAGCUAUUAUUACAAAGACAGAUUGUGACGACUCAAGACGAUGCACAACCUAUCUCCAUGACCAAUUCUACUUCUGGUUACCGUCGUGAGUAUAACCAUGAAAAACAUAUAGUCCCUAAUUUAUUUGGCUUACACAAAAAUAAAGAAAUAUAUAUUAAUCGUGCUAUACUUCUGGAAUUUUUUUGAUAACUAAAACUUAUUGAGUUUGACAAUGCCAUUUUUGGCUGUUCCACAUACCGGACACGAUUGCAAAUGAGAUACAACCAAUUUUAAUUUAUUAUUACUCGUUAAGCAAAGUGUGGAGACAAUCACAAAGGAUCGAAAUAUUGUUUAUUAUUUAUUUUCGCUUAAAUUAAAGGGAAAAGGAAAGGAUUUCGGACCACGAAACCUAUAGACAUAUCUUAGAUAUAUGUGGAAGAUGAUAACCAAAAUUUGUUUGUUUGAUUUUAAUGUGGUGAAAGCAAAAUUAUAUCUUCUUUUUUCAACCAUUAAAAAACAUCAGGUUCUUUAUAAUAAUCCUAUAUAUCAUAUAUACAGUACUAACUUGACUCGGGUUGCUGUGAUGCUUACUUGACAGUUUUAGAUUGUAUGGACUAGCUAGCUAGGAUCACACUCUUUACUCUUUAAGAUUUAGUGUUCACGACAAAAAGAAAAAAGAAUUAAAGACUUGUCUAUUUAUACAAUUAGAUAAAAUUAAAUGAAUACUGCAUGAAUGACAAAAUAUGCGUACUGUAUAUAUCUUUCUUUUCAUUAGCAAAAAAAAAGUCAUGCGUAUAUAUAUAUGUAUCUACUUAAUGGUAUACAUGUAAAAUAUAGAAACCAUUAUGAUAACUUGAUAAGGGUAUACAAUAUAUCGUAAAGGAAAUCCAACAAAAAGAAGAGAGGUACAAAAUCGUGAAGAAAAAUAAGUAUGUAUAUUCAGUGAUCUAGAAUUUUUUUUUAAUCGGGAGCAUUUUCAAUAUAAUUUUUUUUUAAAUAUAAAGAAUAUUUUUUCUGUAAACUUAUUAAAAUAACAUAUUUAAUUAAAAGUUUAUUUAAAAAAAAUAAAAAUAGGGGGCAUUUGACCCCACUACUUAUUACCUACAUCUGCCCCAUAUAUCUACUGUAUAUAAUAUUUGCUGGCAUUGCUGCAAUUUGCUCUCCGUCAUGUGUGUAUGUCUUCUUCGUUUUUUGUUUCUUCUUUAACAAAGAGUGUAUGUCUUCUAUACAAAAUAGUAACGACAAAAAAGUAAAUAAACCAAAAUAGUAAGAAAACUGGGCGUAUAUUGAAUGUUCAACGCAUCUGUACUAUUAAACGUAAUACUUUAUAUAUGAAAUGUAUCUUGAUAUAUAUGGUAGCUAGGUUUUGAAACGUAGCAAGAGAUUCGUUGACUUUGAUGUCUGUGGUGGCAUGGUGACCCCAUUAUUUGUAGUUUCACGAGCCAAUUAUCAUGCGUUAAAAACAUCUAUAAAGUAUAUAAAAAUAUCUAUAAAGAUAUUAAGUUCAUCUAAUAACAUAUACACGUUCCCACUUUCUGUAUAUAAUUAUACAAUCUGUGCGAUAAGAUUAUUUAAGUAACCCAACUGGACAAAUGAACAAAUAUUAUUAAAACGAUAUAAAUAAAAAUGGCUUCUAAUUUAUUCAUUCACAUUCAACAAAUUAGCUACUCGAUAUAUAUAUAUAUAUAUAUACUUUUUUUUUUUUGGUACUAUAAAAAAAAUCUUGAUUUUGAAUAUAAUUUUGAAUUUUGUUCUUAAAAAAAUAAGGAAGUUACUUGUAUAUAUGUGUAUAAAUUUAUAUCAUACAUUAGUCUGUUGAUCACUUUAAUUACUGUUGAUCAGAUCAUUACAUUCAAUUUAAUUAAAAGAUACAAUGACGGUACAUUAUUUGCUCUUAAUCCUUUACAAAGAAGCCAUUUGCAUUUAAUAGUUAGCGGACUUUCAUAGUUCUAAUGGAAUUUCUAUUGAUUUCAUUUUUUUUUAAACGAAGAAAACCACACAAUUAAGUAAUUUUUCUUAUAAUGUGGAAAAAGUACAUUUCUGCCAAAAUACUUGAUUUUAUUUUUCCAAAAUUUUGACUGUAACGAGCCUAUAUUUUAUUGUCUCUUUAAUAUAAGUUGUUAAAGACUCAAUUGUUUUCACUACAAGUAGAUAGGAAAAAAAUAUAUUUGAUAACUAGUAUUAAAAAAAAAUCAGAGACACAGAUUCCAAUCACUUUAAUCAAGCAAGAAAGAUUAGAGCAUUGGAGAUUUCUCACGAGAAUUUUUCAAUUAUAAAAGAAUAGUAAAAUAAUAAAUAAUAGUAUUUUAUUAUUGUUUUUGGAAUGAAAAAUUCUUAUAAGAAACUCUACAAUGCAAAUGCUGGCAAUCACGUACGUAGGCAUAUCACUAUCACUUGAGCGUAUCUACAAAUAAUACUAAUUAAUUAAUCCUUAAAUAAUUGUAUCUCGUGGACUGUCGAACUUGUAUUAGCUAAUUUUAUAAACUUAAAAUAUAAUCUAGUGUUUGCUUAUUAGCAUUGUGUUGAGAUCACCCAACACAUUUGGCCUUGUUUGACGGACCGAAACAUGGCAAGAAUCAGAUUUUAUCAAUUUUUAUGUUUUCAUGAAGUAAUCAUGGAUUAAAGUCACUUCUUGCGUUGCCAAAUUGAAGAACUAAUACAUGCCACGUGUAUAUAUCUUCAGAUAAUCCUCUAUUUUCUCUCGAUUUGCCGUAAGACAUGUGCAAUGUAAUGAACAUACGAAUCUAUUUAUAAUCAUCCGAUUUAAUGAGAAUUAAUAUUUUGGAAUUUCCAUAUAAACACCUGUCGAUUCACUAUAUAGCGAAUUAGACUUUAGUUCAGAAACAUAAUAAUGUUAGUAUGUAACUUUCAUGAUUAUGAUAAAUCAAUCGUAUCCAAUGUUGUUUAGCUGGUUGAAACAUACCUUUGCAGAUAAAUGAAAUAACCCACGAAGAGAAAGAGAAAUUCACCUCUCUUUUACCUUUUGUGCUGGCAUCAUAUGGAUCACACAAGGAUAAUAAUUGAUUAAUCAACUCAAAUGGAGAAAUCAUCAAGCAAAUUUGUCUAUAUAUUGAUAUUUGAUUUAAAAUCUUAGGGCUAACUAUAAUGAUGGAGUCGUAACUGUGACUGAACCGGAAAGACGUAUCUCUAAUCGAACCCACGUACCGAACCAGAGAUAUCUGGGAUAAAGAGAGUUUGUUGGGAUUUCUUUUAUUUGUUUCAAUUUGUUUAUGUUGAAAUAAAAGACUUCAUUCUCGUGAUUUCUUUUAUGGUUUUGAUUCUGUUCGAUAAGGAGAUUUAGUUUCCCUUAUCACGUUGUUGUUUUCUUCUUUAUAUAAAUCAAUGAAAAAGCCAAAAAAAAGAGGUAAUCUUAAUUGCCCAAACAAAGUGUUCUUGUGUUCUGAGUUUGAGCUCUAAAUCUGAGACCAACAAUUGGUAUGAGAGCAUUGCUCUAAACUUUUUUCUGUUCUUUUGAAGAUCUGACACCAUUGCACCUCGACGUUCAACGCGUAGCGGGAAACAACUUGCAGACUCUUUGAUACAAGCACCAAGCUGUCAAGGGCUUGUAGGAUCUCGGAAGCAAAGCCUGGUCGAUGGCCAAGGGGUUGAUUCAAGUGAAUGAGCAACUCUAGACAAUUGAAUCGGCUGGUAGAAGUGAAGGAUGUGAAAUGGAUCGAAGUGCACCACACAAGUUGUGAAAGACUUGUGAUACAACACAGAUUCUCGGCUCUAGGAGGUAAUGGUCUCAACUAGAGAAAAGAAGAACAAGUUUUACACAGAAAACUCAAUGAAAGAAAAUUCUCGUUUUAUUAAUAUCAAAGGUGAAAAAUUACAAGGCUGUAAUGGGACCUUAUAUAAUGGUCCUAGCAGCUUAGACUCAAAGAAAUAAAAGACUCAAAACAACAGGACUUUUAAAAGUAAAGACUCAAAACAACAGAACUUGUAAAUUAAAAAUACUGAAUUAAAGGACUCAAAAAAAGGAAAUAAAAGACUAACUAAAUUAUCUCUGCAUAAGACCAAAGACAAGAGAAACUCAUUAGUCAAAGAAUUGAAAUUUGAUUGAACACUUACCUUAUUUGGUGGCUGAGACAUGUGUGGCUUUGACCGAGUUUGAAUAUUCCCUCCUAAGUGUCUUGGUGCAUUGGCGAGAUGGUCAGCAUGAAGACUUGGGCUUGAUUUGGCAAAAGGGGCCAGACAUCUAGAUUCUUUGAAGCUGGGCUGUUUGCUAGCUCUUGGCAUUCUUCAAGUAAUCCAGUCCAAGCUUGUUGUUGAUGGGCUUCAUUAUGCGACUCAUUUUCUUGGUCUUCUUGCGGCCUUGUUUGAUCCACUUGAGAUAUGGCUUGUAACAUGCUUUGGUUGUACUUGUGCUGAAGGACCUUUGCUCUUUGUCUUGUUAUUGGCCCUUGAUGAAUGAUUGGUACUUCCACAUCUUGUAGUUGCGGCUCGGUUAAGUCUGGUUCAGCUUGAAUGGCCUCAUCAUUCCCUCCCUCUUCAAGAGGUUUUGACCUCAAACUGGAUCAUCUGCAAGAUAUGGAGCAAGAUCAGUUACAUUUGAAAGUUGAGGACACAUUAAACUCACCUGGCAAUUCAAGUCUGUAUGCGUUGUUGUUGAUCUUCUCUAGUAUCUUGAAAGGUCCAUCUCCUCUUGGUGCUAGCUUUGAACUCCUUUGGUUUGGGAAUCUCUCAUGCCUCAUGUGUAGCCAUACCCAAUCUCCUGGUUCGAACACCACUUCCUUGCGUCCUUUGUUGGCAUGCUUCACAUAUUGCUCAGUUCUCUUCUCCAAGUUCUCCUUUGCCUUUUGAUGUAGUUUCUUUAUAAAAUCAGCUCUUCUUUCUCCAUCUAAGCUCACGGCUUCAGUUGGUGGUAGUGGUGUGAAUUCCAUUGGGGUCUUGGGGUUGAAUCCAUAGACUAUUUCGAAUGGAGACAUCUUUGUAGCUGAAUGCUGAGCUCUGUUGUAGGCGAAUUCGAUAAAGGGUAUGCACUCCAACCAGUUCUUCAUGUUUCUUCCAAGAAUGGCCCUUAACAAUGUAGAUAAGGUUCUGUUCACCACCUCAGUUUGGCCAUCUGUUUGGGGAUGACAAGUAGUAGAGAACAAAAGUUUAGUGCCAAGCUUCUUCCACAAGGUUCUCCAAAAGUGGCUCAAGAACUUGCUAUCUCGGUCAGAUACAAUGGUUUUUGGCACUCCAUGUAAACGCACAACCUCCUUAAAGAAUAGAUCCGCCGUUUGAGAUGCAUCAUUAACCUUUGCACAAGGUAUAAAAUGUGCCAUCUUGGAGAAUCUGUCCACCACUACAAAUAUGGAGUCUUUGUGCUUGAUCUUUGGCAGCCAGGACAAAGUCCAUCGAAAUAUCAACCCAUGGUGCUGUAGGAAUCGGUAAUGGCAAGUACAAGCUGUGAGGGUGUACUCUAGACUUGGCCUUCUUGCAGAUCACGCAUCGUGCACAGUGAGCUUCUACAGCCUUUUUGAGGUGAGGCCAAUCAGAAGUGCUAUUUCACCACUGCAAGUGUCUUGUCUACUCCAAAGUGACCCAUCAGUCCUCCUCCAUGAGCUUCUCUGAUGAUAAGAUCCCUAAGAGAACAUUGCGGUAUGCAAAGCCUCUUGUCUCGAAACAUAAAGCCUUCAUAGAUGUAAAAUUUCCCGUGAGCUCCCUUGUUACACUCCUCAAAGCUCUCUCCUAGCUCUGGAUCCUCCUUGUAAAGGUCUUUGAUGAACUCAAAACCCAUGACUUUGGCCUCCAUAAUUGCGAUUAGUGUAUGUCUUCGAGAUAAAGCAUCUGCCACUAUGUUGUCUUUGCCCUUCUUGUACUUGAUAAUGUAGGGGAAAGUCUCAAUAAACUCCAUCCACCUAGCAUGUCUCCUCUUGAGAUGGGUUUGUCCUCGAAGGUGCUUAAGUGUCUCAUGGUCAGUGUGGACCAAAAACUCUCUUGACAUCAGAUAAUGCUGCCAAGUCUCCAAAGCUCUAACUAGAGCAUAUAACUCUUUGUCAUACGUUGGAUAGUUAACCGUAGCUCCUCCUAGCUUCUCACUGAAAAAUGCCACUGGUUUCCCUCCUUGUGUCAAUACAGCUCCUAUGCCAAUGCCUGAUGCAUCGCACUCCACUUCAAACGUUUUAUUGAAGUCUGGUAACACUAGAACCGGUGCAUUGGUAAGCUUCUCCUUGAGAGUAUCAAACGCCUUUUGUUGAGCAUCUCCCCAGGUAAAACCAACACUUUUCUUCACCACAGCAGUGAGAGGUGCAGCUAUACUACUGAAAUCUUUGACAAAACGCCGAUAGAAGCUUGCUAACCCAUGGAAGCUCCUCACUUGACUGAUAUUUGUAGGGGCCGGCCAGUCUUUGAUGGCUUUAAUCUUCUCCUCAUCAACCUGUAAUCCUUGCGAGCUCACAACAAAACCUAGGAAAACCAACUUAUCAGUGCAGAAUGCGCACUUUUUUAAGUUUGCAUAAAGGCCUUCUUGUCGAAGAGUCUUUAAAACAAGCUCAAGAUGUGACACAUGAUCAGAUAAACAUUUGCUGUAAACUAAAAUAUCAUCAAAAUAAACAACAACAAACUUACUAAUGUAUGCUCUAAGAACUUGAUUCAUUAGACGCAUGAAGGUACUUGGUGCAUUGGUGAGGCCGAAGGGCAUCACCAUCCACUCAUAGAGACCUUGCUUGGUCUUGAAGGCAGUUUUCCAUUCAUCACCUUCUUUCAUCCUCACUUGAUAGUAUCCACUCUUGAGAUCGAUCUUUUAGAACAAGGUGGCUCCACUAAGCUCAUCAAGCAUGUCAUCGAGUCUUGGAAUUGGGUGUCUAUACUUGAUGGUGAUGCUGUUGAUAGCUCGGCAAUCUACACACAUGCGCCAGGAGCCAUCUUUCUUUGGCACCAACAGGACAGGAACGGCACAAGGGAUGAGGCUCUCCCUCACAUAUCCUUUGUCUAAUAGCUCUUUGACUUGCCUCUCCAACUCCUUGGACUCCUCAGGGCUUAUUCGGUAAGCCGGUUUGUUUGGUAAAGCUGCUCCCGGUAUGAAGUCUAUUUGGUGUUCUAUGCCUCGAAUUGGUGGCAAUCCUUCAGGCAUUUCUUCAGGGAACACAUCUUUAAACCUGUCAAGUAAGUCAGUGAUCUCUGGUGGUAGUUCAAGUUCACCUAAACCUGCGCUCAAAAGCUCCUUAAAGAUCAUUAGUAGCAUUGUGUGUUUAGCAGCAAAAACUUUUCUAACAUAGCUAGGCUGAACAAGAAAAUUUGACUUAGAGAUACUUUCUUUUUCUUUAAGCAUUUGCAAUUGUAGUUCAUGCACUUGUGAUGGUGUAAGAGGUGCUAAACUAACUUUUCUUUUGUUAUGCAUAAGAGUAUACAUAUUAGUCCUACCGUCAUGCUUAGUUUCUCUAUCAAAUUGCCAUGGCCUACCUAGCAAUAAAUGACCAGCUUGCAUAGGAACUACAUCGCAUGAAACUUGAUCUUGAUAUUUUCCUAUGCUAAAUGGAAUGGUGACUUGAUCGGUAAUCUUAAGCUCUACCUUAUCAUCGAGCCAUCUCAGCCUAUAGGGCCGUGGAUGCUUAGCUCUCUCAAGGCCUAGCUUAUCAACCAUGUGAGUACUUGCAACAUUAGUACAAGACCCACCAUCAAUAUUAAGAUUACAUACCUUCCCCUUUAUAGUGCAACGGCUGUGAAAGAUGUUUUCUCUUUGUAUGGUCUCGGCUGGCUCCACCAUUACACUUAAUACACGUCUAGUGACAAGGAGCUCUCCUGUGUCUGGAUAAGCUAUGUCACCAUACUCAUCGUCUUGAUCUUCUUGAACAUCAGCUUCAUCAUGUGACUCAUAGUCUCCAGCCUCGGUCAUGAGCAUCACUCGAUUGUUUGGACACUCGCGAGACAUAUGACCUCUUCCCCUGCAUUUGAAACAAGUAAUAUCUCUUGCAUGCUGAGGGUUAUUAGUCUUACCUGCCUCUGGUCUGGUGUCUUUGAUUGUUUCAACCGCCUUGCCUUUGAAACGUGAAUCAAUUUCCACACUCUUGCCUUUGUCGAGUGGUUUGUUGAAGUUGGUGUUCCAAGUGGUUUGCGGCUUGCUUCUAGUGUUGGUGAUCUUCUUCUUGAUGUGUUGUUCUGCCUGUAUAGACAAAUGGAAAAGAUCUUUGAAGUCUUGAUAUACCUGUCUCUCCAAUUUUCGGCUGAUCCUCUCUUGCAAACCAUCAAGAAACUGCGCCAUUAGAGCUUCUUCGUCGUCAUGAAGCUCCAAACGAUUCCUCAAGCGCUCAAACUCUUCAUAGUAUUCUUCUACAGUCCUGGUUCCCUGUUUAAGAGUUCGAAAACGACACUGUAAGUCUCUAUAAAAAUGAGGGGGAACAUACCUUUGCCUCAUCAGGUCUUUCAUGUCGACCCAUGUAUCAAUAGCUCUCAAGCGGCUCCUCUUGCGGUCUGACACUUCUCUGUCCCACCAUGUAAGUGCACCAUCGGUGAGCUGAGCCACUGCUACUCUCUUUGGACCAGGGUGAUUGUAAUAGUCGAAGAUGUGAUCCAUCCUCUUCUCCCAAUCUAGAUAAGCCUCCGGAUCAACUUUUCCAGCAAAGUUAGGUGCAGUCAGCUUGAUGUGGUUCUGGUUCUGUCUAGAGUAAGGUGUAUACUCUUCGUCAUCAGCAUCUCCAUAAUCGUCUUGUGGCACACGUCGCCUUUGCCCGCGGUGUCUUUGACGCCUAGGGUUUGGUUCUUCAUCUUGAGAAGAGUCGUCUUCGGUCAUGUGUGGUUCGUUGAUGCGCACUCCGUUGUGCCUUGGAUUGGUUCCGGUGUUCUGAGUGGUGUUGAUGCCGGUUCCUAAUCCUCCAAUAUGGCGAGUUGGCUGUAGAGUUACCCUCGGUGCUUGCUCCACACGGCUAAGUCUAUCUCCAAAGUCUUGCCUUAAGGCCUUGUGCAUUGCUGCUCUCCUCUCCCAUAGCUGCUUAUGGAAUUUUGUUUCUCGCAAAACAGAAACAAAGGAAAAGGGUAUUUUCUUAGUUCUGAUCAAAAUAAAAAAAAUGGAAAGUCUUGUAAUGUACUUUCUCUUUUUUUUUUAACUUGGAAUGACAACUAAACAAAUAAGGAAAUUGGUACUGUCUAAAUAAUUAACAACUUAGCAAGAGAAUGAAUUUAAACGUGAUUGAAACAAAUAAGGAAAGUCUGACUUGAUGCACCUAAACUUGGAAAUCGACACAACAAUUCAGGACUAAUUUUUUUUUUUGGACUUUUCUCUGAUGAAACAACUUAGACAAUAAUCAAAAUGAAUCAAAUGACUAGUAAAAUUAUAAUGCAGGAAGAACACAAAAAUUUAUGAUAAUGAUGAUUUUUUUUUUUUUAUCUGGAUGAUAAAAUUAGUUAGUGAUGAACUAAUGGAAAAUGAUGCAAACAAGCUGAUAUAAUGAAACUAAAUUCCUUUUUUUUUUUUAAUAGAAUGAAUAUGACAAAUGAAACUAGAUGAAACAAUAAUGAAAUAUGAUUUUUUUUUUUUUUUUUAAUAUGAUGCAAUGAAACAAAUGACUAAAUGGAAAUGAAAAGAUGUAAAUAGAUAGAUAAAACCUGGGCUGAAAGAACUUCAGCUCUGAUACCAAAAAUGAUACAAGCACCAAGCUGUCAAGAGCUUGUAGGAUCUCGGAAGCAAAGCCUGGUCGAUGGCCAAGGGGUUGAUUCAAGUGAAUGAGCAACUCUAGACAAUUGAAUCAGCUGGUGGAAGUGAAGGAUGUGAAAUGGAUCGAAGUGCACCACACAAAUUGUGAAAGACUUGUGAUACAACACAGAUUCUCGGCUCUAGGAGGUAAUGGUCUCAACUAGAGAAAAGAAGAACAAGUUUUACACAGAAAACUCAAUGAAAGAAAAUUCUCGUUUUAUUAAUAUCAAAGGUGAAAAAUUACAAGGCUGUAAUGGGACCUUAUAUAAUGGUCCUAGCAGCUUAGACUCAAAGAAAUAAAAGACUCAAAACAACAGGACUUUUAAAAGUAAAGACUCAAAACAACAGGACUUGUAAAUUAAAAAUACUGAAUUAAAGGACUCAAAAAAAGGAAAUAAAAGACUAACUAAAUUAUCUCUGCAUAAGACCAAAGACAAGAGAAACUCAUUAGUCAAAGAAUUAAAAUUUGAUUGAACACUUACCUUAUUUGGUGGCUGAGACAUGUGUGGCUUUGACCGAGUUUGAAUCUUCCCUCCUAAGUGUCUUGGUGCAUUGGCGAGAUGGUCAGCAUGAAGACUUGGGCUUGAUUUGGCAAAAGGGGCCAGACAUCUUGAUUCUUUGAAGCUGGGCUGUUUGCUAGCUCUUGGCAUUCUUCAAGUAAUCCAGUCUAAGCUUGUUGUUGAUGGGUUUCAUUAUGCGACUCAUUUUCUUGUUCUUCUUGCGGCCUUGUUUGAUCCACUUGAGAUAUGGCUUGUAACAUGCUUUGGUUGUACUUGUGCUGAAGGACCUUUGCUCUUUGUCUUGUUAUUGGCCCUUGAUGAAUGAUUGGUACUUCCACAUCUUGUAGUUGCGGCUCGAUUAAGUCUGGUUCAGCUUGAAUGGCCUCAUCACUCUUCUCCACCCAUGGCCAACACCAAAGACAGAGUGGAGGAGUUGGAAGUAGGCUUUGGCCUGAUGCAAGACGAGAUGCAAAAGCUGAGAGCGGCCUUGGAGGAUAAGUUCCAGUCCAUGGACGAGUCAUUCACUCGGUUGAUGGAAACGAUUACCAACAAUCGUGAUGGAGAGUCGAGUGUUCAGCGACAGAGAGGUUUGGGGAAUCCCAUGGACGUACCUGCAGUUAGAGGGGAAAACGUGAACCCAUUUGCUAACGUCAACACCGGCAAUCCCCACAACAGGCACGUUAAACUGGAAUUUCCAAAAUUUCAGGGAGGAGAUCCGACAGCAUGGGUGAGCAAAACCAAGCAAUAUUUUUCAUACCAUGAGAUGGCGGUUGAGCGGAGAGUUAAAUUUGCUUCAUAUCACCUGGAAGAUGAAGCGAAUGAAUGGUGGAAGGCCACGGCGAAAGCGUUUAUGGAGGAACGUAUCCCAAUCACUUGGGAAUUGUUCGAGGAAGAAUUGUGGGCACGUAUUGGUCCUACAGGGGCCGAAGACUUUGAUGAGGCUCUCUCCAAGAUUACACAAAAAGGAUCCUUAAGGGAUUAUCAUCGUGAAUUUGAGAGGCUUCAGAACAAAGUCACAGGGUGGACUCAAAAGGCUUCGAUUGGGACGUAUAUUGGUGGCCUUAAGGAGUCGAUCUCCGAGAACAUACAGAUGUUCCGACCAACAACCCUAAAGGCGACGAUAGAACUGGCGCGGAUGCGUGAUGACCAACUUCAGCGCAGUCGUCGAUUAACCUCAUUUCCAGCAGGGUCUUCUCGGAUUUCGCAAGCUGGGGCUUCACGCCCUCAAGCACAACGUGAGCCAACUCCCGGAGAACCAAAGAGAUUGAGUUGGGAGGAGCUGAGACGUAAGAGAAGUUUGGGGCUGUGUUUUGGGUGUGACGAGAGAUACACGCCGGGACAUAAGUGUCGGAAACCUCAGCUGUUUCUUUUAGAAUAAGAAGACGAUGGCGACGAGGAGGAAGAGUUCGUGGAUAGUAGAGAUACGGAGGAGCCGGAGAUUACAAUGAAUGCUCUCACAGGAUGGGAUUCACCAAGGACCAUUCGAGUGAUGACAGAUAUCAAUCAUCGACAGUUAGUGGCCUUGAUUGAUAAUGGCUCAACCCACAAUUUCAUUAGCGAGAAAGCUGCAAAUCGAUAAGGGUUGAAGUUGACGGCGACGACACCUUUUGAUGUUAAAGUGGCUGAUGGUUACCCACUCCGGUGUAGGGGUGCGUAUCGAGAGGUGAAGAUGGGGCUGGGAGGUCAGAAUUUCACCGUCGAUCUCUUUGCUCUUUCACUGUCAGGACUCGACGUCGUGUUGGGAGUCUGUUGGUUGGAGCAGUUGGGCCCUGUUCUUUGUGAUUGGAAGGCCCAAUCUUUAGAGUUCAUGUGGGCUGGACAGAAAGUGGUGCUUAAUGGGCUUCAUCCUAAACAGAUCACUAAGGCUCAGUCAAUAGAAAUAGCUCGAGAGGCAAAAGAGGGUCAGCCAUGUUUUGCGUUGACGUUUCAGAUGAACGACGAUGUCUCCUCUAUCCCCGACGAAUUUCACAGGCUGCUGCAUAAAUUCGAAGCUGUGUUUCAGGUGCCGACCGAAUUGCCACCAGUUCGCGAAAUCGAGCACCACAUCACACUGAAGGAAGGAGUAGAUCCUGUAAAUGUCCGACCAUACCGCUAUGCUUUUUUUCAGAAGGAGGAGAUCGAGCGUCAGGUCCAAGACAUGCUUCGUGCAGGUUUAAUCCGACCUAGCUCGAGUCCGUAUUCUUCACCGGUGCUCCUGGUCAAGAAAAAAGACGGAUCAUGGCGUUUUUGUACUGAUUAUCGGGCUUUAAAUGCAAUCACCGUGAAAGAUAGAUUUCCAAUACCAACUGUGGAGGACAUGUUAGACGAGCUGCACGGUGCCUCCAUCUUUUCGAAACUAGACUUGACGGCGGGGUAUCACCAGGUGCGUGUGCAUUCCCCAGAUAUCCCCAAGACUACUUUUCGUACUCAUAACGGUCAUUAUGAGUAUUUGGUGAUGCCGUUCGGUUUGUGCAACGCGCCGUCGACGUUUCAAGCGCUCAUGAAUUCCAUUUUCAGUAAGCAUCUCAGAAAAUUUGUUUUGGUAUUUUUUGACGAUAUCCUGAUUUAUAGCCGAACAUUGGAGGAGCACUUGGAGCAUGUGAGUGUGGUUUGGGAGAUAUUGCGACAGAACAGGUUAUUUUUCAAGCAAAAGAAAUGCGAGUUUGGAAAAACUGAACUGGAAUAUCUCGGGCAUAUUAUCUCUGCGGAGGGUGUGAAAGUGAACUAGAACAAGAUUAAAGCUAUGACCGAUUGGCCUGCACCAACGAACGUGACGGAGCUGCGUGGAUUCCUUGGUCUCACCGGCUACUAUAGGAAAUUUGUGAAGGAUUAUGCAUUAUCGCCAGACCUCUCACGAAUCUAUUAAAGAAGGGGAAAUUCGAGUGGAGUGACGAAGCAGAGAAGGCAUUUGUGAACCUGAAAACGGCCAUGACAACGACACCAACACUGGCCUUACCUAAUUUUUCUAUUCCGUUUGUAAUACAGACUGACGCCUCCGGUGAAGGCAUCAGAGCAAUUCUGUCACAGGAGGGCAAGCCAAUAGCGUUUAUGAGCAAAUCUCUUGGGGUAACUAAACGAAAUUGGUCCACUUACGCGAGGGAGAUGCUAGCUAUUGUAAUAGCUAUACGUACAUGGCGACCUUACAUCUUGGGGCGACGUUUUGUUAUACAAACAGACCAGCGGAACCUGCGUUACAUCUUGGAGCAGCGUAUUCUUACCCCUGAGCAGCAUAAGUGGAUGGCGAAGCUAGUAGGGUAUGAUUACGAGAUAACGUACAAACAGGCACGGCAAACGCGGCGGCUGAUGCUCUUUCCCGUCGUAUGGGAUGAGCUACGACAGUUGCAGACAACAGAGCCAUAUCUGAUCCGGAUCGGCAAACUCGCUGCAGCUGCGCCAGGACAGGUGUAUUCCUCGCGCAAUGAUUUACUCUGCUUUCACAAUUGGGCGGUCCUUCCUCCUGGUUCACCAUUUAUCAUGCCACUAUUGGAGGAAUAUCACAACACUCCUAGUGAGGGCCAUUCUGGUGUUUUACGUACGUUUAAACGUCUUGCGCAGAAAUUCUAUUGGCCUUCUAUGCAUAAGACGGUCAGAGACUUUGUGGCAGCGUGUGAUACGUGCCAACAGGCAAAAUACGAGAGUCUCUCUCCAGCGGGGUUGCUUCAGCCAUUGCCGGUUCCAAACCGUAUAUGGGAGAACAUAUCUAUGGACUUUGUGGACGGUCUUCCACGCUCAAAUAGCCACACGUCGAUAUUAGUGGUGGUGGAUCGUUUGUCAAAAUCAAUUCACCUUAUUCCGCUAUCUCAUCCAUAUACGGCAAAAUCGGUGGCUUCCGUAUUCAUCGACUUCAUUGUCAAGCUGCACGGUAUUCCCAAGUCCAUCGUGAGUGACCGUGAUCCGGUGUUUGUGAGCUCUUUUUGGAGGGAGCUAUGACGUUUAUCGGGUACAAAGUUGCGCAUGUCGUCAGCCUAUCAUCCUCAAACGGAUGGGCAAACGGAGGUCGUCAAUCGCUGCAUUGAACAGUUUCUGCGUUGUUUCGUGCAUAACAGGCCUAAAGCAAUGGAGUUUCAUGCUUCCGUGGGCUGAAUAUUGGUACAAUACAACGUAUCAUUCAUCUAUCGGAAUGACACCUUUUAAAGCUAUGUACGGACGUGAUCCACCGUCUCUGGCUGGUUACGAGUCGGGCGAUACAAACAUCCAAGAGUUAGAUGAGCAGUUGUUGGAACGUGAUGUGAUUCUCAAGGAGUUGAAGACCCACUUGGAAGCUGCAAACAACCGAAUGAAGCAACAGGCUGACUCCAAGAGAAGAGAUGUCUGUUUUGACGUAGGAGAUUGGGUUUUCCUUAAGCUACAGCCAUAUCGACAACAUACCAUAUUUCGCAGGACCUCCCAGAAGUUAUCUACGAGAUAUUUGGCCCUUUUCAAAUUGCAGAACGCAUCGGACCUGUAGCUUAUCGGUUGAAGCUACCGGAAGGUACACGAGUCUACUCUGUUUUUCAUGUCUCUCUUUUAAAAAAACGAGUGGGCUCCGACGAACCAAUGGCGGGUUCGUUGCCUCCUCUGCGUGCUAAUGGACUGUUACGUUUGGUUCCGGAACGGAUUCUUGAGCGUCGGGAGGUUAUCCAGGGUGGCGCCAAGACACAGGAGGGUCUGGUUCUUUGGGAAGGCUUGCAGCGAGCUGAUGCCACUUGGGAGAAUCUCCGGAAAUUGCAGGAAAGCUUUCCACGGCUUAAUCUUGAGGACAAGAUUCAUCUUGACGGGGAGGGUAAUGAUGGAGUCGUAACUGUGACUGAACCGGAAAGACAUAUCUCUAAUCGGACCCGUGUACCGAACCAGAGAUAUCUGGGAUAAGGAGAGUUUGUUGGGAUUUCUUUUAUUUGUUUCAAUUUGCUUCUGUUGAAAUAAGAGACUUCAGUCUCGGGAUUUCUUUUAUGGUUUUGAUUCUGUUCGAUAAGGAGAUCUAGUUUCCCUUAUCACGUUGUUGUUUUUUUCUUUAUAUAAAUCAAUGAAAAGGCCAAAAAAAAGAGGCAAUCUUAAUUGCCCAAACAAAGUGUUCUUGUGUUCUGAGUUUGAGCUCUAAAUCUGGGACCAACAUAUAAUACCCUAAAAAUACAAAUUUAAAAUUACAUACUACUGUUAGAACUUAGACCAGGUCCAUUAGAGGGUCUUCCUCAAUUUUGGGCACAAAAUCAUAUGCAUUUUGGGUUUAAAAAAAAGAAAAAAAGCCCAACUCGGAAGGGGCGGUUCAUCCCGACGAUCCUGAAGACUCCGCAUGCGAACCACAUGGCAUCUGUCGAUUGGCUGUGGAAAACGUGUCAUUUUGGGGGAAAAAAAAACCGCAGAAAGAAAACAUUUUCUCUUUUCCCGAUUUUAUUCUUCUCUCGUUCGUGUUCUUUGGCGAUUCAGGGCGAUUCCGUCGUCACCACCUUUUCCGUCGAUUAUUCCCGGUGGAGGUGCAAUCCGAACAUCGAUCUUCCGUCCCCAUAAUCCUGAUAAGCUUCGGUUCCUUGUAUUUUUAUUUGUUAAUUUCGAUUUCGUGAUUCUAGGGUUUGCGAUUUUUGGGAGAAAAAAAAAUCGCAAAAUGGAGUUCACUACUAGAACUCUAUUUUCAUCCGAGUUAUUCCCAAAUUACCAAACCAAAAAAUAUUGUUUUUAAAUGCUGAUGAACCCCUCUAUAGGGUUUACUACUGGACUUGCUCUUAGAACCGACGUUAAACUAAUGUUUUAGAAGCUACAACAUAUUAUUAAUUAACGUCAUAAAUUUUCGAAAAUUGAUUGUGGUGGAGUAAUUGACUCUAUCUCUAAUGACGGUAAGUUGUUGCGAACUUGCGAAAAGUUCUACCUAAUGCUAAUUGUAAAAUGUUUUUGUUACUAUAAAGUAUAAACCAAUAAAAUGAUUCAAAUUUAUUGGAGAAUAAAAAGUGAAAUCGAAGACUAAGCAAAAUUCAAUUAAGAAAAAAUUUCUUUUAAUAAUAUAUAGCUUCCAAACUAUUUAUGUAUUUAGUAUAACAAAUAUCAUAUCAAUAUAUAUGAUGAAAGGAUCCGAAUACAAUCUUGACAUAUCAUACAUCUAAAAAAGCAUCAGUAAGUGGAUAGCCGGAUCGGUUCUAUGCUCUGGACACCUUUGCUUCUGUGUAAAGUUGAUCAAUUAUGCUCUGAAAUAAACAAAAUUUAGCUUUGUUAUCUUAACUGAGUUUAAAAAAGUAAUAUGCACGAGUAAGUACAUUUCCAGGACCAUUAGUACAUUGGCAUUAAUCCAAAAUAUGCACUUAAGAUCGUUUGUUUGUUUGCGUUUACGUAUACCUUUCCAUGUUUCCAGUUACAUCAUAGAAACGCAAACGUAAACACAAAACAAACAAUCGGACCUCUAUAACGAAAGAUAAAAGCGAGUAGAGAAAGGAUUACCUUGUAAUGUUGGAGGAGCUGUGGCCUUUUUAACUUGAAAGUUGGAGUUAUAAGAUCUCUUCCAAUAUCAAAAAGGUUUGGUUCCAAGUGAACCGCCUUUAACAUUUCAAAUCCUUUAAGCUACAAGUACAAAAGAAAGUUCUUUCGCUUAACAAUUAACAAAAUCAUCAUUUCAGUUUUUUUUUUUUUUCAAACGUGGAAAAACAAGUGUACGUACUUGGUAUUGCUUUGCGGUAGAGUUAAGCUCGUCCAAGAAGUAUUUUUUGGCUUUGAGAUUUUGACAUAGAGAUUCGAAAUCAUUGACAGAUGGUUGGUUAUUGAGUUUAGCCCAAUCUUCAAUAGCCUUUCUCUCAGGUACAACUACUCCUACCAAAAACGACUCGAAGCUGUUUCCAUAGAUCCAUAUCUAGCAAAUUAUCGGUAGACACUAUUAUCGGUUAACAAUUUUUAUAAUUUUUUCUGCUUCUAUUUGACAACAACAAUGACUACAGAUAUAGUAUUGAAUUAAAUGUCAUUUUAAGAUAUUUUUUUGAUAAAUACAUACCUGAGCAAUGAGGGGACAUCUUGAGUAAAUGUUCUCGAGGUUUUCAACAGCAACAUAUUCACCUUGAGACAACUUGAAGAUGUUCUUUUUCCUAUCUAUAAUCUUCAUCGAUCCAUCUUCUUGCCAUUCCCCAAUAUCUCCUACACACAUUGAUAAAGUAAAAUUAUAACGUUAUAUUCCUUAAAAGUUUAUCUUGUAAAGCUGAAAUGAAGACUAAUUUCUGGAGCCUACAUUCGUUGUAUAAAUUUCAAUCUUCAACCGAGACGGCCACAAUCACUAAGUUACUAUUACUUGAUUACAAUUAAGGGUUAACGUCUAGUAGUGAAUAUCCUAUUUAUAUAUAUGACCUGGACUGUUUGGUAUAGAUCGAUUCACUCAGAUUUCGUACCCACCCACAAAUAGUUGGAUAUCCGUUAAAAUAUGAAUAUUCAACUCGUUAAUUAAGAUCAACAAAAUUUUGUAACUUACAAGGCAAGAUUAACAAUACCUGUGUGGAACCAUCCAUCGAUCACGACUUGAUCAGUUAGAUCUUGUCUUUUGUGGUAACCAGAAAACAUUGAAUUUCCUCUAAGACAAAUCUCUCCUCUAGCCAUUUCGCCGGAAAAAGCGUCGUAACCCAUUUCCGGUACCGAAACAAGCCUUGCCUCCACCGUAGGCAUUGGCACACCAACUGUCCCAACCAUUGAAAAUACUCCGGCUAAGGUCGUGAAGCUCCCUCCACAGCUUUCAGUCAAUCCUGUCACAUUUUAAGUAAUUAGAAUCGGUUUAGCCCAAACUAAUUACAGUAUUACAUUUUUUGGGUCAAUACUAAUUGUCUAAUUAAGACAUUAAGUAUAUAUACUAAAAUAUCGGUUUGUGUAGACUUACCAUAACCUUGAGAGAGAUUCGAGGCAGGGAUGAUUCUCAAGAACUCCUCUACAUGACGAGGUAAAGGCGCUGCACCUGAUAACAACAUAUGAGCUCUUCCUCCUAAUGCUUCUUUUAUCUGUCACAAUUCAUGAAUUAAGUAUAUAUAUAUUUUUUGAUCCAACAUAUACUUUAGUUAUAAAUAAUCGUUUGAAAUAAAUAUACAUAUAAACUGUAAUACUAAACUCAAUACAUCUUUUAAAAGCUUCUUGUCCGUGCAUGGCACAUAUCAUUAUCUAGAAUAUAUAUGUAUAUCACACUGAUCACCUUAUCGAAUAUAAGUCUGUCUAGACGAGGUGAAGCUUCUUCUUGAGACAAUCCUUUUCUCAUAUUCCCCAAUUUGCUGUACUCACAAGAUGAUGAAUAAAGACUCAGAUAUUCCGAAAUAGGGGUGUUCUAAUUUUGAGAAAGAAAGAAAGUAAAAACUCACUAGUUAUAAGCGAAAUCGAAGAGUUUCUUGCGUAUCAAGCCACCAGCUGAGAUUUUUUGCAUUACACCUAAACCCACGAAAUAAAAUAAAUUUUUAAAAACAACCAAGAAAAACAAGAGAACCCUCAAUUUUUCGACUUGAUCAAACGUAUUACCAGCAUAGAUUUUGUCGUACACUCGUGGAACACCGCAAAACACAGUUGGUUUGAGUGCAUGAACAUCAUCCAUCAAGUAUCGAAUGUCCUGAAAACAAAUAUAAGAGAUCGUAUAUUGUGAGCUAGAAAGGAUAAAAUAAAGGGGUUUAAACAAUAAAAGAAAAAAUUUGCUUACGCCACGCCAGUAUCCAACAGAGGAGCCUCUGGAGAAAAAAUAAAUCUCCAUGACUUGAUCAUAGCAAUGUGCUAAUGGUAAGUACGAGAAAAAAACAUCGGUUGUGUCGCACUACAAAAUUCAAAAGAAAGAAAAACCAGAAAAUAAUUGUCAAUCACUUAAUCAUUAUGGAUCGGCUCAAUUUGAAACCUCCAAAACUUUGAUCCACAAAUGGCUCUGUAAACGACCACUGACACUAACAACAAACUCAUGUUUGUUUUGUAUCUAUAGUUGGUUCAGCAACAAAUUUCAGGGACCAAAUCUUGUUUAUUUUGGAAUCGAGGGGUUCAACAAUACACUUCAUCGACAAAUCAUUACUCGGAGAUUUAUAACACCAAAAUAUUUUCGGCGUAUGGAAAUUUAGUUGUUAGUCUUUGAAAUUUUCGUCGAAGUGUAUUGUUGAACCAACGAUCGUUGUUGAUCGCUAAUUAAUGAUUGUAUAACAAUUAAUGAAGCGUAUUAUUCGUCAUCGCUAGUGACAUGACAAAUCUAGAAUAUAUAACUGAAAAAAAGAAAUUACCGAUCGAUCGGUGACUUGGAGCAUUUUAUCAAUGGAUAAAACUUCGACCAUAAUCGCUGCGUUAUUUAAUAUUACACCUUUGGGCUCUCCCGUCGUCCCGCUUGUGUACAUUAUUGUGCAGAUAUCAGUUUUUUGCUUGCGUGGAAGUUUUGUCUCAUCCGAGUUUCCCUGAAAAAAUUAUAAUCAGAUAUUACUAAUUAAUUAAGACCCACAAAUUAAAUCUUGAAGUAAAACAAACCCCAAAAAUUCAAAUAUUUGCAAAUUAUAGAAGUUUUCAUUUUGGAUAUAAUUAAAACACACUAACCAUUAGUAAGAACUCAUGCCAUGAAAAUAACGAAACACAUUGACUCUCAGCUUCUUCCUUUUGUGUACUCGAGACUUCCCCGAAGCUCACAAUAGCUGACACAAAAAAAAAAAAAAUCAAACCAAAUAUAAAAUCAUCAGUUGGAAUAACAUAUUAAGUGUUAAAAUUUCAUCGAAUCAUUGACUUUUUUUUAAAAAAUGUGUAACAUACUCUUCAAAUUCGAAGAACAUCCCUUGUGGCAUGCUAAGAUCUGCACAAAAGCUUUCCAGCACAAAUCAGUAAAAACUAACAUUUCUUGUGUGACAAGAAACGUAAAAUGGAAUUUAUAGUAUGAAUGAUUAAUUCAAUCGGAAAAAUGGACUUACGGAUGAAACUGUCUUUUCUUGAACGAAUACUAGCGAAACCUCAGCAUGGUUGAUGAUGAACUCUACAGCAUUUACGCCUGUGUCAUCCAUAUUAAAUCUCGGAUUAGGUUUUUUCAGAUCAUGACCAUUACUUAUUAAUUAAGACAUUUAAAGAUAAAUUCUUGUAAUAAUACUGAUCUGUCCAAUAUAUAUAUAUAUAUAUAUAUAUAUAUAUAUAUCUACGUAAAAUUACCUAAGGUAUCGUAUAGAGGAACGUAAGUUAUCCCUUGGCUCAUGCAGGCCUGCAAAAUAAACCUUUUAGAGGAACACUAUAAAAAUAAAACCCAAAACUUUCUACUUCUGAAAUUUAAGCCAAAAGUUUUCGUUUUACCUCCAUCGCGAUAAUCCAUUCUGGACAAUUAGAUCCAUAUAUUCCACAACAAUUUCCCUAAUCCACCAAAAAAAAAAAAAAUUCAAGCAAAUACCUUUUUUUUCCUUUGACUUUCACUUCGAUUAAUUAUAUAAUUGAUUGAUUCGAUCAGAUUAAACAUUAUAGGAUUGUACCGGAUCAACGCCUCGGCUUCUGAUUGCUGAUCCAAUCCGAAGUGCAGCAUCGUGAGCUUCUUUAUAUGUGAUCCACGUGUAUGGACCGACCUAUAUAUACACACAUUAAUCAAAAGUCUCAUAUAAAUUAAAAUGAUACCAAAAAUAUGAAAUUGUUGACAAAAAAAAAAUUCAAAAUAAAAUUAGGUACUGGUCUAUAGAUAAAAAUAAAGUAAAGUUAAUGACUACAUUAUUGUACCUUUGAAUCCGUUGUUAAGCGUCGGCCUAACAUUUGCUCGUUCGGAUAUUUCUUCACAGCCUCACUGGAAUAAACAGAUUCACGAGAGAGAUAAUUAAGACAAGUCUGUAUAACAAACAAAAAAACAUAUCUUAUACAAAAGUUUUGUAUUACUUAGCACAAAUUAAUCCGCAUUUUGUAUUACUUAGCACAAAUUAAUUUGCAUUGGACCAACUAAUUAAUUAUUAUUAUAAAAUAGUAAUUGUUAAGGGUCUCAAGAUCCAGACCUAAAUAACUGCCAAGGAGAAUCAAGAUCAGUAGGAAGAUCGAGGAGGCCAUCUUUAGCGUAAUUACAUCGAUAAACUGGACCGGCCGAUGGGUGCUCCGCCGUGGCUGGCCGUCCUUCUUCCACCACCACCACAUGAUCCGCCGUUGCAGCCAUUUGUGUGAAGAAAUUUAAUGACGAAUAUAACCUUUUAAUGAAGAAGAAACUAGGAUGGAGGAUGAGGAAGAUGAGGAGUGUGAGUGUUUGUAUUUGGAGAUUGGAUAAUAAAUAAAUGAUUUGAGGUUAAUAAAAGUCUUUGUAUAUCGGUGGUGAAGUUUGGAGAUUGUAGUUAUGAGUUAGAGGAAGUGGUUGAGCAAUAACUUCUUGAGUCUCACAAUUGGUGUAUUUCUGACCGAUUUUUAAUUGCGCCUUUAUUGGGAGCCUAUCUUUUUGUUUUGUUUUUUGUUAGCUAUCUCUCUAUAGUUUAAUAUUUUAAUACUAUAUGUGUAUAUAUAUAUAUAUAUAUUUUGGGGGACUCAUGUUUGUAUAUCUAUGUGUUAUAUAUGCAAGUAGAUUUGGUGGGUGUGAAUGAUCCUAAAGAGUGAAGAGUAAUUACAACAAACGUAGACUAUAUAAAUCAUAAAUGCAUGUAAUUUGUUUGAAAUCGUAUAUAACAAAUAACAUAUUUUUAUAAUUAAAUAUUCAUAGUUUGAUGUUAUUCGUCUUUUCUUUUUUGUAGCCUUAGACUUCACUAGUUCCCAAUCACUGUCGUAAUCAGGAUCUAUAUAUUAUAGGCUAUACAAAUGUGGCAUGAUUUAACCCAAAAAAAAGUGUGGCAUGCAUGCUUGACAUUUUCGACCUCCAAUUAAUCAUGGCCUUUAUCAGUAAAAUAUAAGUUGUGAAUUAUUAUUACAGUUUACACACUAAAUCGUGCAAAUUUUUUUCUCUAAAAAACAAUAUUUCUUAUUUAUCAUUUUGCCGCUCAAGUGAAUUUUACACAUACUUAUCAAAUUAACCGAAUAAGAAUUAAACAUUGGGAAGAAUGAAACAGUCUAGCCAUUAACUAAAAUCUACUGUGUCAUUUACAUCAGAUCGCUAUUUAAAUGAAACAACAAAAAAGGUGCCAUCUUUUACACUUAAUGUAUCGCAUAUCUACUAAGUUAGAUUUUGCUAAUUUAUUUCAAACCAAAUUACGUACAUCACGUAUCCCUUAAUAGCCUUUAAAAAUUGUGUCAAUUCUACAUAUUUUAUCUUUAAUGAAUUAAAAUGGAGGAGCGAGAGAAGGUCAGCGUCUGAGUCUCUGACUUGCUUAGGUCAAGUCCAUUAAACCUUCUUCUUUUUUAUUCUCUCACAAUACUUGGGAAAUUGAUAAAAAUUAACUAAAAGGAAAAUUUUACAUUUUUAGGACUAUAUAUGCCUCAAUAAUAGCAAUGGAAUUAUAUCCCUUUUUCUGGACGUCGGUAUUCUAACCAAAAAAAGAAAAGUAAAUUGUACAUUAUUCAGUUGAACAACACAAAAAUUGUAAAUUAUUCAAUUCUUUUUUUCCUUUUCAAUCUCUUUUAUUUUUGUUAAAUAAAUUCCAUAUAUAAAGCAUAGUAAUUCAUAAAAGAAUUACAUAUUUUUUGUUCUUGGUAGUUUUUUUUCCAACGAAAGCUCUUUCUGUCUCGCUCUUUUCAAAACCCGAAGAUUGACAUGGGGUUCUUUCAAAAAAAAGAAAAAAAAAAGAUUGAGAUGGGCAAGGAGAAGGUAAAUGCUCUCUUCUCUCUUCUUCUAAUUUUUUUUUUUUGGGGUUGAUUUUAAUUUCAAGGUUAACUUCUCUCUUUCAAACCAAUCAAACUAAAACAGGUAACUUGGAUGAAAGUAACGACGGAACCUCUUGAUAAGAGUAAGAAUUGCUCAAAAGUCAAGAAGGCUCUUUGUUGCUUGCCUCGUAAGCUAUCUCUCUCUUUUUCUUCUGUUCUUGAAUUGAAUAUUGAGAUUGAAAUUCGAACUUUAAUGAUUUGUGUAUGUGUGUUUCUUUUGAUUUGCUCUGUAAAGAAAUAAAAGACCAAAUGUUCGACGACAAGUCCAACACAGUCACGAUCAAAGUGGUUUGCUGCAGUCCCGAAAAAGUCAUGGAGGAACUCUGCAAGAAAGGAGGUGGAGCUAUAAAACUUAUCCAGACCAUUGACCCGCCUAAACCUGCGGCUGAAAAGCCCAAAGGAACUGAAAAGCCCAAAGAAGCUGAAAAGCCCAAAGAAGCAAAGCCCAAAGAAGCAGAGAAGUCCACACCAGCACCAGCCGGUCCGAGUUCUCAAACGAUGAUGUAUGGGUUUAAUCCGCCGAUGAGGGUGGCUGAGCCGGUAAUGUAUAAUGGGUCUUACAACGGUUGGGCCUAUCAUAAUGGGUAUCCCGAAAGGCCCGUUUACGAUAGCUACGGUGGGCCACCACCACCGCCGUACUACGGUGAAGAUGGAUCCUGCUCUAUUAUGUGAAGUCGUGAUAGUACACUAAUUAAUAUCUCCCAAAUUUAUCUUAAUCUCCUUAUAAUGCCCCCUAAUUUAGUUAGAAGAAAAUCAAAAUUAGAUUUUUCUUAGCUUCAGAGUAUUAUUAUUUAAAAGCGCACUUGAAUUUUACAGUUUAGCUAUACGUAAUACUUUAUGCAAAUUGCAAAAGUAGGAAACUUUAUACAAUUAUUGGCUCUUCUUUGGUUGUUGGUAAGAGUUACUAAAUAGAGAAUUUUGAGCUUUAUAUAAAAUCUUUUGUUUCAUUAUUCACAAUCUCACAUGUAUUGUAGUUGCUCUCGUCUAGCAUAUGUAGAAUCAUAUACAAUUAUUAACAUUGCAUCUCUAACUAUAUAUACACAUCCAACUGUUAAAAGUUGACGAUUUAAACAAUCUAAAACGAAACCACGUUUGGAUCUUCAUAGAGUAACUGUGAAAUAGUUUGAGAAAAAGAUAAUAAAAAAAGGUGAAAAUUCUUCAGAAUAGCCUAACAUAUUGAGGAACUUACUAGACUAACCUUACAAAGUUGGUUUAAGUCCAUUUUAUCCAGAUGUUGAAUAUUAUUACGAAAAUGUCAUUAUGAUUUUUUUUUUAUAAAUUUUUUUUUUCGAAAAAACUUUAAUUUUGAAAAAAACUUUUUAAAAAAUCGAAAUUUUUUUUGACGAAAAAAGCAUUUUUUUAAACGAAAAAAGCAAAAAAAAAAAAAUAUACAAAACCAAAAACUAAAAAAAAAGAAACCCUAAUUCAUCUUCUUCUCUCUCUCUUUCUAAUGCGCCGUUUUUUUUCUCCCAUGGAGCUGCUCUUCUUCUUAAUCUUUUCAUUCCUCUCUUGCUCUCCUCUUUAUCUUUUCUUUUGUUUUGUUAAAUUUUUGUUGUAUGAAUAUGUAUUCUUUAUGAACUUCAAAGCUUCAAUGUUUCAGAUCGAGAAAAACACAACUAGUUCUACCGAUUUUUUGUAUCAAGAAGCCUCCAACGCUUCCAAGCUCGGAGAUCUAGAUCUUCCCAUGGUUUCUACAAUUCAUUCUGCUAUUAUGUGAGUUUUUUUUUCAUUUUUUCGAAUUCUUUGAUUUUUUUCUAGAUCUGGGUUUUUGGAUCUAAUAUCAACUAUAAACUAUGGAGAUGUGGCGGUUGGCGGUGACUCUUAAGCAGCAUUCUCGCUGCGUCGCGCAAACCACAGUGGAUAGACGUUGUUUCGAUGGAAUGGUGGUGUUGUGGAGGUUGUCGGCGGCAUAAAUUUUUUUUUCAGGUACGUUUGGUAGAUAUAUUUGGAAAUCGAUUUUGUAUUUUUUUUGUUGUAAAGUUCAUAAUGUGUGAUGGUAGAUUUAUUUGAAAAACGGUAUGUGGUUUGGUAGAUUAUUAGUUAUUUGAUGGUAGAUAUAUUUAGAAAACGAAAUGUGGUUUGGUAGAUUUAUUAGUUAUUUGAUGGUAAAAUUAUUUUAAAAACGAUGUCAUUUGGUAGAUUUAUUAGUCAUCUAAUGAUAGACUUAUUUGUAAAACGAUGUGAUUUGGUAGAUUUAUUAGUCAUUUAAUGGUAACUUAUUUGAAAAAUGAUAUGUGUUUGGUAGAUUUAUUAGUUAUUUAUGGUAGAUUUAUCAGUCGUAUAUAUUUGAAUUUUAUAUAUGAAUAGCAAUAUUUGUUUAUUUUUUUCUGACAGAUUAUGGGCUUUGCCAUGGUGAACAAAUCUUUGAAGGGAUAUCCAACACCGAUCCGACAUGUUUUACUAUGAAUUGUAGAUUUACAUUUGAUAGAUUUGUUUUGUAUAUCUAUAUUUGAAUUUGUAAAAAUGAUAAUUAGAUUUUGAAUGAUAAUAUUUUUGUUUACAAAUUAUAUUUGUCGUAAAACAUUGAUCCAGACAUUUCACAUUUUUAUCACAUUUGCUAGUAAUGUUAUUAUUCAAUUUAAUUUAUUUCAUUACUUUCACUAUGAUGUAUAUCAUAACUGAAAUCAUUUGACAUUGUGAUGUUGUAAAAGUUUAUGUAAAUAGAGUUAAAUGUAACAAAUAUUCAAAAAUAAAAAUCAAAAGAUCAUAAGUUAAGAGAUGGUUAUUACAAAUAUGACAUAUAUGUUCAAAAUUAAUAUGAAAAACAAAGUUAUCUUAGAGAUAUAUCAUAGAAAUAAUAUUCAUGUUAUAAAUUUUUGAUCAUUUAUUAUGGCAUCUAUAUCGUAAUGACCAAUACUCAUCUGUGAUUGAAUCACAGUUAACCGACAUAAUCUUAACAAACUCAUGCAAAGAAAACGUCAAUGGUAACAAAACCAAGUCAAAUAUAACCAUGGAACAAGUCUACCAUAUGUACGAAACCUGUUUAACAUACAACAUUCCAAAACAAGUCUACCAAACCGCUGGUUUUUUCGUAGAUAGGAGAAUAUAUUUAGGACAAAAAAGUAAUUUCAAUCCAAAAAGUCAAAUGUCUGCCAAACAUUAACAACUAAGUCUACCUCAAGCAUGAAAAAUAACUCUACCAUAUAAACAAGUCUACCAUAAGCAUGUCAUAUGUUUACCAGAUCAAGGUUAUCUCUGUAAAUACCAAACUUAAUUAAUCUACCACAUUAUUAUUUCAAGAAGUCUACCAUACGGUCGAUAAGUCUACCAGAUUACAUAAACUCUACUAAACAUACAAACAAAUCUACCAACAUCUUGUAAGUCUACUUCAUGUCAUUAUUAAUCUACCACAAAUCAGAAUGAAAUUUAUUUAAAAUAUAAGUCUACCACAAAACAAACAUAUCUACCACAAAACAAAUAAAUCUACCAACAGUUUUUAAGUCUACCUCAUGUAACAUAUAAUCUACCACUCACCGGAAUGAAUUUUAAGUGAAAUAAGUCUACCACAAGUCAAACAAAUCUACUACAAUAGCGAAAACUCUACCAACUAUAUAUAACUCUACCAUUAAACAGAUAUAUCUACCGCACGUAUUGACAACUUUUUUCACAUAAAUCUACCGCUAAAGGAAAUAAGUCUACCAACUCAGAAAAUAAAUCUACUUCAUUGUCAAUAAAUCUACCGAAAAAGUCAACUAUACGAGAAAGUCAACGCUUUUUUUAACAAGUCUACCAAAACUUUUGACAAGUCUGUCAUUCAUAACAACAAAUCUACCGAAACAUAAUAAAUCUACCUCUCAUCGUCAAAACUCUACAAAAAAAAAGUCUACCAACAGUUAAAAACUCUACCAACUCUUGAAUAAAUCUACCAUCGCCCUAAUAACUCUACCAACAAAAUUUCUGCGUUGACCAAAUUUUCAUAAGUCUACCGCCAUUGCUUGGUAGACUUAUUAAUUUUUGAGCGCAUAAAUCUGCCUACGUGGCAUUAAAAAAGUAAUGGCAUUUUCGUAAUAAAGUUUUUUUCAACAAAGGCGAAAAUGGUGUUUUGGGUAUGCUAGGUUAAUUUUGUAAAAAAAAUAAAAGUGCGUCGAACAAAUAAUAUAGAUACUUUCUAAGGUUAGUGUAGUAAUCCUCUCUAAAAAAAGUUGAUAGAUUACUCUGAUACUACGUUGAGAAAGUCGUUCUUCAUAACUAAGAAAUUUGUAACUAGGAGGAACAAAAGAACACUUUGUUUGGAAAAUGACGCCUUUAUUUGAUUUGAACUUUUAUUUGAACUUAUCGUUUCUAAAAAACAGGAAGCAAAUGGGAAUGUGGAAACAAACGUGAAGAUCGAAAAUGGUUUACUCUGAUCUGGAACAGAGAGAACCAAGUUUAUUAUUCAAACAAUGAAAAUAAGAAUAGGAAAAAUAGAGAGAUCCUCUUCUCUCUGACUUUCUCCCACCAACAGCUUUUUCCUCUUUCCCUUCGAUAGCUUAUUAAACCAAAAUUGCUUGAAAUUAGCUGAUUAUAAUAAAAUUUUGACUGAUUCGGUGUAAUCUUCGAUAUAAAAAAAAAAAAAAAAUCAAAAAUUGUAAUCAAACUGGGAAAAAAUUAAACAAAAAGAACUAUUUUAAUUUUCACUUUUGUACCUUAACCGAAUGGAAUGUGUAUGAUAUUCAAAUUUGAAGGUAACAAACAAAUAUGAAAACCGAACCGAAAACCAGACAAAAAAACCCAAAUUUUCUGUUACGGACCUCAGAUUGAAAUAAAAGGUUCAAUUAAAGGCCCAGAUCCAAAACUCGGCCUAUCUCUAUUGAUAGAAAAAAGGAGACGGCAAAUCAAUGGAAAGGGUUAGGGUUUUAGAAUCUUAUUAAGAGAAGCACAUCAGAAGAGAGGAAGAAGAAGAAGAAAAGCAGCCAUGUUUCCUGGAAUGUUCAUGCAAAAGCCAGACAAAGCCGUGGCUUUGAAGCAGCUACGGACUCAUGCUGCUCUGUUUGGAGGCUGGGUUGUCGUUAUCCGCGCUGUUCCAUACGUCUUCUCUUAUUUCUCCGAUUCCAAAGAUGAGCUCAAGAUCGAGUUUUAAGACUCGAUCCCCUUUCGAUUUUCAGGUUAGGGAAGCUCGAUUCUCCGAUUUUUGUAUCAAAUUAUGAUUCUGCUUUUUCAGAUUCUGAAAAUUUUGGGUUUUUUUAUUUCUGUCUAUAGUUUGCUAUCGAAUCUAACUGAAAUUCUCGAAUUGCUGUAAGGAAUGAUCGGGUAACGAGUGUAGUAAGAUCUUCGCCGAUACUAGAUUACGAUUAGAAUCUGAUCGAAUGAAUUAUAAUCUGUUUGAGAUCGUGUUUUGGUAUUUACUUGAGCUUGAUCAGAAGUAUAAAUCUGGAAUUUUCAGGUCUUUUUCUAAGUGUUACAUCUUUUGGGUCAUCAUCUCUUGUCUGUUCUUAGCUAAGGUUUUAAAUGCUUGCCCAUGAGAAAGUAUUCAGUCAUAAAAGCAUUGAUAUGCAUAAGCCUUUGAUGAGAAUAAAGAUUUGUGUAUGAAGUUAUCUUAUAUCAUAUAUGUAUGUCUACCAAAUUAACCCUUUAAGAUUUGGGGAUUGUUGAGUAUUGACUAUAUACUUAGGCAAGCUAGUCUGCCUUAGUAUAUAGUGUUCUGGCAUGAGAGUCUUUUUGAAGCAAUCUUGACGUUAAUCUUCAAUAUCCUCAUCACGUUAGGACAAAUUAAGUAGAGAAAUGUGUAUUGAAAGGUUAUAAAAUUGUGUGUGAUCUCUAUGUUAUGGAUUCGUCAUCUUCUUUCAUAUUCGUGCAGUGCUGAAGCGGUGAAGUAGAUGCAGCUUGGGACAAUGGAAGGCCUUUUGUUCUGUUUUUAACGAUCUUCUUAGGACCUGUAGCAACCACAUUGUGAGACAUAAAGUUAUAGCGAUGUACUUUUGCUAUUUGUUUUGUUUUAUGUUCUCUGGCUAUACUUUGUUCUCCUCCAUUUUCUUCUGAUUUAUUGGAAAGAGUAUUAAGAGUAACUAUUGUCGUUAUUAAUCACCUUAGGCCAUCUCUAGAAACAAUUUGCUUUAUCAAAGUACUGUCGUUAAAAAUCACCUUAGACCAUCUCUAGAAACAAUUUGCUUUAUCAAAUUCUGUUGAAUUCUGCAAAAUCUACUUAUUUGAUGCUGCAUUUUUCUCAGAUCCAACUUUUUGUUUAAUAGCGUUUUAAUUGUCACCUUUUUCCCUUAAUGAAACUAGUAAAAAUCCGGAUAUUUCUAACAUCUUUUGUCAUUUUACAAAAGCAAUCGACUUUUUGUAUUAAUGGACAAAAAUAUCAAGAAGAAACAAUAAAUAAAGGGGAGAGGUAUUAGGAGGAAAUGGAGAAGGAAGGAAUAAUAGUGUUGCAUAACUGUUUGCCCCGACAUUUGCUCUGCUUUGUCUGAUGAAUACAGACCACAACUCUUUCUUCAUGAACAGUCUUCUCUUUUCCACCAUUCGUAAACUCUCACACACAACGUGCGAACCAGAAACUCUUAUCAACCUGUCUUUCUUUUUAAUUCUCCUUUUUUUUCUCUUCUUCGUCAUGAUCAUGAUUAUCGUAUCUUUGAUUCCACCAGAAAAGAUUAACAACGAAAACCCUGAUCAUUUAAUUGAAAAAAUCCAGAAGAUUUGCCCAGACACAUGUCAAAAGUUUCAAUCUUUUUUCGAGUUUUAGAUUAAGCAAGCUCUUUUCAGUUACGUGCGACACAAGAUAAGCUGGUGAUGGUGGAGGUUCCUGGCUCUGUCGGCACAAGUGCAAGCCUUUCCUUGAGAUUAGGUCAAACGGUGUUAGCAUUUGGGGCUCUACUCUUCAUGACCAUUGGUGUUCGCUUCUACCAAUUCACUGCUUUCUGGUGAUAAUAACUCCUAAUUCGAGAUUCUGUAUAUUCUCUUAUGAACCCUAAUUAAUCUUAUGAACAAUUCUGCAGCUACUUGGUGACGAUCAUGUCUUUAGCUAUACCGUGGAAUCUGACAUUGGCAAUGGUAGAUAUGUAUUGUGUUCUUCUCAAACAACCAUUUCAAAAGCCACGAAUCCUUCUCGCCAUCUCAAUUGGUGAUUGGGUAAGGCAAUUAACGUAUCUAAUAUGCUUACUAAUAAAAACACCGAGAUUACUAUCUGAAUUCAACCAAUUUUUGUUUUGCAGGUGAUGUCUGUUUUAGCGUUGGCUUCAGCUUCAUCAACAGCUAGUGUUGUAGAUAUCCUGCGAUCAGACGAAUCCGUUUGCCCUCCAACAAUCUGUAACAGAUAUCAAUUUGCAGCCACAUUAGCUUUCUUGACUUGGUUCUUGUCUCUUUCUUCUUCUCUAUUCAAUCUCUGGUUACUUCCUUCUCUCUGAUCUAAAUAGAUUAGAUGACAAACAAACAAAAUACAAAUAGAUAGCUAAACACAAAAUGUUUAUAGAAACUGAUCUUUGUUACUUGACAGAUAUCAUUACAUCAAAACUCUUUUAUUGAACACUUUAUAUGACAGUGAAAAACUGAUGUUGCAACUUGCAGUUGAAUGGCCAUACGGAGUUUUGGUAGUGAUCUUUACUUUGUAUCGUAAUGGUGUCAUUUGUCGAGCCAAAGAAGUUUUACAUGAGAUUUUACUCAUUGUUCCAUGCCUCAAAUUGCAAUGCACAGACUUGCCAAAAUGACACAUGACACAUUCAAAGCUCACUAACCCAAAGUUUACUAACAGUGUUAUUCAUUAACUUUGACUAAAUUAUCAUAAUCAUCUCAGGAAACCAAAUAACACAGACAUCACCCAAAAGCAAUACACUUUGAUGGAAUAUAUUGAUCAGUACAACGCCUUGUGCCGUCUCCUUUGGAGCUCAUGAAAUCCAGUGUGUAUUCUAGAGACACAUUUCCCUUCCUAGCAAAACUGCAGCAAAGGGACCAAUGAUCACGGUAAGGCAAAACCUAAAAUACCCAGUAAGGUUUGAAAGAGAGCGACCCAUAAUAACCAGAGUCUAAAUCCAAACGGGAAGACAAACAAUGUACUAACAUUUCGAUUCCAUAGUGUUAAAAGUGUUAAAAUUUUCAAGAAUCUGACAAUAAGAUGCAUAUUUUUCAUACAACAAUGCUUUUAAUCUUAGGACCCACUAACAUCCAUAAACUGCAAAUGGCUUAUACGAGAAAAAUAAAGACAAAGUGAAAACGUGCAUCCAAGUCAGUUCACACUAAAGUUCCAGAUUACAUAGUCUUGGUAAGCAAGAUUCAGUAGCAGAGGCUUGAAACAGUUAAAUGCAAUACCAAAGGACUAAUCUUGGUAAGAAAAAUUCAGUAGCAGAGGCUUGAAACAGUUAAAUGCAAUACCAAAGGACUAAAGGACUAAUAUUGAAGCCAAAUUCAGUAGCAGAGGCUUGAAACAGUUAAAUGCAAUACCAAAUGACUAAAGGCCUAAAUUUGGUAAGCAAGAUUCAGUAGCAGAUGCUUGAAACAGUUAAAAAUACAAUACCAAAGGACUAAAUCAAUCACCUUAAGAAGUGGAAGAUGGAGGAAUCUGAGACUGGGCAGUAGAGUCAGCAAUGGAGGCUGAGGAACUGGUUGCAGCAGCAGCAACAGCAGCAGCGGCUGCUUGAGGAGAAUAGAUUCGAGCUUUCUUGAUGAUCUCUGCAACAACCCAAUGCUUAUGCUUGCUCAAAGGCCUUGAUGGAUCUAAUUUCACCUGCACGAUAACCAAACCAAAGCUCUCACUUUUGAAUUUUCUUGCUCUAAUCUAAAGAAUCAUAAUGUCUACUUUUUCUUCCACUAGUUGAGAGAUCAACCAAAAUGUAGAUGAAAACAAGAUCACAAAAUCUCCCGACUUUCACGAGCAAACAAAAUUCGAGUGAUAGGGAAGAAGGUAAACAAUUGAAUUACUCGAUCGCCGAUGUUACAAGAGUCUUUCUCGUCGUGAGCCAUGAACUUGGAAGUGCGCUUGACGUAGCGAUUGUAGAGCUUAUUGUGGAAGAGUCUGUCGACGGCGACGACUACAGAUUUCUGCAUCUUGUUCGAUACCACUGUGCCUAUUACUGGCUUCAUUUUUUUUGUUUUUUCUUUUCCGGUGAGCGAAAUUCAGGAAAAAAAAAAUACGAAUGAGAGAAAUUUACUAGCAGAACACGAGAAAAUCAACCGAGAGAAUGAACAAAAAAAAUCCUUCGUCUUGAGAGAAUCCGAGAUCGAAGAGAAGAACAGUGGUGUAAUGUUUCGAUGAGUAACUAGGGUUUUUCUGGGCUCUUUCGAGUUUAUUAUGAUGGGCCUUUUUAAUCCAUUUUCCCUGAAUUAUAGCCCAACUCAACAAACUAAAUUUAGAUAUAUAUAGAGAGAGAUAGGUAUUUUAUUAAAAGGCUAAUUGAGGAUAUAAUCACACAGAUCAUCAGUUUCUUUAGGUGACUUGCGUCUGGGGAGACGCUGUGUGUGCCGUAUUUUUUUUUUUUUUAAUGUGUCUUCAGGAUUUUGAAAUAACAAACUUGAAAUAACUUAGAGAUAAUUCCUAAAUAUACAGUAAAACCUCUAUAAAUUAAUAAUAUUGAGACCAUGAUAAUUUAUUAAUUUAUCGUGAUAUUAAUUUAUCUAUAAAUUAUUAAUUAUUAAUUUAUAGAGAAAAUUUCCGCAUAUAAUUUUCUAAAAAUUUCGUUGUAUUAAUGUUAUAUUUUAAAAUUUUAACAAAUCUCAUGAUAUAAAUUAUGAUUAAGAAUCAUAACUAUCACAAUAAAAUAGUUUUUAACACCAUAUUGGAUUGUCCAUGUAAAAAUAUACAUGUUCAUAAGUUUAAAAUUUAUAAAAAAAUCAUGGCUGCUAUCAAUAUUACUGAUGAUAAAAUUGAAGAUAACACUACAAUACAUUUAAAAACAUUUAAAAGUAAGAAAAUCAAUUAUCACGUCAAAAAAUCAUCAUAAAUGUUGAAUGUAUAUAGUAAAAGAGCAAUAAAAACUACUGAUAUAAUAACUAGAGAGAUAAGAACCAAUGAGAUUUCAAUUUUAAGUAAAAACAAACACAUUAGUCAUAUUUUAGAAUAUUGUAUUUAUAUAUAUUUGCAUAAAUUUAUAUCAUUAUUAAUUUAUGUUUUUGUUGGGACCAUAAAUUUACAUAAGGGUUUCAAAAAAAAUUAUUAUCUUAUUAUCUUAUCGAAUUUGAUGGAUUUUUACAUUGGCCCGAUUUGGGACCAGCAAAAUUUAUUAAUUUAUAGUGAUUAUUAAUUUAUCGAGUAUUAAUUUAUAGAGGUUUUACUGUACAUAUCUAAUAUGGAACUAUUCCUAAAAGGAUUAGGAAAGAUCUCCCUAUAUAAGAAGAUGUCAAGUUGUAACAUAGCUUAUGAAUUGUGAGAGAUUAAACAUUUAAGGUUUUGAGUCAGUUUCCUUAAGCUAAUAAGAGAGUUAUUCUUAUUAAUCCUCAGAGUUUACUUUACUUACAAGCGAUAGAUUCGUCUAGGAGGGAUCGAAUAAUGGAAGGAUCCGAUGUAAUUUAGUUCAAUUUUCAUCCAUGAUUUGAUUUGAUUUUCUUUUUGUUGGACAUCGCGAACUUGAAGUGAUUUUUUUUUUUUGAAUGUGUCUUCAGGAUUUUGAUUAUUCAGAGGGUGGAGGAGAAGAGAAUUCGUCUAGGGGGAUAUAGUAAUGGAAGAAUCAGAUGUAAGUUACAGUAGAAACUCUAUAAAUUAAUACUUGAUAAAUUAAUAAACACUAUAAAUUAAUAAUUUUUUAUGGUCCUAAGUUGGGCCAAUUUAAAAUAUGACAUAAUUCGAUAAGAUAAUAAGAUAAUAAUUUUUAACAAAACUCCUAUGUAAAUAUAUGGUCCCUGUUAUAACACAUAUCAUAUAUGGACUCUUAUACCGGCCCAUUAGGCCCAUCAGGGCAUUGUACUUAACCUAGAUUCCCUAUGUACUCUAUAUAUACAUUCCAGUGAUUAAUAAAGUUUCUAAGUUUUCACAACACGUUAUCAGCACGAUAAGACUCUCUGAGCGAAAAAUCCUAAUAAAUCCGGCCACCACCAAAACCCUAAAAGCAAGUCGAAACUUAAAAGACGCAUAUCUUCCAAACCGUGAGGAACCAGAAGACGAUCUACAUAUCAAAUCGAAGCCCUCGACGAGACGAAUCUACUGGUGAAAACCGUUUGUCGAUCCAACGUCGGACGCACCCUCACGCACACUUACAGUACACGACGAUCAACCGAAAAAAAAACCAGAUCCGAGUUUUUCCUUCUUCAACCAGCAGCUUCUCCAGUUUUGGUGAUCAAUCCUUGGAAUUUGUAGCGGCUAACUGAGGUCUAUUAGCUCCCAGUUUCAUUAGCCUGUCAGAAAUCCAAAAGUGGAAAAGCACACCAACAAAUGGAAACCAUAGUCGUAGAUAGUGGAUCCAGCCACACUAUCUUAAGAAACAAAAGUUACUUCAUAAACCUAACCUAUCAAACCGCAAAUAUUAGCACCAUCGCGGAUCCCUCAAACCUUAUCGAAGGAUAUGGCCAUGCCUAUGUAUUGCUAUCAAAUGGCACACAACUUGAAAUACCAGAUGCUCUAUAUUCUCCUAGUUCGAAGAGAAAUCUUCUGAGCUUCAAGGAUAUAAGACAUAAUGGUUUCCACAUAGAAACCCAAGGUCAAGGGAACAAAGAAUCCCUCCUAGUCACUAAAACCGUAGACGGCCAUAAACAAAUCCUCGAAACCAUACCCGCGCUCUACUGGACUUUACCAUGCUAAAGUCAGUAUGAUUGAAGCUAAUACCACUCUCAAAGCCCGGUUUACUGAUUAUACUAUUUGGCACGACCGGCUCGGUCAUCCCGGUGCAAAUAUGAUGCGUAAACUAAUUCAAAACUCUCAAGGGCAUACCCUCAAAGAAAACCGAGCUUAUCCUCAACACCUCAUGUGCACAGCUUGUUCUCAAGGCAAAUUGAUCACUCGGCCUUCACCAGUUAAAAUCUCUAAACAAACACUUCAUUUCCUAGAAAGAAUCCAGGGCGAUAUCUGUGGACCUAUACAUCCAUCUUCCGGACCAUUCCGGUACUUCAUGGUCCUUAUAGACGCAUCGACCCGUUGGUCAUAUGUUUGUCUCUUGUCCUCUCGGAACCAAGCCUUCGCUAGGUUCUUGGCCCAAAUCAUAAAAUUGCGGGCCCAUUUCCCUGACUUCCCACUAAAGACUAUCCGCCUUGACAAUGCUGGUGAAUUUACCUCACAAGCGUUUAAUGACUACUGUAUGGCCAUGGGGGUAACCGUGGAACAUCCUGUACCACAUGUCCAUACUCAAAAUGGAUUGGCUGAAUCAUUCAUUAAACGCAUUCAAUGGAUAGCCCGACCAUUACUCAUGAGAUCAAAGCUCCCGGCCUCAGCAUGGGGACAUGCAGUAUUACAUGCUGCUGAACUCAUACGCAUCCGGCCAUCUAGUGAACACAAAUAUUCCCCAUCCCAACUACUCUCGGGUCAUGAGCCAGACAUCUCCCAUCUCAAAACAUUUGGGUGUUCAGUAUAUGUACCCAUUGCUCCACCACAUCGAACCAAAAUGGGACCUCAAAGAAGGAUGGGAAUAUAUGUUGGUUUUGACUCUCCCACCAUCAUAAGAUAUCUCGAGCCAACCACUGGAGAUCUCUUCAAGGCCAGAUAUGCGGAUUGCCAAUUCGAUGAAUCGGUAUAUCCCUCUUUAGGUGGUGAGACAAAGAAGCUGGUCAAAGAUCUUUCAUGGAAUCAAACAUCAUUAAAUUGGCAAGAUCCUCGGACUCUAGAAUGUGAUUCAGAGAUCCAAAAGAUUAUUCAUUAUCAAAAGCUAGCUAAUCAAUUGCCAGAUUCCUUUGCUGACCCGACCAAAGUAACCAAAUCGUACAUCCCAGCUUGUAAUGCACUAGUACGAAUAGCUGUCCCAACGGGACAGACCCAAGUUGCUACAGAGUCUGCACCACGUCUCAAACGGGGCAGACCUCUCGGUUCCAAAGAUAAGAAUCCCCGGAAAUCAAAGAAAGGUGCAAUAACCGAAACCGGGAUUCCUGCAAUAUCAGACAUAGCCGCGGCUGAGACUCAAUCUAAUGAACCCUCAAUGGAAGUUCGGGACGCCGAAUCUCCAGGUUCAGAAGAUAACAAUGAGAUCUCCAUCAAUUACAAUAUGUCCGGAAUACAAUGGAAUCGAAAAGAAGUCGACUUAAAUGCACUCUUUGCAUACAAAGUAGCACUUGAUGUUGCGCUCACGCAAGAGGAUCUAGAACCCACGUCAAUAACACAGUGUACACAUCGAACAGAUUGGCUAAAAUGGAAAGAAGCCAUAAACGUGGAGUUAAAGAGUCUCAAACUCAGAAACGUGUUCGGUCCGAUCAUCCGGACCCCAUCACACAUCAAGCCAGUGGGCCACAAAUGGGUCUUUGUGCGCAAAAGGAACGAACUCGGAGAAGUCGUUCGAUACAAAGCACGGCUUGUAGCACAAGGAUUCUCACAGAGACCCGGAAUCGAUUAUGAGGAGACUUAUUCUCCAGUGGUGGAUGCAACAACAUUCCGAUUCCUCAUAAGUCUGGCCAUAAGAGAAAAUCUUGAUCUGCGGUUAAUGGAUGUUGUAACCGCAUAUCUCUAUGGGCCCCUGGACAACGAAAUAUAUAUGAGACUCCCAGAUGGCAUUGAACUAAAAGACAAAAAUGCAUCUCGAGAUCAAUACUGCAUCAGGCUGAACAAAUCCUUGUAUGGACUGAAACAAAGUGGGCGUAUGUGGUACAACCGCCUCAGCGAUUACCUCAUCAAAGAAGGCUACAAAAAUGACCCCAUCAGUCCAUGCAUGUAACCGCAUAUCUCUAUGGGCCCCUGGACAACGAAAUAUAUAUGAGACUCCCAGAUGGCAUUGAACUAAAAGACAAAAAUGCAUCUCGAGAUCAAUACUGCAUCAGGCUGAACAAAUCCUUGUAUGGACUGAAACAAAGUGGGCGUAUGUGGUACAACCGCCUCAGCGAUUACCUCAUCAAAGAAGGCUACAAAAAUGACCCCAUCAGUCCAUGCAUCUUCAUCAAGAAGUACUCAAACAAAGGAUUUGUAAUCAUAGCAGUAUACGUGGAUGAUCUAAACAUCCUCGGAACAUCUGGUGAGAUCUCCCAAACAGUCGACUGCUUAAAAGCAGAAUUCGAAAUGAAAGACCUAGGCAAAACAAAGUACUGUUUGGGAUUACAACUUGAGUACAUCAAAGGAGGAAUCCUUGUGCAUCAAUCGGCUUAUAUCGAAAAGGUACUCAAGCGAUUUAAUAUGGACCAAGCUCACCCAUUGACCAGCCCAAUGGUAGUUAGAAGCUUAAGUGAUGACCCUCUUGGUCCCAAAAAGGAUGAUGAAGAAAUCCUUGGUCCUGAAAAGCCAUACCUCAGUGCUGUAGGAGCGUUAAUGUACCUGGCUAGUCACACUAGACCAGACAUAUGUUUCGCCGUGAACCUCCUCGCUCGAUAUAGUUCAUCUCCAACUCAGAGGCACUGGAACGGUAUAAAACAUCUCCUAAGAUACCUUCGAGGUACUCAAGACUUAGGACUCUUCUAUACUAACCAAAAUAAAGAUGGGUUAGUCGGCUUCGCCGAUGCAGGAUAUCUAUCAGAUCCGCACACUGCCAAGUCUCAAACUGGCUACGUUUUUACGCAUGGAGGAACAGCCAUCUCUUGGAGAUCAAUGAAGCAGACACUCACUGCCACUUCAUCAAACCAUGCUGAAAUCCUAGCCAUUCAUGAGGCUAGUAGGGAAUGCGUCUGGCUGCGCUCCAUGACUCAGCACAUCCGCAGAGAUUGUGGUAUGGACGAAGACACACAGCCCACGGUGAUGUAUGAAGACAACGCGGCAUGCAUAGCUCAGCUCAAGGAAGGAUAUAUCAAAGGAGAUCGGACGAAGCACAUUCUACCGAAGUUCUUCUCAACCUCAGACUGGCAGAAGGACGACACUCUCAGCGUUCAGCAGGUCCGAUCCAGUGAGAAUUCAGCUGACCUCUUCACCAAAUCAUUGCCUACUUCAACACACCGGAAGCUCGUCAAACAGAUAGGAAUGUAUAGACUUAGAGAUCUGCAGUGAUGCUACAAUCAGGGGGAGUAAUGCGUGUUGUACUCUUUUUCCUUCACCAUGGUUUUGUCCCACUGGGUUUUUCCUGGUAAGGUUUUAAUGAGGCAACAUUCCCCAGCACAUUAUCGAGAUCCCGAUUGAGUAGCUGACCCGGUUCACUAGUCCAAGGGGGAGUGUUAUAACACAUAUCAUAUAUGGACUCUUAUACCGGCCCAUUAGGCCCAUCAGGGCAUUGUACUUAACCUAGAUUCCCUAUGUACUCUAUAUAUACAUUCCAGUGAUUAAUAAAGUUUCUAAGUUUUCACAACAGUCCCAUUAUUAUCAUAAAUUAAUAAUUAUCAUAAAUAAAAUUUGAUAUAAACAUAUAAGUGAGAUAAUCUACCAAAAUAUGAGUUUAGUGAUGUUUUUUAAUUAUUUUAAAUUGAAAUCUUCUUAGAACUCUUUUUUAAUUUUUGAAAGAAUUUUUUAAAUAUUAUAAACUUCAAAGAAAAUCUCUUUCAGAAUUUAAAAUUAAUAAAAAAUAUUUUUAUUUAAAAUCUAUAAAUUAAUAACUCUAUAAAUUAAUAAAAUAUCAAAGUCCCAACAUUAUUAAUUUAUAGAGUUUUUACUGUAGUUCAAAUUUCAUCCAUGAUUUGAUUUGAUUUUCUUUUUGCUGGACAUGGCAAACCUGAAGUGAAUUUUUUUUUAAUGUGUCUUAGGGGUUUGACUACCCCGAGGGUGUUCCAGUAAGAUAUAUUACCCAUGGGCUCAUACACUAUGACUGUGAACCCAAGUAUUCAAUUUAUCCUAAUCCUACUUUGGUCAAGCUCUAUGCUAAGAUGGGGAUUCACAGAUACAAUUUGUUGGAGGUAAAAUUCUUGUUUUUGAGUUUACAUUAUACAUUCCAUUCUCAAUCUCUUUUAAUUCGUUUCGUUUCUUUUAGGGGUUCCAUUCUCAAUCUCUUUAAUUCGUUUCUUUUAGGGGACCAACUGGAAGUUCUCUAAGCUAAAGAGUUUCAACACGAGAAUGAACUGUGGUGCUGCCCCUUAUUACAUCACCUUGGCUGCAUACCUUCAAUCUAGUGAUUUGCGACAAAAUGUGCAAGUUAGUGAAAAGGAUCUUGGGGUUUUAGAUCUUACUUGCUCUAUUGCUAGACCUCGAGGUAAAGUCGAUGUGAAUCUUUAUUCAAUUUUAAUUUACACAUUGUCACAAAGUUUAUUUAUAGAAUUUUUUUAAUUUUUUUUUUUUACAGUGACUAACUCGUGUUCUUCAACAACUGAUGAGAAGGUGCCUUUCCAAGUGUCUACUAGGCUGCCCCAUUGGCCAUCGUCUUUCAAUGAUCCAAACCGUUUCUGCUUGGUAAGAUUUAGAACUAUCAAAUUAUUAUUAUAUUAAAACUUGUGGUUGGAUGCAUCGAUCAGAUACAAAUCGGUUUUUACUUCUUAUGAAAAUUAUUAUUGUAUUAAGACUAGACUUGUGUUUGUGUGGUUGCAUGCAAUCAUCGUUUCUACUUCUUAAGAAGAUUAUUAUUAUAUUAAGACUGGACACAUGUCUACGUAUUAUAUAUUAAGGACAUUUGCAUCGGUUUUGCGAUAUGUUUUGUUUGACUCUUUGCAGGUGGAUUUAUCUCAUGUGUCAUACUAUGACUGGAUCAAUUUGUAUUUGGAGCUUGCAUAUUGUGCUUACGAUAGGGGUAUUACUGAUGUAAGUGUUUUUUGUUUGUUUUCCUUUCAUUAGUUUUUUUUGGUUUGCUAUAUAUAUAUAUAUAUAUAUAUAUAUAUAUGGUAUUGACACGUAACUCUUAUUGCUGCAGUGCCAUCUUUCCAAGUUUAACUUGAAGAUUGUGCAAGUUGCAGUAGAAUCUCCCGAUGGUUUUCAGCCUCCCCUCAUCGACUCCAAAACUGCUGUUGUGUACAUAGUCUAUAAAGACUUGAACAAGGCUUGUGAUUGCAAAGCCAUUUUUAGGCGCCUAUAUGAUGAGGCUACAGGACGUUUUAGUCUCAAGGGCAAGUAUUGGUGUGAAGGAAAAAGCUUCUAAGAAGAAGAGAUCUGCAAUGCGUAGGCGUUUAUCUGUUCAUCGGAUUUGGCGGUUCCUCCGUCUCUCCGGUCGCCGCUAAUAUAAGAGAUUUGAAUCAGAUGGAUUACUUUUAUGUAGUUUUAUGCUUUUAGUAUUCGUCUUUGUACGCUUUUUUAAGUGUGUACUGUUUUUUUUUUUUUAAUGCAAGGAUCCAACUUACAAUCUUUUAUCAUUUCGUUGAAGUCUCUCGGUGGGUCACAAUUUUGAUUAUAGUAAGCACCUCAUUGUCUGCAGUUAAUUACGGUUAUAGCACAAGAGCAGAGCUAAACUGGGUGCUUGAAGAAAAAUGAAUCAUAAGAUGCAGAUUAUAUCUGUCUAGAAUAUGACUACUUACCAGACCCAUUGAAAAUCUUAGCCGUGUUACCAGACCCUUUUCACUCCUACGUAACUACUUGGCAUACUUGUGCAAUAAAAUAACGUGAAUAUAAGCAAUGCCAGCAACCAAAAACCUCAGUCAAGUCACAAAUUAGAAUGUUAGACAUAUGACCUUGGCCUUGUUUGUUUGCUCAUUUGUCAUUUGCAUCUAGAUAAUCCAUUUAAAUGAUCCAUUUGGAUGAGUCAUCUGAGAGUGAUACACAUAACAAAUGAGCAAACAAACAUUUAAAUGAGAAAUUGACAAAUGAGCAAUGAAAAUGAGAUUUUACGUUUUUGGCAAGAAAAUGAGAUUUUACGUUUUUACGGAAAAACAAAAUUUUACGCUUUUUGACAGAGAAAAAACGAAAUUUUACGUUUUUGACAAAAAAUAUGAUUUUACGUUUUGAAGGGAAAACAAAAUUCGUUUUUGAAGGGAAAUCAAAAUUAUACGUUUUUAAUGGAAAAACAAGAUUUUACGUUUUUAACGGGAAAACGAGGUUUUAUGUUUUUUAACGGGAAAACAAGAUUUUAUAUUUUUUACCAGAAAACGAGAUUUUACGUUUUUAACGAGAAAACAAAAUUUUACGUUUUUAACGGAAAAACGAGAUUUUAUGUUUUUAACGGGAAAACGAAAAAUUUACGUUUUUAAUGGGAAAACGAGAUUUUACGUUUUUAACGGGAAAACAAGAUUUUAUGAUUUGUGACAGAAAAACGAGAUUUUAUGUUUUUAACGGAAAAACGAGAUUUUAAGUUUUUAACGGAAAACGAUAUUUUACGUUUUUGAUGGGAAAACGAAAUUUUACGUUUUUGACGGAAAGUGAGAUUUUACGUUUUUAACGUUAAAACGAGAUUUUACGUUUUUAACGGAAAAACGAGAUUUUAUGUUUUUAACGAAAAAAUGAGAUUUUACGUUUUUUGACGGGGAAACAAAAUUUAAUUUUAUGUUUUUGACGAGGAAACGAGAUUUUACGUUUUUUGACGGGAGAACAAAAUUUUAGGUUUUUGACAAAAAAACGAGAUUUUAUGUUUUUUUACAGUAAAACGAGAUUUUACGUUUAUGAUGGGAAAACGAAAUUUUAUGUUUUUGACGGGAAUACGAGAUUUUACGUUUUUUACGGUAAAACGAAAUUGUACGUUUUUUACGGGAAAACAAGAUUUUACGUUUUUGAUGAAAAAACGAGAUUUUACAUGUUUUAUCGAGAAAAUGCGAUUUUUUUACUGAGUCAUGUUCAUCCAAAUGUUUCAAAUUGAAUCAGUUGGAUGAGUUUCAAAUUUUUUCAUAAAUUUAUAUGUCAUCCAAAUGAUCCAUCUAGAUGUAUCAUCUAGAUGAGUCAAUUUAUGUAAUUAAACAAACAUCUGAUUCAUCUGGAUGAUCCAUCCAAAUGAGCAAACAAACAGAACCUAUAUAAUAAAACAUUCUUUUUUUUUUUGUUGUCUUCAUAUAAUAAAACCUUCAAAAACUCAAAUACUGUAGUUGUUGUCUUUUUAGUUUUUACGUAAGUUUUUGCUUUUUGAUUCUCAAAAACUAAAUUAACCAUCUCAUCUAUACUAUAAAAGAAAGUCAAAUUUUCACUCUUUUUUAGACCAUCGCGUAAAUCUUAAUUUUCUAAAAAUAAUGAAAACAUAUAGGAAGUAAUCUUUCGUUUCUGUUCAACGUUUAUUUAUUGUUUUGAAAGUGCCAAUACACGAAGAGGCUCGUUACCAUUAUCCACCUCAUUCACCCACAAUUUGUAUGUAUUGAAAGUUGAAACCAAAACAAAAUAAUACCAUGUAUAUUAGUAUAUAUUUUUGAGUGAAUGAACUAGAGAGCAAUAGUAAACGGCUAUUAGCAAAAUAACAAGAUCCGAUCUUUGACCCAAACAAGAAAAAUAUUUUGCCAUCCUUCUUACCUAUUAAAAGAGUCUAACAGUUAGAGAUUUGUUCAUAUAUACAGUUCUGCAUAUAUUUGCUUGUAAUUUUUUUACACCUUUUUAUUAACUUUGAAUUUUAGGAUAAAUCAAUUUUUCUGUUUCUUUAAUACAUAUUAAUAUUUUAUAAUUUAAUUGAUUGGUUAAUGUCAAAAUAAAUAAUCUUGCCAAAAACGUUAAAUACUACUAACGAGAAGCUGUUCAAUCACUGGUUUUGAAAUUGUUUUCAUGGAAAUAAUAAAUUCAUGGGAUAUGUUAAAUCAUUUCUCAUGAUCUAUUUCCAUGGAAGCUACGCUGACUAAGGUUAAAUAUCUGAAUAAUUUAUAUGGAUAUCCAAAUUUAAUUUCAUUAAUUUAUUUCCAUAAAGGAUUUCCAUAAAUUUAUAUAAAGCUCUCUCAAUCAUACCAACUGAUAUUGCAAUUUUGAAAAGUAAUAUUGUGAUGAAGAAAUCAAAUUUAGUUCUUGUGGUCAUUUCGUUUGGUCUCCUCUUUGCUUGUGUCAUUUAAGCUACAGAUAAGAACUUUCAAGAUGAGACAAGCGGUUUAGUCUGGCCUAGAAAAUUGGCUAGAGGACCGGUUGAUCCACCACCAACCAUGGUCGGCCUAAAACCAUGGUCACCAUCACAACGUCUCAUUUUCAAAAUGUUACCAAAAGGCGUUCCAAUCCCGCCUUCGGGACCUAGCCGGCCGCCUAGAUCCGUUUGAAUGCAAUGAUCAAUUUCGUCAUGCGGAUUCUUCUUCUUCUAAUGUUUGAAUAAACGUAUCACAUUAUCUACGUCUUAAAGAUUUGUUAUUUGAGAUCUGAUGGAUAAUUUAAAUAAAAGAAUGAACAUUAUGUUUCAAAAUCCGCCAAGCAUUUAUCAAAUUUUCAAUGUAUUUUACAAACGAUUAUGCCUAGAUUAUGAGCCACAUAUUCAUUUCCAUGAUAUUUUUUUAGAGACAGGAGAAAGUCCAAAUACAAAUCCGUUAAAGAUCUCUAAGCAUUCAACAAAACUCAAAACUUUUGAUUCAAAGCUCAAUUUUUUGUUUUUUUGUUUUUUUCACCUAAUUAACUUUUUGGGUGCAGAGAACAUUAUCACUAGUUAACGUUUUUUUCACAUAAUCUCUGCACCCAAAAAAGAUAAUUAGUGAUAAUGACAAUAACACCAUUCUUAUCCGAAAGACUUCAAAUAUUUGGUCUGUGUUUGUCUUUGAACAGUAGGUGUGAGUGUGUGACUAUGACCUUAAUUUCUCUGAUUGUUAGAACUUCCAAACUACUAUUCCUAGUUAAACAAAGGAUGGGAGAUUCUACAAUAUAUAAACCCUAAACCCAGAUCAACAAAAUCUUGUAGUUUUCAAACUAUUGUAGUUAGCAAUGGUAAAACUCGCUUUAAUUCUUGUGAUAUUGUAUAGUCUCGUCUUCGCUAGUAUCCUUGAUGGUUGAUGCAACCCCUCCAAACCAAACCAAGGCCCUGUACCGGUGUGGACCUUCUCCAAGGAGUUCAGAUAACCCACCAGGAGCUCCUCCAGCAAAAACUAUCAAGGAUGUGCCCCUGUCUGGACCUUCUCGAGGGAGUUGGGAUAACCCAUAUGAAGCGCUUCCAGCACACGUACACCACAGAGGCGGAACGUACGGAUACAUACAAUCAUAUAACUUGACAAACAAGAAAGCCUAACCACCAAAAAGAAAAAAAAAAAAAACAAAAAUAGUAGUAUUCACCCUGUAUAUUCUCUAUAUUCUAACUUACGGUGUAGAAACUCAAGGCACUUCAAAUAAAGACUACAUGCAAAUCAAUUCUGAAGUUUCAGUUUCUCUUAGCUCAUCUCUGUUGUUUCCAUACGAUCAGCAACAUGUAGAAUCUGCUCUCAAGUGCACGCGUUCUUGAAAACUAAACCUUUUUCUACAUAAUUCUGUACUUUAUUAAUAGGUUCUGUCUUGAAAUGUAUCAUACUCGAAUAGCUUAAUAAAAAAAAAGUCUUGAUUAGCUCGGGAACUUUGAUCCAGCAAACGAUUCAUGUCAUCAUCAUCAGCAAACGAUGAACAAUGUUAAAAAAAAACCUAAAAAAGUGAUGGUUUAAUUGAGAUCGGCUUAUUGGGUCAUACUCGAAUAGCUUUAUUAAUAGGUUCUGUCUUGAAAUGUAUCAUACUCGAAUAGCUUAAUAAAAAAAAAGUCUUGAUUAGCUCGGGAACUUUGAUCCAGCAAACGAUUCAUGUCAUCAUUCAUCAGCAAACGAUGAACAAUGUUAAAAAAAAACCUAAAAAAGUGAUGGUUUAAUUGAGAUCGGCUUAUUGGGUCAUAGUGGGCUCGGAAGGCACCGGGAGGUGGACGCUGCUCUGUGAAACCAGCCUCACGCAGUCUCCUCUGCUCUAAGAAAUGGUUUAAUUGAGAUCGGCUUAUUGGGUCAUAGUGGGCUCGGAAGGCACCGGGAGGUGGACGCUGCUCUGUGAAACCAGCCUCACGCAGUCUCCUCUGCUCUAAGAAAUGGUUUAAUUGAGAUCGACUUAUUGGGUCAUAGUGGGCUCGGAAGGCACCGGCCCGUUAUCCUAAGGAUACUCUACCAAAAGCGGGAGGUGGCGGGAGGUGGACGCUGCUCUGUGAAACCAGCCUCACGCAGUCUCCUCUGCUCUAAGAAAUGGUUUAAUUGAGAUCGGCUUAUUGGGUCAUAGUGGGCUCGGAAGGCACCGGGAGGUGGACGCUGCUCUGUGAAACUAGACUCACGCAGUCUCCUCCGCUCUAUGAAAUGGUUUAAUUGAGAUCGGCUUAUUGGGUCAUAGUGGGCUCGGAAGGCACCGGCCCGUUAUCCUAAGGAUACUACCAAGAGCGGGAGGUGGACGCUGCUCUGUGAAACCAGCCUCACGCAGUCUCCUCCGCUCUAAGAAAGUCUGAACCACAAGCCUUCGCUUAGGUCCGAACCUUCAACUCUCAGCUUGGAAUGGGCAGGCGAGUAGAAAGCCCAAAUCGAACCCGGCCCAAUGAAAUCGGUCCAACAUUCCAACACCUUGUAGUCUCCACUUGGAUCACAAGCCCGCGUUACUGAACUCGACGCACAGUAGUUGUCAACUAAACUUAUAUAUACAACAAGAGAAAAAUCAUUUCUUC
rnacentral:lncRNA from 1 species